rnacentral:lncRNA from 1 species
UGCUGCAGGAUGUAGUGAAUGCAUUGGUAGAUGCAUCGAGGGUGGAGGAGGCUGCCAAGCUUGUUGAUAUCGGGCGGAAGAAGUACUACUACUCACGAAAGGGUUUGAGAAUGCCAGGUAGUGCAAAAGGCAGUGAAUUAAGAGCUGAAACUGAUGAGUAAGAAGCAAUAUCAGAAGAAAAGGAGUGUGAAGUGGAACACAAGACUGAAAAGUAAAAUUCAUAGGUCAGACUUUGACUGAUGCAUGCCAAAUUUCACCAUGAUUUGUUUUACUCAGUUUCUCUGUUGGCAUGAUAGAACAAUAAGUGCAAGUUAAAGUAGUGGUUUAACUAGUUUAAUAAGGUACUCUACAUCUCUUUUUAUUCAUUUUGAUGACAAGUAUUUCCAGACAGAGGGAGUAUUGGUUAAGCUUGCCCUGUGCUGUAAUACUUAUUGAAAAUGUUUUUAUCCAUUUUGGAAGAGAUCCACAGGAAGUCUUUAUUCUUAUCUGCAAUGUUUUGCUUGUGCUGAUUAUUCUCGUUGCAUCAAAUUCCUUGUAUGGAUGUAAUAUUUGUGUUUGGAAACAUCCUCCAAGAGUGCCAACAUUUUUUGGAAAAGAAAAAAAGGAAAAUAAAGAAGGAGAAAAAGAGAAAGAAGAAGAAGAACAACAAAAACAAAGCCUUUAAAAAUCAAAAACAGAAAAACGAAAAUUUAAAAUGAAAAAAAGGAAGCAGAAAAAUAAAAGGAAAAAAGCCGUAUAAUGAACCUUCUAUACGGUUCCCAUACCUGAAAAAAUGGCUGGGAAACUUCUAUAGGAGCUUCGCAAAACCAAAAUUGCUAAGCAAUACGAACAGUGGGAGAUGGGUUGGACCAAGUGGUCGUGCGCCUGUGAGAUCGACCCUUUGACGCCGGAGGGCACCCUAUUUCUCGCUUUAAGCGAGCACAGGGGAAGCCUCGCGUCCUGGGGGAACCCGGCCCAGCCGCGCAGGAGGCUACAGCCUGUGUAUUUUUCUAUUUUCUGUUGUCUUUUUGCUUUAUUUUUAUACUUUUAUUUAUACAUUAAAAUAUGGAAAAAGAUUCAGUUCAGCCGGCUGAUAUUCACCAUCGUGUCAAUCCUCUCGUGCGCGUGCGCCACGUGUACGUAGGCCCAGAACCGCAUGCACUCUCAUCCUUAUCCCCAGAGCAACAUAUUUUUUGUUCAGCAAUCCAUUCCCAUAUGCAGAUCCCCUCCUGCUGCUUCUUCUGCAGCGGCGGCCAGCGCCGGCAAGCAAGUGCUUUACUGCCCGCGUCCCUCAUAUUCUUCCUCCUCCUAUUCUCUCCCUCCCUCUCUCUCUCUCUCACACACACACACGCACACACACGCGCGCGCGCGCGCGGAGAUUCAAUCGGCUGCUGCCUCUAGAUCGAGAUGCAACACUCCUUCAUCGCUCGUCUUUGCAAGGCAUGCAACCUUCGCCCGUCAAUCCAUGUCGCCGCCGCCUCAGAAAAGCACUAGCGUCUAUGUCUAUCGCCUCAUUGAGAUUCAGCAGUGCUUCAGCUGUAACUGCCGGUGCUGCCGCACAAAGAGUUCCCGCAACAUUACCUUCGUUGCAUAAUUUUUUUGCAACUUGACCUCUGUUGCAAAAAAAUACAGGGAUGUUUUUUUGCUACACGAUCUCUCGUGGAAUUUUUUUUGCAACUCAAACCUCUGUUCAAAUGUUUGUAAAACAAGAUCUAUGUUGCAAAGGAUUUUACAACAAGACUUCCGUUGCAAAAGUAAAUUUCUGCAACACAAUCUCUGUUGCAAAUAUUUCUAAAAUAAGAUCUCGGUUGCAAAGAGUUUUGCAACAAGACUUUUGUUGCAAAAAUAGAGCACGACGCUCGGUCGUUAGAUUGAGCCAGAUCAAACGGUAGCGAGGCGACGAAUCUUUCUAAAAAAUCUGUCAGCCGACAUGUAGCAAGCCCCUUAAAAUAUUCUACACAUAUAUACAAAAAACACUCUUUGAAACACACUUAAAAAUGUUAAACAAGUAUUCAAAAAAUGUUGAAAAAGCAUUAUAAAAUGUUGAACAAGUAUUUGAAAAUGUUGAAUAAGUAUUUGACAAAUGUUGAAUAAGUAUUAAAAAAAUUUGAACGGGUAUUUGAAAAAAUAGUGAACGAGUAUUUCAAAAUGUUGAAUAAGUAUUAAAAAUACGAUAAAGCUAAAUUCCUGCCAACUGUAAAUUUGCAACAGAUCCGCAUGCAUCCGAUGUCGUCCGUUCAGAUCCAACGGUUCGCAGCGUCUCAGGCGAGCGAAGCGCGUGUUGCCGUUUCCUUCCCAUAGCCGUUACUGUUUCUGCGUCGAUGCCAAGUGGGGCCGAUCGAACCGCCCCUCUCGCCCAAUGCAUGCACAAACUCCACUCCCCCAUCCUCAUCGCCCGCAUUACUUCUCCCCCUCUCUCGCAUUGUGGUUGGCAUUUUACGCUCCCCCCCUUUCCCCUUCCUCAUCUCUCCGUCGUCCGCAACUUCUCCCGGGGGCGGCGCAGUCUGCUUCUCGAUGGCGUCGUCUGAUUCGGAGGUGAGGGACGCAUUUCCCCGUGCCCUCUGUUUUCCCUGUUGCUUAUCCCGUUCGUCCCACCGUAGAUUUAUCCGUUUCCCCUUCGAAUCUGCGCGGGUUGUUGAUGACAUUAUGGUCGAUUAGGUCAUCUAUAUAGUCUACGUGUAGAAGCAUGCUCGGAUUUUGGUUCAAUCCGUGCGGAUUUGGUCGGCGGGUGGAUGGUGUAUAGGUUUUCGUGGCGGAUUGCAGGUUUAUUUUUCCAUGGAUUUUUUUCCCACGGGUUUUCUUUCUGUUGACAUUUGUUGUUGUGGAUUAUGAUGUGCAGUAGUGUAUGUGUAUUUUGAACAACAACCCUGAAAUUUCCCCACUAGAUGCCCUUAUGUCGGAUAUAUGUAGUGUAUGUGUAUUUUGAAUAGCAACCCCUGACAUUUGUUGUUGUUGAUUAGGGUCAUGCUGGUAAACUUUGAUUAUCAGUGUUGUUGUGCUAUUAAUUAUCAGGAUCAUGAUAUUGUACUUACCAGUGUCAUUGUGCCUAAAUUACCAGUAGCCCAACAGUUUCAUAUUCACCAGUUUUUGUACGUGCUAUUAAUUAUCAUGACCGUGGGAUUGUACUUACCAGUGACAAUGUGCCCAAAUUACCAGUAGUGUAACAAUGCUAUUUUUUCACCAGUGAUGAUAUAUGUGCAUACAAUUUCAGUGGUUGGUAUAUUUUUGUACCUAUCUGUUGGGGAACGUAGUAUUUAAAAAAAAAUUCUACGAUCACGCAAAAUCUAUCUAGAAGAAGCAUAGCAACGAGCGGGGAGAGUGUGUCAACGUACCCUCAUAGACCAGAAGCGGAAGUGUUUAGUAAUGCGGUUGAUAUAGUCAAACAUCUUCGCGAUCCAACCGAUCCAAGCACCGAACGUACGACACCUCCGCGUUCAGCACACGUUCAGCUCGAUGACGUCCCUCGAACUUUUGAUCCAGUUGAGGCCGAGGGAGAGUUUCGUCAGCACGACGGCGUGGUGAGGGUGAUGAUGAAGUUAUCGGCGCAGGGGUUCGCCUAAGCACUACGACGAUAUGACCGAGGUGGGUAACUGUGGAGGGGGGCACCGCACACAGCUAAGACAAUUGAUCUUGUUUGUUCUAGGGUGUCCCCUGCCCCCGUAUAUAAAGGCGGGGAGGGGAGGCCGGCCAACAGACCCUCCUAGGGCGCGCCAGGAGAGGGGAAUCCUACUAGGACUCCAAGUCCUAGUAGGUUUCCACCUAAGGAAGAGGGGGAAGAAGGAGGGAAGAGGGGGGAGGGAAGGAAAGGGGGGCGUCGCCCCCUUCCUCUAGUCCAAUUCGGACCCAAGGCGGGGGCGGCCAGCCCCUCUUGGCCCUUCCUCUCUUCCCACUAAGGCCCAUCGAGGCCCAUUAGUUCCCCCCCGGGGGGGGGGUCCGAUAACCCUCCGGCACUCCGAUAAUUAUCCGGUAACUCUCGAAAUUCAUCCGGUGUCGGAAUAACAUCGUCCAAUAUAUCAAUCUUUAUGUCUCGACCAUUUCGAUACUCCUCAUCAUGUCUGUGAUCUCAUCCGGGACUCCGAACAAACUUCGGUCAUCAAAUCACAUAAUUCAUAAUACAAAUCAUCAUCGAACGUUAAGCGUGCGGACCCUACGGGUUCGAGAACUAUGUAGACAUGAUCGAAACACAUCUCCGGUCAAUAACCAAUAGCGGAACCUGGAUGCUCAUAUUGGCUCCUACAUAUUCUACGAAGAUCUUUAUUGGUCAAACCGCAUAACAACAUACGUUGUUCCCUUUGUCAUCGGUAUGUUACUUGCCCGAGAUUCGAUCGUCGGUAUCAUCAUACUUAGUUCAAUCUCGUUACCGGCAAGUCUCUUUACUCGUUCCGUAAUGCAUCAUCCUGUGACUAACUCAUUAGUCACAUUGCUUGCAAGGCUCAUAGUGAUGUGUAUUACCGAGAGGGCCCAGAGAUACCUCUCCAAUACACGGAGUGACAAAUCCUAAUCUCGAUCUAUGCCAACUCAACAAACACCAUCGGAGACACCUAUAGAGCAUCUUUAUAAUCACCCAGUUACGUUGUGACGUUUGAUAGCAAACAAGGUGUUCCUCCGGUAUUCGGGAGUUACAUAAUCUCAUAGUCUAAGGAACAUGUAUAAGUCAUGAAGAAAGCAAUAGCAGAAAAACUAAGCGAUCAUUAUGCUAAGCUAACGGAUGGGUCUUGUCCAUCACAUCACUCUCUAAUGAUGUGAUCCCGUUCAUCAAAUGACAACACAUGGAUAUGUCUAGGAAACUUAACCAUCUUUGAUUAACGAGCUAGCCAAGUAGAGGCAUACUAGGGACACUCUGUUUGUCUAUGUAUCCACACAUGUACUAAGUUCCUGGUUAAUACAAUUCUAACAUGAAUAAUAAACAUUUAUCGAUAUAAGGAAAUAUAAAUAACAACUUUAUUAUUGCCUCUAGGGCAUAUUUCCUUCAGUCUCCAACUUGCACUAGAGUCAAUAAUCUAGAUUACAUAGUAAUGAUUCUAACACCCAUGGAGUCUUGGUGUUAAUCAUGUUUUGCUCGUGAGAGAGGCUUAGUCAACGGGUCUGCAACAUUCAGAUCCGUAUGUAUCUUGCAAAUCUCUAUGUCUCCCUCCUUGACUUGAUCGCAGAUGGAAUUGAAGCGUCUCUUGAUGUGCUUGGUUCUCUUGUGAAAUCUGGAUUCCCUUGCCAAGGCAAUUGCACCAGUAUUGUCACAAAAUAUUUUCAUUGGACCCGAUGCACUAGCUAUUACACCUAGAUCGGAUAUGAACUCCUUCAUCUAGACUCCUUCAUUUGUUGCUUCUGAAGCAGCUAUGUACUCCACUUCACACGUAGAUCCCGCCACGACGCUCUGCUUAGAAAUGCACCAACUGACAGCUCCACCAUUCAAUAAAAAUAUGUAUCUGGUUUGUGACUUAGAGUCAUUCGGAUCAGUGUCAAAGUUUGCAUUGACGUAACCGUUUAUGACGAGCUCUUUGUCACCUCCAUAAACGAGAAACAUAUCCUUAGUCCUCUUUAGGUAUUUCAGGAUAUUCUUGACCGUUGUCCAGUGAUCCACUCCUGGAUUACUUUGGUACCUCCCUGCUAAACUAAUAGCAAGGCACACAUCAGGUCUGGUACACAACAUUGCAUACAUGAUAGAACCUAUGGCUGAGGCAUAGGGUAUGACUUUCAUUUUCUCUCUAUCUUAUGCAGUGGUUGGGCAUUGAGUCUGACUCAACUUCACACCUUGUAACAUAGGCAUGAACCCUUUCUUUGACUGAUCCAUUUUGAACUUCUUCAAAACUUCAUCAAGGUAUGUGCUUUGUGAAAGUCCAAUUAAGCGCCUUGAUCUAUCUCUAUAGAUCUUGAUGCCCAAUAUAUAAGCAGCUUCACCGAGGUCUUUCAUUGAAAAAUUCUUAUUCAAGUAUCCUUUUAUGCUAUUCAAAAAUUCAGUAUCAUUUCCGAUCAACAAUAUGUCAUCCACAUAUAAUAUCAGAAAUGCUAUGGAGCUCUCACUCACUUUCUUGUAAAUACAGACUUCUCCAAAAGUCUGUAUAAAACCAUAUGCUUUGAUCACACUAUCAAAUCGUAUAUUUCAACUCCGAGAGGCUUGCACCAGUCCAUAAAAGGAUCACUGGAGCUUGCACACUUUGCUAGCACCUUUUGGAUCGACAAAACCUUCUGGUUGCAUCAUAUACAACUCUUCUUUAAGAUAUCCAUUAAGGAAUGCAGUUCUGACAUCCAUUUGCCAAAUUUCAUAAUCAUAAAAUGCGGCAAUUGCUAACAUGAUUCAGACGGACUUAAGCAUCGCUACGAGUGAGAAGGUCUCAUCGUAGUCAAUUCCUUGAACUGUCGAAAACCUUUUGCAACAAGUUGAGCUUUGUAGACAGUAAUAUUAUCGUCAGCGUCAGUCUUCUUCUUGAAGAUCCAUUUAUUCUCUAUGGCCUGCCGAUCAUCGGGCAAGUCAACCAAAGUCCACACUUUGUUCUCAUACAUGGAUCCCAUCUCAGAUUUCAUGGCCUCAAGCCAUUUUGCAGAAUCUCGGCUCAUCAUCGCUUCCUCAUAGUUCGUAGGUUCGUCAUGGUCAAGUAACAUGACCUCCAGAACAGGAUUACCGUACCACUCUGGUGCGGGUCUUACUCUGGUUGACCUACGAGGUUCGGUAGUAACUUGAUCAGAAGUUUCAUGAUCAUCAUCAUUGGCUUCCUCACUUACUGGUGUAGGAAUCACUGGAACUAAUUUCAGUGAUGAGCUACUUUCUAAUAAGGGAGUAGGUACAAUUACCUCAUCAAGUUCUACUUUCCUCCCACUCACUUCUUUCGAGAGAAACCCCUUCUCUACAAAGGAUCCAUUCUUAGCAAUGAAUAUCUUGCCUUCGGAUCUGUGAUAGAAGGUGUACCCAAUAGUCUCCUUUGGGUAUCCUAUGAAGAUACAAUUUUCUGAUUUGGGUUCGAGCUUAUCAGGUUGAAGUUUUUUCACAUAAGCACCGCAACCCCAAACUUUAAGAAACGACAACUUGGGUUUCUUGCCAAACCAUAGUUCAUAUGGUGUCGUCUCAAUGGAUUUAGAUGGUGCCCUAUUUAACAUGAAUGUAGCCGUCUCUAAAGCAUAACCCCAAAACGAUAGCAGUAAAUCAGUAAGAGACAUCAUAGAUCGCACCAUAUCUAAUAAAGUGCGGUUACGACGUUUAGACACACCAUUACGCCGUGGUGUUCCAGGUGGCGUGAGUUGCGAAACUAUUCCGCAUUGUUUCAAAUGAAGACCAAACUCAUGACUCAAAUAUUCACCUCCGCGAUUAGAUCGUAGAAACUUUAUUUUCUUGUUAUGAUGAUUUUCCACUUCACUUUGAAAUUCUUUGAACUUUUCAAAUGUUUCAGACUUAUGUUUCAUUAAGUAGAUAUACCCAUAUCUGCUCAAAUCAUCUGUAAAGGUCAGAAAAUAACAAUAUCCGCCGCAAGCAUCAACACUCAUCGGACCGCACACAUCAGUAUGUAUUAUUUCCAACAAGUCUGUUGCUCGCUCCAUUGUUACGGAGAACAGAGUCUUAGUCAUCUUGCCCAUGAGGCAUGGUUCGCAAGCAUCAAGUGAUUCAUAAUCAAAUGAUUCCAAAAGCCCAUCAUCAUGGAGUUUCUUCAUGCGCUUUACACCAAUAUGACCUAAACGGCAGUGCCACAAAUAAGUUGCACUAUCAUUAUUAAACUUAUAUCUUUUGGCUUCAAUACUAUGAAUAUGUGUAUCACUACUAUCAAGAUUCAAAAAAAAUAGACCACUCAUCAAGGGUGCAUGACCAUAAAAGAUAUUUCUCAUAUAAAUAGAACAACCAUUAUUCUCUGAUUUAAAUGAAUAAUCGUCUCGCAUCAAACAAGAUCCAGAUAUAAUGUCCAUGCUUAACGCUAGCACCAAAUAACAAUUAUUCAGGUCUAAUGUUAAUCCCAAAGGUAGAUGUAGAGGUAGCGUGCCGACGGUGAUCACAUCGACUUUGGAACCAUUUCCCACGCACAUCGUCACCUCGUCCUUAGCCAAUCUUCGCUUAAUCCGUAGCCCCUAUUUCGAGUUGCAAAUAUGAGCAAUAGAACCAGUAUCAAAUACCCAGGCGCUACUACGAGCAUUAGUAAGGUACACAUCAAUAACAUGUAUAUCAAAUAUACCUUUCACUUUGCCAUCCUUCUUAUCCACCAAAUACUUGGGGUAGUUCCGCUUCCAGUGACCAGUCCCUUUGCAGUAGAAGCACCCAGUCUCAGGCUUAGGUCCAGACUUACUUGCUUGCCGUUCUUCUUGAAGUUCCCCUUAUUCCCUUUGCCCUUCUUCUUGAAACUAGUGGCCUUGUUAACCAUCAACACUUGAUGCUCCUUCUUGAUUUCUACCUCCGCUGCCUUUAGCAUCGCGAAGAGCUCAGGAAUUGUCUUAUCCAUCCCUUGUAUAUUAUAGUUCAUCAUGAAGCUUUUGUAGCUUGGUGGCAGUGAUUGAAGAACUCUGUCAAUGACACUAUCAUCAGGAAGAUUAACUCCCAGUUGAGUCAAGUGGUUGUGGUACCCAGAAAUUCUGAGUAUAUGUUCACUGACAGAACUAUUCUCCUCCAUCUUGCAACUAUAAAACUUAUUGGAGAUUUCAUAUCUCUCAAUUCGGGAAUUUGCUUGAAACAUUAACUUCAACUCCUGGAACAUCUCAUAUGCUCCAUGAUGUUAAAAACGUCGUUGAAGUCCUGAUUCUAAGUCGUAAAGCAUGGCACACUAAACUAUCGAGUAGUCAUCAGCUUUGCUCUGCCAGACGUUCAUAACAUUUGGUGUUGCUCCUGCAGCGGGCUUUGCACCUAGCGGUGCUUCCAUGACGUAAUUAUUCUGUGCAGCAAUGAGGAUAAUCCUCAAGUUAUAGACCCAGUCCGUGUAGUUGCUACCAUCAUCUUUCAACUUAGCUUUCUCUAGGAACGCAUUAAAAUUCAAAGGAACAGUAGCACGAGCCAUUUAUCUACAACAACAUAGACAUGUAAAAUACUAUCAGGUACUAAGUUCAUGAUAAAUUAAAGUUCAAUUAAUCAUAUUACUUAAGAACUCCCACUUAGAUAGACAUCCCUCUAGUCAUCUAAAUGAUCACGUGAUCCAUAUCAACUAAACCAUGUCUGAUCAUCACAUGAGAUGGAGUAGCUUUCAAUGGUGAACAUCACUAUGUUGAUCAUAUCUACUAUAUGAUUCACGUUCGACCUUUCGGUCUCAGUGUUCCGAGGCCAUAUCUGCAUAUGCUAGGCUCGUCAAGUUUAACCUGGGUAUUCUGCGUGUGCAAAAAUUGGCUUGCACCCGUUGUAUGUGAACGUAGAGCUUAUCACACCCGAUCAUUACGUGGUGUCUCGGCGUGACGAACUGUAGCAACGGUGCAUACUCAGGAAGAACACUUAUACCUUGAAAUUUAGUGAGAGAUCAUCUUAUAAUGCUACCGCCGAACUAAGCAAAAUAAGAUGCAUAAAGGAUAAACAUCACAUAUGCAAUCAAAAUAAGUGAUAUGAUGUGGCCAUGAUCAUCUUGUGCCUUUGAUCUCCAUUUCCAAAGCACCGUCAUGAUCACCAUCGUCACCGGCUUGACACCUUGAUCUCCAUCGUAGCAUCGUUGUCGUCUCGCCAAUUAUUGCUUCUACGACUAUCGCUAUCGCUUAGUGAUAAAGUAAAGCAAUUACAUGGCGAUUGUAUUUCAUACAAUAAAGCGACAACCAUAUGGCUCCUGCCAGUUGCCGAUAACUGUUACAAAACAUGAUCAUCUCAUACAACAAUUUAUAUGAUCACGUCUUGACCAUAUCACAUCACAACAUGCCCUGCAAAAACAAGUUAGACGUCCUCUACUUUGUUGUUGCAAGUUUUACGUGGGUGCUACAGGCUUCUAGCAAGAACCGUUCUUACCUACGCAUCAAAACCACAACGAUUUUUUGUCAAGUGUGUUGUUUUGACCUUCAACAAGGACCGGGCGUAGUCAAACUCGAUUCAACUAAUGCUGGAGAAACAGACACGCGCUAGCCACCUGUGUGCGAAGCACGUCGGUAGAACCAGUCUCAUGAACGCGGUCAUGUAAUGUCGGUCUGGGCCGCUUCAUCCAACAAUACCGCCGAACCAAAGUAAGACAUUGCUGGCAAGCAGUAUGGCUAUUAUCGCCCACAACUUAUAGUGUUCUACUCGUGCAUAUAACAUCUAUGCAUAGACCUGGCUCGGAUGCCAAUGUUGGGGAAUGUAGUAUUUCAAAACAAUUCCUACGAUUACGCGAGAUCUAUCUAGGAGAAGCAUAGCAACGAGCGGGGAGAGUGUGUCCACAUACCCUCAUAGACCGGAAGCGGAAGCGUUUAGUAACGCGGUUGAUGUAGUCAAACAUCUUCGCGAUCCAACUAAUCCAAGCACCAAACGUACGGCACCUCCGUGUUUAGCACACGUUCAGCUCGAUGACGUCCCUCAAACUCUUGAUCUAGUUGAGGCUGAGGGAGAGUUUCGUUAGCACGACAGCGUGGUGACGGUGAUGAUGAAGUUACCGGCGCAGGGGUUCGCCUAAGCACUACAACGAUAUGACUGAGGUGCGUAACUGUGGAGGGGGGCACCGCACACGGCUAAGACAAUUGAUCUUGUUUGUUCUAGGGUGCCCCCUACCCUCGUAUAUAAAGGAGGUGAGGGGAGGCUGGCCGGCCCUCCUAGGGCGUGCCAUGAGAGGGGAAUCCUACUAGGACUCCAAGUCCUAGUAGGUUUCCACCUAAGGAAGAGGGGGAAGAAGGAAGGAAGAGGGGGAAGGGAAGGGAAGGGGGGCGCCGCCCCCUUCCCCUAGUCCAAUUCGGACCCAAGGGGGGGCAGCCCCUCUUGUCCCUUCCUCUCUUCCCACUAAGGCCCAUCGAGGACCAUUAUUUCCCCCGGGGGGUUGCGAUAACCCUCCGGCACUCCGAUAAUUAUCCGGUAACUCUAGGAACUCAUCCGGUGUCUGAAAACAUCGUCCAAUAUAUCAAUCAUCAUGUCUCGACCAUUUCGAGACUCCUCUUCAUGUACGUGAUCUUAUCCGGGACUCCGAACAAACUUCGGUCAUCAAAUCACAUAACUCAUAAUGCAAAUCGUCAUCGAACGUUAAGCGUGCGGAACCUACGGGUUCGAGAACUAUGUAGACAUGACCGAGACACAUCUUCAGUCAAUAACCAAUAGCGGAAUCUGGAUGCUCAUAUUGGCUCCUACAUAUUCUAUGAAGAUCUUUAUCGGUCAAACCACAUAACAACAUACGUUGUUCCCUUUGUCAUCGGUAUGUUACUUGCCUGAGAUUCGAUUGUUGGUAUCAUCAUACCUAGUUCAAUCUCGUUACCGGCAAGUCUCUUUACUCGUUCCGUAAUCCAUCAUCCCGUGACUAACUCAUUAGUCACAUUACUUGCAAGGCUCAUAGUGAUGUGUAUUACCGAGAGGGUCCAGAGAUACCUAUCCGAUACACAGAGUGAAAAAUCCUAAUCUCGAUCUAUGCCAACUCAACAAACACCAUUGAGGACACCUUAGAGCAUCUUUAUAAUCACCCAGUUACGUUGUGACGUUUGAUAACACACAAGGUUUUCCUCGGGUAUUCGGGAGUCACAUAAUCUCAUAGUCUGAGGAACAUGUAUAAGUCAUGAAGAAAGCAAUAGCAGAAAAACUAAACGAUCAUUAUGUUAAGCUAACCAAUGGCUCUUGUCCAUCACAUCAUUCUCUAAUGAUGUGAUCCCGUUCAUCAAAUGACAACACAUGUCUAUGGCUAGGAAACUUAACAAACUUUGAUUAACGAGCUAGUCGAGUAGAGGCAUACUAGGGACACUCUGUUUGUCCAUGUAUCCACAUAUGUACUAAGUUCCCGGUUAAUACAAUUCUAGCAUGAAUAAUAAACAUUUAUCAUGAUAUAAGGAAAUAUAAAUAAUAGCUUUAUUAUUGCCUCUAGGGCAUAUUUCCUUCACUACCAGCACGACUGUGUUUGAGUUACCGUGGGAACAUUUCUAGGUUUAUCAUCGGUUAGUAUGUUGUUUAUGUGCUUACCGGUAACACCUUGGUCGUUUUAUCAUGUGUUCAGUGCUUUAUUUUCCAUGUUCAUUGAGUUUAUAUGUUGUUGUAAAUGGUUUCAUUCCAAUGUUCAGUGCUUUAUUUUCCAUGUUCAUUGAGUUUAUAUGUUGUUGUAAAUGGUUUCAUUCCAAUGUUCAGUGCUUUAUUGUGCUUUUCGUUCCUACAUGACAUGACACAAUGCCGAGGAAGCACAAAGUAGAUGGUGAUGUUUGAUGAGGUUCCUUCGAAAAAGGCGAAGCGCCCUCCUCCACGGAACAGAGCCUCACCCAGUUUGCUUCUUUUAGCAUGCAAAGACAUGAAUGAUGACGGGAAGGUUGCCAUUGAUGAGAUGGACUUCACAAGCCUUCGGAAUAUCCAGUGUGACCAUCUCUUCAACAAUCUCAGUGUGUGGCUUGCUGAUGUGUACAAUCCCGAUUCCCGUGAGGUGGUCGUACCAGGGCGGGGCAGGCUUCCAGUUAAUGAGGAAUAUGUGCAUCGUGUUAUGGGUGUGCCGCGUGGAGGGAAGAAUGUCCCUUACAACCUCCCUACUGAAGCUGAUAUUGAGUUAGGGCUUGAGUUGUUUGGCGAACUUGGAUAUGCCCCUAAGAUGACUGAUCUUGUUGAUCUCAUAAAGGGUUCUAUAAAUGCUAAUGAUACUUUCAAGCGUAUAUGGCUUUUGCUUGCGGGGAAUACAAUCAUUGCCCCGACCACCUCCAACAAAGUUAGCCCUAGAUGGUAUGUUGUGCUGGUAAGUGGUUAUGUAGUCCUGUCAUUUUCUUUCUUGUGUGCCUGAUAACUUUACUAUAUGUCAGUGUGGUAACUUUCAUAGUUUUUGUGUUCCAUUCGGUGAACUUCAGUUUCUUUGUUUUCAACUUGCAGUGUGACAUCAAUGGUAUUAAAAAUCUCAAUUGGUCAAAAUUCAUUGCUCACGAAUUACACAAGGCGCUUCUGAAACGCAAGCCUACUAGGGGUUGCCUUCUCUUCUAUAAUGUAAGUGAUGAUGCUGUAACAUCCCAAAUUUUCAAUUUGGAAUGUUAUACAUAGGUCAUCCAUGCAUAUCAUAUUUUAUUGCAUUUCAUUCUUGUGAUCCUUGAAAUCCAAAGCAACUCAAGGACCCUCAGAGAGAGUUGGUGAUUUCCCUCGUUCUCAUAUUUGAGUUUUAUCAAAUAUUGAAACAAGGAUCACUUUGGUUUUAAUUAUUUUUCUCCCCAAAAAUAUUUCAUAUUAAAACUAUAUGAGAGGAGAUAAUAUGAAUUAUCCAAAAUAAAUGAAAUGUUGGAGGAAAAAUAUUAAAAUCAAUUUGUAUUUUUAUUUGGGGUUUAAUCGCUAUUUUAUUUGAAUUAGGAAAAUAUGCGUUUUUCAAAUUUGCAUUAGAGUCCCAAAUAAAUGUUCACCUUGUCCGGCGUAUUUUUAGAGGACGGGGAAAAUUUAUUUCAGGAUUUUUGAAGUCCGUUUAGUAUUUCUUUUCUUUGUUUUUCUGCAUGGAAUUAUUUAAAAAAAGUAACCGACCUAACCGGGCCGUGUCCGCCUAGGACUCCUUGCCCGGCUGGAUUUUAUAAGCUGGGAGGCCCGACCCCAGCAGCCCAGUGUCCCGCCCGAAACCCUAAGUUGCCGCCGCCGCACCAGCCGCCACCGCCGUCGCGCCGCCACCCUCGCUGCCCGUGCCGCUCGCCGGAGUUCGCCGCCGUCGCCGCCAAUUUCUUCGCCGGUUCGGUUUUUCUGGUAAAAACCCUAGAUCCAUUUUUUUAUAGAUCGGUUUGGUUUUUAUUUUUUCCUGGUUUAGUUAUUUAGCGAACGCCCGUUCGUACGUUUGUUUCAACGAACGGUUUUCACCCGUUAACCGCAGACAGUGAACGUUCGUUCGUUAGCCUGUUCGUCGGUUUUCUUUUUCCAGGGUUUUUCCGCGAUUAUUUUCGAUCGUGAUUUCUGCCUUGUUUCUUGUUUUAGUUUAUCUUUUCGCUCGUUUAUCGGAAUCAGGCGAUUCAAGCGCCUAGAUCUUCGUCUCUAAGCCCUCUUUCUGUUUAACCAACUUGAACAAGAUUUAGGUACCAUAAAAUUUGACUUUAGUCCAGAUUAGUAAUCGGAUCUUGUUUCUUUGGCAGUUUGAGUUUCAUUGCUCCGUUUGAUUUGAUUCUUUUUGCAAACCGGAGUUCUUCAGUUGAACUUUCCGGUUAGAUCUUCUUAUUUGAGAUUUACCCGUGCAUCUUUGCUUGAUUGCUUAUGUAUGCUAUUGUUUGUUUGCGAUAGAACACCCGGAGUGCGAAGCGUGCUACUACGAGUCUUUAGGAUUUGCAGAUCGUCAGCAAGGCAAGUAACACUUUGAUCAUACCCCUUUAUCACCCAGUUUUUAUGCAUUAGUUUCAACCUUCACACAUUGCAUGAGUAGGAUCUCUUAACAUCUGGGUCUGGGAAAUAGAUAAUGAGGUAGAACCUAUUACCUGUUUUAUUAUCAAACCCUUGGGAGUUACUUCUACGUUAUGCUUAUAUUGCCAUGCUAUGCUCAUAGACGUGGUUUGGGUUUGAGUGUAUCCAUGACAGAUGUGAGUUGUUAAUUAAUGGUUCAACUUGAGGUGGCAACUUUAAUACACAUCUGGGUGGAUUGCUUGUGGGUACCUGGAGAAUCCAGUGUUGUCCUAGGAUAUCCUGGAGUACCCAUGUGAUCAUCCUACGGUCCGCCACCCAGGCUCAAAGGGAUCAUAAGACUAUUCAUGCUAGAAACUUCCGUGUGCAGCCACAAGCCAUUAUGGGCUCUGGCAUAAUUGAGUAAGUUGCGUGAGUUCUUGAAGAGGUGGACUAGCAGGUGUUAUUGUAGGUGUACCGGUCCGCCCGAAGUAAAGAGCAAAUGCUUCUGAAAGAUUGUGUCUCAGUCAUCCGUUUCUCAAACACCCUGUAGUGCGAGAAAUCCAACGAAGGAGAUUGAGUCUUGUGGGGAAAAGUGUGCAGACCUCUGCAGAGUGUACAAACUAAUCAUGGUUAGCCGUGUCCCUGGUUAUGGACAUCUUGAGUAUCUGGUUCUUGGAUUAUCAUAUGGAUCUCAUCACUCUAAAAUAAUUUGUUGGGUUGAUAAUUACUUUCAAUUGGGAUGAGUUGGAGGAACCUUCUCAAUAUUGUUCAACUACCAUGAUAGUUAAAUAAAAUAUGUUCCUUUGUUGUAGGGGAAAAUUGGCUUUUCGCAAAACAUAUUAACCAUACAGCCUCCACCGGCCAUAUAUGCAUAUAGUGAUAGCUUUUAUCUAUUCAUUACUCUCCUGUGUUACAUUGCCAGCAUAUUCCAUGUGCUGACCCGUUUUCGGGCUGCAACAUAUCAUGUUGCAGACUUUUCAAACGAGGAGUAAGGUGUGAUAGGUCAUUUGUCAUGCACUCAGCCAUGUCAUUGGAGUUGAUGGACUCACUUUACCUUCCAAGCCUUCCGCUGUUAUCGUAUUAGAUGGCCUUAAGCCAUAUUUAUUGUAUUAAGUUCUCUCUUGAGACAUUUGAUGUAAUAAGUGUGUGAUUGCCACUGUUAUAAAUCCUUCGAGUACUAUGUUGUGUCAGCAUUACCGAUCCAGGGAUGACACUGAAGCACAGAGACUUGACCAUUUGAGGUCGGGUCGCUACAGAUGCUUUCCUCUUACCUUCUUUCUUGUCAUUUGUCAUCUUUUUGUCAUUUUGUCUCUGAUUUUGUUCGUGACUACCAUGACACUUGUAUUUUUCCUAUCAGCUAUUGUACAUUCAUGCGAUUGAUCUUUCUGGACUCGGCAUCAUAUUGCUUGAUGGUCCUUUUCCUAUCAAUGUCUGGACGAAGAAGCUGAUAACUCUUGUCCUCAACAAGGAUGUUAGGCUGACAAAGUUUCUUUUGAGAAACUACCGGUAAUCUAUAUCUAUGUUUUUAGUUCACACACUGCUUGCCACUGCAUUUUCUUUUGAUUGUUUUUUGUUGUUACUUAUCUGACUUGUCACUACAUUUUUUCCAGUUGAAGCCUGAGUUUUGCAUGAAUUUCUGUCUGUUUGGUGGUCUGGAAGGUCUUGAUAAGUUUAUGCAUGUUCAUGCUGCCCCAAGCUGCAGUCAGGAGGUGUGGAUGUAACCUUGUUUUUGUCUUUUUGCUAUUCUAUGUUUUUCAUAGGCUGAUAACUUAUUUGUUGGACUCAAUCUGGUCUCUUUUGAUGUCAACUUUACCCUCUUUACUAAUGCCAUCAGAUAUUGUUCUUUGUUUCCAAUGUGGCAUAUGCUUUAUAAAGGAUAAUAAUUUUGUUGCAACCUUGUGAUAAUUCUUAUUAUAAUGCCUUGAUAACUUUCUGAUGUGAAACUCGUGCCAUCAUGUUUUUUUAAUGACAACAUAUGUUCUCACAUAUCUUGAUAACUUGGUUACAUUCCCGUGAUGAUUCUUUUUGUAAAGCCUUUGAUAACUUAAGUUUUUGCUGAUAGCUAAAUGUGCUAUUUUAGCUUUGUCGUAUAUUGUUCUUCAUUUUCAUGGUGACUGAAUGUUUGUUAAAUCAUGAAUACAUUCAUGUGUUUAUUGCAAUGACACGAUACAUUUGUCUGGUAUUGUUCAUGUGUGUGCUUUUUGUGAACCCCUGAUAACUUUUGUUGCAUUUCAGUGAUAACUUAUUUUUUUGCAUUUUUUCUUUUGAGCAGAAAUUUGCCAAAUCUACUCAGAUGGUCGCUCGAUUCACGUCCGCCAUGGCUGGCAUACUAGGCGAUCUUGUGCACUCAUUCACCGCUUUGGAUGAUGAGGGCCAUUCAGAUGCCUCCCGUCAGCUAGACACUGGAUUGAAUGUUCUAUCUUCUGCUGCUCGUAUGAUGACAAGGACCACGCGCUCAUCGCAAGGCAGGCGGCCAGAAAGCCCUGGAAAGAACAUUGUUGAUGAUUCUGAUAGUGAUGACGAGUACCACAGAGGCAAUGAUGUUGAUUCUGAUGCUGACUUCAAUGAUGAUGAUGAUGGUGAUGAUGAUGAUAUGGAUUAUCGAAUUGUUCGUCGUUGCCGUAAGGAUCCUUUCGUUGCUUCAGGCAGUGAUACCGCGAAUGCAGCUACGGGCAGCGGGCCAGCUGAUGAUGACACCACACAUCUGGAUGAUGCAACUGUCAAAGCUCAUGAGAGCACGACACCAAAUGUUGAAGACACGCCUGUCCGCACUGUCGAUGAGAACCUUAAUGAGUCUCAGAUCAUGCUCACUGGCACCUCUCACGCAACAUCAGUCGGAUCAAGUGAUGGAGGGCUUAGCCAGUGAUAUCUAACAAACACGCAAGCUGAGGCGGCCACUGAAUCUUCUAUCAAACGAUGUGGUUCCUAGCUUCUGAAAAAUUUGGCUUACCAGAGGCGCAAGAAACUGAGGCUACCAUCACCCCCCGUCCAGCUUCACCAACUAUGCCGCUCCGUCCAACUUCACCAGUUGUGCCCCCCCCCAGCCCAUCGCAAAAGCCGUCUUCCCCAAAUGCACCGUCAACAGCUGAAACUCAUUUAGCUAUGAAGAAAGUUGUGGUCUAGGAGCUUGGUAUACAUGUGGCUGAAAAGGGAACUGGUGUCGCCGUCCCACUAUCCACCAUGCGGAAGGAGGCUCCAUGCAGGUGAAUGAUUUUUCCAUGGUUUUUAAUUAAUGUUGUGCAUGAUACAACAUGGUAAAUCCAGUUGUUUGAGUAUGGUAGUUUGGGUAGUUUCAUCCCGAUAAUUAGCUUGGUCAUAUUUUUUUAGCAACUUCUCUCCUCUCUUUUUUCUGUUCUAAUUAACCUUGUUUUCCCUUGCAGGGCACCUGGCAAACAAGCUGCUGCUGCUAAGGAUUCAGAGAUUGCACCAGUAAAAAUGUAUUCACAUUCUUUUCUACGCCUCUUACUUUCGUUUAUGUUCAAUAGUUCUUUGUUGUUUUUGUAUACUAUUUUCAUGUGCACUGAAACUAUAGUUAGGUUUUACACCUACCAACAUGCUGGUAAUUUUGUUCUUUUUGUCUGAUAACUUAUUUGAUGAACAUUGCUAACUCAAUUAUGCCUCCCUGAUAAUUUACACUUACCAAUCUUGGUAAUUGUUUGUGCUUGUAACAUUUGGUUAUUUUUUUCAUGCAGUGCACCUAUGAAACGAGUUGCUGCUGCUAAGGCUUCGCCAAGUGUAUCAGGAAAAAAGUAUUUACAUACCUUUAUUGUUUACAUUUUCCCCGUACAUUCUUAUUCAUUGCACCAAGUUAUUUUCUGUUUAUAGUUAUACAAAACAAAAUGCUGGUUUUUUUGCUCAUAUCAUUUGAUAACUUUAUAUUGCUAGUCCUUGAUAACUUUGUAAUUUUUUUUCCUGGAAGUUAUUUACACCUGAACUAUGUGACAACUUUUUGUGUUGGUAACAUGUGGUAACUUAAGUUUAACAACAUGUGUAAUCUCAGUACUACUCUUGUGUACCCAUAUUUCAGACGUUCAAAAGAUAAAACUGCUGUGAAAAAUGUGCAAUUCACCAAUACCAGAUCUUCUCCACGACUAAGGGCAGCAUUGUCGCACACAAUAGAAGUUAUCCAUCUUGAUGAAUCGCCCACGGCGACAUCUCCAUCUGCGGUCAAAGUACUUGAUGCGACGGGUGCUUCGUUAGCUUUUGAUAAGGCAACAGCUAGCAACAUCUAGCUUGGGCGCAUCUGAUGCUGUUGCGGCGACAUCCGCUGGUGUUUCUGCUAACCCUGUAGUUCAGCUCGCUGUAGCGGCCAUUGUUACUGCCGUUGUUGAAGAUAUCGCCAGUGCGGCUGAGGCUGUUGAAGGUGAAGAUGAAGUCGUUGCCAAUGUAGGGCAUGAUAAAGGUGAAUCUAUGGGUUAUUUAUGUCUCCCAUCACCUUUUUUCUUGUAUGUAGUGAUGAUUUAUGUUGACGAUGUGUUCACUCUUUUCCCGCUGCAGCCGUUUGAUACGUCUCCAACGUAUCUAUAAGUUUUGAUUGUUCCAUGCUAUUAUAUAUUCUGUUUUGGAUGUUUAAUGGCCUUAUUUAUACACUUUUAUAUUAUUUUUGGGACUAACCUAUUAACCGAAGGCCCGACCUAAAUUGUUGUUUUUGCCUAUUUCAGUGUUUCACAGAAAAAGAAUAUCAAACGGAAUGAAACCUUUGGGAGUGUGAUUUUUGGAACAAAUGUGAUCCAGAGGACUUGGAGUGGACAUCAAGCAACCAAUGAGGAAGCCACGAGGCAGCGGACGCGCCUACCCCCCUGGGCGCGCCCUCCACCCUCGUGGGCCCCUCGUGGCUCCACCGACCUACUUCUUCCUCCUAUAUAUACCUACGUACCCUAAAAACAUCAGAGAGCACCACGAAAACCUAAUUCCACCACCGCAACCUUCUGUAUCUAUGAGAUCCCAUCUUGGGGCCUUUUCCAGCGCUCUGCCGGAGGGGGCAUUUAUCAUGGAGGGCUUCUACAUCAACACCAUAGCCUCUCCGAUGAUAUGUGAGUAGUUUACCUCAAACCUUCGGGUCCAUAGUUAUUAGCUAAAUGGCUUCUUCUCUCUCUUUGGAUCUCAAUACAAAGUUCUCCUCGAUUCUCUUGGAGAUCUAUUCGAUGUAAUCUUCUUUUGCGGUGUGUUUGUCGAGAUCCGAUGAAUUGUGGGUUUAUGAUCAAGAUUAUCUAUGAACAAUAUUUGAAUCUUCUCCGAAUUCUUUUAUGUAUGAUUGGUUAUCUUUGCAAGUCUCUUCGAAUUUUUAGUUUGGUUUGGCCUACUAGAUUGAUCUUUCUUGCAAUGGGAGAAGUGCUUAGCUUUGGGUUCAAUCUUGCGGUGUCCUUUCCCAGUGACAGUAAGGGCAGCAAGGCACAUAUUGUAUUGUUGCCAUCGAUGAUAACAAGAUGGGGUUUAUAUCAUAUUGCAUGAGUUUAUCCCUCUACAUCAUGUCAUCUUGCUUAAAGCGUUACUCUGUUCUUAUGAACUUAAUACUCUAGAUGCAUGCUGGAUAGCGGUCGAUGUGUGGAGUAAUAGUAGUAGAUGCAGGCAGGAGUCGGUCUACUUGUCACGGACGUGAUGCCUAUAUACAUGAUCAUACCUAGAUAUUCUCAUAACUAUGCUCAAUUCUAUCAAUUGAUCGACAUUAAUUUGUUCACCAACCGUAAUACUUAUGCUAUCUUGAGAGAAGCCACUAGUGAAACCUAUGGCCCCCGGGUCUAUUUUCCAUCAUACAAUUUUCCAAUCUAUUUUAUUUUGCAAUCUUUACUUUCAAUUUAUAUCAUAAAAAUACCAAAAAUAUUUAUCUUAUUAUUAUUAUUAUUAUCUCUAUCAGAUCUCACUCUUGCAAGUGGUCGUGAAGGGAUUGACAACCCCUUUAUCGUGUUGGUUGCGAGGUUCUUAUUUGUUUGUGUAGGUACGAGGUGACUCGCGCGUGGUCUCCUACUGGAUUGAUACCUUGGUUCUCAAAAACUGAGGGAAAUACUUAUGCUGCUUUGCUGCAUCACCCUUUCCUCUUCAAGGGAAAACCAACGCAUGCUCAAGAGGUAGAAGAAGCAUUUCUGGCGCCGUUGCCGGGGAGAUCUACGCCAAGUCAAGACAUACCAAGUACCCAUCACAACUCUUACCCUUCGCAUUACAUUAUUUGCCAUUUUCCUCUCGUUUUCCUCUCCCCCACUUCACCCUUGCCAUUUUAUUCUCCCUCUUUUCCUUUCGCCCUCUCUUUUUGUUCGCUUUUUCUUUGCUUGUUUGCUUGUGUGUUGGGUUGCUUGCUUGUCACGAUGGCUCAAGAUAAUACUAAAUUCGUGUGACUUUGCCAAUACCAACAAUAAUGAUUUUAUUAGCACUCCAAUUGCUCCUCUUACCAAUGUUGAAUCUUGUUAAAUUAAUACUGCUUUGCUGAAUCUUGUCAUGAAAGAUCCAUUUUCUGGCCUUCCUAGUGAAGAUGCUGCUACCCAUCUAAACAACUUUGUUGAUUUGUGUGACAUGCAAAAGAAGAAAGAUGUGGAUAAUGAUAUUGUUAAACUUAAGCUAGUUCCGUUUUCGCUUAGAGAUCAUGCUAAAGCUUGGUUUUCGUCUUUGCCUAAAAAUAGUAUUGAUUCAUGGAAUAAGUGCAAAGAUGCUUUUAUCUCUAAGUAUUUUCCUCCCUCUAAGAUCAUCUCUCUUAGAAAUGAUAUUAUGAAUUUUAAGCAACUUGAUCAUGAGCAUGUUGCACAAUCUUGGGAGAGGAUGAAAUUAAUGAUACGUAAUUGCCCAACACAUGGUUUGAAUUUAUGGAUGAUUAUACAAAAAGUUUAUGCCGGAUUGAAUUUUGCUUCUAGAAAUCUUUUAGAUUCGUCCGCGGGAGGCAUGUUUAUGGAAAUCACUUUAGGAGAAGCUACCAAACUCCUAGAUAAUAUUAUGGUUAAUUAUUCUCAAUGACAUAUUGAAAGAUCUACUAAUAAAAGGGUGCAUGUCGGUGUCAAAACCGGCGGAUCUCGGGUACGGGGUCCCGAACUGUGCAUCUAAGGCGGAUGGUAACAGGAGGCAUGGGACACAAUGUUUUACCCAGGUUCGGGCCCUCUUGAUGGAGGUAAAACCCUACGUCCUACUUGAUUAAUAUUGAUGAUAUGGGUAGUACAAGAGUAGAUCUACCACGAGAUCAGAGAGGCUAAACCCUAGAAGCUAGCCUAUGGUAUGAUUGUAUAUUGUCCUACAGACUAAACCCUCUGGUUUAUAUAGACACCACAGGGGGAUAGGGUUACACAAGGUCGGUUACAAAGGAGGAGAUAUACAUAUCCGUACUGCCUAGCUUGCCUUCCACACCAAGUAGAGUCCCAUCCGGACACGGGACGAAGUCUUCAAUCUUGUAUCUUCAUAGUCCAACAGUCCGGUCAAAGGAUAUAGGCCGGCUGUCCGGAGACCCCCUAAUCCAGGACUCCCUCAGUAGCCCCCGAACCAGGCUUCAAUGACGAUAAGUCCGGCGCGCAAUUUGUCUUUGGCAUUGCAAGGAGGAUUCUUCUUCGAUCUUCAAGUGUGCGUAAGUAGUGUCUGGCUCCAUAAAUGUUGAACAUCUUGGCUUCUGUGCCCAGUAAGGGCUAUCUCCCACGUGUCGAAUGAAUACGAGGCACCAGAGUGUUUUUUACAUUCGCCCCCAGCCAAAUAAAUAAAUUGUCUAUUAAAGGGAUAGGGAUUCUUAGAUCCGAUCUACACCUUCCUCCCCUCAGCGAGAAUCCAUCAGAGCGUGUUUCAGAAAGAUCCAUUCCAGCAUGGCCGACCUCCGCAGCUCCUCCUCCCGCCCCCAUAGCCCUAAGCUUGGCGAUUGGGAGAGGUGUUCAGUCCCACAUAGUCGAUUGGUCGAACUGCAGACCAAAGGAUUUCUUCCUCCAGCAUACAUGGUGCCCGUUCGAGCCGGGCUCGCCACCUACAAUGGCGGGGAGCAGGCGGAGAACUUUCCCUGUCCCUCCAUGGGGGAACGGGUUUGCCUUGUUCCUUACUUACUAAGGGGACUCGGAUUUCCAAUUGAUCCGUUCCUUCGCGGGCUCCUGGAGUUCUACGGCCUCCAACUACACAAUCUCACCCCUGCCUCCAUCCUACACAUCGCUGGCUACGUUGCCGUCUGCGAGUUGUUCCUGGGCUGCGAGGCUCACUUCAAGCUGUGGAAAAGGCUAUUUUGCCUUGUUCAUCGCACACAGAGGGAAUCACUUUAUCAAGUGGGCGGAGCCGAAGUAUGGUGCAUCGCCGAUACCGGAUAUCUGUCCGGUACCCCGAAGAAGCCGUCCAAAGACUGGCCUUCAGAAUGGUUUUAUAUGGAGGACGUUCCCCUUCCGGACCCUGUUCGGCGGGGUCUUCCUGAGUUCAGCAAUGCUCCUCUGAAGAAGCGCCGAAGUUGGCGCCCACCGGAGCCCCCAGGUGGAAGACGACAGAGAAGUCCUCUAUCUGAUGAACCGGAUUAAGGCACUGGCUCAGUCAGGAUUGACAAUAAUCGAAGUUAUGUCGAUUUGCAUAAUGCGGGGAGUGCAACCACUUCAAUAUCGUGGGCACCCCUUGUGGUGUUUCAACGGGGAGGAUUACGCCACCCGCUACGGGCGUAAGGGUCCGGGCGAUGCUGCCGCAUUAGCCAAAAUUCUAUCCGAACUGUUCAAGGGAGAGGAGGAGGAGUUCACCCGCAUCAAGCCACGGGAUGGAUUCUCCAUGUACAAUCCUCCAAGAUGGGUAAGCUAUAUCCCCUUAUUUCCAUCUUCCCGUGUUUUCCAUUGUAGGUAUUCACCUUGCCAAUUUACGGCAGGAACUGCGAAAGGCCAUAAAGGAGGUCCGCGGCCCUUCUCCACAACCGGAGGACCCUGACCGAGCCCUUGACUCCGGACUCGAAGAAGAUCCGGUUAUCUCCGUGGAGCUGAUAAACCGGUAGUUCUAUCAGUUGAGCUGCGACGAUGCCAUGGUGGCCAUUAUGGCCGACUAUCCUGGACUGCUCCCUGCAUCGCAUGUAAGAAAAAUCGAAAAGUCCCAACUCAAAAAAGUAGGAUCCCCUUUUGGACACUUCACCCACCAUAUUCACAUGGCCUUUUUUACAGGAAGGCAUUCGGGACGCCCUGCAGCAACGCGCCAACAGGAGGCAUCGAGGCAGGGUAGGCCAAAAAGGAAGGCGGUUAGGACGGCCGGCGCAAAGGUACAACAAACCCCGCUCCGUGGCUGUCGUCUUUUUCAAAAUAUAAUGAUGCCCGUGUUUCUUUAACAGAAAAAACGCUCGCCGGAAUAUGUCCGGCGAUGUCGCCGAUCACGCUUCCACCAGUCGGGCACCAGGACCGGACACGGAGGCAGAAGCCGAUAUGGGGCAGGCGCCAGAUAAUCCCCCUAUAGAGGAUGCGGAUAGGGUAUCUGCUACGAACUCAGAAGUGGAAAGUGCCAUGAAUCAUAAGCGCCACCGGGUCGUACUCCAUGACGCUUGUUUCUCACCAGAGGCGUUUGAUGCCUUUAAUUCUGGAGAGGCGUACCUCCUUGCCGCUCAAGAUGGUCUAGCCAGAGCCACGGAUCAGUAUGUAAAGGAUGUACUGGUGAGUGAAUCGGACGAUUUGUAUGUAUCAGUAUCCCCUGAGACUUGAAAUAGUUAGAAGAACUGAUUUAAGGAUCACCUUUAUUGUGCUGGUUCUUACAGAGAAGAAUACUAGGCUGUCCCAGGAGCUGGAGGAAUGCAAGACCCAACUGCGGGCCGCUAUUGCCGCAUUGCAGGAACAGAAAAAGCCUCCUGCUGGUAACAUUUUAAAAAAUGAUGGUUACCAUAUAGUGCGCGGCAUGGCUGUAAAUCUAACAAUAGAUUUUGCAGAUGAAUCCGGAGAAAAUCCGGAGGACUAGCAUGUUAUGCGGCAGCUAGAAGCUGGCGAACGCGUGAUGACUGAGGUUAGGCGGGAGAAAAACAAUGUCCAAGACGCCAAUAUAAGGCUGAACGUGGAACUAAAAGACGUUCGGAGCCACCUUGCGGACUCCAAGAAGGAGAAUAAGAGGCUUCGACGCGGCAUUUUUAGUAAGUGCUUGAACGAAUCCUUUAAAGGUAUUCGGCGAAGAAGCCGACUAACAGCGUUAUGUCUGUAGGUAUGCCGACGGGUCGUCCCGCGGAGGAAAUGCUUGGGGCUGCAGGUGAUCUUCUGUCCGAGCUGUCACAUCUGCACGAACAAGUUUGGCAGGUGAUGCAGGGUGUUGCCCAGGCCUUGUGGCCGUCCGUCUCCCUGCCAGAGGGUGUUGCGGAGCUUGCGGAGAAGCUCAAAGGAGCGCGGCGGCGCUUCCGAUUAUGGAAGAUAUCAGCCUACCGACAGGGUGCCCGAGAAGCCUGGGCCAUGGUGAAGACGCGGUACACCAAGGCUGACCCAAAUCACAUGGCCGAGGUCGGACCUGUGGGGUCUGACGAAAAAGAGAUUCCCGAUAGCUUAGUUUAUGGGCAAGUAGAAUUAGCCGCAAAGUAUUCCCAACAGGAUUGUAAGCUAGACCGCCUGUUGGAUGGUAUAGAAGAAGAAUUUAGUCAGUCUGCAUGACUAUGUAAUUGAAGUGACAUGUAUAAUGCCUUCUAGCCGGAGUGUAGAUCAUUUGUCGUUGCAGACCUUUUCGCUUCAGCCUCCGGGCCCAAUAGUCCGGAGUGUAUCCGAAUACCCGCUCAGUUAUAUAAGAACAUGGGUAUGCCUAGAGACUAGGUGUAGGGGUCAUUAGUGCUUUAUCAGACAAGUGCCCAACUAGUUAUGUUAUAUUACAUGGGUAGUAAGAAACAUCUUCCAUGGAGAAUAGUUCCGUUAAGGGUUCCUUUCCAUGGGCAAGCAUGCCCUAAAGUGCAUGUCCGGACUGCGAUAGGAAACGCAGGAAAAACAUCUGGGGGCAGAUAUGAAAAAUAAAAAAAUCAUCUUUUGUUCACCGACCGAAUAUUCCCUUAAGAACGCUAGCUUUCGGCUCCACCCAGUCUGAGGUACACAUCCGGCUGACCCGGCAGUAACAAUCGCAGAGGUGCUCCCCUUAUGCCCUAGCCGAAUUAACGGGAACGUAGGGCAUAAAUACAAGAGCCAGACAACCCAGCUUGGCCAAAACUUAAGUCAUAUCGAUGCAUAUAAUGGCGAAAAAAGGUACCUGCGGAAGUAUAACACAUGUGUUGGGCCUGAAGCCCGGAUAAAUAAUUUGAGCUUCUGUGAAAGAAGCCCCCAUGUAUGAAGAGUGCGGCUAGCGCAUCUGUCAUGUGCGAACAAGGCACAAGGUGACCCUUGAAGGCCUAGAGAAAUGAGCAAAGAAAGAAAGGAAAACAAGACAGAUAAUGCAUUUGUGAAAAAUGGAUGAAGGGAGGGGACUAACAUAGAGUCCGGCGCUAGGCGUAGAAUCUUCGGAGCCUGGCCGUGUUCCAUGGGUUUGGCUCGAGUCGACUAGUCGAUGCAUCCCGCAGUCGGUACGCUCACCGGUCAGAACUUGGUCAAUAAUGAAGGGACCUUCCCAUUUGGGUUCGAGCUUGUUCUUUUUCUUAUCCGGUAGGCGUAGAACUAGUUCGCCAACGUUAUAAGUUUUGGCCCGUACUUCUCUGCUUUGGUAUCUGCGAGCCUGUUGCUGAUAAAAUGCGGAACGGGCUUUGGCUACGUCGCACUCUUCCUCCAAGGUGUCCAGACUGUCCUGCCGAUCGAGCUGGGCUUCUCUUUCUUCGUACAUGCGCACUCUAGGUGAGUCAUGAAUUAUGUCACAGGGCAAGACUGCCUAUGCGCCGUACACCAUAAAGAAAUGUGUAUAUCCGGUACUACGAUUCGGCAUGGUCCGCAACCCCUAGAGUACGGAGUCGAGCUCCUCUACCCAGUGAGUGUUAGACUCCGUUAAGGAACGCACUAAUCUAGGUUUAAUGCCGCCCAUUAUAAGACCGUUUGCUCGCUCGACUUGACCAUUGGUUUGUGGGUGAUAGACUAAGGCAUAAUCGAGCUUGAUGCCCAUUUUGCUGCACCAGAGUUUUACCUCGUCGGCCGUGAAGUUCGUGCCAUUAUCAGUGAUGAUGUUGUGGGGGACGCCAUAACGGUGUAUAACCCCGGAUAUGAAAUCUAUCACCGGUCCAGAUUCGGCUAUUUUAACUGGUUUGGCCUCUAUCCAUUUGGUGAAUUUAUCCACCAUGACCAAUAAGUAUUUUUUCUUGUGGGUUCCCUCUUUAAGGGGUCCAACCAUGUCGAGCCCCCAGACCGCAAAGGGCCAUGUAAUGGGGAUUGUUUGGAGGGCGGUGGGUGGCAUGUGGCUUUGAUUUGCAAAGAGUUGGCAACCGGCGCAACGUUGGACCAAGUCCUGUGCAUUUGCCCGGGCCGUUAGCCAAUAGAAUCCUGUAUGGAAGGCCUUGCUUACAAGAGCUCGGGCUACGGCGUGAUGACCGCCGAGUCCGGCGUGAAUUUUUGCCAAAAGAUUCCGCCCUUCCUCUUCGGAGAUGCACCUUUGAAGGACUCCGGUAGUGCUUUUCUUGUACAAUUCUCCCUCAUGGACCCUGUAGGCCUUGGAUCGCCGCACUAUGCAGCGUGCCUCAUUUUGGUUCUCCGGAAGUUCCUGUCUAGUUAGGUAGGCCAGGAAUGGUUCUAUCCACGGGGCAAUAAUGACCAUUAUUUCAUGGGCUGAAGGUGUUAUUUCGGUGGCGGAGCCUCCGAUUGUGUCAGAGAGUUCGGUAUCGGGUAGUUUGGCCGGGUCCAGAUUGUUGUUACCGGUGUCCCCUUCCCAUACUACGGAUGGCUUGAAAAGCCUUUCCAAAAAUAUGUUGGGAGAGACCGCGUCGCGUUUUGCGCCGAUGCGGGCGAGGAUAUCCGCUGCCUGAUUGUUUUCCCGAGCCACAUGGUGAAAUUCGAGUCCCUCGAACUGAGCUGACAUUUUUAGGACGGCGUUUCGAUAGGCCACCAUUUUCGGAUCCUUGGCGUCAAAAUCUCUGUUUAUUUGGGAUAUUGCGAGGUUCGAAUCCCCACGCACCUCUAGGCGUUGAAUGCCCAUGGAGACUGCCAUCCGAAGACCAUGCAAUAGAGCUUCGUAUUCGGCUGCAUUGUUGGAGUCUGUAUACAAUAUUUGCAGUAUGUACCGAACGGUAUCUCCGAUUGGGGACGUCAGGACGACGCCAACCCCUAGACCGGCCAACAUUUUAGAACCGUCGAAGUGCAUGAUCCAAUUGGAGUAUGCGAUGUACUCUUUAGGGAGUUCGGCUUCCGUCCAUUCGGCGACGAAGUCGGCCAAUACUUGCGAUUUGAUGGCUCGUCGAGGUUUGUAUGUUAUGUCGAAUGGGAGGAGCUCAAUGGUCCAUUUGGCAAUCCGGCCCGGAGUGUCGCGGUUGUUUAUAAUAUCAUUAAGUGGCACUUCCGAGGCUACUGUAAUCGAACACUCUUGAAAAUAGUGUCGCAGUUUCCGCUAUGCCAUGAAUACCUCGUAUGCUAUCUUUUGGUAAUGCGGGUACCGUGAUUUGCAUGGAGUGAGGACAGUGGAUACAUAGUAUACUGACUUUUGAAGAGGGAAUUUGUCUCCAUUCUCUUCCCAUUCGACAACGAGCACCGCGCUUACAACUUGAUGAGUUGCCGCAAUGUAUAACAGCAUUGGUUCGCCGAUGUUUGGUGCGGCCAGGAUUGGGUUGGUUGCCAAAGUGGCCUUUAUUUCUUCCAAUCCGGCUGUGGCCGCGUCCGUCCACUCGAAGUGUUCGGUGCGCCAAAGGAGGCGAUAGAGGGGUAAAGCCUUUUCUCCUAAGAGGGAGAUAAAGGGGCUUAGAGCUGCCACGCAUCCAGUUAACUUCUGGAUUUGUUUGAGGUCUGUUGGGGUAGCCAACUGUGACAAUGCUCGGAUUUUGGCUGGAUUAGCUUCAAUACCUCUACUAGAGACAAUGAAUCCCAGGAGCUUUCUGGCUGGUACACCGAAAACGCAUUUUUCCGGAUUGAUCUUGAUGUCGUAUGUUCGGAGGUUGUCAAAUGUGAGCCUCAAGUCGUCUAUCAAAGAGUCAACGUGUUUGGUUUUGAUGACCACAUCGUCUAUGUAUGCCUCUACUGUUUUGCCAAUUUGUUUCUCUAGGCAUGUCUGAAUCAUGCGCUGAUAUGUUGCGCCGGCAUUUUUGAGCCCAAAAGGCAUUGUGUUGAAACAGAAGGGACCGUAUGGUGUGAUGAAUGCCGUUGCGGCUUGGUUGGACUCCGCCAUCUUAAUUUGGUGGUAACCGGAGUAUGUGUCGAGGAAACACAAUGACUCGUGUCCUGCAUUAGCAUCAAUAAUUUGAUCGAUGCAUGGGAGGGGGAAGGGAUCCUUUGGGCAAGCUUUAUUGAGGUCUUUGAAAUCGACACAAAGGCGCUAGGAUUUGUCCUUCUUUGGUACCAUCACCAGGUUUGCUAGCCAGUCCGGAUAUUUUAUUUUGCUGAUGAAUCCGGCCUCCAAUAACUUGGCUAGUUAUUCUCCCAUGGCCUAUCUCUUAGGUUCGGAGAAACGCCGAAGAGCUUGCUUGACCGGCUUAAAUCCCUUUAGGAUAUUGAGGCUAUGCUCGGCCAGCCUGCGUGGGAUUCCUGGCAUGUUUGAGGGAUGCCAGGCGAAUAUGUCCCAGUUCUUGCGCAGGAACUCUCGUAGUGCGGCGUCCACAGCGGGGUUUAACUGUGCCCCGAUGGAGGCUGUUUUUGUAGGGUCCAUUGGGUGGACUUGGAAUUUGACUAUUUCAUCCGCUGGUUUAAAAGAGGUGGACUUGGAUUUCUUGUCGAGUAUUACGUCGUCCCUGUCCACUGUGGAGCGUAGCGUGGUUAAUUCCUCGGCCAAGAGGGCUUUGGAUAAUGCCUCGAGGGCCAAAGCGGCUGUUUUGUUUUCGGCGCGGAGUGUUGUAUCCGGAUCACUGGCGAGAGUGAUGAUUCCGUUGGGCCCGGGCAUUUUAAGCUUCAUGUACCUGUAAUGGGCUACGGCUUGGAAGAUCGUAAAUGCCUCCUAUCCUAAAAGAGCGUGAUAGCCACUGCUGAAUGGGGCCACUUGGAAUGUAAUUUCUUUGGACCUGUAAUUGUCCGGCGUGCCGAAUACCACAUCUAGUGUGAUUUCCCAGUACAGCAUGCUUCCCGGCUAGGGAUAAUUCCUCUAAAGGUUGUACUACUUUGCUCGAUGCGGUUCCAGUCUAUUUCCAUCUUUUGAAGAGUUUCCUCAUAGAUGAGGUUUAGUCCGCUGUCGCCGUCCAUGAGUACUUUAGUGAGUCGAAAGCCGUCCACGAUUGGACUGAGGACCAGUGCGGUUGGUGCUCAGGCUGUUUGGAAUUUAGGUUCAUCACUGGCAUUGAAGGUAAUAGCCGUGUCACUCCAUGGAUUUAUUGCUGCUACGUGGCAGAUUUCGGCCAUGCCGCGGAGUGUUCACUUGCGCCUAUUAUUUGACGCGAAGGUCUCAAACACUGUUAACACCGUAUUGCUAUCCAAGGGAUGGUGGUCUGUGGUAUUUGGGAUAAGAAGAUCCUCACCACUUUUGGCCACCUGCCAGAGUAUCCAACAUGCUCUAAGGCUGUGCGUUGGUAUUGUAUCCGCUGUGCUAUGAAUUUUGCAGGGUCCGUUGAGCUAUCCCUCCAGUACGGUUCCAUGCACUGUAGAGGGUUUUUACUUUUUGGUAGUUGACCCGGGUGUAUUGUGAUAAUUCACCCUUUUAGUUUGGACUGGGUUUGUAUUCAGGGCCGGAUUAUCCCAAAAGUUUGUUUCGGUUUUCUAGGCACUUUCCAUCACACAGUACUUUCGUACUAUGGACGCCAAAUCAGCGAAGCGUGUUAUCUUACAGCGAUUUAUGGAGUUAAGGAUUCCCUUGUCCAUGCAAUUACUGCAGAAAAAUGAGAUUGCGUCUUCCUCACGACAGUCCUUAACCUUGUUCAUUGCAAGGAGGAAUCUGGCCCAAUAGUGAUGUACUGUUUCCUGGGGCUCUUGCCUGAUGUGGUAAAGAUCGCUUAUGUUUGGGUGGGUGGGUGGAAUUGAAUCCGAACCCACUCCCGAUCUGGGAUCCAGGGGCCGAGGAGUUUCCAAUUUUGGAAGUUCCGGUUCCGGGGUGUUACCCGAUAAUCCUGGUCCGCUGCGUGACUCAAGGUUCAGGGAUUGGAUGUUGUCCUCCCGCGAACGGGCGUCCGGCUCGGAGAGCUCGGGAAUCCAGACAUAAUUGGUCCUCAGAAUAGACGAAAGGUCGCCGCGUUGUUCCUCCACCACUGCAAUAUGAUGGGUAAUCAGUGGAGAGUUAAUCUCCCUUCGAUCGGGUUUAACCCCAAUCCGAUCAUAGUCUGUAGCGACUCCCAAGGCGGCGAUGUGAUCCAAGAGCUCGUUUAAGGAGGCAAGCUCCAUUGGAUCCAUCUGUUCGGCGAGUGCCGAUUUGACGUGGAGGUUGUUUUCGAUGACCCCAAAAGUCAUCAUCGGCGCGACGGCCAAACAAGCGGUCAUGAUGAACCCGCCUAGCCAGAGAGUUUGGCCGACAGCCAAAGCUCCCCCGACAGAAAUAUCGUUUUUUAGGACGAGACAAGACAUCCUUCCUUCUGGCAACGGCACAGAGGAACUCUCAAUGAAAGCACCAAUGUCGGUGUCAAAACCGGCGGAUCUUGGGUAGGGGGUCCCGAACUAUACGUCUAAGGCGGAUGGUAACAGGAGGCAGGGGACACAAUGUUUUACCCAGGUUCGGGCCCUCUUGAUGGAGGUAAAACCCUACGCCCUGCUUGAUUAAUAUUGAUGAUAUGGGUAGUACAAGAGUAGAUCUACCACAAGAUCAGAGAGGCUAAACCCUAGAAGCUAGCCUAUGGUAUGAUUGUAUAUUGUCCUACGAACUAAACCCUCUAGUUUAUAUAGACACCGGAGGGGGCUAGGGUUACACAAGGUCGGUUACAAAGGAGGAGAUAUACAUAUCCGUACUGCCUAACUUGCCUUCCACGCCAAGUAGAGUCCCAUCCGGACACAGGACGAAGUCUUCAAUCUUGUAUCUUCAUAGUCCAACAGUCCGGACAAAGGAUAUAGUCCGGCUGUCCGGAGACCCCCUAAUCCAGGACUCCCUCAGUGCAUGCUAUAGAAGAAAUAAAUGUUUUGAGUGGAAAGAUGGAUGAGCUUAUGAAAUUGUUUGCUAAUAAGAGUGUUUCUUCUGAUCCUAAUGAUAUGCCUUUGUCUACCUUGAUUGAUAAUAAUAAUGAAUCUAUGGAUGUGAAUUUUAUUGGUAGGAACAAUUUUGGUAAUAACACAUAUAGAGGUAAUUUUAAUCCUAGGCCGUUUCCUAGUAAUUCCUCUAAUAAUUAUGGUAAUUCCUACAACAAUUCAUAUGUAAAUUAUAAUAAUAUGCCCUCUGAUUUUGAAUCUAAUAUUAAAGAAUUUAUUAGUUCGCAAAAGAGUUUCAAUGCUUUGAUUGAAGAAAAAUUGUCUAAGAUUGAUGAGUUGGCUAGGAACGUGUAGAAUUUCCCUUGAUGUUGAUUCUUUGAAACUUAGAUCUAUUCAACCUAAGCAUGAUAUCAAUGAGUCUCUCAAAGCUAUGAGAAUUUCCAUUGAUGAGUGCAAAGAAAGAACCGCUAGGAUGCAUGCUAAAAAGAUUACUUUGUGAAAGCGUGUUCUUCUAGUUUCCAUGAUAAUAAUGAUGAAGAUCUAAAAGUUAUUGAUGUGUCCCUAUUAAAUAUUUGUUUAGCAAUAUGAAUCUUGAUAAUGAUGGGACUGGAGAUGAGUCAACUUUAGUUAGAAGGCGUCCCAAUGAUUCAGAGUUUUUAGAUCUUGAUGCAAAAAUUGAUAAAAGUGGGAUUGGAGAGGUCAAAACUUUAAAUAGCAAUGAACCCACUAUCUUGGAUUUCAAGGAAUUUAAUUAUGAUAAUUGCUCUUUGAUAUAUUGUAUUUCCUUGUUGCAAUCCGUGCUAAAUUCUCCUCAUGCUUAUAGUCAAAAUAAAGCUUUUACUAAACAUAUCAUUGAUGCUUCUUACGAAGAAAAACUUGAGUUGGAAGUUUCUAUCCCUAGAAAACUUUAUGAUGAGUGGGAACCUACAAUUAAAAUUAAAAUUAAAGAUCAUGAAUGAUAUGCUUUGUGUGAUUUGGGUACUAGUGUUUCCACGAGCCCAAAAACUUUGUGUGAUUUGCUAGGUUUCCGUGAAUUUGAUGAUUGUUCUUUAAACUUGCACCUUGCGGAUUCCACUAUUAAGAAACCUAUGAGAAAAUUAAUGAUGUUCUUAUUGUUGCAAAUAGGAAUUAUGUGCCCAUAGAUUUCAUUGUUCUUGAUAUAGAUUGCAAUCCUUCAUGUCCUAUUAUUCUUGGUAGAACUUUCCUUAGAACGAUUGGUGCAAUUAUUGAUAUGAAGGAAGGGAAUAUUAGAUUCCAAUUUCCGUUAAGGAAAGGCAUGGAACACUUCCUGUUGGGGAUAUUACUACUGGACGUAAACUGGCCAGGAGUAGCCGGGUUAACUUUAUGAAGAUUAGAAGCCCAUAAGAAUGAUGGUGCUUUGUGAAGGCCCAAGGCCCAAAGGCGAGUUAACACUUGUAGAUGUAAACCGACCUAAUUAUGCAACUUGCAUUGUAAGAUAGGAAGUAUAAAGACUGAACUGGACGCCUUUAUGAUCCGGCUUCGAGACUCUGUAAACUGGCGGGCAUCAACCUAUGUAUAUAAACGGACGACCCGACAGCGGUUUAGGCACGACGGACAAUAACUCGAGAGCCAGACAAAGCGGAUUCACUCCCUGGUCUUCGGAACCCUAGCAAUACCAAUCACAACUAGACGUAGGCUUUUACCUUCAUCGAAGGGGCCGAACUAGUAUAAACUCCCCGUGUCCCCUUGUCUGGUUUAACCCCUUUAAGCUAACCCAUUGCGAUGGCUCCACGACUAAGUCCUUUCACAAGGACAUCUGCCAUGACAAACCCACGACAGUUGGCGCCCACCAUGGGGCUGUCGCACGAUGGUUUCGAGUUCUUAAAGGGUAGCUUUGAUGGACUCAAGGGAAAAGCUGUGGGCCGGAUGACAAAGAGUCGUCGUGGCAAGCUCUACAUCGACAACGCAGGAUGGGGCCCCGAGGCCGAUUCAAUCUAAUACGGGUACCGGGUCCCCUUUGGUGGGAUUCACGUCUUCAUCGGCAAGAUUGGCGAACCGGGCCCUGAGCCGGACACCUGCACCGACAUCAUCGAGAUGGCUCAGCGUGCAAGCCCUUCCCCGGUUCAGCCCGUGGCGAAGCAUGUCUUCGUAGGUGUCAUCCAUGGAGCAGGAUACAAGGACGGACCGGCAUCCAAUGGAGAAACCGUUGUCUGUUCCGACGAUGAGUCUUAUGGAGAGACCGAAUCACUCUAUCAGUUGCAGGAUGGCCGGAUUAGUGGAGGUUCCGAGGGCAACAGUAUUCCGAACUCUCCAGAUCCGCCAAACCGGGCCGCUAUCUUCAUGACCGGUACACAGUCAGUGCCUCACUCAUCAACUGCCGCAGCAAUACUCUCCGGUUCAACAACAACCACGCCAAUGGGGGCAGGAAGCUCUGCGCUGCCGCCGGCUCAAGUCAUGUCUGACUUGUUCGACACUUUGGCAACAUUGAUGGCCGCAGAGGUGGAUGCAGCAGCACGGGAUCAGCGCAACACGGAGAUUGCAAAGGUGUAAGAUCAGAUAGCUCAGGCUAAAGCGGACCUAGCGGCCGAGAACGCUAGGAUGGCUACAGAGCGGGCCAAGUUGGAAGCUCAGGCCUACCGGAUUAGGCUGGAUCAGAACGCUUCCGAAGAAGUCAUGAGAAGAAGAUACCGAUCGCAUCUCCCGUCAGGUUAUGAGCCACGAAAUCUCUUCAAUACGCCAGGAGCAGGAACUAGUAACCAACCAAUAUUAAAUCGGAUGGAGGCACCAGGAACAGGAGCGUCGGUUCAGCCGCGCACGAUGGACCUGCCUCGUCAGAACAAUAUUGUGCCACAAUAUGUUCCAACACCUCCUGGGCAUUACUCCAACCCGUUGGACAACAUUGUGGUUGCCGCUUCACGGUUAGCAGCCCUCUCAACCGACAGCGAAUCACCAGUUGCGGUUGAAGCACGACGGGCCAGAGAUCUCCUUCAAACAGCUCUAAACCAGCAGCAGGCAUAUUCGCACAAUCAUGAGAGGAUUCAUUCCACCCCCCGUCCAAGCCGGAGCUACAGCAGGCACGUUGAGGAUGAACCGGUCGUGUCAAGUAGUGCACGUCGCAGUAACUCGCCGCGAGGACAAAACCUGGCAGGGGGAGGUGCCAAUGCGCAGGAUGUGGUGGAUCAUGGUCGCGCACGUCGGGAGGCCGAGUUAGCAGCUCUGCACGGAGCCCGUCAACCUACUCUGGUUCACCCCACCGCUUCAGUCGAACCAGGGGUGGUAUUCAGUUCCUUAGGGGUGCCCUGUCUUACCCCCUCUUUGCGUAAUGUGAGACUUCCCAAGGAUUUCAAAGGACCUCAUAAGGUACCCAAUUACACCGCCGAUCUGCAACCAGAGGCGUGGGUUGAAAGCUACAAGAUGGAAAUGGAGAUGUUGGAUGUGGAUGAAGCAGUAUGUGCUAAAUACUUCACCAUGAUGUUGGAAGGAACAACUCGUACUUGGUUGAAGAGCUUACCAACUAACUCUGUCAGAUCAUGGGCCGAAUUGAAGCACCGGUUUAUCCAGAACGUCAAAGAUACUUGUAAGCAUCCCAUGUCAAUUGUGGAUCUGGCCGCUUGUGUCCAAGAGGAUGGGGAGUCCAUGACCCAUUGGGUAAAGCGGGUCUCAGCAAUUUUGCAUUCAUUGGAUUGUAUCAAUGCAGAUACCGCAGUACUAACAUUGGAGGGCAAUUGCCGUUUUUUGCCGCUCAAACAGAAGUUAGGAAGGCUCAAACGUCACUGCAAUGAUAUGUCGACGCUUAUGGCCGCUUUGGUUAAAUACGCCGAUUCGGAUACUACCAAAGACCCUGACUCAGAGGAGGACAAACCGGGGAAAGGGAAAAAGAACGGCAACACCAAGGGGCGGCAGCAUAAUCCGGCAGGCCAUGGCAACAAUGGUAAACGCAAGGCCGACAACAGUUUGGACUUUGUGGCUAACACCAGCGCUCAGAAGAAUGGUCAGCACCGUAAGGGCAAGCAGCACCAGAGAGGCGGCGGUUCAGGCCCCAAUUUUGAGCGCCUGUUAAAUCAACCCUGUCCAAAGCAUGGAUCCAAGGAGAAGCUAGCAUCACAUCUUUGGAAGGAUUGUUAUAUCAUGCGAGAUUUCAAGAACUCCAAUAUGUUUCAGUAUGAUAAUGGCCCGCCCGGCGGUUCAGGAGGUGGUUUCCAUGGGCCGGGUUAUGGAGGUGGCAGUUCCGGUUCAGGAUUUCAGGGCAAUCAAACUAGAUACAAUAAUCAAGGGAAUCAGGGCAACCAGGGAGGUUACAACCAUCAGGGGAGUCAGCAGCAACAGCAGCAGUCGGGUUAUCAGAGCAAUCCUAAGCAGUUAAAUAGUGGGUAGUAUCAUGUCUUCACCACUAGCUUGUGUAAGCGUGAUCAGAAGCUUCACAAGAGGGCAGUAAACUCUGUUGAACCGGCGGUGCCUCAGUAUUUGCGCUGGUCCGAGCAACCUAUUUUGUGGAGUAGAGAGGAUCACCCCCCUGGGUUGACAAUCCGGGUCAUCCGGCUUUAGUGGUGGCCCCUCAAGUUGGGGGAUACAAGUUCACUAAGGUACUCAUGGACGGGGGAAGUAGUAUCAACAUUCUAUAUUAUGAUACCUUCUGCCGUAUGGGGUUGACAGAUAAGAAUCUUAAACCGUCAAAUACCGUUUUCCAUGGUGUGGUGCCUGGUAAGUCUGCAUAUCCAGUGGGCAAGAUAGCCUUAGAGGUGGCUUUUGGAGAUGAUCAUGAUUCAAGAUCAGAAACAUUGACUUUUGAGGUGGUAAAAAUCAAAAGUCCGUAUCACGCUUUGUUCGGACGACCGGCUUAUGCUAAGUUCAUGGCAAGGCCAUGUUAUGUUUAUCUGCAGCUUAAAAUGCCAGGUCAUAAGGGGACCAUCACAGUACACGGGAGCAGGAAGAUCGCUUUGGAAUGUGAGGAAGGUGAUGCGGCUUAUGCUGAGUCGGUUUGUGCCACGGAAGAGUUGAAGUUUUAUAAAGACCAAGUUGAUUCGGCAGAUAUGACCUCUUUGAAAAAGCAAACUACGGAACACGAUCCGGUGUUGAAAUUUAAAUCGGCCACAGAUACUAAGAUGGUUGAUUUUGUUCCUGGCGAUUCAUCCAAGCAGUUCUGCAUCAGCGCUAACCUGGAUCCCAAAUAGGAAAGUGCGCUCAUCGAGUUCAUCCGUGAGAACCGGGACAUCUUUGCAUGGAAACCUUCUGACAUGCCAGGUGUACCGAGGGAACUUGCUAAGCACACACUUAGCAUUGAUCCUAAGUUUAAACCGGUCCGACAGUUUCUCCGUCGCUUCAAUGAUGAAAGGCGCAAGGCUAUUGGUGAAGAGGUAGCUCGGUUGUUGGCCGCAGGGUUUAUCGUGGAGGUCUUUCACCCAGAGUGGUUGGCUAAUCCGGUGCUGGUUCUUAAGGAAAACGGCACUUGGCAUAUGUGUGUAGGUUACACAGACUUGAACAAAGCUUGCCCUGCAGACCCCUUUGCCCUCCCUCGUAUUGAUCAGAUCAUUGAUGCUACGGCGGGUUGUGACCGUUUGUGUUUUCUGGAUGCUUAUUCUGGUUAUCAUUAGAUCAAAAUGGCAGUUAAGGACUAGGAGAAGACAACUUUCAUCACUCCCUUUGGAGCCUUCUGCUAUGUCUCCAUGCCCUUUGGGCUUAAGAGUGCCCAGGCGACUUAUCAAUGCAUAUGUGGAUGAUAUUGUGAUAAAAUCUAGGAAGGAGGAAACAAUGAUAGAUGAUUUGAGAGAAACCUUUGACAACCUCCGGGUUUACAAGAUGAUGCUCAAUCCGGAAAAGUGUGUCUUUGGUGUCCCGGCAGGCAAACUCUUGGGAUUUCUGGUAUCGAACAGAGGCAUUGAGGCUAAUCCGGAAAAAAUCUCAGCAAUUACAUCUUUGGCUAAACCGACGUGUAUCAAUGACGUUCAACAUUUGGCCGGCCGGAUUGCGGCUUUGAGCCGGUUUAUCAGUCGUCUUGGGGAGAAGGCUGUUCCUUUAUAUCAGAUGCUGAAGAAAACAGAUGAUUUUGUCUGGAGCGAGGCGGCUGAUAAAGCGUUUGAGGAUUUGAAGAGGCAGUUAGUUGAACCGCCUAUGCUUGCAGCCCCGAUCGAUAAAGAGCUGUUAUUGCUAUAUGUGGCUGCUAAUGCCCGAGCUGUUAGCGUGGCUAUUGUGGUGGAGCGCAAGGAAGUUGGAAAGGAGUAUCCGGUUCAAUGGCCAAUUUAUUAUAUCAAUGAGGUGCUCAUUGAAUCAAAGCAGAGAGGUAUCCACAUUGGCAGAAGCUGGUAUAUGGAGUGUUUAUGGCAAGCCAGAAGCUUGAACAUUAUUUUCAGGGCCAUCCUAUCACAAUGGUCAGUUCAGCCCCUCUGGGAGAUAUCAUUCAAAACAGAGAAGCAACUGGCCAGAUUGCCAAAUGGGCUAUUGAGCUUGGACCUCACGGGCUCAAAUAUAUACCUCGCACAACGAUCAAAUCCCAAGCACUCGUGGACUUCAUGAAUGAUUGGACGGAGUUGCAGGCACCAGAGGAAAAGCCAGAUAAUACGUAUUGGACUAUUCACUUUGAUGGAUCCAGACAGUUGGAGGGCUCAGGGGCUGGAGUCAUACUAACUUCCCCAAGAGGUGACAAGUUUUGUUAUGUCCUCCGUUUAAUGUUCCCUUGUACUAACAAUGCAGCUGAGUAUGAGGCCUUGCUCCACGGUCUUCAGAUGGCUAAGGAGAUGAACUUAAGCCGGGCCAAGUGCUUUGGGGAUUCAGAUCUGGUGGCUCAACAUGUGUAUGGCACUUGGGAUUCUAAAGACCCACUCAUGGCUGCAUAUCGGCGAGAGGUGGACACAGUGGCUGGUCAGUUCAAGGGUUAUCAGGUGGACCAUAUAGACCGGCGAAAGAACGAAGCGGCGGACGCUUUAAGUCGCCUUGGUUCUCAGCGUAAACUGGUUCCACCAAAUGUCUUUCUUGACGUGUUGCAUAAUCCUCAGUCAAGGUACCAACAGAGGAGGAGUCGGCUAUUCCUGACCCGGAGGCUCAAUUGGUGGCGGCUUUGCAUGUCAUACCGGAUUGGACAAUCCCAUAUCUGGCUUACAUGAACCGGGGCGAGUUACCGGAGGAUGAAACCUUGGCCCGACAGGUAAUCCGGCGUUCCAAGUCCAUGACCAUAAUCAACGGGGAGUUACAUCGUUACAGCGUCUCAGGAGCAAUUCAGCGUUGUGUCUCUCCUCAAGAGGGUUGUGAGAUUUUCCGAGAAAUCCAUGAAGGGGAUUGUGGUCACCACGCCGGUUCAAAGUCUUUGGUUGCUAAAGCUUUUUGCCACGGUUUUUACUGGUUAACAGCUCAUGCUGAUGCGGAGGAUUUGGUCAAAAGAUGUGACGGUUGUCAAAAAUUCGCAUGCCGUGCUCAUAUUCCAGCUCAGGAGUUGAGGAUGAUUCCAAUAACUUGGCCGUUUGUGACUUGGGGGCUUGAUAUGGUUGGACCCUUCAAGCGAUCCAAGGACAAAAAGACCCACUUGUUAGUGGCAGUUGAUAAAUUCACCAAAUGGGUGGAAGCAGAGCCAGUCAGUAAGUGUGAUGCGGCCACGGCGGUUCAAUUCAUCAAAAAGGUGAUAUUCCGGUUUGGCUUUCCACAUAGUAUUAUAACUGAUAAUGGUACUAAUUUGUCAAAGGGAGAGAUGGAGGAAUUUUGCCAACAUGAGCACAUCCGGCUUGAUAUAGCAUCGGUGGCUCACCCCCAGUCUAAUGGUCAAGCGGAGAGGGCAAAUCAAGAAAUUUUACGAGGUAUCAAACCCCGGCUUAUGGUUCCUUUGAAACGGACACCGGGUUUUUGGGUUGAGGAGUUACCUUCUGUGUUAUGGAGCAUCAACACCAUCCGUCACGACUCGCCCCGUGUGACAUCUUAUGUUGAAAUUGAUAAUGAGAAGGCACGUCAGGAUUCCCUGGACCUGUUAGAUGAAGAGCAUGAUCUUCCAGCAGCACGUUCGGCGAUUUAUCAACAAGAUCUCCGACGUUAUCACAGCCGCCGGUUUAAGACCAGAACCUUUCAAGAGGGCGAUUUGGUGCUCCGGCUCAUCCAGGAUCAGACUGAUAUACACAAGUUAUCCCCACCUUGGGAAGGACCCUUUGUGGUCAGCAAGAAUCUGCACAACGGGUCAUACUACCUCAUUGAUGUUCGAGAGCACAAAGACUCACGUAAAUCGGAGGAGGAGACCAAGCGACUGUGGAAUAUAGCUCUUCUUUGGCCUUACUAUACUUGAGCCACAGGCUCUUCAUAUGUACAUAUUUAUGACAAUGUAUAUAUUAUAUAAUAAACCGGAGCCUCGAAUAAAGUGGGGUCUCUGUUCUUUUUUACAUCAUGUGUGUGCCUACAAGAGUUUCUACUGACAAAGCAAAAUUUUGUUAAACCGGUCUCUGCAGCCGCACAGAUACAAAGAGAUAUCACUAGGGGGCUUGGUUGUUGUCACACCAUAGCUACACAUCUUGAUCGAUUUAAACACCACAAAGGGAUUUCGCUAGGGGGCUUGGUUGUUAUCACACCAUAGCUACACCUCUUGAUGGGCGUUAAAGCCACAAAGGAAAUUAUGUGGGGCCAAAGAGAGUGUUGCACAAAGCACAAACUCAAACAUGGGGCACCCACUGAGCACAACUCACAAAGUUACUUGGGGGCUCUUUGUGCAAAGCAACAAAGAGUUUGAAAGGACCCUUGUAAUCGGCUAUCAAGCCACGGCUUGGAAGCCUGGUGUAUUCACCUAAAACCCCGGGUUAACCUGCCUUCAUCAAGUAAGCCACUCCUGUCCAGGUAAUCCUGGUAUGACCCGCCGAAUGUUUGACAAGUCAAUCUUAUACAGACCCUGAACUUGUCAAAGUUAAAACGACGAUUGGUUAAUUGGAGGCCCAUCUUAAAAGGCUUUGUUAAAUGGUUUAACUCAGAGGCCUGGCAGCCCAUGAAAAGCCUUGAUUUGGAGCCUGGCAGCUCGUAAAAAGUCUCGCGUAUUUCUUUUUUGAGUCCUAUUUGCUAAGUUUUUUGCCUUUAUUGAGGUUCAUAAUAUCUUCUGAUAAACCAUUGUCCUUGACCCGGCUUGGCUUUCAACUACAAGUUGUCAGUACAUGAUCAAUUACAAACCGGCAUUCAUUACCCCGGUCUGGUUUGACUAAAUCGCCAGUGCUUUAAAGAAAACUCGGUGGUUAUUAUAUCCCGGUACGGUUUAUUAUCAUAAUCCGGCAAAAUAAGGACGGAGUUAUCAAUGCUCUGGAUUGGUGUUGACACCUUUACCAUACAAGCAGUUGGUCAGCCAACGAGGUAUGUUGCACAUAUUAUUUUUUAUACAAAAACUUUGAUUAUUCAUCUAAGUAUUGUAUAUUUGUUGGGCAUCAUGACCCGUCUAGUGGUAAACCGCUAGGAUACUUUCAAGUUCUUGUAUCCAGGAACACAACUCAUCAUGGGCUAUGCAUAAAUAGAUCCCCAAAAGUGGAACAAGUUUUCACGAAGUGUCACAAAACAUGCUCGAUGGCAUGACAGAUAAAGGAGUUUUGCUAUCCUAUUACAAGAAGCUUCAAAGCGGCUCCAAUUGCAAAAUUGCUUUUUGGCAUUAGCAUACAAUAGAUGGUAAACCGGCUGCCGGUUUACGCUACUUUGUCCGGACAGUUUGAUGGUUGAGGGUCAUUUGGUGCAAUCACUUCUUCUUCAUCCCUCCCCAGACGCUAGAAAUCAACCGUUGACCAAUUGAUUCCGGUUAAAGCUUGAAACAUGGCUUCUUCAUGGAUAAGGCUGGAGGGGUUAAUGUCAGGAGCGUAAGUAUGCUUACAGAUUGGAGGCACAAGUUCUUCGACUUCAUGGAUUUCCGCAGGCUGUCUCUUCUCUUCAAUGUCGUAAGCCGACUAGAAAUGAGAUAAGUCUGUGUCUUCUGCCAGUUUGCUGGCUAUUGGCCGCAUUUCCUUUGUCAAUCUUCGGAGAUCAUCAUUGUCGAAGUUUGAACCGUCCUCCUUCACACCUGGAUAUCCUUUUAUAAUGUCCUCCGCUUCAAGGUCCGGAAUCCAUGCCUUGGCCCGGAUUAGUGCGGUUAAUGCUCCUGCUCUUGCAGCUGCCUUCUUCAGUUUGGUAAUCCGGGCUGGUAACAUGGCCAGCUUCUCAAGAGUUUCUUUUAUCAGUGAUGGCGCCGGUUUAUUGUAAGCCGCAGUGCAAAUAGCACGCUGGGAUCCAGAGUACAGCUGUUCAAUCAAGGUAUAAGCCGCUUUAAGCUUCAUCCGCAUAUCUAUGCCCAGAUGAGCAAUACGAGUGCCUGUCACGAUUUAAAAUCAGCACUCUACUAAAUGAUAAGGUCUCAUGAAUUGGACAAGCUGCAUAAGGAGAUACUUACCAAAGAUAGUGGAAGUCAUGGCGUUGAUUUGCCAUUUCAAGCCAUUUAGUUCAUAUACAACUGGUUUUAGGGCUGCUUCGGCACCCUCAGCUCUUUUGGUUAAACCGGCCUUCUCGGUUUCCUAGUCAGCACGAUCUUUGUUAAAAGACUCUUUUAGCUUUUCCAUUGUUGUCAGGGCUUUGGUCAGUUCCUCCUUGGCUUUCAAAGCCCCUGCUUGUUGGGACUUCACGUUCUCUUGCAAAUCAGCGGUUCGGGCAUCUCUAUUGCUUAGUUCGGCCUACAACAGUGAAGAUAUGUCAAACAACAGGAUAUAUAUUUUCUAAGUACAAAGCGUAUAACAAGUUAUGCACUUCGUACUUGGGGGCUAAUGCCUAUUUGCUCUGGUUCACUACAUCUUUUAUAAGUCUCCAGAACAAUGAAAGCAUUAUUCUUGACACUUGGGGGCUAUUGUACAUCUGUUCAAAACGGACGCAUGGAUUAAAAGCCAGAUUACCUUGCAAAGCUAAACCGGCCUUUGGGGGCUAUGAUGAGGAAAGCUAUAUAAUUAUAUUAGUAAAGUAUCGGUCUUAGUUUUCACUAAGGACCUGACAUUUUGAGGGCCAAUAGGAGAGACUUAAAGUGUUACAAAGACCCAGUUUACGAUUAACAUCAUAAAACGGCCCUUGGGGGCUACUUGGCCUAGUAUUUCAACUUUGGAAUCAAGAAGUAAAGGGAGAUGAAAAUACCUCAUAGCGUUCCUUCAUCAAGUUCACCAAACCGGCUUCAUAGUCACGGUUUGAGUGCAGAGUUCGUUAGCAUUGAGAUGGGCAUAAGUUGAUAAGUCAGUACUCCAUUUGCCCUUUUCCCUAGCAGCACGCUCUUCUUUGGCACUAUGUUGGGCCAAGAUUACGGGAUGGCCAGGAGAGUUGUGGCCCAUGCCAGUAAUGAUAACAUCAUCUCCUUGGCCUUCAGUGGUUUUUGCGGGUGAUGACGGAGUCUGAGUAUCUCUCACCGGACUAGCCCGGUUAGGAGCUGCCGGUUUAGUGUGAGGCACGACAGGAUCAGCUUCUGGUGGUUCAUCAGUAUUCCGAUCUUGAAGGGGCAAUUCAUCAGAGGCGGCUUCAGGAUGAGGACCCUCCGGUUCACGAGUUUGGUCUGGUUCACCUCUUUGCUCUUCUUCAAAAACUGCCUUGUCUUCUAACAGAUUGUUGACCCGAGCUUUCUUGCUGGGUCUGGCUUUGGCUCUGCAAACAAAAUUAAAAGAGGGUUAGUGUCGGUGUCAAAACCGGCGGAUCUCGGGUAGGGGGUCCCAAACUGUGCGUCUAAGGCGGAUGGUAACAGGAGGCAGGGGACACGAUGUUUUACCCAGGUUCAGGCCCUCUUGAUGGAGGUAAAACCCUACGUCCUGCUUGAUUUAUUCUUGAUGAUAUGGGCAUUACAAGAGUUGAUCUACCACGAGAUUGGAGAGGCUAAACCCUAGAAGCUAGCCUAUGGUAUGAUUGUUGUUGUCCUACAGACCUAAACCCUCCAGUUUAUAUAGACACCGACGGGGGCUAGGGUUACACAAGGUCGGUUACAAAGGAGGAGAUAUACAUAUUCGUAUUGCCUAGCUUGCCUUCCACGCCAAGUAGAGUCCCAUCCGGACACGGGACGAAGUCUUCAAUCUUGUAUCUUCAUAGUCCAAUAGUCCGGCCGAAGGAUAUAAUCUGGCUAUCCGGAUACCCCCUAAUCCUGGACUCCCUCAGUAGCCCCCGAAUCAGGCUUCAAUGACGAUGAGUCCGGCGUGCAGUAUUGUCUUCGGCAUUGCAAGGCAGGUUCUUCUCCAAUUUCCAAGUGUUUGUAAGCAGUGUCCGACCCCAUAAAUGUUGAACGUUUUGGCUUCUAUGCCCAAUAAGGGCUAUCUCCCAUGCGUCGAAUGAAUACGAGGCGCCAGGGCAUUUUUACAUUUUCCCCCCUAGCCAGAUAAAUAAAUUGUCUUUUAAAGGGAUAGAGAUUCUUAGAUCAGAUCCACACCAUCCUCCCCUCAGCGAGAAUCCAUCAGAGCGCGUUUCGGAAAGAUCCAUUCCAGCAUGGCCGACCUCCGCAGCUCCUCCUCCCGCCCCCGUAGCCCUAAGCCCGGUGGUUGGGAGAGGUGUUCAGUCCCACACAGUCGAUUGGUCGAACUGCAGACCAAGGGAUUUCUCCCUCCGGCGUAUAUGGUGCCCGUUCGAGCCGGGCUUGCCACCUACAAUGGCGGGGAGCAAGCGGAGAGCUUUCCCUAUCCCUCCAUGGGGGAACGGGUCUGCCUUGUUCCUUAUUUACUAAGGGGACUCGGAUUUCCAAUUCAUCCGUUCCUCUGCGGGCUCCUGGAGUUCUAUGACCUCCAAUUACACAAUUUCACCCCUGCCUCCAUUCUACAUAUCACCGGCUAUGUUGCUCUCUGCGAGUUGUUCCUGGGCUGCGAUGCUCACUUUGAGCUAUGGAAAAGGCUAUUUUGCCUCGUCCCUCGCACACAGAGGGGAUCACUUUAUCAAGUGGGCGGAGCCGAAAUAUGGCGCAUCGUCGAUACCGGAUACCUGUCCGAUAUCCCAAAGAAGUCGUCCGAAGACUGGCCUUCAGAAUGGUUUUAUAUGGAGGACGUUCCCCUUCCGGACCCUGUUCGGCGGGGCCUUCCUGAGUUCAACAAUGCCCCUCUGAAGAAGCGCCGAAGUUGGCGCCCACGGAGGCCCCAGGUGGAAGACGACAGAGAAGUCCUCUAUCUGAUGAACCGGAUCAAAGCACUGGCUCAAUCAGGAUUGACAGUAAUCGAAAUUAUGUCAAUUUGCAUAAUGCGGGGAGUGCAACCACUUCAAUACCUUGGGCACCCCUUGUGGUGUUUCAACGGGGCGGAUGACGCCACCCGCUACGGGCGUAAGGGUCCGGGCGAUGCUGCCGCUUUAGCAAAAAUUCUGUCCGAAUUGUUCAAGGGAGAGGAGGAGGAGUUCACCUGCAUCAAGCCAUGGGAUGGAUUCUCCAUGUACAAUCCUCCAAGCUGGGUAAGCUAUAUCCCCUUACUUCCAUUUUCCCACAUUCUUUGUCGUAAGUAUUCACCUUGCCAGUUUGCGGCAGGAACUGCGAAAAGCCAUAAAGGAGGUCAGCAGCCCCUCUCCACAACCGGAGGACCCUAACCGGGCCCUCGACUCCGGACUUGAAGAAGAUCUGGUUAUCUUCAUGGAGCUGAUAGACCGGCAGUUCUAUCAGUUAAGCUGCGACGACGCCAUGGUGGCCAUUACGGCCGACUAUCUCGGACUGCUCCCUGCAUCGCAUGUAAGAAAAACCAAAAAUCCCAACUCCAAAAACUAGGAUCCCCUUUUAGACACUUCACCCACCAUAUACACAUGGCAUUUUUUUUACAGGGAAGGCAUUCGGACGCCCUGUCGAACCCGCAGCAACUCGCCAACAAGAGGCACCGAGGCCGAGUAGGCCAAAAAGGAAGGCGGUCAGGACGGAGACGCCGGUGCAAAGGUAUAAAAGCCCCGCUCCGUGGUUGUCAUCUUUCUCAAAAUGUAAUGACGCCCGUGUUUCUUUAAUAGAAAGACCGCUCGCCGGAAUAUGUCUGGUGAUGUUGCUGAUCACGCCUCCACCAGUCGGGCGCCAGGACCGGACAUAGAGGCGGAAGCCGAUAUGGGGCAGGCGCCGGAUAUUCCCCCUACAGAGGAUGCGGAUAGAUUAUCCGCUACUAACUCAGAAGUGGAAAGUGCCAUGAAUCAUAGGCGCCGCCGGGCCGUACUCCGUGAUGCUUGUUUCUCACCGGAGGCAUUUGAUGCCUUUAAUUCCAGAGAGGCAUACCUCCGUGCUGCUCAAGAUGGUCUAGCCAGAGCCAUUGAUCAGUAUGUAAAGGAUGUAUGGGUAAGUAAAUUUGGCGAUUUAUAUGUAUCAGUAGCCCCUGAGACUUGAAACUGUUAGCAGAACUGAUUUAAGGAUCAUCUUUAUUGUGCAGGUUCUUAUAGAGAAGAAUACUAAGCUGUCCCAGGAGCUGGAGGAAUGCAAGACCCAACUGCGGGCCACUGUUGCCGCAUUGCAGGAAUCGAAAAAGCCUCCCGCUGGUAACAUUUACUUUAAAGAAUGAUGGUUACCAUAUAGUGUGCGGCGUGGCUGCAGAUCUAACAAUAGAUUUUGCAGAUGAAUCCGGAGAAAAUCCGGAGGACCAGCAUGUCGUGCGACAGCUAGAGGCUGGCAAACGCGUGCUGACUGAGGUUAGGCGGGAGAAAAACAAUCUCCAAGACGCCAAUGUCAAGCUGAGGGUGUAACUAAAAGACGUUCGAGCCCAGCUUGCAGACUCCGAGAAGGAGAAAAAGCGGCUUUGGCGCGGCAUUUUCAGUAAGUGCUUGAACGAAUCCUUUUGAAGGAGUUCGACAAAGAAGCCGACUAACAGCAUUAUGUCUUUAGGUAUGCUGAUGGAUCGUCCUGCGGAGGAAAUGCCUGGGUCUGCAGGUGAUCUUCUAUCCGAGCUCUCACAUCUGCACGAACAAGUUCGGCAGGUGAUGCAAGGUGUUGCCCAGGCCUUGUGGCCAUCCUCCUCCCUGCCAGAAGGCGUUGCAGAGCUUACGGAGAAGCUCAAGGGAGCAUGGUGGCGCUUCCGAUUAUGGAAGAUAUCGGCCUGCCGAUAAGGUGCCCGAGAAGCCUGGGCCAUGGUGAAGACGCGGUACACCAAGGCUGACCCAAAUCACAUGGUCGAGGUCGGACCUGUGGGGCCCGAUGGAAAAGAGAUCCCCGUUAGCUUAGUUUAUGGGAAAGUAGAAUUAGCCGCAAAGUAUUCCCAACAGGAUUGUAGGCUAGACCGCCUAUUGGAUGGUAUAGAGGAGGAAUUUAGUCAGUCUGCAUGACUAUGUAAUUAAAGUGACAUGUAUAAUGCCUUCUAGCCGGAUUGUAGAUCAUUUGUCAUGGCGGACCUUUUCGCUUCAACCUCGGUACCCGAUAGCCCGGAGUGUAUCCGAAUACCCGCUCAGCUAUAUAAGAACCAGGGUAUGCGUGGAGACCAGGCGUAGGGGUCAUUGGUGCUUGAACAGACAAGUGCCCAACUAGUUAUGUUAUAUUACAUGGGUAGUAAGAAACAUCUUCCAGGGAGAAUAGUUCCAUUAAGGGUUCCUUUCCCUGGGUAAGCAUGCCCUAAAGUGCAUGUCCGGACUGCGAUAGGAAACGCAGGAAAAAACAUCUGGGGGCAGAUAUGGAAAAUAAAUAAAAAUCAUCUUUUGUUCGCCGACCGAAUAUUCCCUUAAGAACGCUAGCUUUUGGCUUCACCCAGUCUGAGGUACACAUCCGGCUGACCCGGCAGUAACAAUCGCAGAGGUGCUCCCCUUAUGCCCUAGCCAAAUUAACGGGAACGUAGGGCAUAAAUACAAGAGCCAGGCAAUCCAGCUUGGCCAAAACUUAAGUCAUAUCGAUGCAUAUAAUGGCGAAAAAAGGUACAUGUGGAAGCAUAACACAUGUGAGGGGCACGAGGCCCAAAUAAAUAAUCAAGCUUCUGUGAAAGAAGCCCCCAGGUAUGCUGAGUGCAGCUAGCGCAUCUGUAAUGUGCAAACGAGGCGCAAGUUGGCCUUUGAAGGCCUGGAGAAAGAAUAAAAGAAAGAAAGAAAAACAAGAUAGAUAAUGUAUAAAAAAUGGACAGAGGAAGGGGACGAACACAGCGUCCGGCGCUAGGCGUAGAAUCUUCGGAGCCUGGCCGCGUUCCAUGGGUUCGGCUCGAGUCGAUUAGUCGAUGCAUCCCGCAGUCGGUACGCUCCACCGGUCAGAACUUGGUCAAUAAUGAAGGGACCUUCCCAUUUGGGCUCGAGCUUGUUCUUUUUCUUAUCCGACAGACGUAGAACUAGUUCGCCAACAUUAUAAGUUUUGGCCCGUACUUCUCUGCUUUGGUAUUUGCGAGCCUGUUGCUGAUAAAAUGCGGAACAGGCUUUUGCCACGUUGCGCUCCUCCACCAAGGUGUCUAGACUGUCCUGCCGAUCAAGCUCGGCUUCUCUUUCUUCGUACAUGCGCACUCGAGGUGAGUCAUGAAUUAUGUCACAGGGCAAGACUGCCUCUGCGCCGUACACCAUAAAGAAGGGUGUAUAUCUGGUACUACGGUUCAGCGUGGUCCGCAGCCCCAGAGUAUGGAGUCGAGCUCCUCUACCUAGUGCGCGUUAGACUCUGUUAAGGACCGCACUAGCCUGGGUUUAAUGCCGCUCAUUAUAAGACCGUUCGCGUGCUCCACUUGAUUGUUGGUUUGUGGGUGAUAGACCGAAGCAUAAUCGAGCCUGAUGCCCAUUUUGCUGCACCAGAGUUUUACCUCAUCGACAGUAAAGUUCGUGCCGUUGUCAGUGAUGAUGCUAUGAGGGACGCCAUAACAGUGUACAACCCCGGAUAUGAAGUCUAUCACCAGUCCGGAUUCGGCUGUUUUAACAGGUUUGGCCUCUAUCCAUUUGGUGAAUUUAUCCACCAUGACCAGUAAGUAUUUUUUCUUGUGGGUUCCCCCUUUAAGGGGUCCAACCAUGUCAAGCCCCCAGACCGUGAAGGGCCACGUAAUGGGGAUUGUUUGUAGGGCGAUGGGUGGCAUGUGGCUUUGAUUUGCAAAGAGCUGGCAACCGGCGCAACAUUGGACCAAGUCCUAUGCAUCUGCCCGGGCCGUUGGCCAAUAGAAUCCUGUACGGAAGGCCUUGCUGACAAGAGCUCGGGCUGCGGCAUGGUGACCGCCGAGUCCGGCAUGAAUUUCUGCCAAAAGGUUCCGUCCUUCCUCUUCGGAGAUACACCUUUGAAGGACUCCGGUAGUGCUUUUUUAAUACAAUUCUCCCUCAUGGACCCUGUAGGCCUUAGAUCGCCGCACUAUGUAGCGUGCCUCAUUUUGGUCCUCCGGAAGUUCCUGCCUAGUUAGGUAGGCCAGGAAUGGUUCUGUCCAGGUGGCUAUGAUGGCCAUUAUUACGUGGGCCGAAGGUGUUAUUUCGGUGGCGGGGCCUCCGAUUGUGUCAGAGUGUUCGGUAUCGGGUAUUUUGGCCGGGUCCAGAUUAUUGUUACCGGUGUCCCCUUCCCAUACUACGGAUGGCUUUAACAACCUCUCCAAAAAUAUGUUGGGGGGACCGUGUCGUGUUUUGCGCCGAUGUGGGCGAGGAUAUCCGCCGCCUGAUUGUUUUCCCGAGCCACAUGAUGAAAUUUGAGCCCCUCGAACUGAGUUGACAUUUUUAGGAUGGCGUUGCAAUAGGCCGCCAUUUUCGAAUCCUUGGCAUCAAAGUCUCCAUUUAUUUGGGAUAUUGCGAGGUUUGAAUCCCCACGCACCUCCAGGCAUUGAAUGCCCAUGGAGACUGCCAUCCGAAGACCAUGCAACAGAGCUUCAUAUUCGGCUGCGUUGUUGGAGUCUGUGUACAGUAUUUGUAGUACGUACUGAACGGUAUCUCCGGUUGGGGACGUCAAGACGAUGCCAUCCCCUAGACCAGCCAGCAUUUUAGAACCGUCGAAGUGCAUGAUCCAAUUGGAGUAUGCGCCAUACUCUUUAGGGAGUUCGGCCUCCGUCCAUUCGGCGAGGAAGUCGGCCAAUACUUGCGACUUAAUGGCUCGUCGAGGUUUGUAUGUUAUGUCGAACGGGAGGAGCUCGAUGGCCCAUUUGGCAAUCCAGCCCAUAGCAUCGUGGUUGUUUAUAAUAUCAUUAAGUGGCACUUCCGAGGCUACUAUAAUCGAACACUCUUGAAAGUAGUGUCGCAGCUUCCAGGAUGCCAUGAAUAACGCAUAGGCUAUCUUUUGAUAAUGUGGGUACCGUGAUUUGCAUGGAGUGAGGGCAGUGGAUACAUAGUAUACCAGCUUUUGAAGAGGGAAUUUAUGUCCGUCCGCUUCUCGUUCGACAACAAGCACUGCGCUGACAACUUGAUGAGUUGCCGCAAUGUACAACAACAUUGGUUCGCCGAUGUUUGGCGCGGCCAGGAUUGGGUUGGUUGCCAAAAUGGCCUUUAUUUCUUCCAAUCCGGUUGUGGCCGCGUCCGUCCACUCGAAGUGUUCGGUGCGCUGAAGGAGGCGAUAAAGGGGUAAAGCCUUUUCUCCUAAGCGGGAGAUAAAGAGGCUUAGAGCCGCCACGCAUCCAGUUAACUUCUGGAUUUGUUUGAGGUCUGUUGGGGUAGCCAACUGUGACAAAGCUCGGAUUUUGGCCGGAUUAGCUUCAAUAUCUCUACUGGAGACAAUGAAACCCAGGAGCUUUCUGGCUGGUACGCCGAAAACGCAUUUUUCUGGAUUGAGCUUGAUGUCGUAUAUUCGGAGGUUGUCGAAUGUGAGCCUCAAGUCGUCUAUCAAAAAGUCGACGUGUUUGGUUUUGAUGACCACAUCGUCUACGUAUGCCUCUACUGUUUUGCCGAUUUGUUUCUCCAGACAUGUCUGAAUCAUGUGCUAAUAUGUUGCGCCGGCGUUUUUGAGCCCAAAAGGCAUUGUGUUAAAAUAGAAGGGACCGUAUGGUGUGAUGAAUGCUGUUGCGGCUUGAUCAGACUCUGCCAUCUUGAUUUGGUGGUAACCGGAGUAUGCGUCGAGGAAACACAAUGACCCGUGUCCUACGGUAGCAUCAAUAAUUUGAUCGAUGCGGGGGAGGGGGAAGGGAUCCUUUGGGCAAGCUUUAUUGAGGUCCUUGAAAUCGGCACAAAGGCGCCAGGAUUUAUCCUUCUUUGGUACCAUCACCAGGUUUGCUAGCCAGUCCUGGUGUUUUAUUUCUCUGAUGAAUCCGGCCUCCAAUAACUUGGCUAGUUCCUCUCCCAUGGCCUGUCUCUUAGGUUCGGAGAAACGCCGAAGAGCUUUCUUGACCAGCUUGAAUCCCUUUAGGAUAUUGAGGCUAUGCUCGGCCAGCCUGCGUGGGAUUCCUGGCAUGUCUGAGGGAUGAAAGGCGAAUAUGUCCCAAUUCUUGCGCAGGAACUCUCGUAGUGCGGCGUCCACGGCGGGGUUUAACUGUGCCCCGACGGAGGCUGUUUUUGUAGGGUCCGUUGGGUGGACUUGGAAUUUGACUAUUUCAUCCGCUGGUUUAAAGGAGGUGGACUUGGAUCUCUUGUCGAGUAUCACAUCGUCCCUGUCCACUGUGGAGUGUAGCGUGGUUAAUUCCUCGGCCGAGAGGGCUUCAGAUAAUGCCUCGAGGGCCAGUGCGGCUGUUUUUUUUCGGUGCGGAGUGCUGUGUCCAGAUCACUGGCGAGAGUGAUAAUUCCAUUGGGCUCGGGCAUUUUGAGCUUCAUGUACCCGUAAUGGGGUACGGCUUGGAAGAUUGUGAAGCCUCCCGCCCUAAAAGAGCAUGAUAACCACUGCUGAACGGGGCCACUUGGAAUGUAAUUUCUUCGGACCUGUAAUUAUCCGGCGUGCCGAAUAGCACAUCUAGUGUGAUUUUCCCAGCACAACAUGCUUCCCGACUAGGGAUGAUUACUCUAAAGGUUGUGCUAGUUUGCUCAAUGCGGUUCCAGUCUAUUUCCAUCUUUUGAAGAGUUUCCUCAUAGAUGAGGUUUAAUCCACUACCACCGUCCAUGAGUACUUUGGUGAGUCGAAAGCCGUCCACGAUUGGGCUGAGGACCAGUGCAGCUGGUGGUCGGGCUGUUCGGAAUUUAGGUUCAUCACUGGCAUUGAAGGUGAUAGCCGUGUCACUCCAUGGAUUUAUUGCUGCCACAUGGCAGAUUUCGGCAAUGCUGCGGAGUGUUCGCUUGCGCCUAUUAUUUGAUGCGAAGGUCUCAAAGACUGUUAAUACCAUAUUGCUAUCCGUGGGAUGGUGCUCUGCGGCAUGUGGGAUGAGAAGAUCCUCACUGCUUUUAGCCACCUGCCGGAGUAUCCAACAUGCUCUAAGGUUGUGUGUUGGUAUGGUAUCCGUACUAUGAAUUUUCCAGGGGCCGUUAAGCCAUCCCUCCAGUACGGUUCCAUGCCGUGUAUAGGGUUUUUGUUUCUUGGCAACUAGCUCGGGUGUCUUAUGAUAAUGCACCCUUUUACUUCGGACUGGGUGUAUAUUUGGAGCCGGAUUAUCCAAAAAAUUCUUUUCGUUUUCCAGGCGCUUUCCAUCACACAGUACUUUCGCACUAUGGACGCCAAGUUAGCGAAGCGUGAUAUGUCACGGCGAAUUAAGGCGUUAAGGAUUCCCUUGUCCGUGCAAUUAUUGCAGAAAAGUGAGAUUGCAUCUUCCUCGCGACAGUCCCUAACCUUGUUCAACACAAGGAGGAAUCUGGCCCAAUAAUGAUGUACUGUUUCAUGGGGCUCUUGUCUGAUGUUGGAAAGAUCAUUUAUGCCUGGGUGGGUGGGUGGAUUUGAGUCCGAACCCCUACCCGAUCCGAGACCCAGGGGCCGAGGGGUUUCCGAUCUUGGAAGUUCGGAUUCCGGUAUGUUGCCCAAGGAGUCUGGCCCGCUGCCUGACUCUAGGUUCAGGGUUUGGGUGAUGUCCUCCCGUGAACGGGUAUCCGGCUCGGAGAGCUCAGGUAUUCGGACAUAGUUAGUCCUCAAAAUAGAGGAAGAGUUGCCGCAUUGUUCCUCCACAACCGCAACAUGAUGGGUGACCGGUGGAGAGUUAAUCUCCCGUUGAUCGGGUUUAAACCCAAUCCGAUCAUAGUCCAUAGCGACUCCCAAGGCGGCGAUGCGAUCCAAGAGUUCAUUUAGGGAGGAGAGCUCCAUUGGAUCCAUCUGCUCGACGAAUUCCGAGCCAGCAUGGAGGCUAUUUUCGAUGACCCGAGAAGUCAUCGUCGGUGCAGCAGCCGAACAGGCGGUCAUGACGAAGCUGCCAAGCCGGAGAGUUUGGCCGACAGCCAGGGCUGCUCCGGCGGUAAUGUUGUUUUUAACAACAAGAUGAGGCAUCCUUCCUUACCGCGAUGACACAGAGGAACUCUCAAUGAAAGCACCAAUGUCGGUGUCAAAACCGGCGGAUCUCGGGUAGGGGGUCUCGAACUGUGCGUCUAAGGCAGAUGGUAACAGGAGGCAGGGGACACGAUGUUUUACCCAGGUUCGGGCCCUCUUGAUGGAGGUAAAACCCUACGUCCUGCUUGAUUUAUUCUUGAUGAUAUGGGUAUUACAAGAGUUGAUCUACCACGAGAUCGGAGAGGCUAAACCCUAGAAGCUAGCCUAUGGUAUGAUUGUUGUUGUCCUACGGACCUAAACCUUCUGGUUUAUAUAGACAUCGGAAGGGGCUAGGGUUACACAAGGUCAGUUACAAAGGACGAGGUAUACAUAUCCGUAUUGCCUAGCUUGCCUUCCACGCCAAUUAGAGUCCCAUCCGGACACGGGACGAAGUCUUCAAUCUUGUAUCUUCAUAGUCCAAUAGUCCGGCCGAAGGAUAUAAUCCGGCUGUCGAGAUACCCCCUAAUCCUGGACUCCCUCAGUUAGCAUCUUAUUCAAGAUUUCUAACGCAUUGGAAGAAAGGGUUUGAAAGCUUACCCAACCAAGGUUUUUAGAGGAGGGAGUUGGGUUGCUGUCGACUCGCCAGAGGAUGAGGGAGGUGUCACCUGAUAAUUUGAAUCGGACGGAUUAAGAGGUUGUUUGAAAUAACCUGCCUUGGGAUAAGAAUUGUCAGAAGUGGGAGAGACCUCAGACCGGCGCUUCCGAACCAGGGUAUCAGGUAAACCGGCUGAAGUGACCUGUUGGCCACUAUGCCGGGUUGUCCGGCGAGCUUCAUGCUGCUGUGUCUCCAAAAUAAAUGUUGGAUCAAAGUAAGCAAGAGGAUGAGAAAAGCUUACUUUCCGGACUGCUUGACGGGUUUUUUUGUGUUGGCAUAGAGUCUAAAUCGGAGGAAAUGGUAAUUACCUCUACAUCAUCAGCUUGGCUGCCCUCUACGUCCUCCUGAUAAAGAUCAUUGUUAAUGAGGUGCAUGAAAAGGGAGCCAACUGAGUCAAGUUCUACCUCAGCUUCCGAAUCAUCGACAUCUUCAUCAAGUUCCAUGCUGAUCCGGUCAGUCAUUUUCUGCUUUGAGGUACGUUUGACAGCUUUGGUUUUGGGACGGGAUGGCUUUGCCGCUUUAUCUGCGGAUUUCCGUUUCCAGAAGGGAUCAUCACCCUGUUCAUACACAAAUAGAGGAAAGUUCACAAGUUGAACAAAUCAAAAGAUAUCAAAGAUAAAAAGGAAGCAUUGUGCUUACAGCAGGCGGUUUAUUCUGAGUGUAGAAGGGGCUCAAGCCGGUUUGGCGACAAACUGAUUCCGGUUCAUUCAAAAUUUUCUUGACGCUUUCAGUGACCUCUUCAUCGGUUACCUGAAUGUUGAUGUGGCAUUGGGGGUCUUCAACUUCACCGGUAUACUCACACAUUAAACCGGGGCAGCGGCUUAGUGGCAAGACGCUCCAUGAUAUCCAGCAAUGCACAAAAUUAACGGCUGUUAAACCGCUGGCCAUAAAGGCCCGAAGUUUGGCGAGUUCAGGGGCAUAUUUGGCCCAUUCCGCAGAGCUUAAACGUUGAGGAAGUGGAUGAGUGUUGGAAAGCCGGUGAUCAUGAUAGCCUCGAAGAGGGUUUUCAUCUUUAGGGGAGGUAUCUCUGUAGUAGAACCAAGUCUGGUUUUAUUCCUUAGGGUGACUAUGCAGUUUGACAUGAGGAAAUUCAACUUCCUUCCGCUUUUGAAUAGAAACACCACCAAGUUCAGUGUUGGGACCAUUUACAAAUUUUGUAUGCCGGUUCAGAUGAAAGAAGUCCCGGAACAACUCAGCAGUCGGUUCUUCUUGUAAGUACACUUCACAGAAGACCUGGAAGUUGCAUAGAUUGGACACCGAGUUGGGUCCGAUAUCUUGAGGAUGGAGUUGGAAACUGGCAAGCACAUCUCGGUAAAACUUUGAACCUGGCGGUUUGAAACCACGACCUAUGUGGUCGACAAAGACCACAACCUCACCCUGCCUCGGGGUUGGAGGAUUUUCUGUUCCUGGAACUCACCAUCGAACUUCAGUUUUCUUACACAAGGUGCCGAUGCUGACCAUUCCGUUCAACUGUUCCUCGGUGACCCGAAUGAGCCCAAUUGCAAGCGGCAAACUGUUUGGCCAUUGUGAAACAAAAACCUGGAAAAGAAAUGCCGGUUUACAAAUCAUUCACGAUGGUACGCGAGAUGCAGUAGAAUAAAGAUAUACAGGUAUGUGAAGUUGCGUAAACCGGAGACUAAUACAAUAGUGAAUGACAAGGUCAUAUCAAGGGCAUACAUGUGUUGUUAAACCGGACUAUUACCAUCAACGUAAAGAAGGUUUGCCGGUUUACUAGGUGACUAAUGGUAUGAGAUAGAUUGUUUUUACAAAGGUAAACCGCCUAGAUGGUAAAGAGGAUACAAAUCUAAGGCGAAGAGGGUUAAGUAAGGUAAAAACAAGUUUCACAGGAUCACAGGGGCAUUUUGGAUCUACCACAGGUCAGGAAAACAAAAAGAUUUAGACCUAAAAAAGUUGGUCUUGGAGCAGUUCAUGACAGCACAGAUCAAGGUUCUUUUUUAUGCGCAUAAAGGCUUGAUUUAAAACAAACAAGAAGGGGAGCUCUAGAACUAUCGCACGGAGCAUAUCAAGCCUAAGGUUUACUGUCUAAAGACUGGCGAAGAACGAGAAAGGAACACCAUGAACUUGCUGGAACCCUAAUGGAUCUAGAAAGGAAGGAGGGAAGGACUUACUGCGUCUGCGGAAGCAGCGGAGGUGUGCUGCGGGGCUCUGGUACGAACAGGUUGAUGCAGCGGCCGACGGUGAGGCAGAGGCGAGGCUUGACGAUGGCGGCGGCGCUCAAGUGCGGAGACGUCGCAAGGAAGAAGAAGGGAUGAAGGGGCAACCGAAAGAAAAGAAAGGGGUCCUCUGCCCCUAUUUAUAAGGCGAAGCGAUAAAACGGCAAGUGCGGGAAUCGAGGAGCUCAAAAAUGGAUAGUUAAUAAUGGUGUCGCCUCGAUGACUGGAUAUGCAUUAAUGAAGGUAAUCCUCAGCUUCAACGAAUAGAUGACGUCAGGGCGGUUUGUUAUGAUCCUGGAGCAUGACAUCACGGCGGUUUACAAGAUCAAAGUGAAGAUGCAAAGGAGGAGUUUUUCUAAGUGUUGAAGAUUGACAUGAACCAGUUCAAACCAAUCUGGGGCCUAAUGUUGGGGAUAUUACUACUGGACGUAAACCGGCCAGGAGUAGCCGGGUUAACUUUAUGAAGAUUAGAAGCCCAUAAGAAUGAUGGUACUUUGUGAAGGCCCAAGGCCCAAAGGCGAGUUAACACUUGUAGAUGUAAACCGACCUAAUUAUGUAACUUGCAUUGUAAGAUAGGAAGUAUAGAGACCGAACCGGACACGUUUAUGAUCCGGCUUCGGGAGUCUGUAAACCGGCGUGCGUCAACCUAUGUAUAUAAAGGGACAACCCGACAGCGGUUUAGGGACGACAGACAAUAACUCGAGAGCCAGACAAAGCGGAUUCGCUCCCUGGUCUUCGAAACCCUAGCAAUACCAAUCACAACUAGACGUAGGCUUUUACCUUCAUCGAAGGGGCCGAACUAGUAUAAACUCCCCGUGUCCCCUUGUCUGGUUUAACCCCUUUAAGCUAACCUGUUGCGAUGGCUCCACGACUAAGUCCUUGCACAAGGACAUCUGCCGUGACAAACCCACGACACUUCCCUAGAAACAAAAUUAUAUAAAUUACCAUAUGAAUCUAUUAUGAGAGCCACUUAUGGAUUGCCUACAAAAUAUGGCAAUGCCUAGAUCUAUCCUCGCUUUUAUGCCAAGCUAGGGGCAUUAAACGAUAGCACUUGUUGGGAGGCAACCCAAUUUUAUUUGUGUUCCUUGCUUUUUGUUCCUGUUUAUUAAUAAAUAAUUUAUAUAGCCUCUAUUUUUGUUGUGUUUUUUUGUGUUUAAUUAGUGUUUAUGCCAAGUAGAACCGUUGGGAAGACUUGGGGAAAGUCUUUUUGAUCUUGCUGUAAAAAACAGAAACUUUAGCCCUCACGAGAAUUGCUGCCAUUUUUUAUUGGAGAGUGAUAUUUAGUUAAUUAUUUUUGAAGAUGAUUAAUAUAUAAAUUCCUCACGUCCAGAAAUUUAUUUUAGAAUUUUUGGGGUUCCAGAAGUUUGCGUUAGUUACAGAUUACUACACACUGUUCUGUUUUUGACAGAUUCUGUUUUUCGCGUGUUGUUUGCUUAUUUUGAUGAAUCUAUGUCUAGUGAUGUAGUUUAUAAACCAUAGAGAAGUUGGAAUACAGUAGGUUUAACACCAAUAUAAAUAAAUAAUGAUUUCAUUACAGUACCUUGAAGUGGUGUUUUGUUUUCUUUCGCUAACGGAGCUAACAAGAUUUUCUGUUAAGUUUUGUGUUGUGAAGUUUUCAAGGUUUGGGUAAAGAUUUGAUGGAUUAUGGAACAAGGAGUGGCAAGAGCCUAAGCUUUGGGAUGCCCAAGGCAACCCAAGGUAAAAUCCAUGGACACCGAUAAGCCUAAGCUUGGGGAUGCCCCGGAAGGCAUCCCCUCUUUUGUCUUCGUCUAUCGGUAACUUUACUUGGAACUAUAUUUUUAUUCACCACAUUAUAUGUGUUUUGCUUGGAGCGUCUUGUAUGAUUUGAGUCUUUGCUUUUUAGUUUACCACAAUCAUCCUUCCUGUACACACCUUUUGGUAAAGACACACAUGAAUCGGAAUUUGUUAGAAUACUCUAUGUGCUUCACUUAUAUCUUUUGAGCUAUAUAGUUUUUGCUCUAGUGCUUCACUUAUAUCUUUUAGAGCACGGUGGUGGUUUUAUUUUAUAGAAAUAAUUGAUCUCUCAUGCUUCACUUAUAUUAUUUUGAGAGUCCUUUAGAACAGCAUGGUAAUUUGCUUUUAGGCAUAAUAAAAACUUUCAUAUAAGUGCAUUGAAUACUAUGAGAAGUUUGAUACUUGAUAAUUGUUUUAGAUAUGGAGAUGGUGAUAUUAGAGUCAUGCUAGUUGAUUAAUUGUGAAUUUGAGAAAUACUUGUGUUGAAGUUUGUGAUUCCCGUAGCAUGCACGUAUGGUGAACCGUUAUGUGAUGAAGUCGGAGCAUGAUUUAUUUAUUUAUUGUCUUCCUUAUGAGUGGCGGUCGGGGACGAGCGAUGGUCUUUUCUGUUGGAAAUAUGCCCUAGAGGCAAUGAUAAAUUAGUUAUUAUUAUAUUUCCUUGUUCAUGAUAAUCGUUUAUUAUCCAUGCUAGAAUUGUAUUGAUAGGAAACUCAGAUACAUGUGUGGAUACAUAGACAACACCAUGUCCCUAGUAAGCCUCUAGUUGACUAGCUCGUUGAUCAAUAGAUGGUUACGGUUUCCUGACCAUGGACAUUGGAUGUCGUUGAUAACGGGAUCACAUCAUUGGGAGAAUGAUGUGAUGGACAAGACCCAAUCCUAAGCCUAGCACAAAGAUCGUGUAGUUCGUAUGCUAAAGCUUUUCUAAUGUCAAGUAUCAUUUCCUUAGACCAUGAGAUUGUGCAACUCCCGGAUACUGUAGGAAUACUUUGGGUGUGCCAAACGUCACAACGUAACUGGGUGGCUAUAAAGGUACACUACAGGUAUCUCCGAAAGUGUCUGUUGGGUUGGCACAAAUCGAGACUGGGAUUUGUCACUCCGUGUGACGGAGAGGUAUCUCUGGGCCCACUCGGUAGGACAUCAUCAUAAUGUGCACAAUGUGAUCAAGGAGUUGAUCAUGGGAUGAUGUGUUACGGAACGAGUAAAGAGACUUGCCGAUAACGAGAUUGAACAAGGUAUCGGGAUACCGACGAUCGAAUCUCGGGCAAGUAUCGUACCGAUAGACAAAGGGAAUUGUAUACAUGAUUGAUUAAGUCCUUGACAUCGUGGUUCAUCCGAUGAGAUCAUCGUGGAGCAUGUGGGAACCAACAUGGGUAUCUAGAUCCCGCUAUUGGUUAUUGGCCAGAGAACGUCUCGGUCAUGUCUGCAUGGUUCCCGAACCCGUAGGGUCUACACACUUAAGGUUCGGUGACGCUAGGGUUAUAGAGAUAUUAGUAUGCGGUAACGUGAAAGUUGUUCGGAGUCCCGGAUGAGAUCCCGGACGUCACGAGGAGUUCCGGAAUGGUCCGGAGGUAAAGAAUUAUAUAUAGGAAGUGCUAUUUCGGCCAUCGGGACAAGUUUCCGGGUCACCGGUAUUGUACCGGGACCACCGGAAGGGUCCCGGGGGUCCACCGAGUGGGGCCACUUGCCCCAGGGGGGCCACAUGGGCUGUAGGGGGUGCGCCUUGGCCUAUAUGGGCCAAGGGCACCAGCCCUAAGAGGCCCAUGCACCAAGAGAUGAGAGAAAGGAAGAGUCCUAAAGGGGGAAGGCACCUCCUAGGUGCCUUCGGGAGGAUGGACUCCUCCCUUGGCCGCACCCUUCCUUGGAGGAAGGGCCAAGGCUGCGCCCCCCUCUCCCUUGGCCCUAUAUAUAGUGGGGGGAAGGGAGGGCAGCAACACCUAAGCCCUGGCGCCUCCCUCUCCCUCCCAUGACACAUCUCCCUCCUCCCGCAGCGCUUGGCGAAGCCCUGUUGGAAUCCCGCUACUUCCACCACCACGCCGUCGUGCUGCUGGAUCUCCAUCAACCUCUCCUUCCCCCUUGCGGAUCAAGAAGGAGGAUACGUUGCUGCUCCGUACGUGUGUUGAACGCGGAGGUGCCGUCCGUUCGGCGCUAGGAUCAUCGGUGAUUUGGAUCACGACGAGUAUGACUCCAUCAACCCCGUUCUCUUGAAUGCUUCCGCGCGCGAUCUACAAGGGUAUGUAGAUCCACUCCUCCCUCGUUGCUAGAUGACUCCAUAGAUAGAUCUUGGUGACACAUAGGAAAAUUUUGAAUUUAUGCUACAUUCCCCAACAGUGGCAUCAUGAGCUAGGUCUAUGCGUAGUUUCUAUGCACGAGUAAAACACAAAGUAGUUGUGGGCGUUGAUUUUGUUCAAUAUGCUUACCUUUACUAGUCCAAUCUUGAUUCGGUGGCAUUGUGGGAUGAAACGGCCUGGACCGACCUUACACGUACUCUUACGUGAGACUGGUUCCACCGACUGGCAUGCACUAGUUGCAUAAGGUGGCUAGCGGGUGUCUGUCUCUCCCACUUUAGUCGGAUCGGAUUCGAUGAAAAGGGUCCUUAUGAAGGGUAAAUAGCAAUUGGAAUAUCACGUUGUGGUUUUUGCAUAGGUAAGAAACGUUCUUGCUAGAAACCCAUAGCAGCCAUGUAAAACAUGCAAACAACAAUUAGAGGACGUCUAACUUGUUUUUGCAGGGUAUGCUAUGUGAUGUGAUAUGGCCAAAAGGAUGUGAUGAAUGAUAUAUGUGAUGUAUGAGAUUGAUCAUGUUCUUGUAAUAGGAAUCACGACUUGCAUGUCGAUGAGUAUGACAACCGGCAGGAGCCAUAGGAGUUGUCUUAAUUUAUUUAUGACCUGCGUGUCAACAUAAACAUCAUGUAAUUACUUUACUUUAUUGCUAACCGUUAGCUAUAGUAGUAGAAUUAAUAGUUGACGAGACAAAUUCAUGAAGACACGAUGAUAGAGAUCAUGAUGAUGGAGAUCAUGGUGUCAUGCCGGUGACGAUGAUGAUCAUGGAGCCCCGAAGAUGGAGAUCAAGAGGAGCAAAGUGAUGAUGGCCAUAUCAUGUCACUAUUUGAUUGCAUGUGAUGUUUAUCAUGUUUAUGCAUCUUGUUUACUUAGAACGAUGGUAGUAAAUAAGAUGAUCCCUCAUAAUAAUUUCAAGAAAGUGUUCCCCCUAACUGUGCACCAUUGCGACAGUUCGUUGUUUCGAAGCACCACGUGAUGAUCGGGUGUUAGAUUCUAACGUUCACAUACAACGGGUGUAAGACAUAUUUACACACGCGAAACACUUAGGUUGACUUGACGAGCCUAGCAUGUACAGACAUGGCCUCGGAACACAAGAGACCGAAAGGUCGAGCAUGAGUCGUAUGGUAGAUACGAUCAACAUGAAGAUGUUCACCGAUGAUGACUAAUCCGUCUCACGUGAUGAUCGGACAUGGCCUAGUUGACUCGGAUCAUGUAAUCACUUAGAUGAUUAGAGGGAUGUCUAUCUAAGUGGGAGUUCAUAAGAUGAACUUAAUUAUCCUAAACAUAGUCAAAAGGUCUUCGCAAAUUAUGUCGUGGCUCACGUUUCUAUUCUACUGUUUAGAUAUGUUCCUAGAGAAAAUUUAGUUGAAAGUUGAUAGUAGCAAUUAUGCGGACUAGGUCCGUAAACUGAGGAUUGUCCUCAUUGCUUCAUAGAAGGCUUAUGUCCUUAAUGCACCGCUCAGUGUGCUGAACCUCGAACGUUGUCUAUGGAUGUUGCGAACAUCUUACAUACACAUUUUGAUAACUACGUGAUAGUUCAGUUAAACGGCUUAGAGUUGAGGCACCGAAGACGUUUUGAAACGUCGCGAAACAUAUGAGAUGUUUCGAGGGCUGAAAUUGGGAUUUCAGGCUCGUGCCCACGUCAAGAGGUAUAAGACCUCCGACGAUUUUCUUAGCCUGCAAACUAAGGGAGAAAAGCUCAAUUGUUGAACUUGUGCUCAGAUUGUCUGAGUACAACAAUCGCUUGAAUCGAGUGGGAGUUGAUCUUCCAGAUGAAAUAGUGAUGGUUCUUCGAAGUCAUUACCACCAAGCUGCUUGAGCUUCGUGAUGAACUAUAAUAUAUCAGGGACAUAUAUGAUGAUCCUUGAGAUAUUCACGAUGUUUGACACCACAAAAGUAGAGAUCAAGAAGGAGCAUCAAUUGUUGAUGGUUGGUGAAACCACUAGUUUCAAGAAGGGCAAGGGCAAAAAGGGAUGCUUCAUGAAACGGCAAAUCAGCUGCUGCUCUAGUGAAGAAACCCAAGGUUGAACCCAAACCCGAGACUAAGUGCUUCUGUAAUAAAGGGAACAACCACUAGAGCAGAAUUACCCUAGAUACAUGGUAGAUAAGAAGGCUGGCAAGGUCGAUAGAAGUGUAUUGGAUGUAUUAUGUUAAUGUGUACUUUACUAGUACUCCUAGUAGCACCAGGGUAUUAGAUACCGGUUCGGUUGCUAAGUGUUAGUAACUCAAAAUAAAAGCUACGGAAUAAACGGAGACUAGCUAAAGGUGAGAUGACGAUAUGUAUUGGAAGUAUUUCCAAGGUUGAUAUGAUCAAGCAUCGCACGCUCCCUCUACCAUCAAGAUUGGCAUUAAAACCUAAAUAAUUGUUAUUUGGUGUUUGCGUUCAGCAUAAACAUGAUUAGAUUAUGUCUAUCGCAAUACGGUUAUUCAUUUAAAGAGAAUAAUGGUUACUCUAUUUAUUUGAAUAAUACCUUCAAUGGUCUUACACCUAAAAUGAAUGGUUUAUUGAAUCUCGAUCGUAGUGAUACACAUGUUCAUGCCAAAAGAUAGUAAUGAUAGUACCACCUACUUGCGGCACUGCCACAUAAGUCAUAUCGGUAUAAAACGCAUGAAGAAGCUCCAUGUUGAUGGAUCUUUGGGCUCACUCGUUUUUGAAAAGUUUGAGACAUGCGAACCAUGUCUAUUGGUGUAUAUUGCAUGAAGAAACUCCAUGCAAAUGGACCGUUUGAACUCACUUGAUUUUGAAUCACCUAAGACAUGCAAGUCAUACCACAUGGGCAAGAUGACUGAAAGCCUCAUUUUCAGUAAAAUGGAACUAGAAAGCAACUUGUUGGAAGUAAUACAUUUUGAUGUGUGCAGUCCAAUGAGUGCUGAGGCGUGUAGUGGAUAUCAUUAUGUUCUUACUUCACAGAUGAUUUGAGUAGAUGUUGAGUACAUUUACUUGAUGAAUCACGAGUCUGAAUUAUUGAAAGGUUCAAGUAAUUGAGGGUGAAGUUGAAAGAUCGUCGUGACAAGAGGAUAAAAUAUCUAUGAUAUGAUCAUAGAGAUGAAUAUCUGAAUUACGAGUUUGGCACAGAAUUAAGACAUUGUGGAAAUUGUUUCACAACUAAUACAGCCUGGAACACCGUAGUGUGAUGGUGUGUCCGAACAUCAUAACUGCACCCUAUUGGAUAUGAUGCAUACCAUGAUGUCUCUUAUCGAAUUACCACGAUAGUUUAUGGGUUAGGCAUUAGAGAUAACCACAUUCACUUUAAAUAGGGCACCACGUAAUUCCGAUGAGAUGACACCGUAUGAACUAUGGUUUAGAGAAACCUAAGCUGUCAUUUCUUAGAAGUUUGGGGCUGCGACGCUUAUGUGAAAAAGUUUUAGGCUGAUAAGCUCGAACCCAAAGCGGAUAAAUGCAUCUUCAUAGGACACCCAAAACAGUUGGGUAUACCUCCUAUCUCAGAUCCGAAAGCAAUAAGGGAUUGUUUCUAGAAUCGGGUCCUUUCUCGAGGAAAAGUUUCUCUCGAAAGAAUUGAGUGGGAAGAUGGUGGAGACUUGAUGAGGUUAUUGAACCGUCUCUUCAACUAGUGUGUGGAAGGGCACAGGAAGUUGUUCCUGUGGCACCUACACCAAUUGAAGUGGAAGCUUAUGAUAGUGAUCAUGAAACUUCAGAUCAAGUCACUACCAAACCUCGUAGGAUGACAAGGAUGCAUACUACUUUAGAGUGGUACGUAAUCCUGUCUUGGAAGUCAUGUUGCUAGACAACAAUGAACCUACGAGCUAUGGAGAAGCGAUGGUGGGCCUGGAUUCCGAUAAAUGGCUCGAGGCCAUAAAAUCCGAGAGAGGAUCCAUGUAUGGAAACAAAGUGUAGACUUUGACAGAACAGCUCGAUGGUCGUGAGGCUGUUGAGUACAGAUGGAUUUUAAAAGGAAGACGGACAAUGAUGGUAAAUGUCACCAUUAAGAAAGCUCGACUUGUCGUUAAGAUGUUUUCCGACAAGUUCAAGGAGUUGACUACAAUGAGACUUUCUCACUCGUAGCGAUGCUAAGAGUCUGUUGGAAUUAUAUUAGCAAUUACUGCAUUAUUUGUGAAAUCUUGCAGAUAGGAUGCCAAAAACCAUUGUUUCCUCGACGAUUUUUGAGGAAAGGUUGUAUGUGAUACAAACCGGAAGGUUUUGUCAAUCCUGAAAGAUGCUAAUAAGUAUGCAAAGCUCCAGCAAUCCUUCUAGGGACUGGAGUAAGCAUCUCGGAGUUGGAAUGUAUGCUUUGAUGAUGAUCAAAGAUUUUGGGUUUAUACAAAGUUUAUGAGAAACUUGUAUUUCCAAAGAAGUGAGUGGGAGCACUAUAGAAUUUCUGAUGAAUAUAUGUUGUUGACAUAUUGUUGAUCAGAAAUGACGUAGAAUUUCUGGAAAGCAUAUAGGGUUAUUUGGAAAGUGUUUUUCAAUGGAAAGCCUGGAUUAAGCUACUUGAACAUUGAGCAUCAAGAUCUAUAAGGAUAGAUCAGCAUGCUUAAUGGUACUUUCAAAUGAGCACAUACCUUGACAUGAUCUUGAAGGUGUUCAAGAUGGACCAGUCAAAGAAGGAGUUCUUGCCUGAGUUGUAAGGUAUGAAGUUAAGACUUAAAGCUCGACCACGGCAGAAGAAAGAGAAAGGACGAAGGUUGUCCCCUAUGCUUUUGUCAUAGGCUCUAUACGGUAUGCCAUGCUGAGUACCGCACCUGAUGUGUGCCUUGCCACAUAUCUGGCAAGAGGGUACAAAGGUAAUCUAGGAGUAGAUCACCAGAUAGCGGUCUAAAUUAUCCUUAGAGGAAUAAGGAUAUGUUUCUCGGUUAUGGAUGUGAUAAAGAGUUCGAUGUAAAGAGUUACGUCGAUGCAAGCUUAACACCUAUCCGGAUAGCUCUGAGUAGAGAUACCGAAUACGUAUAAUGGAGCAACAAUUUAGAAUAGCUCCAAGUAGAACAGUUAUUUGAAAUGGCUCCAAAUAUAGCGUAGUAGCUGCAUCUACAAGAUGACAUAGAGAUUUGCGAAGUACAUACAGAUCUGAAAGAUUCAGACCCGUUGACUAUAACAUCUCUCACAUGCAUAACAUGAUCAAACCCAGAACUCAUUGAGUGUUAAUCACAUGGUAAUGUGAACUAGAUUAUUGACUCUAGUAAACUCUUUGGGUGUUAGUCACAUGGGGAUGUGACCUUGAGUGUUAAUCACAUAUCGAUGUGAACUGGAUUAUUGACUCUAGUGCAAGUGGGAGACUGUUGGAAAUAUGCCCUAGAGGCAAUAAUAAAUUAGUUAUUAUUAUAUUUCCUUGUUCAUGAUAAUCGUUUAUUAUCCAUGCUAGAAUUGUAUUGAUAGGAAACUCAGAUACAUGUGUGGAUACAUAGACAACACCAUGUCCCUAGUAAGCCUCUAGUUGACUAGCUCGUUGAUCAAUAGAUGGUUACAGUUUCCUGACCAUGGACAUUGGAUGUCGUUGAUAACGGGAUCACAUCAUUGGGAGAAUGAUGUGAUGGACAAGACCCAAUCCUAAGCCUAGCACAAAGAUCGUGUAGUUCGUAUGCUAAAGCUUUUCUAAUGUCAAGUAUCAUUUCCUUAGACCAUGAGAUUGCGCAACUCCCGGAUACUGUAGCAAUACUUUGGGUGUGCCAAACGUCACAACGUAACUGUGUGGCUAUAAAGGUACACUACAGGUAUCUCCGAAAGUGUCUGUUGGGUUGGCACAAAUCGAGACUGGGAUUUGUCACUCCGUGUGACGGAGAGGUAUCUCUGGGCCCACUCGGUAGGACAUCAUCAUAAUGUGCACAGGAUGAUGUGUUACGGAACGAGUAAAGAGACUUGCCGGCAACGAGAUUGAACAAGGUAUCGGGAUACCGACGAUUGAAUCUCGGGCAAGUAUCGUACCGAUAGACAAAGGGAAUUGUAUACGGGAUUGAUUAAGUCCUUGACAUCGUGGUUCAUCCGAUGAGAUCAUCAUGGAGCAUGUGGGAGCCAACAUGGGUAUCCAGAUCCCGCUAUUGGUUAUUGGCCAGAGAACGUCUCGGUCAUGUCUGCAUGGUUCCCGAACCCGUAGGGUCUACACACUUAAGGUUCGGUGACGCUAGGGUUAUAGAGAUAUUAGUAUGCGGUAACCCGAAAGUUGUUAUGAGUCCCGGAUGAGAUCCCGGACGUCACGAGGAGUUCUGGAAUGGUCCGGAGGUAAAGAAUUAUAUAUAGGAAAUGCUAUUUCGGCCAUCGGGACGAGUUUCGGGGUCACCGGUAUUGUACCGGGACCACCGGAAGGGUCCCGGGGGUCCACCGGGUGGGGCCACCUGCCCCUGGGGGGCCACAUGGGCUGUAGGGGUGCGCCUUGGCCUAUAUGGUCCAAGGGCACCAGCCCCAAGAGGCCCAUGCGCCAAGAGAUGAGAGAAAGGAAGAGUCCUAAAGGGGGAAGGCACCUCCUAGGUGCCUUGGGGAGGAUGGACUCCUCCCUUGGCCGCACCCUUCCUUGGAGGAAGGGCCAAGGCUGCGCCCCCCUCUCCCUUGGCCCUAUAUAGUGGGGGGAAGGGAGGGCAGCAACACCUAAGCCAUGGCGCCUCCCUCUCCCUCCCAUGACACAUCUCCCUCCCGCAGCACUUGGCGAAGCCCUGUUGGAAUCCCGCUACUUCCACCACCACGCCGUCGUGCUGCUGGAUCUCCAUCAACCUCUCCUUCCCCCUUGCUGGAUCAAGAAGGAGGAGACAUCGCUGCUCCGUACGUGUGUUGAACGCGGAGGUGCCGUCUGUUCGGCGCUAGGAUCAUCGGUGAUUUGGAUCACGACGAGUACGAGUCCAUCAACCCUGUUCUCUUGAACGCUUCCGUGCGCGAUCUACAAGGGUAUGUAGAUCCACUCCUCCCUCGUUGCUAGAUGACUCCAUAGAUAGAUCUUGGUGACACGUAGGAAAAUUUUGAAUUUAUGCUACGUUCCCCAACAUUUUCCUACCAAUCUAUCCCCCUAGGAGCAUGCGUGUAGUACUUUGUUUCGGUAACUAAUAGAUUUUUUCAAUAAGUAUGUGAGUUCUUUAUGACUAAUGUUGAGUCCAUGGAUUAUAUGCACUCUCACCCUUCCACAUUUGCAGGCCUCUCUAUUACCGCGCACUUUUUGCCGGUAUCAUACACCCACCAUAUACCUUCCUCAAAACAGCCACCAUACCUACGUAUUAUGGCAUUUCCAUAGGCAUUCCAAGAUAUAUUGCCAUGCAACUUUCCACCGAUCCGUUUGUUAUGACAUGCUUCAUCAUUGUCAUAUUGCCAUGCAUGAUCAUAUAGUUGACAUCGUAUUUGUGGCAAAGCCACCGUUCACAAUUUUUUCAUACAUGUCACUCUUGAUUCAUUGCAUAUCUCAGUACACCGCCGGGGGCAUUCACAUAGAGUCAUAUUUUGUUCUAAGUUUUGUGUUGUAAUUCUUGAGUUGUAAGUAAAAAGAAGUGUGAUGAUCAUCAUUACUAGAGCAUUGUCCCAAUGAGGAAAGGAUGAUGGAGACUAUGAUUCCCCCACAAGUCGGGAUGAGACUCUGGACGAAAAAAAGAAAAGAGGCCAAAAGAAAAAAAGGCCCAAAAAAUGAGAGAAAAAGAGAGAAGGGACAAUGUUGCUAUCCUUUUUCCACACUUGUGCUUCAAAGUAUCACCAUGAUCUUCAUGAUAGAGAGUCUCCUAUGUUGCCACUUUCAUAAACUAGUGGGAAUUUUACAUUAUAGAACUUGGUUUGUAUAUUCCAAUGAUGGGCUUCCUCAAGUUGGCCUAGGUCUUCGUGAGCAAGCAAGUUGGAUGCACACCCACUUAGUUUAUUUUGUUGAGCUUUCAUACACUUAUAGCUCUAGUGCAUCCGUUGCAUGGAAAUCCCUACUCACUCACAUUGAUAUCUAUUGAUGGGCAUCUCCAUAGCCCGUUGAUACGCCUAGUUGAUGUGAGACUAUCUUCUCCUUUUUGUCUUCUCCACAACCACCAUUCUAUUCCACCUAUAGUUCUAUGUCCACGGCUCACGCUCAUGUAUUGCAUGAAAGUUGAAAUAGUUUGAGAACAUCAAAAGUAUGAAACAAUUGCUUGGCUUGUCAUCGGGGUUGUGCAUGAUUUAAUAUUUUGUGUGAUGAAGAUAGAGCAUAGCCAGACUAUAUGAUUUUGUAGGGAUAACUUUCUUUGGCCAUGUUAUUUUGAGAAGACAUGAUUGCUUAGUCAGUAUGCUUGAAGUAUUAUUAUUUUUAUGUCAAUAUUAAACUUUUAUCUUGAAUCUUUCGGAUCUGAACAUUCAUGCCACAAUAAAGAAAUUACAUUGAGAAAUAUGUUAGGAAGCAUUCCACAUCAAAAAUUCUGUUUUUAUCAUUUACCUACUCGAGGACGAGCGGGAAUUAAGCUUGGGGAUGCUUGAUACGUCUCCAACAAUUUUUGAUUGUUCCAUGCUAUUAUAUAUUCUGUUUUGGAUGUUUAAUGGGCUUAUUUGUACACUUUUAUAUUAUUUUUGGGACUAACCUAUUAACCAGAGGCCCAGCCCAAAUUGCUAUUUUUUGCAUAUUUGAGUGUUCCGCAGAAAAAGAAUAUCAAACGGAGUCCAAACGGAAUGAAACCUUCAGGAGCGUGAUUUUUGGAACAGACGUGAUCCAGAGGACUUGGAGUGGACGUCAAGCAACCAACGAGGAAGCCAUGAGGUAGGGGGUGCGCCUACCCACCUGGGCGCGCCCUCCACCCUCGUGGGCCCCUCGUGGCUCCACCGACCUACUUCUUCCUCCUAUAUAUACCUACGUACCCUGAAAACAUCAGAGAGCACCACGAAAACCGAAUUCCACCGCCGCAACCUUAUGUACCCGUGAGAUCCCAUCUUGGGCCUUUUCCGGCGCUCCGCUGGAGGGGGCAUUGAUCACGGAGGGCUUCUACAUCAACACCAUAGCCUCACCGAUGAUGUGUGAGUAGUUUACCUCAGACCUUCGGGUCCAUAAUUAUUAGCUAAAUGGCUUCUUCUCUCUCUUUGGAUCUCAAUACAAAGUUCUCCUCGAUUCUCUUGGAGAUCUAUUCGAUGUAAUCUUCUUUUGCGAUGUGUUUGUCGAGAUCCGAUGAAUUGUGGGUUUAUGAUCAAGAUUAUCUAUGAACAAUAUUUGAAUAUUCUCUGAAUUCUUUUAUGUAUGAUUGGUUAUCUUUGCAAGUCUCUUUGAAUUAUUAGUUUGGUUUGGCCUACUAGAUUGAUCUUUCUUGCAAUGGGAGAAGUGCUUAGAUUUGGGUUCAAUCUUGCGGUGCUCGAUCCCAGUGACAGUUGGGGAAAUGACAUGUAUUGUAUUGUUGCCAUCGAGGAUAAAAAGACGGGGUUUAUAUCAUACUGCAUGAGUUUAUCCCUCUACAUCAUGUCAUCUUGCUUAAAGCGUUACUCCAUUCUUAUGAACUUAAUACUCUAGAUGCAUGCUGGAUAGCGGUCGAGGUGUGGAUUAAUAGUAGUAGAUGUAGGGAGGAGCCGGUCUACUUGUCACGGACGUGAUGCCUAUAUACAUGAUCAUACCUAGAUAUUCUCAUAACUAUGCUCAAUUCUAUCAAUUGCUCGACAGUAAUUUGUUCACCCACCGUAAUACCUAUGCUAUCUUGAGAUAAGCCACUGGUGAAACCUAUGGCACCUGGGUCUAUUUUCCAUCAUACAAGUUUCCAAUCUAUUUUAUUUUGCAAUCUUUACUUUCAAUUUAUAUCAUAAAAAUACCAAAAAUAUUUAUCUUAUUAUUAUUAUCUCUAUCAGAUCUCACUCUUGCAAGUGGCCGUGAAGGGAUUGACAACCCCUUUAUCGCGUUGGUUGCGAGAUUCUUAUUUGUUUGUGUAGGUACGAGGUGACUCGCGUGUGGUCUCCUACUGGAUUGAUACCUUGGUUCUAAAAAACUGAGGGAAAUACUUACGCUGCUUUGCUGCAUCACCCUUUCCUCUUCCAAGGAAAACUAACGCCUGCUCACGAGGUAGGACCGUUCGUGUCAUUGAAGAAGUUGUGGGAGGUACCCGAGUCAAUAUGCCUAUUGAUACGACAAUAGCUGAAGGUCAAGAGAAUGAUGCCUAGAAUCCUGCGGCAACCAACAAUGUCAAUGAAAAGAAUGCAACCCCAGGUUGGUAACUUCACUUUUUCUGUUUAAGCCAUGAUAACUCAAGUUAAUGUUCUGACAUUAACAAAUACAAUGUCCAUUUCAUGUUUAUCCGAUGCAUUUUUUCCAUUUUGUGUGUUACUUUUGGUGUUUAUUGCAGUAGUUGACCCUGUGUUGGACUUGAGCACCCCUGGAGCUAGAGAAGAUGUCGAUGUGUAUAUAGACUAUGGUGAUUUUAUGCCACCCAACUGCUCUCUUAGGCUUGAUGCCAUCUUUGGUGCGAGUCCACAAGUGCCACCAUCUACUGAAGCAUCUCCAACGGUUCAAGCUACACCAGCAUUGGCUCCUACGGGUCAAGCUGCACCUCCAUCACCAGAUGCUUCAGCGGCGGUGGCAUCGGCUCAAGUUCAACCUGCAGCACCAGAAGCAUCGGCGACGGCGCCAUUGGCUCAAGUACCACCUGGAACACCAGAAGCAUCGGCGGCGGCGCCAUCGGCUCAAGUUCCACCUGCAGCACCAGAAGCAUCGGUGGCGCCAUCAGCUCAAGUUCCACCUGCAGCACCAGCUACUGGCCCUGUCGCGGUUCUAGGGCUUGCAUCCCCUGUUGCUGCUGACUCCAAGGGCAAGAAAGGAGGGAAAGUUGACAAUGUGCAACCGGUUGCUUGGGCUCCGCCACGCAACUCUGGUAAGUGAAGACCUUGCGUCUUUGCUUUUUAUAGCGAGAGUGAUGGAUUGACAUAUGUCAGUGUAUAGCUUUUGUUUGUGGUUGGGUGUGCUCCCGUCAUUUAUGUGUUUGGAAUUUUCUAUGCUUUCGUGUGUAUGGAUGAAUGUAAGACUACUUCUGUGCUUUGUGUGAUGAAAAUGAACAUUUGUGCUUUCAGUACCCGGAAUAUAUUUUCUGUUGUGUUCCCUAAAAAUAUUUGGUAUGACACUAGCCUAGAUGAUAACAUACAAUAUGUUCCUUUUUCUGGUAACCCCUCCUCCUGGUGAUAACUCCAACAUCUUUCCCCCUGGUAGCUUUGUCAGUUUGGAAAGUUGUUGUUAUCACACCAACCAUGUGGCUUGUAACUGAACCACUUUUAUCUAUUACUAACUUUAUUAUGCGCGUGAUACAUACAUCUCAUAUCAUUGCCUAUUUAUUUUCCUUAAUUUUUUGUCAUGCUUACUAAACAUGACUGCACUGGUAGUAGCAGGUGUGUACUCUUAUUCAUCUGAAAUUUGUUAUUAUUCCCUCAUUUUUUAGUUAUGCUGAUAAGUCUUUUACCACUAUCUUGGCAACUCAAAUGUUCAAAUCCUGAUAAUUUCUGAACCAUGGACAUGAUAACUCAAGCCAUAUAUUCAUUACCAAUUCUGGGCUAUAAAGUUCUUUUGGUCUUCUUUUUAAUACAUGUUUUGAUGCUAUCACACCUGCUCCUCAUUAUGCACCAAUGCUAUCUAAUUUGUUUUUUAAAAAGCCCAUAGCAUUGUAGUGGUAAUCCACAUUCACAUUACCUGGUAUUUUCUGCAAUGUGGGCCUGAUAACUUAAUGUAUAUUGACUCAAUUUUUGAUACUUGUUUAUUUUCAAUAUAUUAUCUUGCUUAUCACUACUGUUCAUGUCCUCAUCCCUCUCUUUUUAUUUAUGUAACACCGGAAGGUGGUCGUGUGCAAGUGUAUGAUGUCGAGAUCGAUGAUGAUGAGGUUCUCAUGUGGUGGGAAGAGUUUGAACAUGACAAUCCAGCAUUAAAAGGGAAAUUGAAUGUUCAAAUAGGUGAUUUUUUCUGCUCCAUGAACAUUGCAACCCUUGCAUAAAUCCCUUUCUUUGUUUUCCAACUAUGGAAAACAUGUGACAGUUGAUAAGUUAUGACCCACCACUUGAUAAGUCUUUCACCCUUCUGUUGAUAACUUAUGUUUUCAGUGUUUUUUUGACUUUGCUUGUCGGGGGUUGGGUGCGACAUAUGCCAAAGGAUGGCUUAUCAUGAUGGGAGCGAGUAGAACGUCGCCGGUGCCUGGAAACGGGAUAAGGCGAAGGCAUGCACGCCGGCGAAUCUUACCCAGCUUCGGGGCUCUCUGUGGAGAUAAUACCCCUACUGCUGCUCUGCGGGGUCUCCGCAUGAUCACUAUGGCAAAGUGUGUACACGGUUGCUCCUUGAGCUGUUUCUUGGAGGUAGGAGAAGGCAAGGCUAGCUCUCUCCUUCCUAUAUGAUUCCAACCCUUUGCAUGGGUGCCCUGGGGGGUUUAUAUAGGCCUACCCCCCAGGGGUACAAUGGUAAUCCGGCUGGACGCGGGCCCAGCCAUCAGUCUCUCUGGCCGCUGUCUUAUCCGCCGACUCCUGGGGCCCGCCGACUGGCUCGGUACGGAGCCGACAGGCCGCGUCCGCCGCGGGCGGGUCUUGCCGGUUGUAGAUUACUGUAGUCGUGCCUCUAAUGACGCGGGCUCGGUCAUGGGGUCGUGGCGACAGCUCCGCCGUCUGGCGGGCGAUCACUGUGGCCACUCCCUGCCGCGUCUGGUUAAUGGCGCAUGGGGCCCGUGGGAGGGGCUGGCCGACUCCUGGGGGCCGACUCCCAACUGGGCCGACUGGUGGCGCUCUCGCCGUCUUCCGUAUGCCUGCCGACUGGUGGGACCCGUCAUCCCUGGGUCGUACCGGCAGGCCGUCGUGGGCACAGGACUCCGCCCACUGGGGCUGACGUCAGGGCCGACAUGGCAACAGUGUCGCGCCAGGCGGAGAUCUCCAUGGGUACAGCGUACUGUGGCCAUGCCUGCCCUUGGAAAAGGGUGGGAGUGGACCUUACUGUGGCCACUCCCCGUCCCGUCCCUCUUUAUGAGGGCUUGGGGGUUGUUGGCGUCGCAGGCCGACUCCCCAUGGCCGGCUUCUCUAGAAGUCGCCAGUCAGGAGUCGGCUCAUCCUGAAGUCGUCCUCGGGACUCGGCCGUGAGUGGGCAGUCAGCUGCCUCGCAGCCGACUCUCAGAAGGCAGCUCUUCGUCCUGGGGUCUUGAGGGGUGCAGCCUGCCCUGAUGUCUUGAAAGGUUCUGGGCCUGGGUUAGCCUACCCAUGGCCCAUUACUCCGACAGUAGUCCCCGAAGCUGGUGAGGCACCGAAGGCGAUAUGUCGAGGAGCCUCAAUAGUUUCUUCUUUCCGGCGGUCGGAUCUGGGCCUCGCUAGCCGUCUUCUGUCAAGCCGACUAGUUGGAGCCGGACUUGCUUAAGGCCGACUUGCCCCUAAAAAAGUUUGAACGUCGUGGCGGAGUCCAGGCUGCGUGCCUGAUAAGCCUCCGGGUUGCCGCCCGUUGUGAACCCGUCGCGAGGCGCCACGUGGCUGAGCUAGUCUGCCCACCCACGUGCGCGAUGGGACAGGCCUAUAGAUGGGGCCCGCCACUACCGCGCCUCGGCAUGUGAACGGAUCCGUUGUGGCCGUGCGGACGGUUGGGCUGCCCGCGCGGUUAUUGCACGCAGUAACUUCGUGUGGUAAAUCGUGGGGGUCGUGGGUUCCCGGGCACAAUUAAUCCCACGACUGCCCCAUCGGCUUCUCAGCCUAUGAGCCUAUAAGUAGGUGGGGGGAGGGGGCGGCGACGCACGAGCGCCCAUCUUCCCUACUCCCUUUCGCUCCUUCUUGCUUCUUCUUCCUCUCGCCGCUGCUGCUCCGAACCACGCCGCACCCGCAGCGAUGAGCUCUUCCUCCACCGCCACGCCUCCUGUUGUGCGCUCCGGAGUGUGGGACGACUCCGAGGUCGAUGACGACAACGUCGAGAUCCUCCGCAAGACACGGCGGCGGCGCGGCAGGGGCUUAGUGCGGGUCCGCCUCGCGCCAGAGGGGGAAAUAUCACCGGCGCCGGAGGAGGGCGAGCGGCUCAUAUUCCGCUCGCACCUUAUGCGCAGCCUGGGGAUGCCGGCGAGCGGUUUCUUCCGCUCCUUCUUGGAGUUCCACGGGCUCUAGCCGCACCACCUUACUCCGAACACGGUGGUGCUGCUGGCUGCCUUUGCCACCUUGUGCGAAGGUUUCCUUGGUGUUCUCCCCACCAUCGAGCUCUUGGGUGAGUUCUUCCAGUCCAAGCUCGGCACACACGUCACCGGCGUGCCGGCCCAGUGCGGCGCAUUUAUCGCGAUGCGGAGAUCAGUGGCCGACAAUCCGUUUCCCACCAUCGCACUGAUUAAGUCAGUGAAGAUGCGGCAGUGGUCCUAUUUUUAUGUGAAGAACGUCGCCCCAGAAGGCGACUGGGUCAACCUGCCGGCUUACGAAGCCGGCGCGCCGGCUGGAAGGCUCCCCAGCUGGUCACACCGAGCCAGGACGUUGUCUCCUGCUGGCGCCGCCGCUGUUGCGCGACUCCGAGUGCUGAUGCAGUCGGAGGGCUUGACCGGGGCCGACUUGCUGGCCGCCUUUGUGGCGCGCCGAGUCCUCCCACUCCAAGGCCGACCUCACCUGAUCUGCCAGAUGAGCGGUCAUCAGGACCCGAGUCGGAUGUGCUCCAAGGACAUGCCUCACGCGGAGGUGGCGGACCUGGUGAACUACAUCGCGAACUGCGGUCUCUCGGUGGAUUGGCGGUUCAGCAAGGAGCCGUACUCACGUGCCAACCCCCCGCCUAUUGUAAGUCGUCUUCCUUCUUCUUCUGUUUCUUUUGUUGCCGAGUCCGACUUGUCCAGUCUGACCGUUUUUGUUUUGGAUCAGAACCCUCUCGUCCAUCCUUCGGCCGGCACCACGGGGCCGGCUCGUCAGUUUGUCCCCGAUCGGGCGGAGAGCGACGUCGACGAUCCUGACUUGGGGGCGGCGGCCAUGGAGGCCGACGCCGAGGGAGGAGGAGGAGAAGCAGGCGGCUUCAGGCCAACGGCCACUUUCGCCGACUGGCCUGAUGACGAUGCUGAGGGGGAAGUCGCCCCGCGUCACCAGCCAAAGGCUGGCCAGCCAAGCGCGAAUUCCUCCACUGCCUUGGACGCUCAAGGCAGCGCGAAGAAGCGCCGGGCCAGGCCGAGUACACUUGGUGGCCGGUCAAAGAAAUUUAAGGGAGCGGCCGCCGCGACCAAGCGGGAAGAGGCGGCCGCGAAGGCCAACCGCUUCCGCAAGGAAGUGAAGAAGCCGCCGCUGGUCUCUGCGUAAGCGCCUCCGUCCCUCAUCUUUAUUUUCUCUUUGUUGAUCUUGUCUAAGUCUCUCAUAUGCUUCCCUCACUUCAGGGCUCCCCUCACUCUUGAGAGGGUUGCCGCCGCCUCCGUUAUGGGGUCGGCGGGGACUUCUACCUCCACUCGGCAGAUUGACCCUGCCGCCGACCUCAGGGAGGCGACAGAGUGGAACGCGCAGGAGAAGCACGAGGAGGAAGAGGCCGCCCGCCUGAAGAAAGCGGAGGCCGAUACGGCGGAGACCUCCGCUCUGAAAAAGUUGGAGGAGGCCGAGGCCGCCGUCGCGGCAAGGCGGCAGGCUAAGGAGGUCGUGCACCGGCGAUCGGCGGUGUUCGUCACUCCUCUGAACUCUGCGCUGCCGCCCCCGGAGUUCACGGGGCAGUUAGGGGAAGCCGGCGGCGAGUUCCCGAUCAUGGAGAGGGGUGGCGGUGACGCCUCCAUGCCGGACGUGGUCAUCCCGCCACCGCCGCCCUCGGCGCCAUCUAGGAGCGUGCAAGGCAAGCAGCCGGCCGACCCGCCCUUGCCGCUGACUGAAGACGAGGCCGUGGCAAAGCUACUCCUUCAAGUCGGCUCGCCAAUGCGCCGCCGCCUUGAGAAGGCGACUUCGGCACCAUGCCCCUUGGAGACCGGCACCGCCAGCUCGACAAUCCCAGACGCCGAAGCGACGAGCGCCGCGCCCAUUGGGUGGGUGCAAGGAGGCGGCACGGGCCCGCUAAACCAGGCGCUUCUGGAUGUCCAGACAAAGCUGUGAGCUAAGAGCGACGCUAUCCAAAACUGCACCAAGGCGCACCUAGCGUCGCGGGCAGCCAUCCGGGUAUGCUUUUUCCCUUGUCUUUGUUUUCUUGUUCCUCUCUGUGGGGGAACGCCAGCGCAUCCACUGGGUGUAGUCCCUGAGUUUCGGGCCGGCUGCUGAGCAGGCGGCCCGGAACUCCAAUUGGUGAGUUCCGGGUACUAACUUUUGUCUGAAAUACUUGUCGCGGGACUAUCACAACCUCCGUGUCACCGCGUUCAACUGCAAUGUUGAAGAGCUAGGCAAGUGGACCGCCGACUUGUCGGAGAGCCAGAGUGAGUCCUUUUUCUUCUUUGCGGGGGCGCGCUGGUGCACCCGCGGGCUGUAGUCCCCGAGAUUCGGGCCGACUGCUGAGCAGUCGGGCCGGAUCUCCCCGGCUACCUUCUUUGUUGAUGACUUAACGCCUUCUUUCUUCUUUCUCUUCAGAGGCUAACACCAUUCUUCAACAGCAGCUGAGCGAAGCCAACACCACGUUACGCGCCAAGGGGGAGGAGUGCAGCAAGCUCGCCGUAGAGCGCGAUCUACUGGCCGCACAAUUGGCACAGCAGAAGGAGCUGCUUAAGAAGAUGCAGAAGGAGGCGGAAGAAGAGGAGGCCGCCCUCCUGGCUGAGUUCGUGAGCGAGCGCUCCUCCUGGACUGACAAGGAGGUAAUGCUGGCCUCCGGCUUCCACGAGAUCGAGGACCUCGUCGACGGUGAGCUUCUUUGCUUUUCUUCUUCGAGCCGCCGACUAUAGGUCGAGCCGACUCUUGGUUUUUGACUUGUUCUUCAUUCUUUUCGUCUUGGCAGACUUCUUCCCCGGCCACUCGCAGGCCACCAAUCAAGCUAUCGAGGCUGAUCGCGAGGAGCGAAGGGCGGAUGGCGCGGAGAUCGCGCCGAUGCCCCCCGGACCCUUGACGAGCAUAUUCUGAGCAUUGGGGAUCGUCUGCAGCCAGCCCAUCGGUUGCUACGCCGGCUUCAAUGUGUCGGCGCCCAAACGAUCGCUGCCCUGUGGCCAAACAUGCAGGCUCCGCGCACCCCCAGUCGGACUGCCGACUGGCUGGAGGUCGCGGCUGGCCGUCUUGAGGCCUGGAAGGGUUCCUCGGCCUGGGCUGGAGCGCGCUGAGCCUUGGAAUUUGUCAAGGCAUGGUAUCCGGGGCUGGACCUAGACCGGCUGGCCACACUCCGGUCAGAGGCCCAGCCGGAGCUGGCAGCCGCGGAAGACGCCCUUGUCAAGCAUGCAGCAGCGAUUGUUGAGUACACCGAUACUAGCAUCUUUGUCCCCGAGCGAGCUGAAGACGGCGGGGAGGUACCGCCGGAGUGGUUUGGGAUGAACCCAGACUACGGCGAGGACUCAGCGGAGGUGAUCGGCUCCAGCGUCGAGGAGGAAGACGAGGCGGGGGAUGGAAGCGAGACGGAGGCACCGGAAGACGGAGCAGACGGCCAGCCUCAGCUCGACCGCGCCUCCAGCAACGAGCCGUGCCCGCCCGAGCCAACUGCCGCCGGAGGUGAUCAAGCCAAGACUGCCCAGCCGGCCGCCCCAACAUCCAACACCGCCGUCUCCUCCGAUCCUCCAAACCCGUCUGCCGCCUCCUAGGCUGCCACCUUAUCUUUGUUUUAUCUGUUUUAAUAGUCUUUGAAGAACUUGUUAAUUCGCACAAUUCUACCCGCGGGGUGUAUUUUGAACUUCUGCUCGAAGGUUUGGCCAAGGGCCUUCAUUAUGUAAAUAUUCAUCCGACUUCUAUCUUUUCUUGCUCAUUGCUUCUUUGGCUUUUUCCUUUGCCGCCUUCCCUCAGUUGUCGUCUUUGUCAGUCGGACAGCUGCUCUGCGGACUGCUGCUGGAUCAAAUUCUUGGUCACUUUGGGAAGGCAAGUACUUAGCCGUUUUUAGAGUUGUUUUAGCAAGUCAGAUAGAAGGUGGCAAGCCGACUGCUCAAGAGUCGGUUUGCGAAAAAAAGGCUGGAAGCCGGCUUUAAGCUAUGUUUAUGCUUUGAGUCCUUAGCCAUUUUUCAUGUGGACGCCCAUUCUUCCUUACUCCUGCCCACCAGACAGUCGCUCUGCGAGCUGCGGCUUCUAACAAGAGACGGCUUAGGCGCCACACACUACUUGUCCGGCUACAGGAAGCAUUUCAUAGCGCAAGGCGGCAAGUCCCUGGGCCGGCUAGUCGAACCUGGUGCCAAACGGCAUGACGAAAAGUAACAUACUCGUAGGCAUAAUCCUUAUCAUAUAGAUAAAAGAGGGCAGUCCCCGAGCUCUUCUCGGGGGGCCCAAAGUCUUGGUACUUUUAAUACAAAAGGUAGCGUGGUACAUACUGCAUUUAACUGUAAAAUUUUCGGAGGAGGUUUGCAUUCCAUGGCCGCUCUGUCUCUUUGCCGGACUCGUCCCUGUUGCGUGCUCGUGGCUUCUGAGCGUCGAUCAGGUAGUAGGAGUCGUUGCCCAGCACUUUGCUGAUGAUGAAGGGGCCUUCCCAAGGCGCCGACAGCUUGUGCUGGCCGGCUGUUCGCUGGAUCAGUCGGAGCACAAGGUCGCCCUCUUGGAAAGAUCUCGGCCUGACCUUCCUGUUGUAGUAUCUGCGUAGGCUCUACUAGUAGAUGCUGGACCGGCUGAGUGCCAACAGCCGACCCUCUUCUAGCUGAUCGACACCGUCUUGACGUGCUUCUUCUGCUUCUUCCUCGGUGUACAUGGUGACUCGCGGGGAGUCGAACUCUAUGUCCGUUGGGAUGACGGCUUCAGCACCGUAGACGAGGAAGAAAGGCAUGAAGCCAGUUGACUUGUUUGGAGUCGUGCGCAGACUCCAGAGGACGGCGGGCAACUCAUCGAGCCAGCAGCCAGCCGAGCGCUCCAGAGGCUCGACCAGUCAGGGCUUAAUGCCGGACAGGAUGAGGCCGUUUGCUCGCUCCACCUGGUCGUUUGACUAUGGAUGGGCGACGGACGCUAGGUCCAGUCGGAUGCCCUGUGUCACGCAGAAACGGGCCAAGGCGCCUUUGGCAAAGUUCAUGCCGUUGUCGGUGAUGAUGUUGUGUGGUACGCCGUACCGAAUUGUGAUGUCGGAGAUGAAAGUCACGGCAGUCGGACCAUUCAGCUUCUUGAUUGGCUUCGCUUCUAUCCACUUGGUGAACUUGUCCACUGCAACAAGUAAGUGAGUUAGGCCACCUCGUGCCGUCUUGAAUGGUCCCACCAUGUCUAGGCCCCAAACUUCGAAGGGCCAGGCAAUGGGGAUGGUCUUGAGUGCAGAAGCCGGCUGAUGCGGCUUGGAGCGGAACUUCUGGCACCCUUUGCAUUUUUGGACCAAUUCCUUGGCCUCUUCUAAGGCCGUUGGCCAGAAGAAACCAUGUCGGAAGGCUUUGGCGACAAGUGCUCUUGAAGCCGCAUGGUGGCCGCACUCGCCUUGAUGGAUGUCUUUGAGAAUUGCCUGGCCUUGCUCUGGCUCUACGCAGCGCUGGUAGACACCAGUGACGCUGCGCCUGACCAGCUCUCUGUUGACUAUGGUGUAGGCUGCCGCUCGGCGUUGUACUUGCCGAGCUAAGUUCUCAUCAGUCGGCAGCUCUUUGCUCACCAGGUAUUUGAGGAUGGGCUGGGCCCAUGAGGGUGCUACUAUUUCUUCGACUGCCAGAACUGUGACUUGGACGAGGGCGGCUGGGCUGGGAGGCGGCGGGCUGGAGUCAGCAACUGCUUGCUGGAUUAAUGAAGUCCCCGUGCCGACUGGUGCAGCCCUCGGGCCGAGUUCUGGAGUCUUUGGGCUGGCCGCCGCAGUCCUCGGGGCGGGUUCUGCAGUCCUUGGGCCGGCUUCGACUGUGGCGGCUUUGGAGCCAUCUGCCAAAAUCCUCGUACCGUCUGCCGGAGCUCUGGAGUCGGAUCCGACUUCUUGGGGAGGAGCCAGCACAAAGAUGGAGUCUGAUUCUGGUGAAGGCUUGACAGACGGCUUGAGGAGGCAUUGAAGGGCGACACUGGAUGGUAUUGCUUGGCGGGUGGAGCCGAUUCGUGCCAGGGUAUCUGCUUGGUCGUUGUCGCUUCUUGGCACAUGGAGGAACUCGCACCCCUCGAAAUAUCCACUGAGUUGCUGCACGAGGAAAUGGUAACUCGCCAUGUUUGCAUCUUUGGCAUCCCAGUCGCCAGAUGACUGCUGGAUCACUAAGUCGGAGUCGCCAUAACACAUGAUCCGACGAAUGCCAAGUUCUUUGGCAAGCCUAAGCUCGUGAAUGAGCGCCUCGUAUUCGGUGACAUUGUUGGAGGCGGCAAAGUGGAUUUGCAGUGCGUAUUUGAGCUUGUCGCCCUUAGGAGAAGUGAGGACAACGCCGGCUCCCAAGCCGGUGCGCAUCUUGGAGCCGUCGAAAUGCAUCCGCCAAUGGGUGGAGUCGAGUGCUGGUGGUAGGUACUGGGUCUCGGCCCAGUCAACGAGGAAGUCGGCCAGUGCUUGUGACUUGAUGGCGGUGCGGGGCUGGUAGUAGAUGGUGUAGGGAGCCAGCUCUAUGGCCCAUUUGGCCACUCGGCCAGAAGCAUCUCAGCUUCCGAUGAUCUCGGCAAGUGGGGUCGUGCAGACCACAGUGAUUGGAUGCUCUUGAAAGUAAGGAUUCAACUUCUUGGCGGUAAAGUGCACGCCAUAGCACAUCUUCUGGUAGUGGGGUAGUUCUGCUUGGAGGUCGACAGCACUUCACUCAGGUAAUAUACCGGUCUCUGGACAGGUAGUGCCUUGCCUUCCUCCUUGCGUUCCACUACAAUGACUCUGCUGACUACCCGGCUGGUGGCGGCGAUGUACAGGAGCAUCGGCUCCUUAGGAGUCGGAGCCGCCAAAAUGGGUGGAGUAGUCAACAUCUUCUUCAACUGGAGAAAGGAUUCGUCUGCCUUGUGGUUCCACUCGAAAAAAGUGGUCUUCUUCAUGAGCUGGUAUAAGGGGAGAGCUUUCUCGCCCAGCCGACUGAUGAAUCGGCUGAUGGACGCCAAGCAGCCAGUGAACUUUUGCACGUCCAGCAGUCGGCUGGGUACCUCCAUCCUCUCAAUGGCCUUGAUCUUUACAGGGUUGCACUCUAUGCCACGUUCAGAGACCAGGAAACCAAGGAGUUGGCUGGCUGGUACUCCGAAGACGCACUUCUCAGGGUUGAGCUUGAUCUGGAAUCGGCGCAGGUUCUCAAAGGUCUCCUUGAGGUCUUCCAGUAGUGUUCCAUGCUUCUCCGUCUUCACCACCACAUCGUCCACGUAAACAUGGGCGUUUCUGCCGAGUUGCUUGAGGAGGCACUUCUACAUGCAACGCUGAAAGGUGGCAUCGGCAUUCCUCAAGCCGAAUGUCAUGGUUAGGUAGCACAAGGCUCCAAACGGUGUGAUGAAGGCGGUCUUAAGUCUGUCAGCCGGGUUCAGCUUGAUCUGGUGAUAUCCUGAAUAUGCAUCCAAGAAGCUCAACAGCUCGCAUCCGGCUGUGGAGUCUAUCACCUAAUCAAUUCUUGGCAAAGCAAACGGAUCCUUGGGGCAAGCCUUGUUGAGGCUUCUGUAGUCAAUACACAUUCGCCACUGCUUGUUCUUCUUCAGUACCAGGACCGGGUUGGCUAGCCACUCUGGAAAGAAUACUUCCAUAAUGAAGCCGGUUGCUAGGAGUCGGGAUAUCUCUUCUUCGACAACUCUUCUCUUUUCUUCUGAUAGGAGGCGCAAGGGCUGCCUGACUGGCUUCGCAUCAGAUCGGACAUGUAACUUGUGCUCGGCGAAUUCCGUCGGUACACCUGGCAUGUCUUCAGUCUAUCAGCCGGGUUCAGCUUGAUCCUGAAUAUGCAUCCAAGAAGCUCAACAGCUCGCAUCUGGCUCUGGAGUCUAUCACCUGAUCAAUUCGUGGCAAAGCAAACGGAUCCUUGGGGCAAGCCUUGUUGAGGCUUCUGUAGUCAAUACACAUUCGCCACUGCUUGUUCUUCUUCAGUACCAGGACCGGGUUGGCUAGCCACUCUGGAAAGAAUACUUCCAUAAUGAAGUCGGCUGCUAGGAGUCGGGCUAUCUCUUCUCUGACAACUCUUCUCUUUUCUUCUGAUAGGAGGCGCAAGGGCUGCCUGACUGGCUUCGCAUCAGAUCGAACAUGUAACUUGUGCUCGGCAAAUUCCGUCGGUACACCUGGCAUGUCUUUGGGGGACCAUGCGAAGAUGUCCCAAUUCUCACAGAGGAAAUCAAUGAGCUCGCCUUCCUAUUUGCUGUCGAGGUUUGCGCCUAUGACAGCGUACCUCUCUGGGUGCUCCGGGUCCAAGGGUAUCUUCUUCAUCUCUUUGGCCGGUUUAAACGAACCCUCAGCCUCCGACUCCUUGGGGUUAAGCGGCAUCUCUAGCUGCUUGCCGGCCAUCGCCACAACUCGGUCAAGGAGCCGCUUCUCGGCCGCGAUCACCAGGGACUCGGCCAACCGACUACUUUCAGCCGCACAAGCAGACGACUUUUGGUAGUCGCCGGCUACGUUCAGAAUCCCCUUGGAACUAGGCAUUUUCAUCUUGAGGGAGGCGUAGUGGGGGACCACCAUGAACUUGGCCAGGGCGGGUCGGCCAAGUAAUGCAUGGUAUGGGCUCUCGAGAUCCACCACCUCAAACCAAACUGACUCUCGGCGGAAGUGAUCUUUGUCUCCAAAGAGGACGUCCAUCAGGAUCUUGCCGAUUGGUGAGCAGGAAAGGCCAGGAACAAUGCCGUGGAAUACAGUCCGGCUGUUCUGAAGCUGUCUUUGCUUGAUUCCUAACUUCUCCAUGGUGUCCUUGUACAGGAUGUUGAUGCUGUUGCCUCCGUCUAUCAGAACUCGCGAGAAACGAGCAGCUCGUCUAUCUGUGGCAAAGGUGGCAUCCAAGACCAAGGCAUAAGAGCCCGGACUCGGCAUCACCUCUGGGUGAUCAGCUCUGCUCCAGCUGAUAGGCUUCUCAGACCAGUGCAUGAAUUCUGGUGUCUCAGAUGCUACUGCGUUCACCUCUUGCUGCUGUAGCCGCCUGCUGCGUCGAUCAUCAGCCACGCUGGUAAAUACCAUGUAGGCUCCAUGCUCUUCGGGGUACUCGUCUUGUACUGUGCCGACUGGCCUGACAGCCGACUGCUGGGGCGGAGGCGGAGGCUACUGCCCAGCAGGCGGGGGAGGUAGGAGGCCGUCUCCUUUGGCAAUCCUGGUGAGCCAGUGGCACUUCCAGGUGAUGUGGUUCGACGGCUUCGCGCCGUUGUGGAACUUGCAAGGACCAUCCAGAGUCUGCUCGUAUGAGAAAGCCGGCAACCAGUUGGGCUUGCCGCCUUUCUGUCGCUUGGGUGGAGGCUUCCCUUCCGGCUGCUAGUCUUCGACUGUCGCCACCUGCCGGCUGCUGGAAGCCGGCUGUGGGGCCUUGCGCUUGUGGUCGCUCUACUGUUGUCGCCGACUGGCGUCUCCAGCCGGAGUUCUAGGAGCCUGAGGGGCCACUUUGCCAGUCGCACUAACUUGAAUCUCCGCCUUCAUGGAGGAGUCGGCCGUGGCAUACUUGUCUGCUAUGAUCAGCAGCUCGUCGAGGGUUUCUGGCUUGUCGCAAAGGAGCUUGUGCUUGAGGAGGGUGCCUUCUCUGCAGCCAGCGGUGAACUACUCGAUAGCCUGCACCUCGUGCACGCCCUCGCAGGAGUUCCGAAGCUCGGCCCAACGCGUGAGGUAGUCGCGAGUCGACUCGUUGGGGCCUUGCAUGCAAAAGGAAAGCUUGCGAGGUUUGGGAGGACGCUUGUACGUGAUUGUGAAGUUGCGGACGAAUGCAUCGGUGAAGUCGACCCAGCUGUUGGUGCUGUGGGGCUUCAAGUUGUUCAGCCAUGUCCGGGCCGUGCCCUGGAGCAUGAGCGGAACGUAUUUUACGGCAACGCACUUGUUGCCGUUCGCUAUGUUGACGGCCGUGGAGUAGUCAACCAGCCAGUCCUCCGGCUUCACGGAGCCGGUGUACUAGGGCGUGUCUCUUGGGAGCGUGAACCCUUUGGGAAAGGGCUCGUCUCGAAUGCGGGGCCCGAAACAAGGCGGACCUAACUCGUCUUCUUCUUCCAGCGCCAGGGAUCGAUGAAGUCGGUCGAUCCGGUGGCGGGCGUCAUUUUCUCCGACUCCCUCUCGGCGGCCAAGGCGGUCGCCGAGAGUCGGAUGGUCAACUAGCGGCAGGGAGACUCGCCUUUCCUUGCGAGGAGGAGGCGGACAGUCAUCCCGUCGUUCUACUGCUCUUGGGUGGUCGUCUUGGUCGCACUCUAUGGUAAUGCGAGUCCGACUGCGGCUGACAGCCGGAUCCUUGUCUUUCCUUCCUCGGGCGCCGCCAGUCGGCGUCCGAGACAUCGCGCCUUGGUCUCAGCAUGGAGGCGGGUCGUCGUUUUGUCGCCGCGGCGCCUCUGUGCGGCAGCCGGCCUCGUUCUGUGCGGCAGCCGCGUCGAGGAGCCGCUGGACUCGCUCCGCCAUCAGGCGGCGCUCCUCACCCUCGAAGUUGUCCAGCUCGUCCGCUGCCGCCUGGGCGGCUCGAAUGUUCUCCGUAGGCGUGGCGUACACAGGGCGAUUUGCCCCGAAUAGGUUGGCGAUGGCCACGCCGCGCUGCUGGACCGCGCCUAGGCGGCUGGGCCCAGUUGUGGAUGGCGAACCACCUACAGCACGAUCCAUCUCACGCUGGUAGGCUUCUGACAAGCGUCUCAUGCUAGCCAGCUUCUUCGCGCCUUCGAUGAGCUAAAGGCGGCGCGCCUCCAACGUCCCCGCGUCAGCGUCUUCCGGAAUGGGCGCGGUCAGGUCAUGCAAUGCCGCGCCAAGUGGGUCAUGCGCUCCUCCGCCGGGAGGCACGUCAUGACCGAUGAUGAACACCUUUGUGACGGUGCUUCCAUCGCUCUCCGUGCGAGGGAGCGGCUCAUCGUAGACCACCACAUUGGUGGGGAACGCGUCGAGCGACGCGGUGUCAGAGUCGACCAGCAUCGGGUCGGUGGAGCCUACAGACUCCAAGUCCAUGGCAGGCUCACCGGCGACGUGGAGUUGGUCAAGGAGGCCCGCAAGGAGGCUCUCGGGGCCGCCCGUGCCUGCAUCAGAUGCAGGCUCGUCGGAGAGGCGAACCUCGCUGACAAGAUCGGCAAGACAGCUGGCUACGCAGGCGAUCUCAGCGUCGUGCAGUGCGUCGGCGCAAACUCCGUCUGGCGUGCCGGGCUGGCUGUGCUCGCCAAGGAGGAAAAGGGUUCCCGUCCAGAGCAGGUCUCCGGACGACAGUGCACCAGGCCCCACGGUGGGCGCCAAAUGUCGGGGGUUGGGUGUGACAUAUGCCAAAGGAUGGCAUAUCAUGGUGGGAGCGAGUAGAACGUCGCCGGUGCCUGGAAACGGGAUAAGGCGAAGGCAUGCACGCCGGCGAAUCUUACCCAGCUUCGGGGCUCUCCGUGGAGAUAAUACCCCUACUGCUGCUCUGUGGGGUCUCCGCAUGAUCACUAUGGCAAAGUGUGUACACGGUUGCUCCUUGAGCUGUUUCCUGGAGGUAGGAGAAGGCAAGGCUAGCUCUCUCCUUCCUAUAUGAUCUGGUCUAGUGCUAAUGGAUUCCAACCCUUUGCAUGGGUGCCCUGGGGGGUUUAUAUAGGCCUACCCCCCAGAGGUACAAUGGUAAUCCGGCUGGACGCGGGCCCAGCCAUCAGUCUCUCUGGUCGCCGUCUUAUCCGCUGACUCCUGGGCCCGCCAACUGGUGGGCCCCGCCGACUGGCUCGGUACGGAGCCGACAGGCCGCGUCCACCGCGGGCGGGUCUUGCGGCUAUAGAUUAUUGUAGUCGCGCCUCUAAUGACGCAGGCUCGGUCAUGGGGUCGUGGCGACAGCUCCGCCGUCUGGCGGGCGGUCACUGCGGCCACUCCCUGACGUGUCUGGUUAAUGGCGCGUGGGGCCCGUGGGAGGGCCGGCCGACUCCUGGGGGCCGACUCCCAACUGGGCCGACUGGUGGCGCUCUCGCCGUCUUCCGUAUGCCCGCCUACUGGUGGGACCCAUCGUCCCUGGGUCGAACCGGCAGGCCGUCGUGGGCACAGGACUCCGCCCACUGGGGCUGACGUCAGGGCCGGCAUGGCAACAGUGUCGCGUUGGGCGGAGAUCUCCACGGGUACGGCGUACUGUGGCCACGCCUGCCCUUGGAAAAGGGUGGGAGUGGACCUUACUGUGGCCACUCCCCGUCCCGUCCCUCUUUAUGAGGGCAUGGGGGUUGUUGGCGUCGCGGGCCGACUCCCCAUGGCCGGCUUCUCUGGAAGUCGCCAGUCAGGAGUCGGCUCAUCCUGAAGUCGUCCUCGGGACUCGGCCGCGAAUGGGCAGUCGGCUGCCUCGCAGCCGACUCUCAGAAGGCGGCUCUUCGUCCUGGGGUCUUGAGGGGUGCAGCCUGCCCCGAUGUCUUGAAAGGUUCAGGGCCUGGGUUAGCCUACCCGUGGCCCAUUACUCCAACAUUGCUUACUCAUGUCCUUCUUACAUUAUACAUCUUAGUUAUGUUUUUUCUGUUUUUACCAGACAACCCUCAAAGUCCAACAUUUGUUACACCAGAGUUACCACCUCGCACAGAGCAUUUAGUACGCAGUGAAACCCCUAAAUCCUUUAUUCAGAAAGUUAGGCUCACCCACCCGUCCAAAUACCCGCUCCCGCCUUUGUCCACCCUCACACCGACCGAGGAGGAAGAGUUUGUUUACAAUGAAGUUAUUAAGCAUACUACUGAUUCUAACUCCAAGAUUAAAGAGUUUGUUUCCAUCUUUUUCUCAUUUUUUAACAUAAAUCAUAAUUUGUGUGCCAUCUUUUGAAAUGUAUUUUUUAAAUCAUUUUGUAUUGUAGCGUUAGGGUCAUCGACAUUGAUGGUAGGUGGGUCACCCUCGGUGAGCUUGCCAAUUGUGCGAAGGAAAUUGGGCAACUAUCAACCAGCAUUGUUGAGUUACAUGUUCGCAUUCUUCAGUAUAAGGAAACCCCAAACAUGCUCAUCUUCCCUUGGCUGUUUUCUGUGUAUCUAUUGAUAGGAGACUUCAAAUCCAAGUGUGUAUUGAAGUAUUUCUGACGGGACCAGAUUUACAUUCUUAGUCACUAGGAUCAGGUUUGUUAUGUUUGCUGGAUCUGGUAUGUUAUGUUUGUUGGCCCUGGUAAUUUUACAGUUAGUGUCUUGGUAACAUCUUGUUAAUAUCGAUACUCUUUUUUUUACCCUGACAUUGUUUGUUCUUCAUGUCAUGAUAACGUCUUUCAUGCACACUGGCAACUUUGACCUUUAUGCCCUGAUAAUUUUUUCUAGUUGCCUCCCAUGUGAAUUUCAGAACCAUUUUUUAUCUUGGUAAUUUUGUUCUUUCUCCCCUGUCGUGCUUACUGCCUUUUUUUUUUUUUGCAACUGCUAUUCCCUACUUUGCAAAAGUUGGGUCUCAGUCCAAAUGACGGGCAUUGGUAUGUGUUGUUACUAAAUCUCAGGGCGAAGCGGUUCGAAGUUCUAGAUUCAUUGCGUGAACACGAUAGUCCUUCUCUUCCUUCUCGAGCAUGCGACAAGAUACAUGAACGCUAUAAAGAAGGCUUGGUUGAUAAAUUACAAGGACUCGCAUAAGCAAAUUCAGGACUAUGAACUUGUGUACAUUGAUGUUUGAAACAGGAUAAUGGGUUAGUUGUGGAUUAUUCACUCUCUUUUAACACCCCACUAUAUGUUCUUAUCCUUGUUUAUUGACCCAGUCGCAAACUCUAAUUAAACUGAUUGUGUGUUGUUUUUUUUCAUCACAAAUGUUUCAGCAUUGAUUGCAGAUUUUUCGCCUGCCCGUAUCUUGAGGUGUGGGAUGGCAAAAAUGUUCCGGCCUUAACUCAUGAACAAAUUCCAGCUCUCUAUAAAAUUUUGCACUGAGGUGGUUAGAUCAUGAUCAAAACAAAUGCAAGCAGUGGUGUUAUCAUCUAUUCGGCAGUGGGUGAUGAGGUGAUAUUUUUUUACGACAGUGUGAUAACUUCUACCAAACUAUGUUGAUAACUUUUUUACAUGAAUCUGUCAUGACAAUGUCAUGGAGCAAAGUGUUGACAUGUUGUUUUACUAUAGCAUACAAAGUCCAAACUCAUUGACCAGAUGCUAAAUUCAUUGCUGUCAUUAUAAUUUGGAUCACAUCUUAUUUGAUAACUGCAAUCAUCUUCUGGUCGAAGACCGGGAUUACUUGCUUCUAAUUUUUAUAAGUCCAAACAGGCGUAAUUUUUUGUUCAUAAGUAAUACAAUGCAGUGCCGGUAGCCUACAAAAAAUGUAGAUAUAAAUUUUUAGGAUUUACAAAUCCAUGACAACUUCAUCAUACAAUGCUGGUAACUGGCAUAGUAGGGUACUGAUAGCUUGCAUAAAAUAUAGAUAUACACUUUUUUACAUUACAAAGCCAUGAUAACUCCAUUAUACAAUGCUGAUAACUCGAAUGUUAUGGGGCUUGUAGCUUGCACAUUAUGGUCCAUGAAAAAGAAUGUAGACACCAACUUCCCUUUCCGUAGCACCUUCUUCAUUUAUCUUCUUAGGGGACAUUUGCAUUUGCGUUUGUCAUGGUCGAAGCCCCCGCAUUCUUUUUUGGCUUGGGCUUUGCAAUGUCAAAACCUUACUGCUUCCUUUUUGACUUUGGCCGCCCCUUCAUUGUAGUCUUAGGAGGGUCUAGUAUCACCUUUAUGUUUGAGGACGAAGUUGCAUCAGGAUGUGUGUGGCACCCCAGCUCAGAGAAACCGGAACGCCCCGUAUUCUAGCCCAGAGAUCGAGGAGAAGUCUUCUGGAAUACGACACUACUUAGCAUAGAACAACUCAGCUCUUUAUUACAAUCUAUAUGGGUGCAAGGGGAUUACAUCGGCAUGAAAACACUACACCUGCCACGGUUGCUCCAUGGAAGCAGCAGAACAACACGAUGCAGCGAAAUAACUCCUGGCAGCGGAACAACAUCGGCGGUGCUGAACUCCACUCCGCAGGGACUCUGGCUGGAAUGCUUAUCCUAGCUCGCAAACAAGGAAUCCACAGCAAACAAGCAAUCAAAUCUGGCAUGACCUGCAAACUGGCAUGACACGCCAGGUCAGUACAUUAAAUGUACUUGCAAGCUCACAGCAACCAAAUCAAUCAAGACAAACAAUGGCAUGGCAAUUACAGAUUAUUAAGCAAUGAUGAACAUGAUACUAUCAGAACAACAUGCCAUGUAAAACAUGCUACAGCUAGAACAAUACGAGCAUGGCAUAAACAUAUGAACAUGAUGAGACUAGCAUGUAACAUGAUGAAACUACCAUGCACCAACUUACUCUGCUCGGGUUACCUGUAACCAUCACAUGCACCACUUACCAUCACGGACAUCACACGAUCAUCUCAGGAUCCAAUCAAGCUUGGUAUUAACAAUACCGUAGUAAUCAUUUAUGACCACAAGCAGCUCGACCUUUACUCUUGACUCUCGCAUAACAUCCCAAAUAUCCAACAAGUUGGUACUCACGAUACCACAGUGAUCUUCUCAUGAUCACAUUAAUAUGAACCAACUUCUUUCAUCAUCGAACCAGGGUUGUUAUUAAGCACAUCAUUAUUAUUACUGUUGACCCAUAGUGUGACCGACACGAACUAGGCCCUUAUCUGCGGGCGCGGCUAUCGAUAGAUUUAACACACACACUCUGUAGAGGUUAGCACACUGUACCCACACCACGGAACCCAUGGCCUCGCACUCCCAUUUGGGUGGACCAACGGCGUUCUGACAAAAACGUCCUAUUGCCAUGACACUCUCCCGGCCACUCCGACCAACUCCCCUUUGGGCUAAGUCCUAGGUGGCCCCGUGCCUACCAAAGGCACCAAGGGCCACCGUUGUGGCAAAAUGGUCCCAAUCGGGGAGAAGGAUCCUUGCAAAAACAACGGGUACACAAGGCUUAUGCCGUCCUACCUGGCCAAGGUAGGGCCCACGCAUAACCUUCCCUAGCGCGAGUCACCGGCGAGAGGAAUGACAAUAGACCUAGUUAGUGAUAAUAUCCGCAGACUCGACUGACAGUGGUUCUGGCAGAAGAAUUUGGCUCACGAUAGGCUAUCGUUUGAUAAUCCUCAUAAGUGAGGGCACAUGCCUCAAGACUGUUACUCGACAUCCUAAUUAUUCAUUCUGUCGGCAUGUCCAUGGGGAUAGUCGGUUGUGCGAUGCUUUACCACAGUUGCUGGAGUUACGCUAUUGAUUUGACCUUUGGUCUGACUUCACAGAUUCAAAUAUUUGAUACUGACAAAUCUGAGCAGAUACUAUUAAUUGAGCGGGUCAUCUGGAUAUGAAGCCCUUACCAAAACCAAGCAGACCCACCUUAGGUGAAUAUCCAUGGUGAUCCAUACUGACUCAGACUGUCCAGGUAUCUGCACCAUGUAGGUCUUGCAACCACUUUUAUAACUGCAUCACCGGUCUUGCUACUCCAUUACUGUUUUUCUUGUCUGGAUCCUUGGCCGAAAGAGCUCGGUCAUAUUGCUUCUUCGUGUGACCAUGGAUUCUGUCGGGUGCAAUAUUCUGGCAUGCGUACUCUUAUCCUCAUUUCCUGACAUGGUAGCAUUAUUCAAAUUGUUGGUUCAUCACCUCUCAAAUUCUGACCGUAGAAAAAUGAUCAUCCGAACCCUUGCAAGAAAUCGGCAAAUAAAUCAGUAGCCACCAAAACGGUCUUUAUAACUCAGAUCUCAGACAUUACGGAGAUAACUCAACCACGGCUCAAGAUGGCUGAAAAGCAGCUCAGAGCAUGAGACCGGGUCGAUAAGAAGAAAGUGGCAACUCCCUAAAAUAGCCAAAAGCAGCUAUAGGGCUACUAUCACAAAAAGAAACUCAAUAGUUGUAUGAGACGGCCGAAAAGCAGCCCAGAACUCAUGGGAGUCAUUGAAGAGAGAAAUAAAAAUCGGCAUCCACCCCGGAUAGCUAAAAAUGGCUCAGAUCACAGGCGUGGUGCCAUUACUGGAGAAAGAAGACAAGGGAUCAUCAUGAUCAUCUUCCAGGUUCACAUGUACUUGUACUGAGCUCAUUCCGUUGUCACACUAUGGUGUAUAGCUGGCUUCCUUCUUUUAACAAUCCUCUUGUGCCUGUCAAAUCUGCUUUUGAGUGACUUGCAAGACCUUGGUGGUAUGCUGACCGCUUAUAUAUGAAAAUCUAAUUCCCGAGGCAGGCUUGCUUUCUAAGUGAACUGUUGCAGAUCUGAUUACUGAGAUGUACUGCCAUAUACUAUCAAGCUUGCACAUGGCUUAUCUUCUUGAUCAUUUCUGCUAUGAAGUGUGCACACUGAGGCAAACCUAGUUAUCCGUAUCACGAUCAGAUAUCCCCAUAUCUCAAUGCAGUCGGCUAAGAAUUCCAUACUGAUGCAAACUCGAUACUGACAGUCCAUCCAGGAUUUCUUUCGCAUUCAUACAAGAUAUUCCAAUUUCACUGCAGUCUGCUGAUAAUUCCACUCUGUUUAGCUGAGCUUCCAAAUAUUUGAACUCCUUGCUGAUUCUUCGGGUUCGGUGUCGGUUGACGAGCAACUUUAAUAAGGGGAAAAAUUGUAACACCGAAGGCCCAAAGAAAGAAACCAAAAGAAACGACGAAAACAAAAGCGCACAAGCAUACUAAUAAUUUAAAUAAUCAAGCAACAUCACAUAUUACUGCUCCUCAUACAAUAAUAUGCAUGCACACCUAAGCACACAAUUGUCACUAAAGCUCUGGUACUACGGUCUAAUAUGUUGUGGCGGUGUGCAUGAAAGUGAGUAUGUGUGUGGAAAGAGUUGGCAUAACCAAGGCUACACCAAGCACUGGCUGAACACCGGCUGGAUCUGGAUGGAUACGGAGGCGAGGAUGGACUUGGCAAUCAUGCAGCGAGACACAGAGGUCACAACUACCUCAUCAUCAAGCGUAUGAAGGGAAUCGUACCCGUUCAAAGAAUGAGAUGACAGGGCAAACUAGGGUAGGAAAAGCAAGGCUUGAUGGCAUUACCCUCUUCUGAUGAAAAAUAUCAGUAAGGGUUGCCAAAGGGAUGAGAUGGAGGGCACGAUUCGGGAUAAAUACACGUCUAUCACCAAAAAUGAUUUGGGUGGAGGAAAAGAUAUCGACGCAAUACCUGAGCAUAACUCCUGCAAAUGGUGUCUGGAACACUUGGUACCAGGGCAUCACUAUUGACACACGAACACGUCACGUGUACCCUCGAUGCCGGGGGUGAUGCACCGCAGCUCACGUCGAAGGAGACCCGACCGACAGCGCGAUACGCAGGACAGUCGGCGGGCGCUUUUGCAGACCCAAAACCCCGCGCACCCGGGAGGGACCCCGUCAGGGAUUGCAGCGGCUAUGGGCUGCCCUAGGUCGAUUCGCUCGCCCCUAGACCCUCGAGGAUUGCUGCCCUCCAAUGCAAAGAACGAACGAAGAACGAGAAAGAAAGAUACAAGGGUAAGGGAUAAAAGUAGAUGAACACAAAAAAGUAGUAGAUUGAUUUGAUCGAUUGGGUGUUGUUUCAAUCGGCCGUCACCCCCAACAUAUAUAAAAGGCGGUUGUACUUCCCGUACAAGCAAAGAAUUUAUCUAGGCUUUCCUUACAAGAAAAUUACAUCAAUUCACGUCCAAAACCUUAGUCAAAUUCGGACUGGUUUAUCCGAACUUUCCAAAACUGUUCGGUUUAAACUGGCUGCACCUUGCGGGUCUUUUUUACGGUGGUAAACGAUCUCGGAUGAAAACAAGCCCAAAAGCAAUCUUGACCGUUUCGAUGAGACGAACAACUUUCAUGUUGAAGGUUUUUUGAUCAGAGAUCAUCUUGAUAACCUUUUGAGCCCAUCUUCAACUUCUCGUCCGAUUGAUUAUCACAGCCUCCAACCCGGCAAGUUUUCCAUCCAAGUAAGCUUUCCACACCGACAAUGUUUCUAUCCGGCAAGCUUUCACACCGGCAAGGCUUCACUCCGGCAAGGUUUGUACUCCGGCAAGGGUUUCACUCCGGCAAGGUUUGUACUCCGGCAAGGUUUGUACUCCGGCCAGGGUUCCUCUCUGACAAGGUUUCACUCCGGCAAGGUUUGUACUCCGGCAAGGGUUUUACUCCGGCAAGGUUUGUACUCCGGCUAGGGUUCCUCUUUGACAAGGUUUCCACCCUGGCAAGAGUUUUCUUUCCCACUCAAGGCCGGCCCACGAAGUGUUGCCUCUAACUUUUGCAUACGAACCCGGAUUCUUAACCAUGCCAAAAUCUGGUGUCAACACAUGCCCCCCUGUUUUUCGGCAAAGCUUGUGUGCCGAAAAAUAACUUGUACUGUGUUUGUUCUAAGGACGAUGUCAACACCCCAUCGGCCAUUUAUUUUUCUUAGGGCGAUAAUUAUGUAUCGUCCAUUGCCUAUUUAGGCUUCUUGCCACACACUCGGGUGGUAUUUCUUCAAGUACUUGCCAUUCAGAGCUCGAGGUAACAACGCCCUUUGUAUGGAUUCCACCAUCUUUUGAACUAAUCGGUAGAAUUACUUUCCAUACGAGAUCACCAACUUGAAAAUUCUUUGACUUGACUUUCUUAUUGUAAGCUCUUGCCACCCUUAACUUGUCUCUCUCUAUGGCCUUCAAAGCAGCCAAACGUUUAUCGGCAACUUCGUCAAUGUUAUCCAUAAUUAAGUUAUAAAAGUAUACAGCCGAUAAAUCAUUUUGCUUGGCUAUUCUCAAAGCAUUCAAAUUUACCUCCACCGGUAAAACAGCCUCUUGACCAUAUACUAGCUCAUAUGGAGUUACCUUCGUAGCACCAUGCCUUGAGAUCCUAUGUGCCCACAAAGCUUCAGACAACAACUCAUGCCAUCUCCUUGGAUUAUCAUCAACCUUCUUCUUGAUGAGCUUGAUUAAAAUUUUAUUGCUAGACUCAGCUUGUCCAUUGGCUUGGGCAAAAUAUGGAGAUGAAUUGAGCAAUUUUAUAUUAUAAGAUUCGGCAAAUUCUCUAACUUGGUGUGACAUGAAAGAGGAGUCUUGAUCUGUAGUCAAUGUUUGAGGAAUGCCGAAUCUAUGAAUAAUGUGCUCGGUUAUGAAUUUUAUCACCUCCGUAUGUGUCAUGUUCUUGAGAGGUACUGCUUCAGACCAUUUAGUGAAAUAAUCGGUUGCCACCAAUAUGAACCGAUGCCCCUUUGAGGAAGACGGAUGAAUUUGUCCAAUAAAGUCUAAACCCCAUCCUCUGAAAGGCCAUGGCUUGAUAAUGGGAUGUAACAUAGCAGCAGGAGCCAACUGAAUAUCACCAAAUCUUUGACAAGCUUCGCACCCUUUAUAAUACCUGAAGCAAUCAUUAAACAUGGUCGGCCAAUAAAACCCAGCACGUCGUAAUAACCAUUUCAUCUUGAGAGCCGACUGGUGAGUACCACAAAUGCCUUCAUGUACCUCUCCCAUAGCAACUCUUGCUUCGUCCUCAUCCAAGCACUUUUAAAAUAGCAUCAUCAACUGUUCGGCGAUAAAGAUCAUCAUCCCUCAUAGUAUAUUUAAAAGCCAUACGCCGAACAGCCCUGUCCACCCUUUCACUCGGAUUACGUAAGUGAGCAACAAUGGGCUUCCUCCAGUCGGAAUUGUCACCUGCACUAGAUUUUUUGUUAAUGACCGAAUCAGUGGGUUCUGGUUCGGCCUCUUCUAUACUGGUAAGACAAGACAUCGGACUUUGAGAAAUAUGAAACAUGCCAUGAUCAACAUGGUAUCCAGAUGCUUGCUGUGCCAACUCAUUUGCUUUCCAGUUGUCGUGUCUAGAUAUAUGUGCAAUGCUAAAACAAUCCAAAGUAGAGAUUAUAUCUAGACAUUUAUCAAGAUAAACAUUAAGUGAUUCGUCCAAACACUGAAAGACUUUGGAUAUUUGCUGCACCACUAGUAACGAAUCACCAUAAGCCUCAAUAUGUAUAGCACCUAUAGCAAGUAAAAGAGUCAAUCCGAAUAACAACGCAUAUUCGGCCUUGAUUAAUCAUGCAUAAAAAUAUUCUAAGCGGCACGAGGCUUCAAAAAAUAGUACCAUAAAGAAAUAUAUAAACAACACCAACACUUUGGCCAUUGCUAUGAAUUGAACCAUCAAAACAUAAUCUCCAUAGUACUAGAGAGACGAGGUUAAUAUUAAUAUUAUGCAUGACAUUAACCCGAUGUUCAGUAGCAAAAUAAACUUUGAUUUGGCCUCUUAUAGAUCUCAAAGAUGCAUAAGCCAAAUCAUAUCCAAACAAAGUAUAAGCCCACCAACCAAUUCUGUAGCUAUAAAUUGGUCUAUGCAGCAUAUAUUCAAUGACAUCGGUCAUGAUGUCUCAAAUCCAUUCAAUCAUAAUAUAGGCAUACAUAUAAAUUUUCAUGAGCAUGUAUCUUGUCUCGCUCUCCAAUCAAACUAAGGACGAUGUUAGAAUACUACACCGACCAUGCAUUGACAUACUCUUAGGACGAUAGAUAAAUAUCGACCAUUACCAUGUAAACUUCAUUCAAAGGACAUAUAGCCGAAAUAAACAAAUGAAAUGACAAAUCAAGUAUUUUGGCCCUUUGGAUCAGCAACAAACUUGUAGCUAAUCAAAUGUAUAGUGACUUGGUAAUACCCUCUCAUAACGUAAGAAAUUAUAUUGCAUCCAUGGAUUAAAAUAAGCCCAUUGAGGGUUACCAAUCAAACCUGAUGACGAAUUCCAUGGCAUAGGCAUUAAUGGCAUAGUUGGAUAACGUGUAGACCAAAGAUGUUGAAACCUUCGACUUGGUCCUUCAUAGUUUUUACUCUUUUCCUUCUUCACUUUUGCCGCACUUCUUGUAAUGGAGGCGUGCACAUAAUUCUUAUUUUGAGCACUUCCUUUGGGAACCCAUGCCAUGUUCCUUUCUUCAAGUUCUUGUGCACUAAGUUUGUGUAAUUCCCUAUUUUGCCAAUACGAUAAGCCGAGUGGGCAUCUCGGCUGUGAUUCUGUUUUGACCAAUGACAAUUCCUUUUUGGACUUGUGCACUCUCAACUUCUUUUCUUCAGAUUUGGAACUUUGACUCUCAAUAAUUGGUCGCUUCGUCUCAUUGCCUUCUAUAGCCAAUGUCAACACUUUAAUUGGCUCUUUAUUAUUUGAGAUCAAAUCUGAAGUAGCACACUUACGACCAUCUCUUUUCACGCGGUAGACUUGCUUGACCACCUCUUUUUUCAUCCAUGGUGUCCGGACCAAUUCCUUAUAAUUGAAACGGUCUUUAACAUGUGAUUGUUCAAAUGUUGAUCUUCUCGGAGCUGCAUAAUAUUGGUGAGAUCGUCUAAAAUAAGAUGGAGAAUGUGCCCUUGUAUCAUACCUGCCCCAUGAUGAACAUGGAUCUACAUGAGCAUAGGGAGGCAUCCACGGCAUUGCCAUUGGCGGCCCAAAAUAAGGAUAUGAAUAUGUUGCAUUCAAACUCUCACUUUGCCAAUACCGAUCCUCAUAUUUGCGCCUUGGGGGUGAUCUUGGUUUCUUUGCAUGAUUGAGCCGAUAAGUAUUCUUCUCUUCACUCUUCUUUUGAUAUUUCUCCAAUAGUUCAGCGAAGGUGAUUUUUGUUCUUUUACACUUGUGCUUAUUUCGGCCUUUGUUUUCUUUUGAUUUGCUUUCAUCGAUCGUUGGAUUUGCUUGCUGCCCCCUAGUCCUUGGCGUCUCCAUUGUAGCUUCGAUGGAAUUCUCACCCUCAAGAUCAUGUUCAUUAUGCUCUUCAACAAUUUCUUUACUUGAAAGCUUGAUCCCAUCACCUGCAGUUUUUACCUUCUCUUUAAAUGGAUCGGCUUGAAGCAGCCGAUGCAAAAACUUUUUGCCAUCGGGACCAAUCGGAAUAGACUGUUCAUCUCUUGGUGUUUCAAAAAACUUCAAUCGUCCUUUUUCAAUGGCCGAUUUAACUAUUUGACGAAACAUGUUGCAGUCCUCAAAAUUAUGCUUGGACGAAUCAUGCAACUUACAAUACAUUCGUCCUUGGAUAGAUGGCUUGACAUGGUGAUCAAGAAUUCUAAUGUAAUUAUUUUUCAACAACAACGCAAAGAUUUGAUCACACAUGUUUGAAUUGAAGGUAUACCUUUUGUUUUCUAGCCGAUCUUGUUGUGAGAACAACUUUGGAGUUAAGCAAACGAAUGGUUCAGAUUUGGCAUCUUCCCAUUCGGCUAUGAAUUCUAUUUCGCAUACUUUUUCCGAUGUCCUUAAAUAAGAAACUAUACUAGCAUCGGUUUUCCCAAAAGAUUUUAACCUUGGCUUUAAAUUUCUGAAAUCAAAGUAGUUAGAACAUACACGUCUCAAUUGAGACCAUGCGUAAGCCAAGUAUGAAGCAAGCAAAGCUACCCAAUUAAAUAUGAACUUUAAAUAAAGCAAUGGGAAAAGCUUUGACUGCAGUAAUAAGUCACUAUCAGUCUCUUUGAAUGGUACAUAUAUUGACCGAUAUGCUUAGUAACCAUUUUAUUGCUAACAAGUAAAUUUCCCUUCUUCAUUGGUCUUUGAAAAUUACUUAUGAGAAUAUUUCUUAUAGAUGCAUCAACAAUAAAGUUGUGACCAAAUCUGAAAAUAGGUAAAUUACUUGCUAGAAUACCUCUUCAAAUAUGUUGGGAGAGCAUGAUGGUGGUGUGACUUGAACAAUAUCUUGCUCCGCCUUUGGAUGGCUCCCCAACGCCUCUUCAUCAUCUUUUUCUUGAUUCCGUGCAUCAUUACAUUGAAAAAAUUUGUCGGCCAAACUUUGUUCGGCUACUUGUUCUUGUCCUUGAAGUUCAUCAAUUUCUCUGGCACGAAACUCAUAGGGCAGGAAGUAGGUUCCAUUAACUCUGGAAAAAUCAAGUAUGGUCGCUUUGCUAGGCUUGCCAUGCCCUUUCUCAAUAAUGCUUGCCUCUUUGCAUUUGAUGGAUUCGGAAUAUAUACUUCUUGAUUCGGCUCUUUUAAUCGGAGCACUUUCAUGUUCUGAAUCAUCUUUCUUUACAUUGCUUCUACCAAUUGGCAAUGCUUCUUUCACUUGAGCCAAUUCUGUUUCUUUUUGUUUCUGGCGGCGAGCGGCAAAAUUGGCUUUAAUCUUUUUCUCAAUUUCAGCCCACUUCAGAUACGAUUGNNNNNNNNNNNNNNNNNNNNNNNNNNNNNNNNNNNNNNNNNNNNNNNNNNNNNNNNNNNNNNNNNNNNNNNNNNNNNNNNNNNNNNNNNNNNNNNNNNNNNNNNNNNNNNNNNNNNNNNNNNNNNNNNNNNNNNNNNNNNNNNNNNNNNNNNNNNNNNNNNNNNNNNNNNNNNNNNNNNNNNNNNNNNNNNNNNNNNNNNNNNNNNNNNNNNNNNNNNNNNNNNNNNNNNNNNNNNNNNNNNNNNNNNNNNNCCCCCCCCCCCCAAUGCUUUUAGAUUCUUUCGGCAAUGGCACAUGGGUGCUGCCGAAACUUUGCAAUUGUGUAGGGGCUGUAUAAUAUGAUGUAGUACUAGGUGAAGGCAUAUGCAUUGUUGUAAAACCAUAUUUUUGCUCGCCAAUCUUAUCAAUUGGCAAAGAUUCAUCUUCUUGCAAAACUCUAGCUUUUAUUGCGGCAUAAUCAGGAAAUAGCCCCUUUUCAUGUUGUUCAAGGCAAAGAGCACUAAUCCUCUUAUUUUGGGCUAAACUCUUCAAUGCAGCCACUACUACCUCAUCUUCUACAAUAUUGGGCACAACCUCUCCUGUAAAAUUUACAUUUAUUCGGCUAUGACCAGGAAGAUGUGAAGCCGAAUUAUGAACAUCUACAGUUGUGUAUGGUGCUGAAAAAUUACUGAGAUGGGGUGUAGCAUAUGAUGGUUGAGAGUAAUUGGCCGAAUAGCUAGUAGUAGCAUGGCCGAUUCUCCCAUCCAUCGGCAUGGUUGAACUAGUAUAUUGCAAAUUAGUUGCCGAUGAAUAAAAAGGUGAAACACUUUGUCGCAUGAUAUUGGAAGUUCCUACAAGAGGUGUUUCAACUUGAUUGCCCAAACUCAUCAUGUUAUUCAUCGGCAUAUAAAUUUUUGGGGUUGCUGAUGCAUGGGAGUUGGGAUACAUAUGUUGCAUGUUGCUAAAAUUAUAUGAAGUAGAAUCAUGGAGAUUUUGUUGCAUCGGCCCUUGCACAUAAUUAGAUAUAUGAUUGAUAAAGCUAGGGCUAGCCGAUACAUUAUUCUCAUUAGAUGAUCUAGCAACAACAUAUGAAUUAUUUGCAUCUACAUAUGUGAAUUGGGUAUUCAUAUUACCUUUGUAGAUUGCAAACCCUAGAUGACGAUCUCUUCGUAGCAAGAACGGGCUGGAGACCGUUCAAAGCUUCGUUCCCCAGCGGAGUCGCCAAAAAGUGUGUUGACACACGAACACGUCACGUGUACCCUCGACGCCGGGGGUGAUGCACCGCAGCUCACGUCGAAGGAGACCCGACCGACAGCGCGACACGCAGGACAGUCGGCGGGCGCUUUUGCAGACCCGAAACCCCGCGCACCCGGGAGGGACCCCGUUAGGGAUUGCGGCGGCUAUGGGCUGCCCUAGGUCGAUUCGCUCGCCCCUAGAGCCUCGAGGAUCGCUGCCCUCCAAUGCAAAGAACGAACGAAGAACGAGAAAGAAAGAUACAAGGGUAAGGGAUAAAAGUAGAUGAACACAAAAAAGUAGUAGAUUGAUUUGAUUGAUUGGGUGUUGUUUCAAUCGGCCGUCACCCCCAACAUAUAUAAAAGGCGGUUGGACUUCCCGUACAAGCAAAGAAUUUAUCUAGGCUUUCCUUACAAGAAAAUUACAUCAAUUCACGUCCAAAACCUUAGUCAAAUUCGGACUGGUUUAUCCGAACUUUCCAAAACUGUUCGGUUUAAACUGGCUGCACCUUGCGGGUCUUUUUUACGGUGGUAAACGAUCUCGGAUGAAGACAAGCCCAAAAGCAAUCUUGACCGUUUCGACGAGAAGAAAAACUUUCAUGUUGAAGGUUUUUUGAUCAGAGAUCAUCUUGAUAACCUUUUGAGUCCAUCUUCAACUUCUCGUCCGAUUGACUAUCACAGCCUCCAACCCGGCAAGUUUUCCAUCCAAGUAAGCUUUCCACACCGACAAUGUUUCUAUCCAGCAAGCUUUCACACCGGCAAGGCUUCACUCCGGCAAGGUUUGUACUCCGGCAAGGGUUUCACUCCGGCAAGGUUUGUACUCCGGCCAGGGUUCCUCUCUAACAAGGUUUCACUCCGGCAAGGUUUGUACUCCGGCAAGGGUUUUACUCCGGCAAGGUUUGUACUCCGGCCAGGGUUCCUCUUUGACAAGGUUUCCACCCUUUCAAGAGUUUUCUUUCCCACUCAAGGCCGGCCCGCGAAGUGUUGCCUCUAACUUUUGCAUACGAACCCGGAUUCUUAACCAUGCCAAAAUCUGGUGUCAACAAUCACUCUGCUGGGAUAGAGGUAACGCCGAACACCGAAGAGCAGGCAUGCAAAGAAAAAGGGUGUAGGUAGUGGAUCGAAAACUAUGCCACCUACACUCACAAGAUUAACCGUUAGCGAUAAGAUAAUAAUCUAUAUGCAUGCUAUGCAACAAACAAAUGCAGCAAUCAAGUGCAACAAACCAACGGGGCUCUAUACUACCGCAUUGUAAUGUUUGCGUGGGCUAGGGCAUCCUACAACCACCUGCUUUGAUACCAAGCAUGUGGCAUCCCGGCUCAGAGAAACCGGAAUGCCCCGUAUUCCAGCCCAGAGAUCGAGGAGAAGUCUUCUGGAAUACUGCACUGCUUAGCAUAGAACAACUCAGCUCUUUAUUACAAUCUAUAUGGGUACAAGGGGAUUACAUCGGCACGGCGACACUACGCCGGCCACGGUUGCUCCAUGUAAGCAGCAGAACAAUACGAUGUAGCAGAAUAACUCUUGGCAGCGGAACAACGUCGGCGGUGGUGAACUCCACUCCGUAGGGACUCUGGCUGGAACGCUUAUCCUAGCUCGCAAACAAGGAAUCCACGGCAAACAAGCAAUCAAAUCUGGCAUGACCUGCAGACUCGCAUGACACGCCAGGUCAGUACAUAGAAUGUACUUGCAAGCUCACAGCAACCAAAGCAAUCAAGACAAACAAUGGCAUGGCAAUUACAGAUUAUUAAGCAAUGAUGAACACGAUACUAUCAGAACAACAUGCCAUGUACAACAUGAUACAGCUAGAAUAAUACGAGCAUGGCAUAAACAUAUGAACAUGAUGAGACUAGCGUGUAACAUGAUGAAACUAUCAUGCACCAACUUACUCUGCUCGGGUUACCUCGUAACCAUCACAUGCAUCACUUACCAUCACGGACAUCACACGAUCAUCUCAGGAUCCAAUCAAGCUUGGUAUUAACAAUACCGUAGUAAUCAUUUAUGACCACAAGGAGCUCGACCUUUACCCUUGACUCUCGCAUAACAUCCCAAAUAUCCAACAAGUUGGUACACACGAUACCACAGUGAUCCUCUCACGAUCACAUAAAUAUCAACCAACUUCUUUCAUCAUCAAACCAGGGUUGUUAUUGAGCACAUCAUUAUUAUUACUAUUGACCCAUAGUGUGACCGACACGAACUGGGCCCUUAUCCGCGGGCGUGGCUAUCGAUAGAUUUAACACACACACUCUGCAGAGGUUAGCACACUGUACCCACACCACGGAACCCAUGGCCUCGCACUCCCAUAUGGGUGGACCAACAGUGUUCCGACAAAACCGUCCUACUGCCAUGACACUCUCCUGGCCACUCCGACCAACUCCCCUUUGGGCUAAGUCCUGGGUGGCCCCGCACCUACCAAAGGCACCAACGGCCACCGUCGUGGCAAAAUGGUCCCAAUCGGGGAGAAGGAUCCUUGCGAAAACAACGGGCACACAAGGCUCGUGCCGUCCUACCUGGCCAAGGUAGCGCCCGCGCAUAACCUUCCCUAGCGGGAGUCACCGGCGAGAGGCAUGACAAUAGACCUAGUAGGACCCCCCCCCCAUAAGGUAAGCGUGGUUGCACUGCUCAGAUAGAUAUGGUGGCACCAUGACUCAGCCAACAGUUGUUCAAGUUCAAUUUAAUCUGGUUAAACAUGAAUGCAAUAUGCUGAGUCAUGAGAAAAAUAAUAACAUGAUGCGACUACAAUGGAUGAACAUGAUAUUAACAUAAGCAUGGGGUGCAUCCCAAUCAACGAGCAUAACAACAACAUUUAACCAUUUAUCCAGAUGAGCAUGGCAUACUGACGAGCAUGGAUAUCACAACUAGAACACAUACCCAUAGCAUAACAUGGCCACUAAAAUCAACAAUAAAUAAUGUGCAAUAACAUAACGAUAAAACUACCAUGGAAGUAUUUAAUCAACUGGAUGCAAAGGAACAUGCAUAACAACGUUACUCGGAACAGACGAUAGUCAGGCACCGAAGACCAUCACCAACAUGUACUACUACCAAAGACUGCCAAUAUUAAAGUAAUACUAGCAUAAAGAACAUAAUAACAGAGUGCAUGAAAACAUUGCAUGACGGUAAACACCGAUCCAUAAGCAUAACCGAAAUACCGACCGCAGUAGCAAAACAAAUAGACAAUUAUUAAAGACUCAAGUUGAAAACCAAUGCUUCUGCAUGGCUAUCAUGCACAUGGUGGUUGUGGCUUACCUGGGGAUGAAGAAGGCUCCGGGGAGAAGUGCGGAACGACCGCGUAAAGAAUCGCUGGAAAGGGUUCGCUCUUGUAGGGGGCUGAUUAGGGGUAAGGGUAAAAUGGUCAUUUCUAGUAUGUCAAAUCACAGUGAAAAUGAUACCAAAAGUUCGGACUCGACGAGACAAAGAAGUGGGCUUUGGAUUCACCUCAUUUGGAGUUACGAGUAAAAAGUUGUGAAGUGAUGAAGAUCAGGGACUUUUCUGCAAAAAUAUCAUCACAAACAAGUCCCUGGGUGGAUAAGGCAGAAGCGGGCUUUGAGUAAAUACAUUUUCCAGAGAUGAAAACGUACUUAUGGCUGAAGUAGAACGCAUGCACUUUCCGUUAAGGGAAGGCGUACCCUGUGGAGUACGUCUCCACUUAACCACGUCAGCGGGCUGGCUCGGUUAACGCGUGAGGCGGACGUGCGGGACCCACUGGCAGGGGGAGGGGUGUCGUCAUCUUCCUCGCUUCCUCUCGCUCGCCCACGCGGCCAGAGGGUAGGGCCGGCGCCAGCGGCCAUGCUCGCAGCUCCGGCCACCAACGGCGACGCCCGACCUACCGUUGGACUCAGGGGACGGAGGCGGACCUGCCUAUGGGUGGCGCGCUCGCCAGAGAGGUCGGGGGCGAGCGCGGCAUCACCCAUAGUGGACGGCGGUUUCGGUCAGAAGUGGGCAUGCGUCCACUAGCCACGGGAGGAAGAGGCGAAGGGCAGGGAAGAACCAGAGGGCUAUAGGUGAUCUAGUGGUGGUGGAAUGGAGGAGGGAGGGCAUCAGCGUUGAGCCAAUUUAGGCCAAGGACGAUGCAGGCAUGGCGGCCAUGGAGGGAACCAGAGAGCUCUUUGAGCUCGGGAGAGUAGCGGACGGGGCCCUGGGAGGUGUAGGAGUGGCUUGGUGAGCUCGGGGGUCUCGGGGGAGGGCUUAAAUAGGCGCGAGGCAAGGAGGCCGAGCUAGCGUCGCCGUGGAUAUGUGUCCGGCGCCGCGGAUGCGUGUGCGCACGCAUGGGCUUGGAGUAAGGCGACGAGAGAGCACAUGAGGGAGAGAUCACAGGGAAGAGGAGGCCAAGAGGCACAGGGAGGAAGCAGCUGAGACGAAGACAGAGCCAAAGGGACACUGUUUGUCCGUAGGCGUGCGGCGUCUAGCUCCGGCAAGGAGGCUUCGGGAGGGGGCAGGGACACGAGAGAGAUGGUAGAGGAAGGGGGAGUCAGUUCGGCACGCUCGGACGCGAGAAAACCGUCGAGGCAGAGCUGGCCGGUGCGUCCCGACGCCCAGAGCACGGCCAACGCUGCCAGAGCGCAUGCAUAGACCCGCAAACGACGCGGUCACUACUGCGCCCGGCAAGGAGGGGACGCAAGAGGCAGGGAAACAUUGUCCAGAGUGUUGUCUUUCCAUCACAGGGGUUGUGGGAGUUGAUGGAGCAUCAAAAGAAGCCAAGGUGAUGUGUGAGUGAUCGUCUAAAGUUUGUUGUAUCAAAUUUGGCUGUGCACUGCUGAUCACUAGGGAUUUGAUUGGGUCAAAUGGAGCUGUCUGGGGUGUUUAGAUGAGGAAGGACUACGAUCCUGUGAAGUUUGAGGGGAAAUGGAUCAGAAAACAAUAGGGUUGCUUUGUAACCUCAGAUUAGGUUCAGGAACUUGAUCAUGAUGAUGCACUCACAUGAAGUAUCAAUUUGAUCUAAAAUUUGGCAAGACGGGGUUCUUUGGCCAUAUGAAGAUGCUGCAAAAGGUUUCAUACCAAUUGGAUAAACCAAAAUGGUACUUGCUUCACAAGAAUUUCCACUGACUAGAAACUUGCAAAACUUCUAGAGGAAAAUUGUCUAGAUGGAAUAUGCCCAAAUUGGGUGGAGAUAGGUUAUAUGGAUAAGGGAAGGUCUAGGAAAAUUUACAGCCAUAAUGGAGCAAGAUAAAAUAUACUUGCUUAACUAACUGAAAAUUUGGAUAGGAACAAAGAUUUGAAGCUGUGUCCUCAUGGAGGCAUGACAUGAGGUCAAAUCUUGUGGAGAGCUUUUAUUUUAUGAUAUGAAAAACCAUGCAAAAAUUCAACUCAAUUGGAUUAACCUAGCUAGUACUUCCUUCACAACCAAUUCCCUCUAAAAGGAACUUUGAAAAAUUUCUCAGGAAUAUUUACUAGGCAAAUUAAGUUGAAAUUUGUUAUGAGGCAAUUACUUGGACAUGAAAAGACGUCCAAGAAGUUUGGAGUCAAUUGGGCAAAGAUAAAUGGCACUUGCUUCACAAUCUGUCAUUCAGGACAGAAUAGGAAAAGAAUUAUUUGAGGAUGAUGGGAAACAUGGACAAUGAAAUAUUUUUCCAUAUUUGAGAAGAGAUAUGACUCAAACAAUUUAUGAGAAUUAUUUGGGAAUUUUAGGAGUGAUGGAAAUAUAGGUCGCUUCACAACCUAGGGCAAAUUGAGUUAUUCCUUUAAUAGAAAAGGAAUGUCCCCAAUAAAAAGACUAUUGGGAUUUGGGCUAGGAUGAAAAUGGAAAGGUCUAGGGAAGGAUUUGGGUAUGACAAGCCACUCUGGAAGCAAAGAAGAGUUCUUCUUCUUCAGUUUCCAGACCACAUAGCCAUGGAAAAAAAAGAAAUCUCAGGCAAAAACCUCAGAAAAUCAAAAGAAAAAGAAAGGGCCAAAAAUCAGGCUGUUACAAUGUGGGGGCUGGAUGACAAAAGCAUGAUUAUUUUUGCUAGCAUGAAUCAUCACACGCACACUUUCUUACUGUGUGGCGGGGUUAUCCUGUCGCUGCACAUUAGUAGCACUUUUCUUGUUGUGUGGCGGGGUUCUCCUGUCGCUGCACAUUAGUGGCACUUGUUUGUUGUGUGGCUGGGUUCUCCUGUUGUUUUGCAUCGGGGGUGUUUUGGUGAUGUGUGACGGAGUUGUCUUCAUUCACCCGCCCCACAGGUAUCGAGCAGGGAUCCGGUUGUCCUUGAAAUGAUCCUUUUGCUUCUUCCUUUUCCUUUCUUGCUUUUCUAAGUUGAUUUUUCUUCAGGGUUUCAUGCUCCUCCUUGAAAUUAUACAGGUGUUUUCUUGCUAAUCUGGUUCCAUCAUCUGUUACGCAAGCAUCUUUGGUUGAUGCCUUAAAUUCUUUAGGGAUUGACGUAUAUCACAUGAAGCUUUCCCCCUCUGGCAUCGACUUCUUAACUGUUGGUUGUUCGAAAUCAGGUUGAAUAAGAUCCUCCUCUGGAUCCCAAGUUCACCUCUUUAGGAUGUACUUUUCAGGUAUCUCGUAAACCCCAAUCUGGUCCAUAACUCGUAGUACGUGUGCGCAUAGUAGUCUGCCACGAUCAAACUUGCAGCAAGUACAUGAGUAUGUCUCUUCAUCCAUGUUUGCUUGCACAUGGUAGUGCCUAUCCCGAUAUUUUGGUAUUAUCUCCCGCACUAAGCUGGCCUUGAAGGUACCAUCAUCCACUGCGUCGCAUCUGUAGGCUGAUUUCACCUUCAUCUCCACCUGGAACUUGCAAAACAGGUUAUGCGUGUACAACCCCUGCACCUACAUCUCCAACGGGUUCAUCGAGUACAUUUCGGUUUCUUUGUAUACUGUUUCCAACUGCUCUUUUGACAUGCUAGCCAUCACCUUAUCAUGUAUCGCAGUGUACUGAUACGUCCAUUUUGCAUCAUGUUUUCUUACUAUUAUUUAUAAUGUUUUUAUCCAUAAUAAUGCUUUUUGGAGUGAUCCCAAUGCCUUUUCUCUCAUAAUUUGCAAGGAGCACACCAAGAGGGAGAAUUCAGGCAGCUGGAAAUCUGGACCUGGAAAAGCUAUGUCAGGCCACCUAUUCUGCAUAACUCCAAAUGAGAUGGAACUUCACGGAGAUUUUUGUUGGAUUAUUUAAGAAAUAUUGGAGCCAAUAAACACCAGAGGGGGGCCACCGGGUGGGCGCACCAUGCCCUCCUGGCGCGCCCUGGUGGGUUGUGGCCUCCUAGGCCCACCUCCGGUGCCCAUCUUCUGGUAUAUAAGUCAUUUUGACCUAGAAAAAAUAAGGAGAAGACUUUUGGGAUGGAGCGCCACCGAGGCAGAACUUGGGCAGGAGCACUUUUGCCCUACGGCGGAGCAAUUCUGCCGGGGAACUUCCCUCCCAGAGGGGGAAAUCAUCGUCAUCAUCAUCACCAACAACUCUCCCAUCUUGGGGAGGGAAAACUCCAUCAACAUAUUCACCAGCACCAUCUCAUAUCAAAACCUAGUUCAUCUCUCGAAUUCAAUCUUGUUACCGGAACUAUAGAUUGGUACUUGUGGGUGACUAGUAGUGUUGAUUACAUCUUGUAGUUGAUUACUAUAUGGUUUAUUUGGUGGAAGAUUAUAUGUUCAGAUCCAUUAUGCUAUUUAAUACCCCUUUGAUUAUGAGCAUGUUUACCAUUUGUGAGUAGUUACCUUUGUUCUUGAGGUCACGGGAGAAAUCAUGUUGCAAGUAAUCAUGUGAAUUUCAUAUGUGUUCGAUAUUUUGAUAGUAUGUAUGUUGUGAUUCCCUUAGAGGUGUCAUGUGAAUGUCAACUACAUGACACUUCACCAUACUUGGGCCUAAGGGAAUGCAUUGUGGAGUAGUAAAUAGAUGGUGGGUUGUGAGAUUGAUAGAAACUUAAACCCCAGUUUAUGCACUACUCUGUAAGGGACCGAUUAGAUCCUAGAGUUUAAUGCUAUGGUUAGAAUUUAUUCUUAAUACUUUUCUCGUAGUUGCGGAUUCUUGUGGGAGGGUUAAUGCUACCUCUUGAGCACUGCGUUGGAUUUCCCCUAAGAGGAAGGGAUGAUGCAGCAAAGUAGCGUAAGUAUUUCCCUCGGUUUUUGAGAACCAAGGUAUCAAUCCAGUAGGAGGCUACGCUCGAGUCCCUCAUACCUACACAAAAACAAUAGCUCAACGCAACCAACACGCUUAGGGGUUGUCAAUCCCUUCACGGUCACUUAUGAAAGUGAGAUCUGAUAGAGAUGAUAAAUAAUAUUUUUGGUAUUUUUGGUAUAUAGAUGCAAAGUAAAUAAAGUAAAAGCAAAGCAAUAAUAAAGUAAUGGAGAUUGAUAUGAUGAGAAAGAGACCCGGGGGCCAUAGGUUUCACUAGUGGCUUCUCUCAAGAGCAUAAGUAUUCUACGGUGGGUGAACAAAUUAUUGUUGAGCAAUUGACAGAAUUGAGCAUAGUUAUGAGAAUAUCUAGGUAUGAUCAUGUAUAUAGGCAUCACGUCCGAGACAAGUAGACCGAAACGAUUCUGCAUCUACUACUAUCACUCCACUCAUCGACCGCUAUCCAGCAUGCAUCUAGAGUAUUAAGUUAAAAACAGAGUAACGCCUUAAGCAAGAUGACAUGAUGUAGAGGGAUAGUUUCAUUCAAUAUGAUAAAAAAAACCCAUCUUGUUAUCCUCGAUGGCAACAAUACAAUACGUGCCUUGCUGCCCCUUCUGUCACUGGGAAAGGACACCGCAAGAUUGAACCCAAAGCUAAGCACUUCUCCCAUGGCAAGAACAACCAAUCUAGUAGGCCAAACCAAACUGAUAAUUCGAAGAUACUUGCAAAGAUAACCAAUCAUACAUAAAAGAAUUCAGAGAAGAUUCAAAUAUUAUUCAUAGAUAGACUUGAUCAUAAACCCAUAAUUCAUCGUUCUCAACAAACACACCGCAAAAAGAAGAUUACAUCGAAUAUAUCUCCACAAGAGAGGGAGAGAACAUUGUAUUGAGAUCCAAAAAGAGAGAAGAAGCCAUCUAGCUACUAGCUAUGGACCCAUAGGUCUGAAGUAAACUACUCACACUUCAUCGGAGGGGCUUGGAUGAUGAUGUAGAAGCCCUCCGUCAUUGAUGCCCCCUCCGGCGGAGCUCCGGAACAGGCCCCAAGAUGGGAUCUCGUGGAUACAGAAAGUUGCGGCGGUGGAAUUAGGUUUUUGGCUCCGUCCCGGUCGUUUGGGGGUACGUGGAUAUAUAUAGGAGGAAGAAGUACGUCGGUGGAGCUUCGAGGGGCCCACGAGGCAGGGGCGUGGCCCCUACCCUCGUGACCACCUCGUGGCUUUCUUGACGGAGGAUCCAAGUCUCCUGGGUCUUAUCUGAUGAGAAAAUCACGUUUCCGAAGGUUUCAUUCCGUUUGGACUCUGUUUGAUAUUCCUUUUCUUCGAAACCCUAAAACAGGCAAAAAACAGCAAUUCUGGGCUGGGCCUCCGGUUAAUAGGUUAGUCCCAAAUAUAAUAUAAAAGUGGAUAAUAAAGCCCAAUAAUGUCUAAAACAGUAGAUAAUAUAGCAUGGAGCAAUCAAAAAUUAUAGAUACGUUGGAGACGUAUCAAGCAUCCCCAAGCUUAAUUCCUGCUCGUCCUCGAGUAGGUAAAUGAUAAAAACAGAAUUUUUGAUGCGGAGUGCUACUUGGCAUAAUUUUAAUUUAAUUCUUCUUAAUUGUGGUAUGAAUAUUCAGAUCCAAAAGAUUCAAGACAAAAGUUCAUAUUGACAUAAAAAUGAUAAUACUUCAAGCAUACUAACUAAGCAAUUAUGUCUUCUCAAAAUAACAUGGCUAAAGAAAGUUCAUCCCUACAAAAUCAUAUGGUUUAGUCAUGUUUCAUUUUCGUCACAGAAGAAUGCUAUCAUCAUGCACAACCAAGACGACAAGCCAAGCAAUUGUUUCAUACUUUAGUAAUCUCAAACCUAUAAACUUUCACGCAAUAUAUGAGCGCGAGCCAUGGACAUAGCACUAUGUGUGGAAUAGAAUAAUGAGGGGGUUAUGUGGAGAAGACAAAAAGGAAGAAAGUCUCACAUCAACGAGGCUAAUCAAUGGGCUAUGGAGAUGCCCACUGAUUGAUGUUAAUGCAAGGAGUAGGGAUUGCCAUGCAACAGAUGCACUAGAGCUAUAAAUGUAUGAAAGCUCAACAAAAGAAACUAGUGGGUGUGCAUCCAACUUGCUUGCUCACGAAGACCUAGGGCACUUGAGGAGGCCCAUUGUUGGAAUAUACAAGCCAAGUUCUAUAAUGAAAAAAUCUCACUAGUAUAUGAAAGUGAUAACAUGAGAGACUCUACUAUGAAGAUCAUGGUUCUACUUUGAAGCACAAGUGUGGUAAAAGGAUAGUAACAUCGUCCCUUCUCUCUUUUUCUCUCAUUUUUUUGGGCCUUCUCUUUUUUUAUGGCCUUUCUCUUUUUUGGGGCCCUUUUUUAUGGCCUUUCCUUUUUUAUACCUCACUUGGGACAAUGCUCUAAUAAUGAUGAUCAUCACACUUCUAUUUAUUUACAACUCAAUGAUUACAACUCGAUACUAGAACAAAGAUGACUCUAUAUGAAUGCCUCCGGCGGUGUACCGGGAUACGCAAUGACUCAAGAGUGACAUGUAUGAAAGAAUUAUGAACGAUGGCUUUGCCACAAAUACUAUGUCAACUACAUGAUCAUGCUAAGCAAUAUGACAAUGAUGAAUGUGUCAUGAUGAAUGGAAUGAUGGAAAGUUGCAUGGCAAUAUAUCUCGGAAUGGCUAUGGAAAUGCCAUAAUAGGUAGGUAUGGUGGCUGUUUUGAGGAAGAUAUAAGGAGGUUUUUGUGUGAAAGAGCGUAUCAUAUCACGGGGUUUGGAUGCACCGGCGAAGCUUGCGCCAACUCUCAAUGUGAGAAAGGGCAAUGCACGGUACCAAAGAGGCUAGCAAGGAUGGAAGGGCGAGAGUGCGUAUAAUCCAUGGACUCAACAUUAGUCAUAAAGAACUCACAUAAUUAUUGUAAAAAUCUACAAGUCAUCAAAAACCUCGGCACUACGCGCAUGCUCCUAGGGGGAUAGAUUGGUAGGAAAAAACCAUCGCUCGUCCCCGACCACCACUCAUAAGGAAGACAAUCAAAUAACACCUCAUGUUUCAAAUUUGUUGCAUAACGAUUACCAUACGUGCAUGCUACGGGACUUGCAAACUUCAACACAAGUAUUUCUCAAUUUCACAACUACUCAACUAGCAUGACUUUGAUAUUAUUACCUCCAUAUCUCAAAACAAUCAUCAAGCAUCAAACUUUUCUUAGUAUUCAACACACUCAUAAGAAAGUUUUAUUAUUAAUCUUGCAUACCAAGCAUAUUAGGAUUUUAAGUAAAUUACCAUGCUAUUAAGACUCUCAAAAUAAUCUAAGUGAAGCAUGAGAGAUCAAUAGUUUCUAUAAAACAAAUCCACCACCGUGCUCUAAAAGAUAAAAGUGAAGCACUAGAGCAAAACUAUAAAGCUAAAAAGAUAUAAGUGAAGCACAUAGAGUAUUCUAUCAAAUUCCAAAUCAUGUAUGGCUCUCUCAAAAGGUGUGUACAGCAAGGAUGAUUGUGGUAGACUAACAAGCAAAGAUUCAAAUUAUAAAAGACGCUCCAAGCAAAACACAUAUCAUGUGGUGAAUAAAAACAUAGCUCCAAGUAAAGUUACCGAUAGAAGUAGACGAAAGAGGGGAUGCCUUCCGGGGCAUCCCCAAGCUUUGGCUUUUAGGUGUCCUUAGAUUAUCUUGGGGGUGCCAUGGGCAUCCCCAAUCUUAGGUUCUUGCCACUUCUUGUUCCAUAAUCCAUCAAAUCUUUACCCAAAACUUGAAAACUUCACAACACAAAACUUAAAGUAGAAAAUCUCGUGAGCUCCGUUAGCGAAAGAAAACAAAAGACCACUUCAAGGUACUGUAAUGAACUCAUUCUUUAUUUAUAUUGGUGUUAUACCUACUGUAUUCCAACUUCUCUAUGGAUUAUAAACUAUUUUACUAGCCAUAGAUUCAUCAAAAUAAGCAAACAACACACGAAAAACAGAAUCUGUCAAAAACAGAACAGUCUGUAGUAAUCUGUAGCUAGCGCAAUAUCUAGAACCCCAAAAAUUCUAAAAUAAAUUUCUGGACGUGAGGAAUUCAUAUAUUAAUCAUCUUAAAAAAGAAUUAACUAAAUAUCACUUUCCAAAUAAAAAUGACAGCAGUUCUCGUGAGCGCUAAAGUUUCUGUUUUUUACAGCAAGUUCAACAAGACUUUCCCCAAGUCUUCCCAACGGUUCUACUUGGCACAAACACUAAUUAAACACAAAAAACACAACCAAAACAGAGUCUAAAUAAAUUUAUUUAUUAAAUAACAGCAAGGAUAAAUAGUGGGUUGACUCCCAACAAGCGCUUUUCUUUAAAGCCUUAUAGCUAGGCAUAAUAUUUCAAUGAUGCUCACAUGAAAGACAAGAAUUGAAGCACAAAGAGAGCAUCAUAAAACACAUGACAAACACAUCUAAGUCUAACAUACUUCCUAUGCGUAUGCAUCUUAUAGGCAAACAAAUUAGCUAGGGAAGCAAAAACUAGCAUAUGCAAGGAAGCGGAAAGAAACAAUAGCAAUCUCAACAUAACAAGAGGUAAUUUAGUAACAUGAAAAUUUCUACCACCAUAUUUUCCUCUCUCAUAAUAAUUACAUGUAGGAUCAUAAUAAAAUUCAACAAAAUAGCUAUCACAUAAAAUAUUUUCAACAUGAUCCACAUGCAUGCAAAGUUGACACUCUUCCAAAAUAGUGGGAUUAACAUUAACUAAAGUCAUGACCUUUCCAAACCCACUUUUAUCAAAAACUUCAUAAGAUUGAACAUUCUCCAAAUAUGUGGGAUCUAAAGUUGACAUUCUUCCAAACCCACUUUCAAUAUUAUUGCAAACAUUAUAAUCAAUCUCAUAUUCAUCAUGGGGUUUAAAUAAAUUUUCAAGAUCAAAAGAAGAAUCACCCCAAUCAUGAUCAUUACAACAAGUAGAGGACAUAGCAAAACUAGCAUCCCCAAGCUUAGGGUUUUGCAUAUUAUUAGCACAAUUGAAAUUAAUAUAAUUUAUAAUAGAAUCAUUGCAGUCAUGCUUUCUAUUCGAAGAUCUAUCGUGAAUCGCUUCAUGAGGUAAUUCAUCACACUUUUCAGAUUCACGAAUUUCAAGCAAAACUUCAUAAAGAUAAUCUAGUGCACAAAACUCACUAGCAAUUGGUUUAUCAUAAUUGGACCUCUUAAAAGGAUUAGCAAGUGGAUGAGGAUCCAUAGAUCUUAAGUUCUCUGUUUAGUAAUAAAUAAACAACUAUUCUAACCAUACGAGCAAACAAGAAGCAAGCGGGCAAAAAGAGGCAAAUAGAGAGGGAGGAUAGAGAGAGAGAGGGCGAAUAAAAUGGCAAGGGUGAAUUGGGGGGAGAGGAAAACGAGAGGCAAAUGGAAAAUAAUGUAAUGCGGGAGAUAGGGAUUGUGAUGGGUACUUGGUAUGUUGACUUUUGCGCAGACUCCCCGCCAACGGCGCCAGAAAUUCUUCUUGCUACCUCUUGAGCACUGCGUUGGAUUUCCCCGAAGAGGAAGGGAUGAUGCAGCAAAGUAGCGUAAGUAUUUCCCUCAGUUUUGAGAACCGAGGUAUCAAUCCAUUAGGAGGCUACGCUCGAGUCCCUCAUACCUACACAAAAACAAUAGCUCAACGCAACCAACGCGCUUAGGGGUUGUCAAUCCCUUCACGGUCACUUACGAAAGUGAGAUCUGAUAGAGAUGAUAAAUACUAUUUUUGGUAUUUUUGGUAUAGAGAUGCAAAGUAAAUAAAGUAAAAGCAAAGCAAUAAUAAAGUAAUGGAGAUUGAUAUGAUGAGAAAGAGACCCGGGGGCCAUAGGUUUCACUAGUGGCUUCUCUCGAGAGCAUAAGUAUUCUACGGUGGGUGAACAAAUUACUGUUGAGCAAUUGACAGAAUUGAGCAUAGUUCUGAGAAUAUCUAGGUAUGAUCAUGUAUAUAUGCAUCACGUCCGAGACAAGUAGACCAAAACGAUUUUGCAUCUACUAUUACUCCACUCAUCGAUCGCUAUCCAGCAUGCAUCUAGAGUAUUAAGUUAAAAACAAAGUAACGCCUUAAGCAAGAUGACAUGAUGUAGAGGGAUAGUUUCAUGCAAUAUGAUAAAAAAACCAUCUUGUUAUCCUCGAUGGCAACAAUACAAUACGUUCCUUGCUGCCCCUUCUGUCACUGGGAAAGGACGCCGCAAGACUGAACCCAAAGCUAAGCACUUCUCCCAUGGCAAGAACAACCAAUCUAGUAGGCCAAACCAAAUUGAUAAUUCGAGGAGACUUGCAAAGAUAACCAAUAAUACAUAAAAUAAUUCAGAGAAGAUUCAAAUAUUAUUCAUAGAUAGACUUGAUCAUAAACCCACAAUUCAUCGGUCUCAACAAACACACUGCAAAAAGAAGAUUACAUCGAAUAGAUCUCCACAAGAGAGGGGGAGAACAUUGUAUUGAGAUCCAAAAAGAGAGAAGAAGCCAUGUAGCUACUAGCUAUGGACCCGUAGGUCUGAAGUAAACUACUCACACUUCAUCGGAGGGGCUUGGAUGAUGAUGUAGAAGCCCUCCGUGAUCGAUUCCCCCUCUGGCGAGCUCCGGAACAGGCCCCAAGAUGGUAUCUCGUGGAUACAGAAAGUUGCGGCGGUGGAAUUAGGUUUUUGGCUCCGUCCCGAUCGUUUGGGGGUGCGUGGAUAUAUAUAUAUAGGAGGAAGAAGUAUGUCGGUGGAGCUUCGAGGGGCCCACGAGGUAGGGGGCGCGCCCUAGGGGGGGCACGCCCCCUACCCUCGUGACCACCUUGUGGCUUUCUUGACGGAGGGUCCAAGUCUCCUGGGUCUUAUCUGAUGAGAAAAUCACGUUUCCAAAGGUUUCAUUUUGUUUGGACUCCGUUUCAUAUUCCUUUUCUUCGAAACCCUAAAACAGGCAAAAAAAACAGCAAUUCUGGGCUGGGCCUCCGGUUAAUAGGUUAGUCCCAAAAAUAAUAUAAAAGUGGAUAAUAAAGCCCAAUAAUGUCUAAAACAGUAGAUAAUAUAGCAUGGAGCAAUAAAAAAUUAUAGAUACAUUGGAGACGUAUCAGUUAAUCAUAAGUAGGAGGUCCGCUCAAGUAAGAACAGCACCUAAGCACCGGUCCACCCACAUAUCAAAUUAUCAAAGUAGUGAACACAAAUCAAACCAACAUGAUGAAAGUGACUAGAUGAAAUCCCCGUGUACCCUCAAGAACGCUUUGCUCAUUAUAAGAGACCAUUUUGGCAUGCACUUUGCCUCAAAAGGAUUGGGCUACCUUGCUGCAUACUUGUUACAAUUAUCAUUACUUGCUCGUUGCAAAUUAUCUUGCUAUCAAACUACUCGCUACUUACAAUUUCAACACUUGCAGACUUUACCUUACUGAAAACUACUUGUCAUUUUCUUCUGCUCCUCGUUGGGUUCGACACUCUUAGUUAUCAAAAAGAGCUACAAUUUAUCCCCUAUACUUGUGGGUCACCAAGGCUAUUUUCUGGCGCCAUUGCCAGGGAUUGAAGCGCCUUUGGUAAGUGGAAUUCGGUAAGGAAACAUUUAUAUAGUGUGCUGAAAUUUAUUGUCACUUGUUACUAUGGAAAACAAUCCUUUGAGGGGUUUGUUUGGGGUAUCUUCACCUCGUCCGGAACCACAAUUAAUUGCCCCUCAACCUACUGCACCUACUAAAAAUAUUGAAUAUGAAAUUCCUUUAGGUAUGAUAGAACAACUGCUAGCUAAUCCUUAUGAAGAGAUGGAACAGAACAUCCUGAUAUGCACUUGAUAUAUGUAGAACAAAUUUGUGGAUUGUUCAAGCUUGCAGGUUUACCCGAGAUGAGGUGAUGAAAAAGGUUUUCCCUUUAUCUUUGAAGAGAAAAGCAUUGGCAUGGUAUAGGCUAUGCGAUGAUAUUGGAUUAUGGAAUUGGAAUCGUUUGAAAUUGGAGUUCCACCAAAAAAAAUUAUCCUAUACAUCUAGUUCAUCAUCAUCGGAAUUAUAUAUAUAAUUUUUUGCCACGUGAAGGAGAAAGUAUCACUCUAUCUUGGGGGAGGCUUAAGUCAAUGUUAUAUUCAUGCCCCAAUCAUGAGCUCUCAAGAGAAAUUAUUAUUCAGAAUUUUUAUGCUCGGCUUUCUCGUAAUGAUCAAACCAUGCUGGAUACUUCUUGUGUUGGUUCUUUUAUGAAGAAAACUAUUGAAUUCCGGUGGGAUCUUUUGGAAAGAAUUAAACACAACUCUAAAGAUUGGGAACUCGACGAAGGUAAAGAAUCGGGUAUAAAGCUUAAGUAUGAUUGUGCUAAAUCUUUUCUGGAUACCGAUGCUUUUCAAAAGUUUAGCACUAAAUAUGGACUUGACUCUGAGAUAGUAGCCUCCUUUUGUGAAUCAUUUGCUACUCAUGUUGAACUCCCUAAAGAGAAGUGGUUUAAAUAUCACCCACAUAUUAAAGAAUGAAUUAAAGAAUCGGUACCAGUUAAAGAAGAAACUACACUCUAUAAUGUUGAUCCAGUUGUUCCUACUGCUAAUAUUGAGAAACCACCUUUUCCUGUUAGGAUAAAGGAACAUGCUAAAGUUUCAAUUGUGGUUAACAAAAGCUUUGUUAGAACACCUAAACCUGAUGAACAAAUUAAAUUAGAACCUAGCAUUGCUAUUGUUAAAGAUCUCUUAGAACAAGAUAUGGAUGAGCAUGUUAUUUACUUCUGUGAAGAAGCUGCUAGAAUUGCUAAACCAGAUGGAAAAGAUAAACAUAGACCUGUUGUUGGCAUGCCUCUUAUUUCACUUAAAAUAGGAGAUCAGUGUAUCAUGGUUUAUGUGACAUGGGUGCUAGUGUGAGGCUAUUCCUUACACUUUAUAUAAAGAAAUUAUAAAAGACAUAGCACCUGUAGAGUUAGAAGACAUAGAUGUUACUAUUAAACUUGCUAAUAGAGACACCAUAUCGCCUUGUGGGAUUAUUAGAGAUGUUGAAGUCUUGUGUGGGAAAAUAAAAUAUCCUACUAAUUUUCUUGCUCUUGGUACCCCACAAGAUGACUUCUGUCCCAUUAUCUUUGGUAGACCUUUCUUGAACACAGUUAAUGCUAAGAUACAUUGCAAGAAACAAACUAUUGGUGUUAGCUUUGGUGAUGAGUCUCAUGAGUUUAAUUUUUUCAAGUUCAGUAGAAAUCAUUAUGAGAAAUAAUUACCUAGUAAGGAUGAAUUAAUUGGUAUUGCUUCUAUAGCUAUACCACCUACUGAUCCUUUAGAACAAUACUUGCUAGACCAUGAGAAUGAUUUACAUGUGCAUGAAAGAAAUGAAAUAGAUAAGAUUUUCUUUGAACAACGUCCUCUUCUUAAACACAAUUUGCCUAUUGAAACUCUAGGAGGUCCACCUCCACCUAAAGGUGAUCCUAUGUUUGAAUUAAAACAAUUGCCAGACACUAUGAAAUAUGCUUAUCUUGAUGAAAAGAAGAUAUAUCAUGUUAUUAUUAGUGCUAACCUUUCAGAACAUGAAGAAGAAAGAUUAUUGAAAGUUCUAAGGAAGCACCGAGCUGCUAUUGGAUAUACUCUUGAUGAUUUAAAGGCAUUAGUCCCACUCUAUGUCAGCACAAAAUUAAUAUGGAACCUGAUGCUAAACCAGUUGUUGAUCACCAACGUCGGUUAAAUCUGAAGAUGAAAGAGGUGGUAAGAACGGAAAUAGUAAAACUUCUGGAAGCAGGUAUAAUCUAUCAUAUAGCUGAUAGUAGAUGGGUAAGUCAUGUUCAUUGUGUCCCUAAGAAAGGAGGUAUUACUGUUGUCCCUAAUGAUAAGAAUGAACUUAUUCCACAAAGAAUUGUUACAGGCUAUAGAAUGGUAAUUGAUUUUAGAAAAUUAAAUAAAGCUACUAGAAAAGAUCAUUACCCUUUGCCUUUUAUUGAUCAAAUGCUUGAAAUAUUAUCUAAGCACACACACUUUUGCUUCCUUGAUGGAUAUUCUAGCUUUUCACAGAUACUUGUUUCUUAACCUAAUCAAGAAAAGACCACUUUUACUUGUCCUUUUAGAACCUAUGCUUAUAGACGUAUGCCUUUUGGUUUAUGUAAUGCAUCUGCUACCUUUCAAAGAUGCAUGAUGGCUAUAUUCUCUGAUUUUUGUGAAAAUAUUGUUGAGGUUUUCAUGGAUGACUUCUUUGUUUAUGGGAAGUCUUUUGAUGAUUGUUUAAAACUUGAUCGAGUUCUACAGAGAUGUGAACAAACAAAUCUAGUCUUGAAUUGGGAGAAGUGCCACUUUAUGGUUAAUGAAGGCAUUAUCUUGGGUCAUAAAAUUUCUAAAAGAGGUAUCAAAGUGGACCAAGCUAAGGUUGAUGCAAUUGAGAAAAUGCCAUGUCCUAAGGACAUCAAAGGUAUUCAUAGUUUCCUAGGUCAUGUUGGUUUCUAUAGGAGAUUUAUCAAAGACUUUUCCAAAAUUUCUAGGCCUCUUACUAAUCUUUUGCAAAAGGAUAUUCCUUUUGUUUUUGAUGAUGAUUGUCCUGAAGCCUUUGAAAUAAUCAAGAAAGCUUUAAUCUAUGCACCUAUUGUUCAACCACUUGAUUGUAAAUUGCCUUUUGAAAUUAUGUGUGAUGCUAGUGAUUAUGUUGUUGGUGUUGUUCUAGGACAAAGAGUUGAUAAGAAAUUGAAUGUUAUUCAUUAUGCUAGUAAAACUCUAGACAGUGCUCAAAGAAAUUAUGCUACAAAUGAAAAAGAAUUCUUAGCAGUGGUGUUUGCUUGUGAUAAGUUUAGACCUUAUAUUGUUGAUUCUAAAGUAAAUGUUCACACAGACCAUGAUGCUAUUAAAUAUCGUAUGGAGAAGAAAUAUGCUAAACAUAGACUUAUUCAUUGGGUUCUCUUGUUAUAAGAAUUUGAUUUACAUAUAAUUGAUAGAAAAGGAGCUGAGAACCCUGUAGUUGAUAACUUGUCUAGGCUUAAAAAUAUGCUUGAUGACCCACUCCUAUUAAUGAUAGUUUUCCUAAUGAGCAGUUAGCUGCAAUAAAUGUUUCUAAUAAUACUCCUUGGUAUGCUGAUAUUGCUAGUUACAUUGUUGCUAAAUACUUGCCACCUAGCUUUACAUAUCAACAAAAGAAAAAAUUCUUCUAUGGUUUAAGACAUUACUUUUGGGAUGUCCCACAUCUUUAUAAAGAAGGAGUAAAUGGUAUUAUUAGACGUUGUGUACCUGAGCAUGAAUAGGGAUAAUUCCCAUGGAAAUGUCACUCUGAGCCUUAUGGAGGGCAUCAUGCUGGAGACAGAACUACUCACAAGGUAUUGCAAUCUGGAUUUUAUUGGCCUACUCUCUUCAAGGAUGCUCGUAAGUAUGACUCAUCUUGUGAUGAAUGCCAAAGAAUAGGUGCUACCUCUUGAGCAUGCGUUGGUUUUCCCUUGAAGAGGAAAGGGUGAUGCAGCAAAGCAGCGUAAGUAUUUCUCUCAGUUUUUGAGAACCAAGGUAUCAAUCCAGUAGGAGACCACGUGCAAGUCACUUCGUACCUACACAAACAAGUAAGAACCUCACAACCAACAUGAUAAAGGGGUUGUCAAUCCCUUCACGGCCACUUGCAAGAGUGAGAUCUGAUAGAGAUAAUAAUAAUAAGAUAAAUAUUUUUGAUAUUUUUAUGAUAUAGAUUGAAAGUAAAGAUUGCAAAAUAAAUGGUGCGAGAAAUAGCUAGUUGAUGGAAGAUUAAUAUGAUGGAAGAUAGACCCGGGGGCCAUAGGUUUCACUAGUGGCUUCUCUCAAGAUAGCAUAAGUAUUACGGUGGGUGAACAAAUUAUUGUCGAGCAAUUGAUAGAAUUGAGCAUAGUUAUGAGAAUAUCUAGGUAUGAUCAUGUAUAUAGGUGUGACGCCCUCGAUUCAAUCGUACACUAAUCAUACACGCAAAUGUGUACGAUCAAGAUCAAGGACUCACGGGAAGAUUUCACAAUACAACUCUAGACACAAAAUAAAAUAAUACAAGCUUUAUAUUACAAGCCAGGGCCUUGAGGGCUCGAAUACAUAAGCUCGAAUACACAAGAGUCAGCGGAAGCAACAAUAUCUGAGUGCAGACAUGAGUUAAACAAGUUUGCCUUAAGAAGGCUAGCAGAAAAGCAACAUCGAUCGAAAAGGCAAGGCCUCCUGCCUGGGAGCCUCCUAACUACUCCUCGUCGGUGGCGGUCUUCAUGUAGUAGUAGGCAUCAACGGUGGCAUCUGACUCCUGGGCUCCGACAUCUGGUUGCAUCAAUUGGAAAGAAGAAGAAAGGGGAAAAGGGGGGGGAGUGAAAGUGCGUUAUAUCGACUAGAGGGGGGGUGAAUAGGCGAUUUUUAUGAAAGUCUUCAAAACAUGGAAGUUAUGAAGACAAACGAUAGAAAUAAACCUAUUACCAUGCAGCGGAAGGUAGACUACACUAGGCAAACCAUAGUCAAGUAUUCAAUGGAGUGAAAGCACAAUGACUAGUAGCAGCAAUGUAGUAAGGAUCAGAUAGGAAGAUAUUAUGAAGCCAAACAGAACUCGCAGUCACUCAGUGAAGACAAAAGAUAGUGCAAUCAUACAAUGACUUCACAAGGACCAACAGUAAGUAAAGGGAAGGGAUGGAUGAAACCAGUGACUCGUUGAAGACAAUGAUUUGUUGGACCAGUUCCAGUUGCUGUGACAACUGUACGUCUGGUUAGGGCGGCUAGGUAUUUAAACCUGAGGACACACAGUCCCGGACACCCAGUCCUGAACACGCAGCUCAGGACACCCAGUCCUCACCAUAUUCCCCUUGAGCUAAGGUCACACAGACCUCACCCAAUCACUCUGGUAAGUCUUCAAGGUAGACUCCCAAACCUUCACAGACUUUGUUCACCGGCAAUCCACAAUGUCUCUUGGAUGCUCAGAACGCGACGCCUAACCGGCUGGAGGAUUCAUAGUCCUUAAGUGUAAUAAGUCUUCAGAUCACACAGACAAGAAGACUUAAGUGAUGCCUGACACUCUUUGGCUCUGGGUGGUUAGGGCUUUAUCCUCGCAAGGAAUUCUCUCUCAAAGGCUUUGAGGUGGGUUGCUCUCAAACGACAAAAGCCGUACUCUAACUCGGAGCAGCCAACCAUUUAUGGUUGUAGGGGGUGGGCUAUUUAUAGCCACUAGGCAACCCGACCUGAUUUGUCCGAAAUGACCCUGGGUCACUAAGGAACUGACACGUGUUCCAACGGUCCGAUUUCAAACUCACGCGGCAGCUUUACUUGGGCUACAAGCAAAGCUGACUUGUCCGACUCUGGACAAGUUUCACCCUCAUAGUCUUCACUCGAAGACAUAGGUUUUGGUUAAGCAUCACUUCAGUCAUUCUAACUGGUUCACUUGGACCCCACUUAACAGUACGGUGGUUCUUAUGACUCAAUAAAGAAGAAACAGAACUACAAAAGAUCUAAGUCUUUGAGCUCCAUAGGCUUCAUGCGAUGUCUUCUCUUGUCAUAGUCUUCAAUGAGAAUAUCUUCAUAUACCACCUUUGACAUCAAUGUCUUCAUACAUUUUUAGGGGUCAUCUCUAGUAGGAAAACAGAAUCAAUGAGGGACUUCUACCUAUGUUAUCCUGCAAUUCUCACAAACACAUCAGUCCCUCAACUAGGUUUGUCGUCAAUACUCCAAAACCAACUAGGGGUGGCACUAGAUGCACUUACAAUCUCCCCCUUUUUGGUGAUUGAUGACAAACUAGUUGAAGUUUUCAAUGGGGAAUAUAAUAUGUGAAAUUGUAAAGAAUAAGGAAUUGUCUUCAUAAGUUGCAAGGGCUCCCCCUGAAGAUGUGCAUAUAAGUAAUUUGCUUUUGGAAUGCAAAUGCACAUGGCAGGUUGUGCUUGUGGAGAUCCUCUUCAACUUAUGAUGACAAUCCACUAUGCAUGUGAAGGUAUGUGAAGAUAAUGACAUGCAUAAUGGAAAAUGGACGUCUGCAAAAUGAUCUAAGUGCGGAAUUUAUCGUCGCACAUGCGGAAUUUAUCAUCGCAUCACAAAGUAGCAAAUAAGUAGCAGACGACCAUCGAGUUUAAGUGUUACAACUCAAGGAACCAAAUGUAUCAAAACGAGAGUUGUAAACACGAAGCAAAAUAUAAAGCACCCGCCCAUAUGGACCCGCUUGAAGACUAUCAAAUUCAUAUGCUUCUCCCCCUUUUGUCAGUAAGGACCAAAAAGGUUUAAAGACAUAGAGCAUCUACUCGUUCCCAUGAAGAGUGGGUGAAGCAGCAAGGUCGUCAGUGGUGUUCGGCGGUGCAGAAGAACUUGGAGCAGUGUUGAAGCAUGCUGAAGGAGGUGGCGGUGAAGUGGCAUCGUCUUCAUCGUCGAUCACUCUGCCAUUCAUAGUUGCAGCAGAGGAAGAGAACUCAGAGUCUUCGAGAGAUGGAGUUCGUCACAACACGGCCCUUCGAGGAGGUGUGGAGUCAAAGUUGAAGCAUUCAGAGAAGCCAUCCUCUUGAAGAUCAUCUUCAGAGCACAUCAGCAUCAGACCUUUCCAUGUGCGUCGAGAGGUUUCAUGGGCAACAAAAGCAUUCUUGGUGGCAAGAUUGCGAAUGCGGUUGACAUCCACCAAGAGGCUUUGCAUUUGGCGCUUCAGCCAGUCAUGAUGCCUAUCCUGAUUCUGAUGAAGAGCCACCAGAAGCUCUCGGUCAUUAAGAACACGAGUGCGCUUCUUGGGUCGUUGGGCAGUUGUGCUGUCGGUGGCUUCAGUAAGGGCAGGAUGUGGUGAACGUGUAGUUCCAGCCAAAGGAUACACACGAGUGACUGCUUCAACUCCUUCAAUGUUCUGAGAAAAACUUUGAUGCUCCGCAUUCUGAAGACUUAGAGGUUCCUUGGCAGGCUUAGGAUAAAUGGCUUCAAUAGACAUAUCCACAUCAGGCAGAAAGAUCCGAUGAUUGCGAGCAGAUGGUUGAUAUGAGAUAGCGGAGUGGAGUUUGAUCAGCCGCAUUAUCCAUGGAGCGUAGAACUUCAGGCCAAAAAGAUCAGAGCCUGAUGCAGCAAGUUAGCGGAUGAAGAAGUCCUAUGCAUUGAAGCAUUUGCCAUGAAGAAUAUAGAAGACCAAGGUCUUCAUUGCACCUUCUAGCUUGGCAUGUGGAGAGUGUCCUUUGAUGGGCCAGAGAGUUCGCCUUAUGAUGUGAUAAAUAGUCCUUGGCAGAUACUCAAGGUCUUCAACAAAGAGCUCUUUGGGAUAUGCAGCAUCUUGGGGCAAUGGCUUCAUCAUACUAAGCAUCUGACUCAUGUUGGGUUCAGGCUUCUGAAAGAUGCUUUCCACAGCUUCACUGUGAAUUUGACAGCCAGUUUCGUAGAGAUCGCCAGGAGUGGGUAGACCAGUGAGCUCAAUGAUGUCAAAGGCUUUGGCUUCGUGAUGAAUGUUUCCUGUCAUCCACUCCAAGACCCAAGUCUUCGGAUCUCUGUUGUACCCACGGAUGUGAAGUGUGGCAUAGAAUUGGAGCAGCAACUCUUCAUUCCAAUGCUCUUGGUCGGUGACGAACGGCAGCAAUCCAACCUCUUUGAAGCAAUCCAGAGCUUCUUCCAGGCAGGGCAGACCAGCUAUUGCUUCAAUGUCAAGACGCUUGUGUGGGAAGAUGCGACCUUGAUUGUAUAGAAUGCAGGAGUAAUAGCUUCGCUGCGGAUAGCUCCAGAACCGAUCAGAUGAUAUUCUUUCCCUUGAGUAGGUUCCUGGAGCUAUCGAAGAAAGUGUUGUCUGCUCUGAAGCCAUUGACAUUGAAGGAUCCAGGUGCUGAUGUAGGACCUGGAAACCUGGGCAAUCUUGGGAUUGGCUUCUGUACCUGAGGCCUGUGCUCAACAUGAUAGUCGAACUGAGGACCAGCAGCAGGCACAGGAACAGAAGCAGUGGGAUCAGUGGCUUCACUGACUUCUGGUGCUUGGGUUGGUGAAGGCUCCACAUUAGCUUCAGCCAUGAUAGCGUCAGUGGCUUCAUUGGUGUUGGUGGUGGCAGCCUCAAGAUUCUCAACCUCCACUUGACGAGCUGGAGGGUCGGUCAUAGUCACGUUCUCCUUGAGAAUAGCUUCUUGGUGGGACGGGGGAGUAGCAGCUUUUGGGGUUUCUUCUUCAUCGGCUGAUGCAGCCGGAAUGUCUUCAGCAGCUAUAGCUUCAGCUCGGAGACUGGAGGCCUUGGUCCUUUGCGAAGCCUGCGUAACGAUGGCGACGCCUGUGGAGUUGGAGUUGGCUGGGCCUCAAAGUCUUCUUCCUCUUGUGCUUGUGGGCGAUCAGCCCAUGAUGCAUCCUAAGCAAUUGGCGUCAGAGGACGACCAAUGCUGAUGAGUUCGUUGUGCGUUAGCAUAGACGAUGAUACCUGUUGGUGCUCGAGCUGAGGAAGAAUUGCAUCAUCUUCAACAUGGUCAAGGUGACCAAUGUCUUCAGCAGCAAUGGGAUCAGCUGCUGGAAAGUCUUCAGCUUCAUGAGCCUCUGUGAAAGCAGGCUCAUGGACAGUCAGUUGACGUUCUUGAGGUUCAGCGUCAGGGCGAACCAUGGAGAUGGGUUCAACAAUCAAGGGCUCUGUGGGAGCAGCCCGUUCCUUCUUGUUCUUCCGCUUCUUCUUGGAGGGGGCAGUAGCAGAGGCUUCAGGAUGUUUCCUCUUCCUUGCUUCAGCCUCAGCAGUCCUCGUCUUCUUCAGCUCUGAAGUGGUUGACCGGGCCUUUGGCUUCGAGCCAGUCAUGCUAGUUAGGAAGACAAUGGGAUCUGCUUCCUGCAUUGGUGCGUUGGGUUCGGCCAUAGUGGGCUUCUUCUUCUGCUUAGCAGCCAUCCUGGGAUCAAUGCCCGGACGCCCAAGGGUCUUGCGCUUCUCAGCCUCGUUGUAGCCUUGCACACACUUGUCAGCAAGGCUCUUCAUGCGCUCCCUAGAACCCUGAGCUUCUGCGUGUUUCUUGAGAAAGGCUUCUUUGAGCUCGUGCAUCAUAAUCUUGAAGUUUUUCACCUCUUGCACGCUGAGCUUGGCCAUAUGCUUCUUGAACUGAGCCUUUUCAUAGUCAAUAUUUUGCUUCAGUUCGACGAUGCGCUGAGCGAGAGCUAGUUCUGAAGCAAUGGCGCCAUGGAAGGCGACACUGAGGCCAAUGGGUAGUUGCAGAUCUUCGAAGCUGAUGUUGGGCGUGUCAAACCACUCAUCAAUGAAGUUGUGGAUGAUUGUCACAUCAAAGAGAGGCAGAUCAUUGAAGAUUUCUGCUUCUUCUUUGCUCUUGAUGAUUUGCUCAAGAGCGUCGUCUGCAAGAUCUUCAUCACUGGACAGAUCAAUGGCAUCAUUUCGUAGAAUGGGAGCAACUGUCAGUUCUUGGCCGGUGUGUGGCAGAGGCAUCCUGACCUUCUGGGGCUUGGAGGUGCGUGACAAAUCUUCAGACUGCACACUGUCUUCAGGAGGUGCAGUGGCCAGUGGCUUCGCCCGUGAGAUUCUUGGUGCAGAGGCAGGCUUUGAAGCUUUUGGCUGCUUCAGCUUCUUUGGCUUCGGCGCUGCAGGCGCUUCAUCUGAUUCAGCGUCAUCUGCAGGCUCAUUCACGGCAGUCCCUUGAACCACGAUAUGGGUGAUGAUACCUUCAAGGUUGUAGAAGGCCCCAAGAAGAUUGGGUUCAGCUUCGCGAGUUCCAUCGGCAUGGGGAGCAGAGGGACCAGGGUUGAAGUCUAGUCCCAAAGACUUCUUGUUUUGCUUUGCUGAGUUCUUGGCAAACUGGAAGUUGCGCUUGAACAGAUUGUCGUCACGGCGCCAUAGUAGUGACGAUGGGUGUGCAUCUGCAGGCUGUGGCCCAUGGACCAUGCAGGGAUAGAAGCCUUGUUCAAUGGCUUCUUCUCUGGACCUGGGUUGAAGAUUCAUAUAUAGGAUGUCUCCCCACGGUCGCUUGAUGGCAUUUUUCUCACCAUAUUCUUGGGUCACAAACCAGUAUUUGAACCAUUGUUCUGCCCAAUAUCUUCGAAUCCACUGGAUUCGGGUCUUGUGCUAAUUAUAAUCCUCUUCAGGAUCUGACUUGUAAAGUUCUGAGAGGUCAUCAGGCAGAUCUCUUGAUGUUCCGCCACGAUGCUGUCUGCCUCCCUUCCUUGCAGAUUUCUCUGAAGCCAUGAAUUUUAAAUUAAAAGGCUUCAAUACAUUCAAAGGCUUCAAGGGCUUUCGUUUGCUGGACAAACAUGAACUGGCUUCGGGAGAAUUUAUAUGAUGCUGUAAGAAUUCUGCAAAUGCAUGCAGACUAUGAGAACCAAGGGAUUCUCCCACGGACAUGUACCUGUGACAGCAUUAAGGUGCGAGGGAAGGGGAAGAGGUCAUAUGCAUUCUCAGAAGAUUUUGAAGAUAAAUCAGUUUAGAAGACAUUGACCUCAUCGUGCGAAGACAUUCACUCAUAGAGAAGGAGUUGGUUCCAGAUUUGUACGAAUCCAUGGAUCAGUACAAGUGAGGAAUCUAACUACUUUGCGAAGUACAAGUGAAUAUACUAGGCAUAUUAUGAGGUGCAGUAUGUAAGAGUGUGAACAGAAACUGCUUGUGGUAGAAAGUGACGAAGCUAUAGGAUCAAAGGGCCUAUAAAAAGGAAGUUUUAUUUACCACACGAAGAAUUGCUAGAUGGAGUGGAAGAGGAGGCCGAGCAGUUCGAUCGUCCAUGCCCUAACUUGGCGAUGGAGGACACCUACGGCGACGGCGGAGAGGACGAUGUCCGCGGUCGGCGUGAGGACGGCGUCGGAGAGGUUGCGGCAGCGAAGCGCUUCAUCGCCGGCGUCGUCGAGGGUUAGCGGUGGUGCUAGGGUUCGUGCGAGAGUGGAAGAAGAGAUAAUGACUGCGGUGAGGCGUGUAUUUAUAGGUAUAGGGGCGGCUCAGUGUUAUUACACAGGUGCCCCUGGCGAUUCACAUCUGAGGAACACGUGGCCAUCAUGCAGCAUGUCGGAGGUUGUUCCACGUCCCACGCACGCCUGGAUUGUCGGGUGGUCGUUCCUACUUCUCCGGGUUUCAGGUGAAGGAAUGAGCAUUGAAAACAGACUUAAUGUUUGUCUCUGUAUCUUCAGCUGACAAGGACGCAGAGAAGACAUUCGACCGUUUCAAUAGAAUGCAUAUGACUUGGAGAGAUAGAGUUUGAGAUAGAAAGCAUAGAGAGGUUAGGGUCCGAUCACAUUCACUUAGUUCAAAAAAUUCAACAAGAAGACAUAGCUAUAAGUGAACGCUGUAGAGGACAGAACACUAGUGUAUAUAUAUAUAUAUAUAUAUAUAUAUAUAUAUAUAUAUUCAACAUAGUGAAGAUAAUCAUGAAGACAUGUUGAGAUUGAAGCCAAACCAAAUGUGAAAACAUAGCAAAUGUAACACCAUGAGUGAAACACUUCAAACAGAACAUUUGGUGGUGGCGUUACCCACCGUAUAGGAAGUAUUAGACCCAGACACGGCGCACAAUUAUCGUGGCGCUCCGAAGUCAAAUUUCACAUUAAUGUAUUCACACUUAGAAUGUAUGUCUUCAUUGAUUGAAGUUAUACUUUACUUCGUGUGUUGCACAUCUAAGUCAUCAAUAUGCAUAAGUGUUAGGAUGUGUGCCUGAUCACAGGACAUUUGAGGAUUCCAAGAUAUUUAGCUCACACCGUAACUUGCAAAAUCUCUUCUCAUCCAAGGGCUUGGUGAAGAUAUCUGCCAAUUGUUCUUCAGUGUUGAUGUGUAUGAUAUCAAUGUCUUCCUUCACAACAUGAUCUCUGAGAAAGUGAUGACGAAUUUCAAUGUGCUUUGUCUUCGAGUGCUGAACUGGGUUGUUGGCAAUCUUGAUGGCGCUUUCGUUGUCGCAGUAGAGUGGCACUUGCUUGAGAUGAAUGCCAUAGUCCUUGAGUGUUUGCUUCGUCCACAGAAGCUGAGUGCAGCAAGAUCCAGCAGCAAUGUAUUCAGAUUCAGCAGUGGAGAGAGAUACACAGUUCUGCUUCUUUGAAGACCAACAUACAAGUGAUCGUCCCAGAAAAUGACAUGUGCCUGAUGUAGACUUGCGAUCCACCUUGUCACCAGCAUAAUCAGCAUCCGAGAAUCCAACCAGAUCAAACUCUGAGCCCUUUGGAUACCAUAAUCCUAGAGUUGGGGUGUGAGCCAAAUAUCGAAGAAUUCGCUUCACAGCUAAGUGAUGCGACUCCUUUGGUGCCACUUGGAAUCGAGCACACAUGCAAACACUAAGCAUAAUAUCUGGCCUAGAUGCACAUAGAUCAAGUAAAGAACCAAUCAUGGAGCGGUAUACCUUUUGAUCGAACUCUUUACCAUUGUCUUCGGGGCCCAGAUGAUGUUUGGCUGGCAUUGGCGUUGUGAAGCCUUUGCAGUCUUGCAUACCGAACUUCUUCAGGCAAUCUUUGAGAUACUUCUCUUGAGAUAUGAAGAUGCCAUUGCGUUGCUGUCGUAUUUGAAGACCGAGGAAAAACUUCAGCUCUCCCAUCAUGGACAUCUGAUAUUGCUCUUGCAUCAUAUAUCCAAACUCUUCACUGUACUUCUGAUUGGUGCAGCCGAAGAUGAUGUCAUCCACAUAUAUUUGGCACACAAACAGUUCACCAUCAUAUGUCUUCGUGAAGAGAGUGGGGUCGAGGGAACCAGGUAUGAAGCCUUUGCUCUUCAGGAAGUAUUUGAGUGUGUCAUACCAAGCCCGAGGGGCUUGUUUGAGGCCAUACAGUGCCUUGUUGAGCUUGUAUACCAUGUCAGGAUGUUUUGGAUCUUGAAAGCCAGGCAGUUGUGCAACAUACACUUCUUCUUCAAUCUUGCCAUUGAGGCGCUCUUCACAUCCAUUUGAUAUAGAAGUAUGUUAUGAUGAUUUGCAUAGGCCAGCAGUAUGCGUAUGGCUUCAAGUCUAGCCACAGGAGCAAAUGUUUCAUCGAAGUCAAUGCCUUCCACUUGAGUAUAUCCUUGAGCAACGAGACGAGCUUUGUUUCUGACAACUUGACCAUGCUCAUCUUGCUUGUUGCGGUAUAUCCAUUUGGUGCCUAUUAUGUUGUGCUUCCGAGGAUCAAGACACUUAGCCAGUUCCCAUACAUUAUUCAGCUCAAACUGUUGAAGCUCUUCUUGCAUAGCUUGAAUCCAUUCAGGCUCCAUGAAGGCUUCUUCAACUUUCUUGGGUUCUGUUAUUAAGACGAAUGCGAAGUGCCCACAGAAAUUUUCUAGCUGAGUUGUCCUUGAACGAGUGAGGGGACCAGGUGCAUUGAUGCUAUCAAUUAUUCUCUCAAUCUGCACUUCAUUGGCAACACGAGGAUGUACAGGGCGAAGAUUUUGCUCUUGCUGAUCAUUGUCAUUGUUAGUGGGAUUGUCUUCAGGCUGAGCAUUGUCUUCAGGUUGAUCAGGUGUGGAGAUGAUAAGUUCCUCUUCAGGUUGAGCUUCAGAGGGUAUGAUUUCUCCAGUUCCCAUUAGCUUGAUUGAUUCUUUGGAUGGAACUUCAUCUAGCACAUUUGGCAGGUGCUCUCUUUGUGAACCGUUAGUCUCAUCAAACCGCACAUCCACUGUUUCAACCACUUUAUAAUGAAAGAGAUUGAAGACUCUGUAGGAGUGCGAAUCCUUUCCAUAUCCAAGCAUAAAACCCUCAUGUGCUUUUGGUGCAAAUUUUGAAGUGUGAUGUGGAUCUUUGAUCCAGCACCUGGCGCCAAAUACUCUAAAGUAACGGACAUUUGGCUUCUUGCCAGUAAGGAGCUCAUAAGAUGUCUUGUUCAGAAGCUUGUGAAGAUAAACACGAUUGCUUGUAUGGCAUGCAGUAUCAAUGGCUUCAGGCCAGAAUUUUCUUGGAGUCUUGUAUUCAUCUAGCAUCGUUCGGGCUAUCUCAAUGAGUGUUCUGUUCUUGCGUUCGACGACGCCAUUCUGCUGUGGCGUGUACAAAGCUGAGAAUUCAUGUGUGAUGCCCAAAGUAUCAAGAUAUGUAUCAAGGCCAGUGUUCUUGAAUUCAGUGCCAUUGUCACUUCUGAUGUGCUUUAUCUUGGCGCCAUAGUUGUUCAUUGUUCGAUUGGCGAAGCGUCUGAAGACAUCAUGCACUUCAGUCUUGUAGAGGAUUAUGUGCACCCAAGUAUGUCUAGAAUAAUCAUCAACAAUGACAAAGCCAUAGAGACAAGAAGUAGUAGUAAGAGUUGAGUAAUGAGUGGGACCGAAAAGAUCCAUGUGGAGCAGUUCAAAGGGUCGAGUGGUUGUCAUGAUUUUCUUUGAGGGAUGUUUGGCCCUCGUCAUCUUUCCUGCUUCACAGGCACCGCAUAAGUGAUCUUUCUUGAACUUGACGCCCUCGAUGCCUAUGACAUGCUUCUUCUUUGCAAGGGUGUGGAGGUUCCUCAUGCCAGCAUGCCCUAGCCUCCGAUGCCAGAGCCAGCAUUCUGAAGCUUUUGCUAGAAGACAUACGGCAAGUUGUGGUCCUGCUGAGAAAUCUACCACGUACAAAUCAUCUUUCCGAUACCCUUCAAACACUAGAGACUUGUCAUAUUCCAUUAGAACAAGGCAGCGAUAUUUUCCAAACAUUACGAUCAUGUUCAAAUCACAAAGCAUUGAGACAGACAUUAAGUUGAAGCCAAGGAAUUCAACAAGCAUGACUUUAUCCAUGUGUUGAUCCUUUGAGAUUGCAACUCUACCUAGACCCAAUACCUUACUUUUACCAGUGUCAGCAAAUGUGAUGUGAAUCUUGUCGGAUGGACGUAAGGUUGAGUCCAUAAGAUGGCUUCUUUUGCCGGUCAUGUGAUUGGUACAUCCACUAUUAAUAAUCCAUUCUAAAGACGCUGGUGUCGUACCCUACAGUGCAGUUAGGGGGAUAGGCUUCACGAAGAGAAUUGUGAAGCAAAAACAUUUGACGAACCAGUGGGUUAUGAAAGCUUAGAUCCAGAUUAGGACUAAUAGGGAGAGUAGCAAGCGAUUCAGGAACGAAGUACAUAGUAAGACCAUUCGGGCAUUUGAUCUUGCGCCCUACAAGAUGUUUAAGGUCCCCAGCAAUAGCAUCAGGCGAUUUUGGUUUUCUGCUGGAGACCUUUCCCUGCAAAAGAGAGUUAAGCUUUCUUAGCCACCCACAUCUUCAAGGGUGGCUUAGAAGCAAUAAGUCUAAGUGCAGCAUCUGAGAACUUUGGCUUUGGAGCCCUAGCAAACAGUCUUGCAGGUGGACAAUAGUACACAUAAGAAUAAGCAUAAUAGUUCUUGGUCUUAUGAACAUGGCGGUUUGAUGAACCGCGCUCAUAUUCAUAGGCCUGAGUAUGGUUUCCCUGCAAAACAUUUGCAUUAGUGCGACUCGGGUGAGUCCUCUGUCUGUGUGAAGCCUUUGGACCGUAUGAAGCCUGUGGUCUGGGGUUUGUCUUCUUCACCUAUGGUGUCAUGAUGACAUUCACAGGAAGAUUCUCCAGACACUUUUUCGGUACCCAGAUCUUCUUCAUAGGCGGUCCAUUCCUGCAGUUAGUACCAAUGUACCUGGCAAACACUUCAUGAUUUUGAUUCUUAAACAGUUUAUAGUUUGCAUCAAAGGAUUCAUCAAAGACAAUAGGGUUAGCACAAGUGAAGCCAGAUAGAGUGGAUGGAUCUGCUGAAGAUUCCUUUGCAGCAACCCAUGUGGUUUUGGGGUACUGCUCAGGUUUCCAGUAAGAGCCAUCAGCAUUCAUUUUCCUUACGAACCCAACACCCUCUUUCCUCGGGUUUCGGUUCAGGAUCUGCCUUUUGAGGACAUCACAUAGUGUCUGAUGCCCUUUAAGACUUUUGUACAUCCCUGUUUCAAGCAAUGUCUUCAACCUAGCAUUCUCAUCAGCAAUAGCAGUGGUAUCCUCAGCAGAGGGGUUAGUUCCCACAUCAACAGUUGAAGAUAUUGCAACAGUAGCAGCAGUAGAACAUUCAGCAACAGAAGUAGCAUUAUCACGGUCAAUGCAUUUAAGGCAUGGUGGUUCAAAUCCUUCCUGAGCGGAACUGAUCUGUUUGGCGCGAAGUGACUCGUUUUCCUUUUGAAGAUCUUCAUGAGCCGCUCCCAAUUUCUCAAGAUCUUGCUUCCUUUGAAGAUAAUCAUAGGAAAGCUUUUCAUGAGUUGUUGAGAGCGUUUCAUGACGACUUUCAAGUUCCUCAUACUUAAUGUGAAGAUUUUUUUAUGUCUUUAAUUAAGGACUCAGAUCGAGUCAUUUCAGCGCCUAACAGAUCAUCGCUUUUGUCUAACAGUUUUUGAAUAUGUUCCAUAGCUUUCUGUUGUUCAGUUGCAAUUUUAGCAAGUGUUUUGUAGCUGGGUCUUGAACCACAAUCAGAGUCAUCUUCACUAGAUGUUUGAUAGUGAGUAGUGCGUGUGUUUACCUUGGCACCGCGUGCCAUGAAGCAGUAGGUAGGAGCGGAGUAGUCCUUGUCAUUUGCAUCAGUGUCGGUGAUGAAGUCAUUGUCUUCAGUGUUGAAGAUGGACUUGGCAACGUAUGCUGUAGCCAGACUUGCAACGCCAGAAUCGGACUCCUCCUCAGACUCCACCUCCGCCUCCUCAGAAGCGGACUCCUCCUCUGAAUCCAUUUCCUUGCCAACAAACACACGUGCCUUGCCAGAUGAUCUCUUCUUGUGUGAUGAAGACUUUGAGGAAGACUUGGAAGAAGACUUUGAGUAUUUCUUCUUCUUCUUGUCGUCAGAGUCAUAUUCCUUGCUCUUCUUCUUCUUUUUGUUCUCAUUGUCCCACUGCGGACACUCAGAGAUGAAGUGGCCAGGUUUCUUGCACUUGUGACAUGUUUUCUUCUUGUAGUCAUGAGCGGAAGCUUCAUCAUUCCUUGAGCUUGAUCGUGAAGACUCUCUGAAACCUUUCUUCUUGGUGAAUUUUUGGAACUUCUUCACAAGCAUAGCAAGUUCCCUUCAAAUGUCUUCAGGAUCAUCAGAACUGCUGUCAGAUUCUUCUUCAGAUGAGGAGACAGCUUUUGCCUUCAAGGCACGAGUUCGCCCAUAGUUUGGACCGUAGAUAUCUCUUUUCUCAGAAAGUUGAAACUCAUGUGUGUUGAGCCUCUCAAGUAUGUCAGACGGAUCGAAUGUCUUGAAAUCAGGACGUUCUUGAAUCAUCAGGGCUAGGGUGUCAAACGAACUGUCAAGUGAUCUCAGUAGUGUCUUGACAACUUCAUGCUUGGUGAUCCCAGUAGCGCCAAGGGCUUGAAGCUCAUUUGUGAUGUCAGUGAGUCGAUCAAAUGUGAGCUGGACAUUCUCAUUGUCAUUUCUCUUGAAGCGGUUGAAGAGGUUGCGAAGGACACUGAUUCUCUGAUCUCUCUGGGUUGAGACGCGGCCAUACAGUCCUUUGGUCAGAUGACCACAGAUGAUAUUCUUGGCAGUAGAGUCCAGUUGAAUGAACUUCUUGACAUCAGCAGCAGUGACACCUUCUCCAGCCUUGGGAACGCCGUUCUUGACGACAUACCAUAGGUCGACGUCAAUGGCUUCAAGAUGCAUGCGCAUCUUAUUCUUCCAGUAGGGAUAUUCAGUUCCAUCAAAGACGGGGCAUGCAGCGGAGACUUUAAUUAUCCCUGUAGUCGACAUAGCUAAAACUCCACGUGGUUAAACCAAAUCACAUAGAACAAGGGAGUACCUUGCUCUGAUACCAAUUGAAAGUGUGUUAUAUCGACUAGAGGGGGGUGAAUAGGCGAUUUUUAUGAAAGUCUUCAAAACAUGGAAGUUAUGAAGACAAAUGAUAGAAAUAAAUCUAUUACCAUGCAGCGGAAGGUAGACUACACUAGGCAAACCAUAGUCAAGUAUUCAAUGGAGUGAAAGCACAAUGACUAGUAGCAGCAAUGUAGUAAGGAUCAGGUAGGAAGAUAUUAUGAAGCCAAAUAGAACUCGCAGUCACUCAGUGAAGACAAAAAAUAGUGCAAUCAUACAAUGACUUCACAAGGACCAACAGUAAGUAAAGGGAAGGGAAGGAUGAAACCAGUGACUCGUUGAAGACAAUGAUUUGUUGGACCAGUUCUAGUUGCUGUGACAACUGUACGUCUUGUUAGGGAGGCUAGGUAUUUAAACCUGAGGACACACAGUCCCGGACAUCCAGUCCUGAACACGCAGCUCAGGACACCCAGUCCUCACCGUAUUCCCCUUGAGCUAAGGUCACACAGACCUCGCCCAAUCACUCUGGUAAGUCUUCAAGGUGGACUCCCAAACCUUCACAGACUUCGUUCACCGGCAAUCCACAAUGUCUCUUGGAAGCUCAGAACGCGACGCCUAACCGGAUGGAGGAUUCACAGUCCUCAAGUGUAAUAAGUCUUCAGAUCACACAGACAAGAAGACUUAAGUGAUGCCUGACACUCUUUGGCUCUGGGUGGUUAGGGCUUUAUCCUCGCAAGGAAUUAUCUCUCAAAGGCUUCGAGGUGGGUUGCUCUCAAAUGACAAAAGCUGUACUCUAACUCUGAGCAGCCAACCAUUUAUGGUUGUAGGGGGUGGGCUAUUUAUAGCCACUAGGCAACCCGACCUGAUUUGUCCGAAAUGACCCUGCGUCACUAAGGAACUGACACGUGUUCCAACGGUCAGAUUUCAAACUCACGCGGCAGCUUUACUUGGGCUACAAGCAAAGCUUACUUGUCUGACUCUGGACAAGUUUCACUCUCAUAGUCUUCACUUGAAGACAUAGGUUUUGCUUAAGCAUCACUUCAGUCAUUCUGACUGGUUCACUUGGACCCCACUUAACAGUACGGUGGUUCCUAUGACUCAAUAAAGAAGAAACAGAACUACAAAAGAUCUAAGUCUUCGAGCUCCAUAGGCUUCAUGCGAUGUCUUCUCUUAUCAUAGUCUUCAAUGAGAAUAUCUUCAUAUACCACCUUUGACAUCAAUGUCUUCAUACAUUUUAGGGGUCAUCUCUGGUAGGAAAACCUAAUCAAUGAGGGACUUCUACCUGUUUUAUCCUGCAAUUCUCACAAACACAUCAGUCCCUCAACUAGGUUUGUCGUCAAUACUCCAAAACCAACUAAGGGUAGCACUAGAUGCACUUACAGGGAGCAAAGCAACCGUGAGUACUCAUCCAAAGUACUCACAAGCAAGGAUCUACACUACAUAUGCAUCAGUGUCAAUGAAAAGGGUUGUAUCUAUGGACUAGACUACAGAAUGCCAGAAGAGAAGGGAAAGCCUAGCCUAUCGAAGACUAGCAUCUUCUAGAAACCACCAACUUGCAGCAACAGGAGGGAGUAGAGUAGCAUAAAGUAAAGUAGUAGAAGUGUUAUCAACCUCGGCCAGAGAUCCUUUCUCGACUCCCUACGAGAAAGCAAUCCCAGAGCCAUACUAUCCAGUUAUCAUCACAAUCCAAUUCUCAUCACAAGUAUCCAGUUCUAGUUGUAUUGAUCGGGAUACAACUCCAAGUGUCUGUUACUGUAGGACAGGCUAUCGAUAGAUGUUUUCUUCCCUGCAGGGGUGCACCAACUUACCCACCACGCUCAAUUAACUCUGACCGGACACACUUUCCUAGGUCCUGCCCGGCCUCGGCCAAACAAUGCGCCGCAACCCGACCUAGGCUUAAUAGAGAGGCCAGCACGCCAGACUAAACCUAUGCCCCCAGGGGUCAUGGGCCAUCUCCCCGGGAACUCCUGCACGUUGCUUACAUGGCCGGUGAGCAGACCUAGCUACCUCCUUCAAAAAGGUAGGUGCUUACCAGUCCAACCCGGCGCGCGCCGCUUAGUCGCUGAGAUCUAUUAAGCUUCGGUUGAUGCAUACGACACAGAACGCCCAUACUAUGCCCAUGUGAUAGUUAGUGCUAUCAGGCCAGAGGCCCCUCGGAUCAAAUAUCCAAAUCGUCGUGGAUUAGGAGCACGCGGUAACAAGCAGAGACUCAGGAAAGAUGUGACCCCAUUGCCCCGUCUCGAGGACUUGCAGCAAGGGCUAAGAAUGCCCGGCCACGCCUCGUAAGUAUCUCGCGGGUACCUUCCAGGUCAACCUGACUCCACAUCACUCGCGGGUACCCCUCAGGGUCGACCCGCCUUUCCAAGUAGCAGUGGUAAAUUCCAAGUAUCCGUGUGUUCAAACAUCAAGGGGAAAACCCGAGGAAUCACCCCCGGUGAAUUCCACUCGAUGUAAUCAUCAAGGUGAACAUAAGAGGAUCCACCCUCGAGGUUCACACUUGAGGGGUUGCACCAUAGAGCCGUAUUGGAAGUGAUUAAGGAGGAAAUCACCCUCAAUGACCAUGACCGAAUAGCUACACUACAGGGUUAACAUCAGAAGUGCUGAUGAGGUCUCACCCUCGGUACUCAAUAGUAACCGAGUAGUGUCAAGCAACUAAGGGGAAAGUGAUGUGCAGUGCCGGGGCCUAGUCUUCGAUCCCGUUGAUCGGGUCUUCGAUGAUGAAGCAGGGGCAACAAGGACAAGGUGGGGGUCACUGAUGGAUCACUAACCAACCUAUACUAAGCAGUUUAGGAUAAGUAGGUAGGUAACAAUGAGCAGGUUACAAAAGCAGGCUAUGCAUCAGAAUAGGAGCAAACAAUAACAAUAGCAAAAUCUAAUGCAAGCAUGAGAGAAUGGAAUGGGCGAUAUCGAGAUGAUCAAAGGGGGGGCUUGCCUGGUUGCUCAGACGAGAAGGAGGGGUCAUCGGUGACGUAGUCGUUUACAGGGGCAUCAUCAUCCUCACGGGGUCUACCGAAGAGAAAAGGGGGAAGAAACAGUAAAUACAUAGCAAGCAAGUGCAUAAUAGGACAACAGGCAGAGGUAGACGUGUUCUAACGCGGUGCUACACGAUACCGGUGAAGGGGGAAGUCAACCGGGAAAGUUUCCCCGGUUCCGGACCUGUGUCAGACAGGUGACCGGAGGGGGAAAGUUUCAUGUUCGCUAUGCUAGGGAUGUGUGGCGGAUGAACGGACGGCGUAUUUGGAUUCGCCUCGUCGUUCUGAGCAACUUUCAUGUAGAUAGUUUUUCGAUCGGAGCUAUGGUUUAUUUUCUAUGAUUUAUCAAAGUUCAAAGCAUUUUGUGGAAUUGCUGAAAUUCUGCUAAGUCCUCAGUUUUAAACCUCACUUGGCUGUUUUCAAAAGGCUAAAACUAUUGUUUUGUUCAUCCUAUGGCUUAGUGCCCUUUACCAAUUUUUAUCAUCUUUCCAGGAUCUACAUGACAGUUUCAAGUUCAUCUAUGUUAGUGCCCAUUUGCCUGUCGAAAACUUCGUUUGAAAAGUGCUACUGGAUGUCAACUCCAAAAUCUGUUUUUCAGUUCUUCCAGUUAACAGAGCAUAGACUUUUGUCAUUUUUAUAGGAAUUAAUCCACGCACCAAAUGGAUUUGGUCUAAUGGAAACAUUUGAACCUUGACAAGUGUACUACCUCCUCAUAAUAGUUUUGCUCCGGUUAAAAUUCGUUUAGUCGCUGUUUAGGGGCUGACCAGAGGGUUAUUUAGUGUAGAAUUAAAAAAGCUAGCUACAUCUACAGUAGCAAGCAGCAGUACAGUAGAGCAGUAGCAAGCAGGCGGGAGCGCUGCAGCAGGGAAGGCAAGGUCGUGCGCGAGCCAAACGGGCGCAUACGCGCGGGCGCGGCCGGGGUGCUCCAGCGGGCGCGCACAGGAAGCGCCAGCGACACCGGCAGCCAGCAAAGCAGUAGCAGUAGCAGCAGCAGCGGACGGGGGCGUUGGCGCGGGCGGCACGGUCGCGGCGACUACGAGCACAAGCAAGGGCAGGGGCCGGUGCAUGCGGGCAUGGUGACGUGCGCGUGGCAGGUCGGCGAGCGCCGUACGGGGUGGCAUUGGAGCAGUAGCAGGCGAAGUAGCACUAGACCACAGCGAGGCCGGCGCACUUGCAUAGAAGCAGCCGCAGCACGCAUGCACGUACGCGUAUGCGGCAGCUCGGACGAGUUCGGGGACGACGGCCUACGGUGCAAGAACGGGAGGGAAGAGGAUGUGCUCAUCGAGCAGGCACAAGGAGGCCCGUCGAGUGACUUAGGAGCAGCAGAGGUGGCCGGCGUUGGCGACGGCGGCGGCGACCGAGACGGAUGGAGGUUGAGGACGGGGAAGCAGUGGGCGUCCCGAUGGCUUCCAGCUUGAUCUCGCCCAUGUAGUCGAAGUAGGCGAGGUCGGGGAGGCCGGAGGCGGACUAGAGUCACGGCGACGAUGGCGGACACCGGCGAUGUACGCGGUGGGAACGGGCUCGAUGGCGAGCGUACGGGGCGGCCCCGCUCGAAUCGAGGCUUGCGGUCAAUGAGGAAGAGGACGGCGGUGCUCCUGGACUAAGCUCGGCGACAAGGGAUGGCCGGUGGCCAUGGGAUCGAUGACGACGCGGCGAUGGAGGAGCUCGGGCAGGUGCGGGGGCGAGAGUGACGGCGCGUGGGAGGGAGAAAGGAGGCUAGGAUUUGGGGGAGAGGAAGAGGGGGCCGAGGGUUGCUCUUAUCCGCCGGGGAAAACGACGGGGAGGCGUGGGAUGGCUGCCACGGCGUCAUCGAUGUCCAUGGCGCCGGUGGAUCAUUGCCACGAUCCCCCUGUGUGAACAGAGAAGGGAGACGAGGGCGAGUUGGGUUGGGCUGGACCUGUUUUAGCUAAAUGGGCCAAGCGUCCAGUAGGUUUAGGUCUCCCUUUUCUGCUUUUCCUUUUCUGUUUUGCAAAUAGUUGGAGCACAAAAUGAAUGUUGUGACGAAUGAAACUUGGCACAUAAUUCAUGCACCAAAUUGUGGUGUUGCACUAAAAGUUUUAGAGCCAACGGAAUUGUUCAAGCAUUUUUGGAAAUUGAAAAGGCCAAUUAAUAUGUCGUUGGGUCACUUUAUAUUUUCCUAGUGAUUAAAGGGAGAGCCAAAUGAUGUUUGUUGCCACAUGAUAAUUAGCUAGUGAAUAUUUGCAAUCCAAAGAACAUUUUUGUUUUGACAUUUGAAAACUUUACUUGUUUGACUUUAUUUUAAAAAUCUUGAAUUUGGACCGGAUUCGAACCAACGCGAGUUUAACAAAAGUAAUCGCGGUGACAUGGCAUCAUUAGCAGAGGAUUACUGUAGCUUUAUUAUCCGGGCGUCACAAUUCUCCUCCACUACAAGAAAUCUCGUCCCGAGAUUUAAGGGUUGAAGUAAGGAAAGACUCGAAAAGGACGGAGCUCAACAAAAGAUAUGUACCUGGUGGCUAUCUCAGUGAACAUGGCAUAGAGGCAUCUCUCGAGUUGAAAUUUAAGAAAGUCAUCGAGAGCAAGAUAAGAAGGUGCAAUAACAAGCUUCAACCGGGUAGGCAGUAGUUUGUUGCCUGAAAUAGAGGAUGAAUGGGGUUCAGAGCAAUGGGAAUAAGUGUUGCGUGUGAUACCAGAAUAGAUCACUAGGAAGGUGGCUCAUGAUUUACAUACGAAGCUAAGUGCAAAGAAUAUUUUGGAGUCAAGGGUGUACAGGACAGUCAGGUUUUGAUCCUGUGGAACUAUGGGUUAUGGACCCACAUGUGGGUUAAAAGAAGGUAGGCGCUAAUCAUUUUUGCAUGGUCAUGAUAGCAAGGCAGGUCAGAGGAUAGCCUGUCAAUUAUGUUGGCAACAACGUUGGUACCAAGGGCGAGGGGCGAAGAGAACCAUUUUCCUGCUCGUUGAACAAGGCGGACCAAUAGGCAAGGUUCUCAUCCAUCGAUGGUUACCGGAAUGUCAUCAACAUUAGUAACAGGGUCAUACUGACUGAAUUGUACCUCGAGGUGUUUUCAUAAGCAGGGAAUUAUUUCUGCUUAUAUCAUCCAGAUCAUAAGAAAGGUUAAGCAAACCAAUGGAAAGAAAAAAUGAUUAAUUGAUUAUUCAAAUUAAUCAAUGGAAAGGAAAACGUGUUUACACACAAAAAUUGGGAGUAUAUCCUUCCCAGGAAAAAAGCGGAGCAGGAAAUACAUGAUAGGGCAGCAAGUUCAAAAGGCAUUUAGAUAAAGGGGCGAAGGAAGAAUCAUGAUAUUACCCAUACAACGGUGUUUGGAUAAUUGAUCAAGGGACAUGUAGCAUUGCGUUUCCACUGUCCUCAAUGAUAUUCGGAAUACCAUAGUCAUGCUCCGAGGUGGCGAUAACAUGGUGUUUCAAGUAAGGGUUGGAUCUAAAGAUCACAAUAAAUACAAAGGAACACUUCCAAGAUUAUCUCGGAAUGUAAGGAUUAACCAAACACAACCAGGUCUGUGUUGGCAGAAAGUCAAGGAUGUCAUUGAUGAUAUCACCAAUCAUCGAAGAGCAAGGAUGGUAUUUCCCAACAUGAAUUUGAUUGACAUCUCUGAAGAAAUCAUAGUGUUGACAGUGAUCACGACAAAUUUUGUCGGGAGAUUCUAGGAAGAUGCCAUCGAGCAGCGACGACAACAAACAACAAGGAAAGAUGAAGUGAAAGUCCAUGAGAACCACAGAUUCGACACAAGCUCGAAAUCAAACUUGUUGUUCGAGAUGAAAUGAUAUGACGAGGAAGAUCGACGUAAGCUUAGCUCAUUGUUGAAAAUUGUGCUCCGGGAAGGACCAGGUAGCACAGUUAAAAUUUACCACGAUAAUGAUAUAGCCGAUUAGGCUAGGAAUGGCUCGAAGUAUUAUUAAACUCAUAAGCAAUGAAAAUUUACUUAGAGUCACUGAAUCGGAGUGCAGGAUCGGUUCACUUAUCAGUGUGAUCGGUUGACAAACAACCCAGAACCCAUGAAGUGACAAUGACAGGGAAAGGUAGUGUUCAUCAAAAGUCCAUAAGAUUUGGUGCAAUGGCAUGAUAUCCUCGAGAUACCAGGGGUAAUACUCGAAGGUAGGUCAUAAUAGAGGUUGGGCAGGCGUAUUGACCUGCCGAAGACAAGUGAUUUAACUUGUCCAAGAAAUGGGACCAAAGAAGAACGAUCAUGGUCGGAACCACGGUUGCGAAGGAUCAAUUCACCGAUACCAGAUGAACUUAUAACAAGGGGUAAUUAUUUUUACGAGCAGCUUCCAUGAUAAAUUCUACAUCGGGUCCAUGGGCAUGAACACAAAGGUUCAAGGUCGACUCCCACUUCUUCAAUGCAUAACCUUCCAUUCACUUAUUGUUUCGAAAAUAGUAUUAGUGUUGAAAGUUUUACCUGGUGAAAUACCAGAUGGGUAUGACCCAUGAAAUCCUUCGGGAUCACAAAGAUUAGGGAAGGCAUAGGUUCAACCCAGUGGGGCAUCAUAGGAACAUAUACCAAAAACCUUAAGAAUAAGAAAACACAAUCUUGAAAGCAGAGCAUGGUUGACAAAACAGGGGAUACAUUUUACCAAAGGCAUUAUGUAUCAGGGGAAGAACUCACAAGGAUUUUAAAUAUGUGGAGCUGUUGGAUAAUAAUCCACCAAAGGAUCUAGUUGACCAUAAAGAAUCUGACAUGAGUAUCAAUGUUCAACCAGAAGAAGUAAUGCAAGGGCAUCGAAAUAUAGAAGUUUCUGGAUAAUUUCAAAGCUUAAAUACAAAGGAAUUAAGAUUUCCAAAUCGUGGGAUCAGAAGAAAACACUCUGAUUAAGGAUGGAUAAGUUGAAGAGACUUAGGGGUACAAUCGACGCAAUUUGAUUGGUCGAGAACCAGCUCCUGUACGGAGUGACGUCUGAGGAAAAAGGACGAAUUUCAUGAGGAUCAACUGAUGAUUGUGUGCAUUCACAUACAUGUUGAAUCAAUAGGAUCAGAAAGUCAACCACAACGGAUUUCAAUUGGAUAUUGCUAGACAUAUGGAAUUAACCAUAAUGCAAGCAUGUAGUGAAGAACAAGAGCAAUAAGCUACUGAGGAUUUCGGGGGAUCGAAUAGUAUUUUGAAGAAUUUUGUGAAACACAUGAACAACUAGGGAUGAGCGGAUACUCCGUGAGUGCGAGGAAUUACCUAUAGGGGUAUUCAUGUGGCAAGGAACUGCAAGGCGGUAGACACAAAGUAUUCUCGGUACAAUAGAGAGGAUUUCGGGUAUCUUGUAAUAACAAGAUAAACGGAGGAAUGAUUUUAUGAAUGACAAGUGUACUUGGUCAUCCAUAGGGGUUUAUCGAUGGAAGGGAAUUGCAAAAGUGAUGGGCACAAGGGUCUCAGAAAAACAUAGAAAGUAUCUUCAGAAUCUUCUGGUGCACCAAGCAAUCAUCUGGAGUGAGGGGGUCUCCGGGAGAAAGUAUUUACGAGAACCUAGAGUUAGAGUUAACAAAAUGUUUAACCCGACUAGACGAGAGAUAAGAGUCCCAGAGUAUAGACGAGGAGUAAAAAGAUCCUAAUACCACCCAAUGGCGACGUGGGCCCGUAAGCCACACAACCAAUGUUAGUAAAAGUUUUUCAGUGACUAGACUCAACUUUGGCCAAGGGGUUGGAAGGGGGCUACCUAUAGGCAGUCGGCUCUGAUACAAACUUGUAACGUCCUCGAUUCAAUCGUACACUAAUCAUACACGCAAAUGUGUACGAUCAAGAUCAAGGACUCACGGGAAGAUAUCACAAUACAACUCUAGACACAAAAUAAAAUAAUACAAGCUUUAUAUUACAAGCCAGAGGGCUCGAAUACGCAAGAGUCAGCGGAAGCAACAAUAUCUGAGUACAAACAUGAGUUAAACAAGUUUGCCUUAAGAAGGCUAGCAGAAAAGCAACAUCGAUCGAAAAGGCAAGGCCUCCUGCCAGGGAGCCUCCUAACUACUCCUCGUCGGCGGCGGUCUUCACAUAGUAGUAGGCAUCGGCGGUGGCAUCUGGCUCCUGGGCUCCGACAUCUGGUUGCAUCAACCGGAAAGAAGAAGAAAGGGGAAAAAGGGCGAGCAAAGCAACCGUGAGUACUCAUCCAAAGUACUCGCAAGCAAGGAUCUACACUACAUAUGCAUCGGUGUCAAUGAAAAGGGUUGUAUCUGUGGACUGGACUGCAGAAUGCCAGAAGAGAAGGGGAAAGCCUAGCCUAUCAAAGACUAGCAUCUUCUAGAAACCACCAACUUGCAGCAACAGGAGGGAGUAGAGUAGAAUAAAGUAAAGUAGUAGAAGUGUUAUCAACCUCGGCCAGAGAUCCUAUCUCGACUCCCUGUGAGAAAGCAAUCCCAGAGCCAUACUACCCAGUUAUCAUCACAAUCCAAUUCUCAUCACAAGUAUCCAGUUCUAGUUGUAUCGAUCGGGAUACAACUCCAAGUGUCUGUUACUGUAGGACAGGCUAUCGAUAGAUGUUUUCUUCCCUGCAGGGGUGCACCAACUUACCCACCACGCUCGAUUAACUCCAGCCGGACACACUUUCCUAGGUCAUGCCCGGCCUCGACCAAACAAUGCGCCGCAACCCAACCUAGGCAUAAUAGAGAGGCCAGCACGCCGGACUAAACCUAUGCCCCCAGGGGUCAUGGGCCAUCUCCCCGGGAACUCCUGCACGUUGCGUACGUGGCCGGUGAGCAGACCUAGCUACCUCCUUCAAAAAGGAAGGUGCUUACCAGUCCAACCCGGCGUGCGCCGCUCAGUCGCUGACGUCUAUUAAGCUUCGGUUGAUGCAUACGACACAGAACGCCCAUACUAUGCCCACGUGAUGGCUAGUGCUAUCAGGCCCGAGGCCCCUCGGAUCAAAUAUCCAAAUUGUCGUGGAUUAGGAGCACGUGGUAACAAGCAGAGACUCAGGAAAUAUGUGACCCCGUUGCCCCGUCUCGAGGACUUGCGGCAAGGGCUAAGAAUGCCCGGCCACGCCUCGUAAGUAUCUCGCGGGUACCUUCCAGGUCAACCCGACUCCACAUCACUCGCGAGUACCCCUCAGGGUCGACCCGCCUUUCCAAGUAGCAGUGGUAAAGUCCAAGUAUCCGUGUGUUCAACCAUCAAGGCGAAAACCCAAGGAAUCACCCCCGGUGAAUUCCACUCGAUGUAAUCAUCAAGAUGAACAUAAGAGGAUCCACCCUCGAGGUUCACACUUGAGGGGUUGCACGACAGAGCCGUAUCGGAAGUGGUUAAGGAGGAAAUCACCCUCAGUGACCACGACCGAAUAGCUACACUACAGGGUUAACAUCAGAAGUGUUGAUGAGGUCUCACCCUCGGUACUCAAUAGUAACCGAGUAGUGUCGAGCAACUAAGGGGAAAGUGAUGUGCGGUGCCGGGGCCUAGUCUUCGAUCCCGUUGAUCGUGUCUUCGAUGAUGAAGCAGGGGCAACAAGGACAAGGUGGGGGUCACUGAUGGAUCACUAACCAACCUAUACUAAGCAGUUUAGGAUAAGCAGGUAGGUAACAAUGAGCAGGUUACAAAAGCAGGCUAUGCAUCAGAAUAGGAGCAAACAAUAACAAUAGCAAAAUCUAAUGCAAGCAUGAGAGAAUGGAAUGGGCGAUAUCGAGAUGAUCAAAGGGGGGGCUUGCCUGGUUGCUCAGACGAGAAGGAGGGGUCGUCGGUGACGUAGUCGUUCACAGGGGCAUCAUCAUCCUCACGGGGUCUACCGAAGAGAAGAGGGGGAAGAAAUAGUAAAUACAUAGCAAGCAAGUGCAUAACAGGACAACAGGCAGAGCUAGACGUGUUCUAACGCGGUGCUACACGAUACCGGUGAAGGGGGAAGUCAACCGGGAAAGUUUUCCCGGUUCCGGACCUGUGUCAGACAGGUGACCGGAGGGGGAAAGUUUCAUGUUCGCUAUGCUAGGGAUGUGUGGCGGAUGAACGGACGGCGUAUUCGGAUUCGCCUCAUCGUGCUGAGCAACCUUCAUGUAGAUAGUUUUUCAAUCCGAGAUAUGGUUUAUUUACUAUGAUUUAUCGAAGUUCAAAGCAUUUUCUGGAAUUGCUGAAAUUCUGCAAAGUCCUCAGUUUUAAACCUCACUUGGCUAUUUUCAAAAGGCUAUAACUAUUGUUCUGUUCAUCCUAUGGCUUAGUGCCCUUUACCAAUUUUUAUCAUCUUUCCAGGAUCUACAUGACAGUUUCAAGUUCAUCUACGUUAGUGCCCAUUUGCCCUGUCCAAAACUUCGUUUGAAAAGUGCUACUGGAUGUCAACUCCAGAAUCUGUUUUUCAGUUCUUCUAGUUAACAGAACAUAGACUUUUGUCAUUUUUAUAGGAAUUAAUCCACGCACCAAAUGGAUUUGGUCUAAUGGAAACAGUUGAACCUUGAGAAGUGUACUACCUCCUCAUAAUAGUUUUGCUCCAGUUAAAAUUUGUUUAGUCGUUGUUUACGGGCUGACCAGAGGGUUAUUUAGUGUAGAAUUAAAAAAGCUAGCUACAUCUACAGUAGCAAGCAGCAGUACAGUAGAGCAGUAGCAAGCGGGCGGGGGCGCUGCAGCAGGGAAGGCAAGGCCGUGCGUGAGGCAAACGGGCGUGUACGCGCGGGCGCGGUCGGGGUGCUCCGGCGGGCGCACGCAGGAAGCGUCGGUGACACCGGCAGCCAGUAAACAGUAGCAGCAGCAGCGGAUAGGGGCGUUGGCGCGGGUGGCACAGUCGCGGCGACUACGAGCACGAGCAAGGGCAGGGGCCGGUGCAUGCGGGCGUGGUGACGUGCAAGUGGCAGGUCGGCGAGCGCCGUGCGGGGCGGCGUUGGAGCAGUAGCAGGCGAAGUAGCACUAGAUCACGGUGAGGCCGGCGCACGCGCAUAGAAGCAGCCACAACACGCACACACGUACACUUACGUGGCAGCUCAGACGAGUUCGGGGACGGCGGCCUACGGUGCAAGAACGGGAGGGAAGAGGAUGUGCUCACCGAGCAGGCACAAGGAGGCUCGUCGAGUGACUUACACUACAAAAAAAUACACUUCCGUGAUGAUACGUGUUUGUCACAGUAGGUCGCAUUUUUUGUCAUGCAUGUACAUCCAUGACAAAUUUAUGACAGAAUCAAGAUAGUCAUACCUGUGCUGUCGUAGAAGUGUUCCAUGACAUUACCAAAAUUAUCAUCACGGAAGUGUCCACUCCCAUGACGAUAAAUCGCGCGUCACAGAAGUGCUUUUGUCAAGGGUGACCGACACGUGGCAUCCACCAUAACGGAACGUCAUUAAGCUAUCGGGUCGGUUUUGGAUCCGAUAACCCAUUAACAGCCCCGACCAAUGGGAAAUUUCCAUGUGUAAAAUUCUUAUUGGCCGGAUGAAACACGUGACAGCUCGUCAGUGGGUCAGAUAGGCGCCUAUGAUACGUCGACACGUGGCACGGCCCAACAGAGGCCCAUUCUUGUGAAAAGGCCGGCCCAUUUGACUUGGUCAAAAGGUGGCGGGCCGGCCCAUGGAAAGCCUGUUAACGGCAUGUUCUCAUAUAGCCCAUUUACAGCCUGCUAACCCAAGGCCCGUUACGCCCUAUUAGAAUUAGGCCCAGUAGCGUCAUCUGGGCCAUCCAAUAUGAUUCCAGCCCGUUUUCACUUCUGGCCCAUGUAUGGCCCAUGACAUCUUUCGGCCCAUAUGAGGCCCUAUGUAACUCUUGGCCUAUUAACGGCCCGUGGUGAAACUGGCCCGUAAUGAACAGUGUAUCACUUUACACCCAUUAACGGCCCGUGGUGAAACUGGCCCGUAAUGAACAGUGUAUCACUUUAUACCCAUUAACGGCCUAUUAUUCCGUUGGGCCAUUUCCAGCCCAUGUUAUCUUUCGGCCUUCUCAGAGCCCAUUUAUUCUUGGGCUCAUUUCCAGCAUUCGUUUACUUACGGGUCGUUACUGUCAUUUUCUGCUUGUGGGCCAAAUUCAACCCGUGGUUAUAGUCGGCCCAUUUGUGGUCCGUUAAUACGUUGGGCCAUUUUCAUAGCGUCAUCAAAUACGGCCUAUUAACAAUGGCCCAUUACGGUCGGCCCAUGAACGGACGAUUCUAACUCUAGCCCGUUUACGGCCAUAAUGCGGCCUGUUAUUGGCCCAUGUUUAGCCAAUCGAUCAUACGGCCCGUAUAAGGCCCAUUGAUGAUACGGCCCGUAGAAGGCCCAUUGUUUCUAUGGCCCGUAGAAGGCCUACUGUUUCUACGGCCUGUAGAAGGCCCACUGUUUCUACGGCCCGUAGGAGGCCCAAUGUCACUACAGUAAAUAUUAGCCCAUGGUUAUUGUGGCCUAGUUUUAAAAAAUAGGUUAUUGCAGCCACUAGUUAACCACGGAAAAAGAACUGCAAUGACUACAAGCAAACAAAUAAACAAGACAACAAGGAAAUAAAUAAGCAAGCAACUAACCCUAGGCUAUCACGGCUAUUACACAUAUUACAUCCACUGGGCAUCAAUGUUCGCCACUAGUGCAAAUAUAGGGAACAAAGCAGCAUAUCAUAUACACUGGCCGUCAAAAUUGGCCACCAGUGCAAAUAAACGCGGCAGCAAAACAAGAGCAUAACUGAAACAACUUUAGAAGAGCUCAAGAAACGUUAUCCUGGGUAUCCACCAUGCUGGCAAUAAGCUUAGCAAGCUGAUUAGCUUUUUCCUGUUUGGCGCUAAAAUCCUCCAACGCUUGCUGUUGCACCAGAAAGUAUGCAUCUGAAUGCUCCAGGGACUUCCGCAGUCCUUCCGCUUCUUGUCACAGCACAGCUGAUCGAUGUCUUUCAGCUUGUAGUUGAGACUUAAGAAAUCGGACUGAUUCAGACAGUGAGUUUGAAUAGCUUGUGCAAGCGGUAGUGGCCAGUAACUCCAACACUAAACCAAGACAGGAUGUGUCACUAUCCUGAACCUUAUCUGCAUUACUUCCUUUACCGUUGCUUAAUAAGGCACUCUUCCCCAAUAUUCUAUCAGCAUUCUAAAAGAAGAAACAAGCAGACACAUAACAAGUUUAGCAUGUACUAGUAUGUGAAACUCAUUUCGGUGAACCAGUUCAUUAGUAAGGUGGACAGGAUUAAACUACCAAGUCUUCUAUUGCCAAGUACUAGUACAUAAUAAAAGCAUCAAACAAACAUAUAUCUAUGUCCUAUGGUAGCAAUGGAAUCUUAAAUUAGAACAGUUGUUCUUCAGGUUUAGGCACUUGUUCUACAUGAACAGAGUACAGUAAGACGCAAGAAUAUAAUACUUAAAAAUAGAAAAUGAGAUCAUAGACUUUACCACAUUCUUGGUUCGGGACCAGUACAGAACAAGGCGUUCCCAGUCAUCGUCCAGUAAAUGUGUCUCGGGAGAACGUAAGGAAAUUUGAUGAGUUUCUUUGCCGAUGAAGUACGUUUUCUUCAGGUAAUUCCGAUACUUCCACCAAGCAUUCUUGAAGAUAGGAGAGGUAUUAGCACAGGUUACCUCAUCCUAAGUUUCCAAAUCGGUCCUUCUCUAUAGAUAAAAAUGGGAAAAUUUGCUGUAUUAUAACCAUCAUGGAGGUAGGAUGUAUGGGACGAAGCAAAGUAAUUGCCAUGAAUAACAUUACUUACACAUAACUCCUAGACAAACACCUGCAACUGGCAUUUUCCUUCAUCUUCAGUAUAAUAUUUCCAAGAUGGGAAGAUACGCACAUACAAUUUAACAACAUCAAAUGCGAUAGAUGCUAAAUUACGACUAGCUGGUUAUGCUUCCUCCACAGGAAUAGGCGUACUAACUGGUGGAGUUGGGGUUCGCUGUGAUAGUACUGGCCCUUUGGGCACUGGAGCUGCCUUACUAACUGCUCUUGUUUGGGAGCUCUGUGGUGGAGAUGGUGCUGUGUUAACAGGAACUGGGUUACUAUCGGCUGGGGUUGGGGUUAGAUUGGGUGAAGCUGGUUCUCUGUCCAUCAUAGUAGGGGUACAAUCUGCGAGAGUUUGGGUUAUGUGUGGUAGGGCUGGUUCUUGUGCAUUUACAAAUGGGGUGCUAUCUCCACCAAGAGGUAGCACUGUUUUAUUUGAAGACCGUGUUUUUAGUCCGCUAGAUACUGGCAUCACCUGCUCCAAUUCAAAUGGCUGAUAAACAGGAAACAUAGUUGAAUGUACAUACAUUGUAUGAGAGACAGAUGCAAUAGAUAGUGUGGAAAAAAGAGGGCAUGAAAUAGUUGACAUGUAUAUUGUUUAACUAAAACGGAUAGCAUGACAUAAUUUCACAUAUAUGAUGUCUCUAAACUGGAUAGCAUAGCAUAACAUAAUUCAAAGAUAUGAUGAAUAACUAAACAGGAUCACAUGACAUAAUUCACCUACAUGUUAUCUAAGUAAUCAGGAUCGCAUCAUUUAAUUCACAUAUGUGAUUUAUAUGCUAAACAGAGGGCAUUCGAUAUGAUGUCUGAACUAAGAACAUGGUGUUGAAUAUUGUGUAUAUGAUGUCUAAACUAUGCAAUGCAAGACACCGUAUGCAUGAUAUGAGCAGUAUAACCGUGCCAAGUUAGAGCAUACGCCUCAGUGGGGGAAUAGGAUUGGUCAUCUGUCUCUGAAUCCAUCUCUGAGGAGCUAUCGGGACCCAACAAGAGAUCUGCUUCGAUAGGUAGCACUGUCUGCUCUGAAGGCCUUGUUUUCACUCGAGAUUUUCCCAUCUCCCACCCAAAUGGUUGACUCACAGGAAGAGUAGUUUAAUGUACAAACAUUAUCGACAAAUGGAAAUGUAAUGAAGAAAAGGAUGGGCAAGAUAUCAUUCAAAUAUAUGAUGUCUGGUUAAACAGGAUGGCAUUGCACAUUUCACAUAUAUUAUGGCUGGCUAAAAGACAUGAGACUGCAUAAUUCCCAUAUAUGAUAUAGAAACUAAACAGGUGGCAUUAUAGAACAUGUCUAAACUAAGCAGAUGACAUAUAUGAUGUCAAAAGUAGGCACUGCAAGGCAACAUAUGCAUGAUAUGACUAACAUCAUCAUGCCAAGGUAGAGCAAACACCUUGGGGGGUAAAUAGGAGUGGUCAGCGGCGUCCGAAUCCGCCUUAGAACGGAUAUCUUCCUCUGGAUUGCAAUCUGGAGAGGGGUGGGGAGGGUUUGCCAUUGAACCCACCAUGGAGCGAUGUCUGCAUGACAUUGUAUUGCCGCGCAAAACUCUUCUCUUUUUCUCUACAUGUUCAGCAUGACUGUGUACAAUAUCUGACAUGCAUACGAAAAAAAUAUGGUGAGAUUAUGUAAGGAGAGCAUGCAGAAAUUUAGAGUGAUGGUAACAACCAGUGGAUCGAUGUUUUUCCGUUGAACCAAAAUAGCGCUAAUGGAUCGACGUGAAUGUAUAGUAAUAAGUGAUGCAACAAGUGUAAAACCUCUUUGCCGUAGCCGUGUCGACCUCAGCAUCAUUGGGUUGGUCGCUGAAGCAGUUGAGGCAGAGGUGGCUGUCGGAGGUGUGGAGGAAGAUCUGAGGAAUCUGUAGACGGCGUCCAGGGCACUGCUCUGUUGUGAUGGAUCGUUCUGUCGUUGGAGCAGCUCCGGUGAGCCAUAAGACGUCAAGGCUGAAGCAGCACAAGACAGACAUCGUCAAUCUUAAGUGGGAUUCUAAUAGCAUCUCCAAUAGAUGAUGUAAAAUGGAUGUAAAACUAACAUCACCAAAAACCACCUGACUACAACAGAUGAGGUAAAACCUAUUGACUCUAAACUUAACUGUCAAAACUGAAAUUUACUGUGGAAUCUGAAUGCUACUAUCAAAACUAAAUGCAAUGGUAGCAGAGAGGCACUUGACAUGUAGUUUAGGGAGGGCCUGCAGUUCAUCUUCAACCUGCACCCCCUGAGCCGCCAGCCACCACCGGCCAAACCGCCGGCCCCAGCGCCGCCUCGCCACCCCAAAACAACUCGCCACCGCCGCCCCGACCAGCCCUCUAGGCCCCCCGCCCCCCCACCCUGAACCCUAAGAUAGAUAGUGGGGUACCUCUCUAGCGAGCCCCCAUCCCCGCUGCGGGUGGUUCUUCCUUAACUCCAGCGAGCCCCCCAACCCUUGAAAAUCGACUGACCCAAAAGUCGAUUCAGUUGACUGAAGUGUGGCUUAAUCGGAGCAGAGCAGCAGCACGAGCAAGGGGGGAACAGCAGCAGCAACUGGGCGAGCGAGCGAUCGAGCGAGAGCCGGAGCUGCAGCAGCAGAUCCGGCUGGUAUGGACGCCACCGCCGAAGGGGCCUUGCACUGGGGGAGAGCCACCGUGGAGAUGUCGCCCGUGGCGCCGACUUCAAGGUAGCCGCUCCAUGGGGUGCGGGAUGGAGCACCGUCAGCGCCGGGAGGUCGAGUUAAGGAGAAGGUGCGAUGCGAUGAGUGUACAACCUCUUUGGUGGCGCCGAGUAGGCCUCAGCUUCGUCCGAGGAGUCGGUGAGGAUGAUGCGGUUCCGGUGGAGCAGGUUAAGGCGGCGCUGUGGGGAUGGAGCAGCCGUGAUAGACGAGGUGAUCAUCAGAGCAGCUCCUUGGAGGUGGAGGACGGGGCGGCUGAACCGGCAGGACGGCGAGAUGGACGACGAAUCCUCAUCCGGGGAGGUGGACGAGGGACGUUGAGCUGUUGCGGUGGACGACGUCGUCGGGGAAGAGGCUCCGCCUGGGCAGCGGUGACGUGGCGGGCGGAGGAGGGUGGGGUUUCGCGGCUGGAGCGGAGAGGUUAUGGCGGCUGGGAUUUCGAAUGGCGAAAAGGGGGCGAUGGGAGGGGGUGAAGCAUGACUUAGGAACGCGCUUGUCCAAAAUGUAGGGUGUGUUACAAAAGUACCCCCCACCGAUUUGAACUAGUGUCCCUUUCGGCUCAGGAUUAGAAGGGGGAUUUCGCGUGUCGAGAUUUGGCAGCUGCAGGGAGUUUUCGCGCGCGUUGUAAUUUCGGGAUAGCAAGGCACGGGUUAUGAAGGCGCCAGUUUUGGGAGCACGAUAUCUGAAUUUUCGGGAUAUAACAAGACGCGGGUUGAAUUUUAGGGACAAGCCUAACGUGUAGUAAUAUUGUACUUGUACGUACCAAAUCAAUUCGCACUUCCCUCAACCAAAAAGAAAAUGAAAAAAAUAAAACUAUUCACACCACACAAAGAGAGAGUCUUGCCCCGUUUUACUAUACAAAUGCUAUUCAAAGCUACUCCCUCCUUCCAUCUAUAUAGGGCCUAAUGCGUUUUUCGAUGCUAACUUUGACCAAAUAUUAGAGCAAUGAUAUAUGACAUGCAACUUACACAAAGCACACCGUUAAAUUCGUCUGUGAAAGGUUCUUUCAAUGAUAUAAUUUUCAUGUUGUGCAUGUCAUGUACUAUUAAUCUUGUCAAUAGUCAAAGGCGGUCUUAAAAAUCUCAUUACGCCUUAUAUAGAUGGAAGGAGAGAGUAUGAAUCCAUGUUAUGUCCGAUUAAAGUUUUUCGCUUGCUGUAUAAUGCAUGUAACCUACUCAUGCCAACAUUUUAGUGCAUUCCAAAUGUCUAUACUACCGCUGCAAUUCAAACUAAAUUUGAAUUCGUUUCUCUAUUUAAAUAAGAAUCUACAAUCAUGAUUGUUGCCAACUUCAACCAUCGUAGUUUCCUUGCUAUCCGCCAGAUAUAAAUCAGACGGCCUAUAAUGCAAGAUGGCAGGCACACCAUCAUCAACAACUCCAUUUUUUAUAAGAGUAGAGAUAAAAUAUAUUAAAUGUAGUAUACCAUGUUCAUAACCACACCAUGUGUAUCACCAUUAUAUAUAUUCACACAUCCGUCCAUUUGAAACACUAUGAUAAAUUCUACAAAUAUCCGAAUUCGCUUUUUAUAAUGAAGUAUAUAUGAUCUCUAUUCGUCUUUUACACCCACACAACCCUCUUAUCUUUGUAGCUAGCGCUAACUUUCUCUUGUGCAUGCACAUGCCUGCAUCCCUCUCACCCUCCCUCAGCAUUCCCUAGCUCCAUCGUGCAAAUUCGUCUUUUCACUUUAGGUCGUUCACCCACGGUGUGUGUAGGCCCCCUAGCUCCUUCUUUACGGCACACAUUGAUCGAUAUGCCUCUCUAGCCAGGUGUGCCUAGCAUAAACACAAGCUUCCCCUCUUCUCUUGUCACUGUCCAUGCCUCACUCCCACCACUCUUUUCAUCGUUCUCGUACUCGCACACUCCUCCCCCUCGAUAUAGUAUGCCUCUCGUACCACCUCCUACAUGCAUCCCUCUCUCUCUAUCCUUCUCCUUGUGCCUCAUUUGCUUCUAACACACACAUGCAUGUAUACCGAUCGAUCUCCCAACAUAUACCUAGAUCGACUUUAACUACCCCCCNNNNNNNNNNNNNNNNNNNNNNNNNNNNNNNNNNNNNNNNNNNNNNNNNNNNNNNNNNNNNNNNNNNNNNNNNNNNNNNNNNNNNNNNNNNNNNNNNNNNNNNNNNNNNNNNNNNNNNNNNNNNNNNNNNNNNNNNNNNNNNNNNNNNNNNNNNNNNNNNNNNNNNNNNNNNNNNNACCUCACAAGUUAUGUCUCUCCUUUCUCUUACAAAGGGCGAUUGAUCUUCCUAUCUAGUUACGUCUGCUUACCACAGCCACAUCGUCCCCCUCAUCAUUCGUGCAUGUCUCCUGACCCGUCUCUCACACGCACGUGCACAGACAACAAGCAGCCAUCUCCUCUCUUAUUGAUAUUGCGGGCAUGCCCUCCGUUUGUCUAGCAAGCCUAUCCCACCAUUUGUUAGAAGCAACUCCACUACCACCCCCUCCAACACUCUAGCUCUGUCUCUCUCCCAACCUUAUUCAUCUCCUGCGCAUAUGCAUGGAUGCCGAUCGAUCUCCCUCAAUACAUGAGGCAGAUCGAUCUCCUUAAUACAUGAGGUAGGCCUCUCUCCUCCUCCACACAUAUACCAGCCAUUGUACCUCUAUAGUUAAUUGGGCCUCCCUCUUCCCCCACCACACACCGAUAGUUGAGCGCUGCAGGUAGGUAUCCAUGACACAGAGACAAACUGCAUGUCCCAUCUCACGUUCCAAUAGGCCAACCACUGUAUAUCUUUGACGUGGGCACACACAAAUUCGAUGGCACUCUUUAUCGAUCGCGCGCGCACACACACACACACAUCAUCAUCAUCCCUCUCUUCGAUUCUAUGGAUACCUCAAGCCGAUGAUACCUCCACUCUCUUCUCGUGGAUCGCCCCCUCUAUAUAUAUGUUAUAUCCAGGACUCUAUUUCACACACAUUGCAUAUGUUAAAUUUUUUGAUUGACCCCUCCCCCCCACAAAAAAACUCUCAAGAACCCACACACUAUAUCUCUCUAGGUUUGUAUCUCUCUCACACAACCCCACGUAGGUGGUGUACAUAUACAAGAAGAGAAUAGGUGCACCGUGCAUGUACUCACACUUUGUGCCUAGCCACACCCGCGCGGGUACACGGUGGAGCUCAUUUCUUUACGAAAUGGCAGCCCACGUGCUAAUUUGAAUGCUUGUAGCAGUUGUUUACCUAGGGAGGUUGUGUACCAUGCGUGCAUGAAACAAAGUUCGACUUGACGCAUUGCUGCAUUAUUUUAAAAUAAAGUUAUAGCACUCAAUGGCACGUACAUAGAAUAUAAAACGAUUUUUAUGGAGGAAAAGGUAGUCUGCUCAUCAGAGUAUCUCACACAAGGCUCUGGUGGCCUCUCUCUCUCUCUCUCACCGUUGGUCACUGAUCCGGCCGCAUCCCGUCCGCCGGGGGAAAGGGAGUGCGGUGGCCUCUCUCUCUCUCAAUGUUGGUCACUGAUCCGGCCGCAUCCCAUCCGCCGGGGGAAAGGGAGUGCGGUGGCCUCUCUCUCUCUCAUCGUUGGUCACUGAUCCGGCCGCAUCCCAUCCGUCAGGGGAAAGGGAGGAAGUGCAUCAUUUCUCCGUUCGACGGUGCCGAGGCAGCACGUCCCGAUCUGCGGUACACGCCGUUCUCUCUGGCCAAGCUCCGGCGCGGCAUGGCCUACACCACCUGCUCGCAGAUUCCACCCGUGUUGGUUCAUAUGGUGGUUGUGCGGUCAUUGUCCAUAUGGUGGUAGUACUAUCACUUGUUAAAUGAAGAAAUGCUUUUUUUCUCGGAUAUCCUGGUUUAGUUCCCAUCAAGAUAAUUAUGAUGCUUCUGUUUGUUGGUGUACUUUUCAUUAAUUCUUAUUGACAAUUGAGAUGUCGUUGCUAACCCUUUUUUAUAUUUUUGGAAACAGCGAUGCGUGUCUCCAUACCCGGGCAUGUCUUCCUCAAUUUUAGUGGAACUGCACAAAAUUGGAUGGCCAUUGUUGUUCCACCUCACUGUCCUCUGCCACGUGGUUCUUCCUUCCUUGAGCUUGAUUACUGAGAAGAAACAGACCACAGUGAGGAUUUGUCGAACUUCUUAGGUGCCUCACCCAAACUUGAUGCCAAAUGGAUGAUGCAUCACCACGAUGACCUAUCGAUGCUCAUGGUUGCGCCUCAUGGUUGCGUCGGCUAGUGAAGCUGAUCGAUUUUUGACGAAAAACAAGUUGUCUUCCAUUAGUGCUCUUUGCUUGUUACGCACAAAGAUGAUAUCCUUCGUCAGUUCACCUUGGUUACGUUGGAGACGCAGUCGUCUUUCACGUUGGUGCAAAUUUCGCUAGGGUUUUAUGACAGGUGGACCCAAAAUGUGGCUGGCUCACCUGUCAUACAGCCAAAAGCAGGUCUAGUGAAGGCACCGGAGCUCAGUCCAUACUACAGUAGUAUAUAUAUAAGCGGGACCCUCAGCGCUUGUUUGCUAGGGUUUGCACUCUCCACACGCUCGCCGCACUACAUAUAUGUUACACGCUGGAGGCUCAGCAUUCAUUUGCUAGGGUUUGCUAUAUUCACAGUCUCUCACCCUCUCUUCACCAGAUCUAAACAAGAAUGUGUUGGCCUCUUGUCUCUCUCUCUCCCCCCUCACAGCUGGUGAAGGAGGCGUCUGUAUCCCGUCGCACCGGGAAGGGGAGGAGGUGCAGCAUUCACUCUAUCGCCUUUGGCGAGGGAGGCAAUCCACUGCCGGCUGCGCUAUUCUCUUUCACCCAGCGCCUAUGCGGGAGGGCCACCGACCCCUUCUUCCUCGCUGCCGUACGUAGUGUGGGCAGAUCCGGCCUCCCCCUGCACGCCUUGCCACAUCCUGACGACCCUAAGGUAUAAGUUUCUUUGAAACCGUCGUUGCUCUAGCUGCAUGUGGAUCUUUUUCGAUCUGUAGUCGAAUCUAGGUCUUGGUUCAAAGAGGAAAGAAGGGUGCGGUGGGCUAGAGCAAGAAUCUAGGACGUGGUUCAAUGAGGAAAGGAGGGGCGGAAAGUAGUAUAGACUGGCUAUCCAGCCGCUUUGUAGGUCGAAAAGGGAAAAAGGGGGUAACCUAGUACACACAUCUGUAAGGAACCGAUCUCUUUGUUGAAAAGGGAAAGAAAUUGGGGGGUCGGGUAGUUUAUGCACGACUAGAUUUGCUGCCCUCACAUAGGAAGAAGGUUCAAAGAGAACAAAUAUGGGACCAACGCAUAUAUGCUGCUUGGCUACAUACUCUGCAUCACCCAUUUAUACGCGUGGACGCACAUGGUGCUGGCAUGUCCCAUGCAGCUAUUUUGUUGUUGCUAAUCUCAGAAUUAACUACUGAUUUGUUUUAAAAGAAUUUCUUUGUUAAUAUGAAUCAAUGCAACCGUUUUAGAAAUGCUACUGUCCUAUACUUUGUUUUCCAUCAAGAUAAGGUAGAUGCUUCUUUUUGUGGCCGCAUGUUUCAUCCUCCUUUAUUGGCCAGUAAUUGUUUUCUUUUUUGCCUCUUGAAACAGGGAUAUCUAUUCAACUUGUUGCUAUAGAAAACUUAAAUGUCACACCGGCAACUUUGCUUGAUUUCAGUGCAACUGCAUAAAACUUGAUUCGAUUUCCUAUUCGUAUUGGUAGAUUCGUAUUUUAUGUUGGUCGUCUCAUGAAAGGUCAGUACAGGCCUUCAUCCACAUGAUUGUGUAGUGUGCUUUGAGAUGUUGUGCUACUUGUAUUGGUACUGUUUUAAAUAAAUGAUGAAUUGAAGCUAUUGUAUUGCUGUCUUUUCCCAUUAAGUAGUGAACAAAAAUGGGACCAACCCAGACAUGAUGCUUGUUGCUUUGUUACAACAAAUUCAGCAUCACCCCCUUUAUAAGCCAGUAAUUGAUGCCACUCUCAGAAUUAACUACUGAAUCUUAUUUCAAAACUGCAACACUUGUUAGGGAUUGGCGGGAUUACCAUUUUUGUGGUCGCAUGUUUCAUCCUCCUUUAUUAGCCAGUAAUUGAUUCCUUUUUUGCCUCUAUUUAUACAGGGAUAUCUAUUCAACUUGUUGCUAUUGUGACAUUUUGCUUCGCUAUGCGAAACACUUUGCUUGAUUUCAGUGCAACUGCACAAAACGAGAUUGGAUUUCCUAUUCGUGUUGGCAGAUUCGUACGUGAUCUUGUGUGCGUCAUGACAGGUUGGUACUUGCCUUCAUCCACAUGAUCAUGCGGUGUGUUUUGAGAUGUUGUGCUACUUGUAUUGGUAUUGUUUUAAAUAAAUGAUGAAUUGAAGCUAUUGUAUUGCUGUCUUUUCCCAUUAAGUAGUGAACAAAAAUGGGACCAACCCAAACAUGAUGCUUGUUGCUUUGUUACAACAAAUUCAGCAUCACCCCCUUUAUAAGCUUUGUCGUUCUUUAUACAUGCUGAAACAAGGCAUUGUUAAGAUAAUGUCUCAGUCAAUAUGAAUGAAUUACACUGAUGGAGAAUUGCUACUCUCCUGCUUUGUUUCCCAUUAAGAUAAAGUAGAUCAGUAGAUGCUUUUCUUCUGGGAGUACAAGUCAUCAACCGUUAUUUCUUAGUAAUUGUUUCCCUUAUACCUAUUGUUUCUUACAGGGAUAUCAAAAUUAAAGCUCGGUUUUAUUCCGACUUCGAUUUUAGUUGAACUGCACAAAAGGAGCCAAUGUGUAAGGCAAACUGCUGCAUUACUGGGUCUAGUUGGUCGUUCCACUUUGCAGAAAGAAGCAGUCACUGUUUGCGCUACAUUACAGAAGGAAUGACCGAGAAGCUUUGCAGAGUAUUAUUAGACACCAGUGACAUGACUAGUCUGCAGAGACCAUUGGCAAUUUAACAACACGUGGAGUGCCCUGGGCAAAAAUUUCCCAAACAAGUACAAAAGCUACGACAGGACUCCACGAUCAUAGGCAUUACAUAUUUUGAAUGGGAGAAGCUUGUCAAAGUUUAAUCAUUGAUGUUAGCAAGAAGACGUUAGUUUAAUAUAUUGGAAUUGGAAAACCUUGUCAAAUUUUGCUCAUUGGUGUUAGCCAGAAGACAUGCAUUUGAUAUUUUUGAGUGGGACGCCCUUGCUGUGAGCAGCGUCGAGUGUUUUUUCCUAUUCCUGUGUUCAAUUUAGAAGUAAAAAGUUACUCUGCUGAGAUAUUCCUGUGUUAAGAGUUUGUUCUGAAUAUUGUCUAUGUAAUGCCAGGCCUUGUGUUUGAUUGCAAAGUUGAGCUUGGAAUGUUGCGGCAUGCGGCAUCACGAGCUGUUCACCGUGCCUCCUGAGAAUAAUGCUUCGUAUUGUUUUGCAUGUCGAUCUAAUGCCAGUGAUUUAUUUGUUAAGAAGACCAUCCUCUUCUGUUGUUUCCGUGCUUAAGAAGUUCAUCGUCUGAUGUUUCAUUCAUAGCCUAUACGACAAGUCGGGUAGGUUAGACGUGAAACCAUAUGAUCUUCCGACCAACUCAUGACAUUAGGCUGUGAUUGGAUCAUCGUUUUCCAACCAAAACCGCUUGUAAAACUGACGCUUGUAAAUUAAAGCAGAUGGUCUCGGGCGAAGGCGCUUGGUUGGUCGAUUUCGACUAGCAAAAUAUCGGAAGUACUUGACACACUAUAAAAACGCUGAACGGCACUCAGACAAUUGCUAAUCCAGCCGUUAGCUGCUGUUUCAGCCUUGCCCAUGGAUGGCAUGAUACGCACGUCGUGCAUGUAUCGUCUGGUAAUCUCGUCCAUAUAGCAGUGCUCGUAAAAUAUACACUGGUCUCUCAAAUUACACGCGUAACCCACCGGUUUUACUUAUAGACCUCGGGCCCUCGGUUUCAUUACGCCUGUAUUUUACGCGUUGUUUUCAAUGACGAGUAAAUUACACUUGUAUGUUAAUACAAGUUUGAAAUAAACCAGAGCUCCCAAGUGCGGCCUUACCGUUUCAUGUCGUCUCUGUUUCUCAAAGGUGCUCAUAGGUGUCCGAUGAUCCUGGCUUCCUGAAUGAGUAGCGGGCGCUGUAUCAGACCAUCUGUAGGGCCCGCGAGGCCCUCUCCGUUGUCCUUCAAGUUGUUGCGCUCGCAGUGGCGCCGAGCAUUGUUAACAUCAUCAACGAACAUGAGGAUUCAGGAGAUGACUUUAUUUUGACUGGAUGACACUAGGGACCCACUAGGGCCAUAGCCGUACGUACGCAAGUGCCUCCUUAUUACGUACAACUAUAUUUUUUUUGCUUUCUCCUGGUUUCCUGACAUCACGGUCCCACACCAUUGUCAACCUAUGUAGUCAAUAUAAACGAGAGAAUUGCACAAGGUGCGGCCGACAGCUGGGACCAAGCAGCUCGAGCAGUAUUUGUGUUUUUGAGGCGUGAGCACUGCAGAGUUUUUCUUGGCGAUGAUUUCGUUGUUGUUCAGAGGAGAGCAGGGUAUUAACUGGGCGGACUGUGGCCCGUCUAGCCCAGGCCAAAUAUCCAGCCCAGAUACUAAUUUUUUUCAAGAUGAAAAUGGCUAGCCUAGCUAUACGUCUUUUUGAGGAAUACCCAGGCAAGGUCAACUUGUUAUUCUCCGCCCCGCUGGGCUGCAAAUCUUUCCUAGGAGGGAUGCAUUAGGCUUAACAGGAAAAUGGGCUUUAAAAAUAAUAAAUGGGAUGUAAUUAUAAAAACUGGGCAGUAACUAUAAAAAAAUGCACCAAACACGAAAUUAGUUUAUAAAAUAUUAUUUAUGGAUUUUGGAAAUCUUAAAUUUUCAUUGUUGCGCGCGCAAUGUUUCGUUGGAUUUUUACGUAAUACAAAUUUAUAUUUAAUCUGACUAGAAAUUUCGGGAUAAAAAUAUUUUGGAGCCCAUCAAAAUGUGGGAAAUUUUAUUGAAUUCUGUCUUCAACGGUUGGUUGAAAUUAUUAAUCAUUGUCCUAGCUAGAAAAUGGGAUGUACUUUUAACAAACUGUAAAUGGGCUGUUGUAAAUUCCAUUAGAAUUCCAAAAUGGGUUGUACAUUCUUACAAAACGCAAAUGGGCUAUAAGUUCUCUGCCACACACUUGUGGUCCUACUAAGUGACGCGUCCCCUAAAAAAAUAAGUUGACGCAUAUGCAAGGCUUUGCCAACUUAUUAUAGUCAACACACGGUUCUAGCAGCAGUGGCCGUUGGAUGUCUAUCCAACAGAUGUCGUGCUUCUUCUUCAAUCUCGGAUAUUCUUAGCUUUGGCCACCCAAAAAAUGAUUCCUCCCCCUGACAUCUGGGGCGCACCAUUUCGAAGGCUGACCUGUGAGCCUACUAAGUUGGAGCGUACCAAGGGCUUUGUCAACUUAGUCAAUAAUAAACGUUUCUAGCUUCAGUGACCGUACGAUGUCCAUCCAACGGCCGUAGUGCUUCUUCAACCUCUGGUCUUCUUAGUCCAGCCGCCCAAAGCAGCGCCGGUCGUGCCGCCUGCUCCUGCCUCCCGUGGACGGCUGUGCUGCUGCGGAGGCCUCACCGCCCCCAUACUACUCCCACCGUUGGCCAGGCCAUCCCUCCACUCACCCACACCCCCUGUUAUUCUGCGGCGACGGCAGCCUCACACCGCAGCCAAACCAGUGAACCCUCGUACUCCUCUCCGCGCGGGCUUCCACUGUUGCGUCUUCCCCGGCUCCGCGUCAUUCCCUUCCUAGGCCUCGCCGUCGUCCAGACCACCGCCCUGAUGCUCUCAGCGCAGCGUGGUCAACGUGGUCAACGAUUGACUUCCAUCGGAAGAGUACUGUACAUGGAGAGGCUGACAGCUGGGUCCAGGCGGCCGCAAGGAAGUGCCUCCUUGUUACACGCAAAAUAAUUAUUCAUCCACCUUAUAGCAGGGACCCACCGGACGGGCCACCUUAUUUCGUGAAAAAAUGUUUCCCCCCUGACUGCUCGGACCCACCGGACGGGCCAGCGUAUUUCACGAAAAAAACGUUCCCCCGCUGUCAGCUCGGACCCACCGGAAGUGCCUCAUUAUUACGCUCAAAAAAUUGAAUACUCCCCUUGCUAGUUGGGACCCACCAUGGUGGGAGGCUGACUUGAGGGCCUACUAAGUUGACUGGGAUGGGGGCCUUUGUCAACUUUAGUCAAUAUGAACGAUUCUAGAUCCAGUGACCAUACGAUGUCCAUCCAACGGCCGUAGUGCUUCUUCAGCCUCUGGUCUUCUUGCUCCAACCGCCCAAAGCAGCGCCAGUCGUGCCGCAUGCUCCUGCCUCCCGUGGCCGGUUGUGCUGCAGCGGAGGCCUCACCGCCCCCUACUAUUCCCACCGCUGGCCAGGCCCUGCGGCGAUGGCAGCCUCACACCGCAGCCGAACCAGUGAACCCUCGUACUCCUCUCCGCGCGGGCUUCCACUGCCGCGUCUUCCCUGGCUCCCCGUCGUCCCCUUCCUAGGCCUUGCCGUCGUCCACCGCCCUGGUGCUCUCGGCACGGCGUGGUCAACGUGGUCAAGGAACGACUUCCAUCGGACAUGGACUGUACAUGGAGAGGCUGACAGUUGGGUCCACGGCCGCAGCAAGGAAGUGCCUCCUUAUUACGUGCAAAAUAAUUAUUCCUCCACCUGACAGCGGGGACCCACCGGAUGGGCCACCGUAUUUUGUGAAAAAAAUGUUUCCCCCCUGACUGCUGGACCCACCAGCUACACCUUCGCACGCAAGGAAGUGCGUCCGGGCAAAAAAAACAAAACGAUUCGCCCCCCUAACUGCUGGGACCCACCAGCUACAUCUUCGCACGCAAGGAACUGCCUGACGGUCGGGACCCACCUGGUCGAAGCGUACGUAGCAUUGUCAUUCUGGUUGUGAACGUGUACGUACAUAUAUACUGGUCAAUGUAGAGGCGCGCACGUAGCAUGUAUACGUAUAGCGGUCAGGGUGCAAGAAAGAAAAUACGGCCACGUAUGUGUACAUAUGGGCGGGGUCUCAAACGCCUACUCGCGCAUACUACGGCGAGGGCUCGUGUACAUGGCUAGGUCGGAACGGAGAAACAGCGUCGUCGUCGUGUUCAUGGGGAGGCAAUGGAAUGCGUCGUGUUCAUGGGGAGGCAAUGGAAUGCGUCGUGUUCAUCGGGAGGGCUUGGAUGGAACAGGCGAUGGAAACGAGGCCUGGCGUACCGCAGAACGGAGGAAACGGCCUUGUGUUCGACCGGACAUCUUUGAAACGGGAUCCUGUUCAUCGGGAGGGGUGUGGCGUACCGCAAAAUGGAGGAAACGGACCUCCUACGGUCAAAACGGGGGUCCUAUUGAUCGGGAGGGGUGUGGCGUACCGCAAAACGGAGGAAACGGACCUCCUACGGUCGAAACGGGGGUCAUGUUGAUCGGGAGGGGUGUGGCGUACCGCAAAACGGAGGAACAGACUUGUGUUGGAGCGCUACGGUCGAAACGGGGGUUUUGUUCAUCGGGACGGGUGUGGCGUACCGCAAAACGGGACUCCACGGGAUAUUGUUCAUCUCCACCGUCGACCUCCUCCAGCCUCCACGGGCUCCUAUUCAUCCAGCCUCCACCGCGCGCUACUCCACCGGCUACUGUUCAACCACCCCUCCACCGUCUACUGUUCAUCCAGCCCUCCACACGACGGGGUCCUGUUCAACCACCCCUCCACGGGCACCCCUCCAUCGUCUAAUGUUCAUCCAACCCUNNNNNNNNNNNNNNNNNNNNNNNNNNNNNNNNNNNNNNNNNNNNNNNNNNNNNNNNNNNNNNNNNNNNNNNNNNNNNNNNNNNNNNNNNNNNNNNNNNNNNNNNNNNNNNNNNNNNNNNNNNNNNNNNNNNNNNNNNNNNNNNNNNNNNNNNNNNNNNNNNNNNNNNNNNNNNNNNNNNNNNNNNNNNNNNNNNNNNNNNNNNNNNNNNNNNNNNNNNNNNNNNNNNNNNNNNNNNNNNNNNNNNNNNNNNNNNNNNNNNNNNNNNNNNNNNNNNNNNNNNNNNNNNNNNNNNNNNNNNNNNNNNNNNNNNNNNNNNNNAUCGAUCGGCUUCAGUUAGCAUCAGUAGCGAAGGAAUCGCUCGAUCGGGUUCAGUUAACAGCCAUCGAUCGAUCGCUCGGGUUCAGUAACGCAUAGCCUGCAGUGCAAUCGCUCGGGUUCAGUUAGAGCCCAACGCCUCGCUCGGGUUUAGUUAGAGCCAACGCCUCGCACACACGCGCGUACAUGUACGAGAGAAAUGCGCAUCGUUCGGCCCCCGACCUCCCACCGUAACCGGGAACUCCCCGAAAUUUUCCUCCCCCUCGCUUCUACCAUGGUUUUUUCCAUCAUGGACGGCCCAAAGAAUGUCAUGGAGUUGCAUAUCCGGCCCGCCCAGGACGAAAAGCCCAUUUUCUGCCAUGAUUUUUUGUCAUAGAAGUAGGAGCCCACCACAUCUAUGAUGAUACCGGGUUUUGUCACAAUUCUCGUCAUAGAAGUGUCAUAUGUAUGACAGGAAAAAAAUUCGUUCGGCCCAAAAUGUCACGGAUGUGUCUUUUUUUUGUAGUGUUAGGAGCAGCAGAGGUGGCCGGCGUUGGCGACGGCGGCAGCGACUGAGACGGAUGGAGGAUAAGGACGGGGAAGCAGCGGGCGUCCCGAUAGCUUCCAGCUUGAUCUCGCCCAUGUAAUCGAAGUAGGCGAGGUCGAGGAGGCCGAAGGCGGACUGGAGUCGCGGCAACGACGGCAGACACCGGUGAUGUACGCGGUGGCGACGGGCUCGAUGGCGAGCGCACGGGGCGGCCCCGCUCGAAUCGAGGCUUGCGGUCAACGAGGAAGAAGACGGCGGUGCUCCUGGACUAAGCUCGGCGACAAGGGAUGGCCGGUGGCCAUGGGAUCGAUGAUGACGCGGCGAUGGAGGAGUUCGGGCGGGUGCAGGGGCGAGAGUGACGGCGCGUGGGAGGGAGAAAGGAGGCUAGGGUUUGGGGAGAGGAAGAGGGGGCCGGGGUUGCUCUUAUCCGCCGGGGAAAACGACGGGGAGGCGUGGGAUGGCUGCCACGGCGUCAUCGGUGGCCAUGGCGCCGGUGGAUCGUAUCCCCCUGUGUGAAUAGAGAAGGGAGACGAGGGCGAGUUGGGUUGGGCUGGACCUGUUUUAGCUAAAUGGGCCAAGCGUCCAGUAGGUUUAGGUCUCCCUUUUCUUAAAAUUAUUUCCCUUUUCUGCUUUUCCUUUUCUGUUAUGCAAAUAGUUGGAGCACAAAAUGAAUGUUGUGAAGAAUGAAACUUGGCACAUAAUUCAUGCACCAAAUUAUGGUGUUGCACAAAAAGUUUUAGAGCCAACGGAAUUGUUCAAGCAUUUUUGGAAAUUGAAAAGGCCAAUUAAUAUGUCGUUGGGCCACUUUAUAUUUUUCCUAGAGAUUAAAGGGAGAGCCAAAUGAUGUUUCUUGCCACAUGAUAAUUAGCUAGUGAAUAUUUGCAACCCAACGAACAUUUUUGUUUUGACAUUUGAAAACUUUAUUUGUUUGAGUUUAUUUUAAAAAUCUUGAAUUUGGACCGGAUUCGAACCAACGCGAGUUUAACAAAAGUAAUCGCGGUGAUGUGGCAUCAUUAGCAGAGGAUUACUGUAGCUUUAUUAUCCGGGCGUCACAAUAGGCAUCACAUCCGUGACACGUAGACCGACUCCUGCCUGCAUCUACUACUAUUACUCCACACAUCGACCGCUAUCCAGCAUGCAUCUAGAGUAUUAAGUUCAUAAGAACGGAGUAACGCUUUAAGCAAGAUGACAUGAUGUAGAGGGAUAAACUCAUGCAAUAUGAUAUAAACCCCAUGUUUUUAUCCUCGAUGGCAACAAUAAAAUAUGUGUUGUUUACCCUACUGUCACUGGGAUCGAGCACCGCAAUAUUGAACCCAAAGCUAAGCACUUAUCCCAUUGCAAGAAAGAUCAAUCUAGUAGGCCAAACCAAACUAAAAAUUUGAAGAGACUUGCAAAGAUAACCAAUCAUACAUAAAAGAAUUUAGAGAAGAUUCAAAUAUUGUUCAAAGAUAAUCUUGAUUAUAAACCCACAAUUCAUCGGAUCUCGACAAACACACCGCAAAAGAAGAUUACAUCGAAUAGAUCUCCAAGAGAAUCGAGGAGAACUUUGUAUUAAGAUCCAAAGAGAGAGAAGAAGACAUCUAGCUAAUAACUAUGGACCCGAAGGUCUAAGGUAAACUACUCACACAUCAUCGGAGAGGCUAUGGUGUUGAUGUAGAAGCCCUCCGUGAUCAAUGCCCCCUCCGGCGGAGCGCCGGAAAAGGCCCCAAGAUGGGAUCUCACGGGUACAGAAGGUUGCGGCGGUGGAAUUAGGUUUUCGUGGUGCUCUUCGAUGUUUUCAGGGUACGUAGGUAUAUAUAGGAGGAAGAAGUAGGUCGGUGGAGCCACGAGGGUGGAGGGCAAUCCCAGGGGGUAGGCGCGCCCCCUGCCUCGUGGCCUCCUCGUUGGUUGCUUGACGUCCACUUCAAGUCCUCUAGAUCACGUUUGUUCCAAAAAUCACGCUCCCGAAGGUUUCAUUCCGUUUGGACUCCGUUUGAUAUAUUUUUUCUGUGAAACACUAAAAUAGGCAAAAAAACAACAAUUUGGGUUGGGCCUCCGGUUAAUAGGUUAGUCCCAAAAAUAAUAUAAAAGUGUAUAAAUAAGCCCAUUAAACAUCCAAAAUAGAAUAUAUAAUAGCAUGGAACAAUCAAAAAUUAUAGAUACGUUGGAGACGUAUCAAGCAUCCCCAAGCUUAAUUCCUCCUCGUCCUCGAGUAGGUAAAUGAUAAAAACAAAAUUUUUGAUGUGGAAUGCUUCCUAACAUAUUUCUCAAUGUAAUUUUCUUUAUUGUGGCAUGAAUGUUCAGAUCUGAAAGAUUCAAGAUAAAAGUUUAAUAUUGAUAUAAAAAUAAUAAUACUUCAAGCAUACUAACUAAGCAAUCAUGUCUUCUCAAAAUAACAUGGCCAAAGAAAGUUCAUCCCUACAAAAUCAUAUAGUUUGGUCAUGAUUCAUUUUCGUCACACAAGAAUGCUCUCAUCAUGCACAACCCCGACGACAAGCCAAGCAAUUGUUUCAUACUUUAGUAAUCUCACACUUUUUUCAACUUUCACGCAAUACAUGAUCGUGAGCCAUGGAUAUAGCACUAUGGGUGGAAUAGAAUAUAGUGAAGGGGGUUAUGUGGAGAAGACAAAAAGGAGAAAGUCUCACAUUGACGCGGUUAAUCAAUGGGCUAGGGAGAUGCGCAUCAAUUGAUAUUAAUGCAAGGAGUAGGAAUUGCCAUGCAACGGAUGCACUAGAGCUAUAAAUGUAUGAUAGCUCAAGAAAAGAAACUAAGUGGGUGUGCAUCCAACUUGCUUGCUCACGAAGACCUAGGGCACUUGAGGAGGCCCAUUGUUGGAAUAUACAAGCCAAGUUCUAUAAUGAAAAAUUCCCACUAGUAUAAACAAGAGACUCUCUAUCAUAAAGAUCAUGGUGCUACUUUGAAGCACAAGUGUGGAAAAAAGGAUAGUAGCAUUGCCCCUUUUAUUUUUAUUUUUAUUUUUUCUAGGCCUUUUUUUAUUUGGCCUUUUGAUACGUCUCCGUCGUAUCUAUAAUUUUUUAUUGUUCCAUGCCAAUAUUCUACAACUUUCAUAUACUUUUGGCAACUUUUUAUACUAUUUUUGGGGACUAACAUAUUGAUCCAGUGCCCAGUGAUAGUUCCUGUUUGUUGCAUUUUUUUGUUUCGCGAAAAAUCCAUAUCAAACGGAAUCCAACUAGGAUAAAAAAGGAUGGAGAUUAUUUUUCGAAUAUAUGUGAAAUAUGGGAAGGAAAUCAAUGCGAGAUGGUGCCCGAGGGAGCCACGAGGCAGGGGGCGCCCCUGACCCUCGUGGGGCCCCCGUAAGGCGGUUAAUGCUCUUCUUCGGCCGCAAGAAAGCUAAUUUUCGGGGGGAAAAAAUCAUAGCGAAGGUUUCAAUCCAAUCAGAGUUAUGGAUCUCUGGAUAUAUAAGAAACAGGGAAAGGGCAGAAUCUGGGAACACAGAAACAGAGAGAAACAGGGAGACAGAUCCAAUCUCGGAGGGGCUCUCGCCCGUCCCAUGCCAUGAUGGACAAGGACCAGAGGGGAAACCCUUCCCCUAUCUAGGGAGGAGGUCAAGGAAGAAGAAGGGGCCCCCUCUCCCCUUCUCUUUCGGUGGCGCCGGAACACUGUCGUGGCCACCAUCAUCAUCACCGCGAUCUUCACCAACACCUCCGCCAUCUUCACCAACAUCUCCAUCACCUUCCCCCCCUCUAUCUACAGUGAUCCACUCUCCCGCAACCCGUUGUACCCUCUACUUGAACAUGGUGCUUUAUGCUUCAUAUUAUUAUGCAAUGAUGUGUUGCCAUCUUAUGAUGUCUGAGUAGAUUUUCAUUGUCCUAUCGGUGGUUGAUGAAUUGCUAUGAUUGAUUUAAUUUGCUUGUGGUUAUGUUGUUGUCCUUUGAUGAUCAUCAUAUGAGCGCGCGCGUGGAUCACACCAUAGGGUUAGUUGUAUGUUGAUAGGACUAUGUAUUGGAGGGCAAGAGUGAUAGAAGCUUCAACCUAGCAUAGAAAUUGAUGCAUACGGGAUUGAAGGGGGACCAAUAUAUCUUAAUGCUAUGGUUGGGUUUUACCUUAAUGAACGUUAGUAGUUGCGGAUGCUUGCUAAUAGUUCCAAUCAUAAGUGCAUAGAAUUCCAAGUCAGUGAUGACAUGCUAGUAGUGGCGUCUCCCACAUAAAACUUGCUAUCGGUCUAGUAAAGUAGUCAAUUGCUUAGGGACAAUUUCGCAACUCCUACCACCACUUUUCCACACUCACUAUAUUUACUUUAUUGUGUCUUUAUCUAAACAGCCCCUACUUUUUAUUUACAUUCUCUUUAUUAUCUUGCAAACCUAUCCAAAAACACCUACAGAGUACUUCUAGUUUCAUACUUGUUCUAGGUAAAGCGAAUGUUAAGCGUGCGUAGAGUUGUAUCGGUGGUCGAUAGAACUUGAGGGAAUAUUUGUUCUACCUUUAGCUCCUCGUUGUGUUCGACACUCUUACUUAUCGAAAGAGGUUACAGUUGAUCCCCUAUACUUGUGGGUUAUCAAGACCUUUUUCUGGCGCCGUUGCCGGGGAGCAAUACGUGGGGUGAAUAUUCUCGUGUGUGCUUGUUUGCUUUAUCGCUAAGUAAUUUUUAUUUGUUGUUCUUAGUUCUUUUAUAUCUUUAGUUAUGGGUAGGAAACGCAAAAUACCAAAAAAAAUUAGUUGUACCUACUGAACCAAUGGUUGAAGAACCACUCAAAAUCUAUCACACUCUUGAAGCUUAUUACUUGGAUCAUCUUCGAUCCCUAUGUGCUCGUGCUGAAACCCCAACUAGCUUAGUUGAGGGCAAAUCUUUAGAUGAGCAUGCUUGUUAUGUGCGACACCGCAUAUCUGAAAAAGGGAAACGUUUACUGGAUCAAAUCCAUCGUUUGCAAUGCUAUGCUUGGAAUUUAUGCGAAAUAUAUGAUAUUACUUGUUGUUCUAAAGACCCUAAGAAACACCUUCCCUACCAAUGUUUGUUUAGUGAUAAUGGAAUCGUAUCUUCUUAUGCUAAGGGUGUUUAUAAUUACUAUGAUGUUCAACAAAUUGAAGAAUUUGUUGCUUUUAAGAGUGCUUAUGAAAUUGCUUUUUUGAUUGAAACAUAUGAUGCUACUCUUUACAAAUCUGAAAUUUUUACCAUACUUGAAUAUUGUUAUGAGAAUUAUGCUUCUAAUGCCUAUGUUAAACCAUAUAUCGAGGUCUCCUCCUCUGUCCAAGAAGAGACUAAUAUUUUGCAGGAGUCUAUGGAAGAAGAAAUUGAUGAAACUGUGAGCUCAUUGGAUGAAAAAGAUGAUGAGGAGAGCGAAGAACAAAAGGAGGGAGAGCGGAUUAGCUACCCGUGCCGACCUUCUAAUGAGAGUAACUCUUAAACUCAUACAUUGUUUAAUUUCCCCUCGUGCUUACCGAAGGAUGAUUGUUAUGAUCCCGUUGAUUCUUUUGAAAUAUCCCUUUUUGAUGAUGCUUGCUAUGCUUGUGGCCAAGAUGCCAAUAUAAAUUAUGCUCAUGGAGAUGAACUUGCUAUAGUUCCUUAUGUUAAACAUGAAAUUGUUGCUAUUGCACCCAUGCAUGAUAGUCCUAUUAUCUUUUUGAAUUCUCCCGACUACACUAUAUCGGAGAACUUUGUAGUUAUUAAGGAUUAUAUUGAUGGGUUGCAUUUUACUAUUACACAUGAUGAUUUUGAUGAAUAUAAUAUGCAUGUGCUUGCUGAUCCUACUUGCAAUUAUUAUGAGAGAGGAACUAUAUCUCCACCUCUCUAUGUUUCCAAUACGAUAAAAUUGCAAGAAACUAUUUAUACUAUGCAUUUGCCUUUACUAUGUGUGCAUGAAUUGUUCUUUUAUGACAUGCCGAUGCAUAGGAAUAGAGUUAGACUUUGUUGUUGCAUGAUAUAUGUUACUUUAUGCUCACUACUAAAUUACAAAUCAUUGUUAAUUAAAAUUGGCUUUGAUAUACCUUGGGAUCCGGGUGGAUUCACUACUUGAGCACUAUAUGCCUAGCUUAAUGGCUUUAAAGAAAGCGCUGCCAGGGAGACAACCCGGAAGUUUUAGAGAGUCAUUUAUUUAUGUUGAGUGCUUUUAUAUAGUUUAAAAAAGAGGGGAACCUAAAACUUUUUCAAAAAGGAAAGUGAAAGUGAGAAAGACAAGCAUUGUUAAAGUGGGAUCUAGCCUUGAACUUUGUUCAUGCUCACGGAAACUUUGUGAAUCUUGAUUACAGAAAAUUUUCAACAAAAAUAUUUAUCCCCUUGUACAAUUCCAUCGUAUUAUAAAAAUAAUGUGCCAAGGUUUGCAUUUAGGAUGUUUACAAUGCUUGUUGGUUUGUACGGUGCAGGAUAGAAACAAUGGCUGUAGUGCGCGAUUUUACAUUUUUUACUGGAACAUCAAAUGGUUCUGAUUCUUUUUGCACUGUAUUUCUAUACAAAUUUUUUAUUUUUCCUAAUUUUGGCAAAAUUGUUCAAGUAUCAUAAGUAUGGUGAAUGUUCAGAUUAUUAUAGACUGUUCUGUUUUAGACAGAUUCUGUUUUUGAUGCAUAGUUUGCUUGUUUUGAUGAAACUAUAUAUCGAAUUAUAUCAGUGGAUUAAGCCAUGGAAAAGUUAUAAUACAGUAGCUAUAAUUAAAAAUCAAAAUAUAAAUUGGUUUCCAACAGUACUUAGAGUAUUGAUUUGCUUUAUUAUACUAACGGAUCUUACCGAGUUUUCUGUUGAAGUUUUGUGUGGAUGAAGUGUUCGAUGAUCGAGAAGGUCUCGAUAUGAGAAGAAGGAAGAGAGGCAAGAGCUCAAGCUUGGGGAUGCCCUAGGCACCCCAAGUAAAUAUUCAAGGAGACUCAAGUGUCUAAGCUUGGGCAUGCCCUGGAAGGCAUCCCCUCUUUCUUCAACAAGUAUCGGUAUGUUUUCGGAUUCAUUUCAUUCAUGUGAUAUGUGCAGAUCUUGGAGCGUCUUUUGCAUUUAGUUUUCAAUUUUAUUUUAUGCACCAUGCUGGUAUGAGAUAGUCCUUGGUGGAUUUAUAGAAUUCUCUAUGCACUUCACUUAUAUCUUUUGAGUAUGGCUUUAUAGAAUGUUUCAUGUGCUUCACUUAUAUCAUUUGAAGUUUGGAUUGCCUGUUUCUCUUUACAUAGAAAACCGCCAUUUGUAGAAUGCUCUUUUGCUUCACUUAUAUUUGUUAGAGCAUGGUCAUAUAUUUUUUAUAAAUAUUUAAACUCUCUUGCUUCACUUAUAUCUAUUUAGAGAGAUGACAGGAACUGAUCGUUCACAUGAUUAGUCAUAAAAUCCUACAUAAAACUUGUAGAUCACUGAAUAUGAUAUGUUUGGUUCCUUGCAAUAUAAAGAUGGUGAUAUUAGAGUCAUGCUAGUGGGUAGUUGUGGAUUAGUAUAAAUACUUGUGUUGAGGUUUCUGAUUCCCAUAGGAUGCACGUAUGGUGAACCGUUAUGUAACGAAGUCGGAGCAUGAUUUAUUUAUUGAUUGUCUUCCUUAUGAGUGGUGGUCGGGGAUGAGCGAUGGUCUUUUCCUACAAAUCUAUCCCCCUAGGGGCAUGCAUAGUAGUACUUUGCUUCGAGUGCUAAUAAAAUUUUGCAAUAAGUAUAUGAGUUCUUUAUGACUAAUGUGAGUCCAUGGAUUAUACGCACUCUCACCCUUCCAUCAUUGCUAGCCUCUUCGGUACCGUGCAUUGCCCUUUCUCACCUCGAGAGUUUGUGCAAACUUCGUCGGUGCAUCCAAACCCCGUGAUAUGAUAUGCUCUGUCACACAUAAACCUCCUUAUAUCUUCCUCAAAACAGCCACCAUACCUACCUAUCAUGGCAUUUCCAUAGCCAUUCCAAGAUAUAUUGCCAUGCAACUUCCAUCAUCAUCAUAUACAUGACUUGAGCAUUUAUUGUCAUAUUGCUUUGCAUGAUCAGAAGAUAGCUAGCAUGAUAUUUUCAUGGCUUUUCCUUUUUUGUCAUUGCUACGCUAGAUCAUUGCACAUCCCGGUACACCACCGGAGGCAUUCAUAAAGAGUCAUAUCUUUGUUCUAGUAUCGAGUUGUAAUAUCGAGUUGUAAGUAAAUGAAAGUGUGGUGAUCAUCAUUAUUAGAGAAUUGCCCCAAGAAAAAAAAAGAGGCCAAAGAAGCCUAAAUAAAAAAAGGGGGCCAAAGAAUCCCAUUCAAAAAAGGGGCAAUGUUACUAUCCUUUUAACACACUUGUGCUUCAAAGUAGAACCAUGUUCUUCAUAUAGAGAGUCUCUUGAGUUAUCACUUUCAUAUACUAGUGGGAAUUUUCAUUAUAGAACUUGGAUUGUAUAUUCCAAUGAUGGGCUUCCUCAAAUGCCCGAGGUCUUCAUGAGCAAGCAAGUUGGAUGCGCACCCACUUAGUUUCCGUUUGAGCUUUCAUACACUUAUAGCUCGAGUGCAUCCAUUGCAUGGCAAUCCCUACUCCUCGCAUUGACAUCAAUUGAUGGGCAUCUCCAUAGCCCAUUGAUUAGCCGCGUCGAUGUGAGACUUUCUCCCUUUUUGUCUUCUCCACAUAACCCCCAUCAUCAUAUUCUAUUCCACCUAUAGUGCUAUAUCCAUGGCUUGCGCUCAUGUAUUGCGUGAGGGUUGAAAAAGCUGAAGUGUGUUAAAAAGUAUGAACCAAUUGCUUGGCUUGUCAUCGGGGUUGUGCAUGAUGUGAAUAUUUUGUGUGGUGAAGAUGGAUCAUAGCUAGACUAUAUGAUUCUGUAGGGAUAACUCCCUUUGGCCAUGUUAUUUUGAAAAGACAUGAUUGCUUUAUUAGUAGGCUUGAAGUAUUAUUGUUUUUACGUCAAAUGAUAGACUAUUGCUUUGAAUCACUCGUAUCUUAAUAUUCAUGCCAUGAUUAGAUAUGUGAUCAAUAUUAUGCUAGGUAGCAUUCCACAUCAAAAAUUAUCUUUUUUAUCAUUUACCUACUCGAGGACGAGCAGGAACUAAGCUUGGGGAUGCUGAUACGUCUCCGUCGUAUCUAUAAUUUUUGAUUGUUCCAUGCCAAUAUUCUACAACUUUCAUAUACUUUUGGCAACUUUUUAUACUAUUUUUGGGGACUAACAUAUUGAUCCAUCGCCCAGUGCCAGUUCCUGUUUGUUGCAUGUUUUUUUCACAGAAAAUCCAUAUCAAACAGAGUCCAAACGGGAUAAAAACGGACGAAGAUUAUUUUUGGAAUAUAUGUGAAAUAUGGGAAGAAAAUCAACAUGAGGCGGUGCCUGAGGGAGCCACGAGGCAGGGGCGCGCCCCACCCCGCUGGGCGCGCCCCUGACCCUCGUGGGCCCCCAUAAGGCGGUUAAUGCUCUUCUUCGGCCGCAAGAAAGCUAAUUUUUGGAGAGAAAAAUCAGAGCGAAGGUUUCAAUCCAAUCAGAGUUACGGAUCUCCAGAUAUAUAAGAAACGGUGAAAGGGCGGAAUCUGGGAACACAGAAACAGAGAGAAAUGGAGAGACGGAUCCAAUCUUGGAGGGGCUCUCGCCCCUCCCAUGCCAUGAGGGCCAAGGACCAGAGGGGAAACCCUUCUCUCAUCUAGGAAGGAGGUCAAGGAAGAAGAAGAAGAAGGGCCCCCCCUCUCCCCUUCUCUUCCGGUGGCGCCGGAACGCUGUCGUGGCCACCAUCAUCAUCACCGCGAUCUUCACCAACACCUCUGCCAUCUUCACCAACAUCUCCAUCACCUUCCCCCCUCUAUCUACAGCGGUCCACUCUCCCGCAACCCGUUGUACCCUCUACUUGAACAUGGUGCUUUAUGCUUCAUAUUAUUAUCCAAUCAUGUGUUGCCAUCUUAUGAUGUCUGAGUAGAUUUUCGUUGUCCUAUCGGUGGUUGAUGAAUUGCUAUGAUUGAUUUAAUUUGCUUGUGGUUAUGUUGUUGUCCUUUGGUGCCCAUCAUAUGAGCGCGCACGUGGAUCACACCAUAGGGUUAGUUGUAUGUUGAUAGGACUAUGUAUUGGAGGGCGAGAGUGACAGAAGCUUCAACCUAGCAUAGAAAUUGAUGCAUACGGGAUUGAAGGGGCACCAAUAUAUCUUAAUGCUAUGGUUGGGUUUUACCUUAAUUGAUGUUAGUAGUUGCGGAUGCUUGCUAAUAGUUCCAAUCAUAAGUGCAUAGAAUUACAAGUCAGGGAUGACAUGCUAGUAGUGGCCUCUCCCACAUAAAACUUGCUAUCGGUCUAGUAAAGUAGUCAAUUGCUUAGGGACAAUUUCGCAACUCCUACCACCACUUUUCCACACUCACUAUAUUUACUUUAUUGUGUAUUUAUCUAAACAACCCCUACUUUUUAUUUGCAUGCUCUUUAUUAUCUUGCAAACCUAUCCAAAAACACCUACAAAGUACUUCUAGUUUCAUACUUGUUCUAGGUAAAGCGAACGUUAAGCGUGCGUAGAGUUGUAUCGGUGGUCGAUAGAACUCGAGGGAAUAUUUUUUCUACCAUUAGCUCCUCGUUGGGUUCGACACUCUUACUUAUUGAAAGAGGCUACAAUUGAUCCCAUAUACUAGUGGGUUAUCACCUUUCUCUUUUUUGGGACAAUGCUCUAUUAAUGAUGAUCAUCAUACUUCUAUUUAUUUACAACUCAAUGAUUACAACUCGAUACUAGAACAAGAUAUGACUCUAUAUGAAUGCCUCCGGUGGUGUACCGGGAUGUGCAAUGACUCAUGAGUGACAUGUAUGAAAGAAUUAUGAACGGUGGCUUCGCCACAAAUACGAUAUCAACUACAUGAUCAUGCAAGGCAAUAUGACAAUGAUGAUGCAUGUCAUAAUAAACGGAGCGGUGGAAAGUUGCAUGGCAAUAUAUCUCGGAAUGGCUACGGAAAUGCCAUAAUAGGUAGGUAUGGUGGCUGUUUUGAGGAAGAUAUAAGGAGGUUUAUGUGUGAUAGAGCGUAUCGCAUCACGAGGUUUGGAUGCACCGGCGAAGUUUGCGCCAACUCUCAAGGUGAGAAAGGGCAAUGCACGGUACAGAAGAGGCUAGCAAUGAUGGAAGGGUGAGAGUGCGUAUAAUCCAUGGACUCAACAUUAGUCAUAAAGAACUCACAUACUUAUUGCAAAAAUCUACAAGUCAGCAAAAACCAAGUAUUACGCACAUGCUCCUAGGUGGGUAGAUUGGUAGGAAAAGACCAUCGCUCGUCCCCGACCGCCACUCAUAAGGAAGACAAUCAAAUAAAACCUCAUGUUUCAAAUUUGGUACACAAUGUUUACCAUACGUGCAUGCUACGGGACUUGCAAACUUCAACACAAGUAUUUCUCAAAUUCAUAACAACCUUAAUAUCACUAUCUCCAUAUCUAAAAACGAUCAUCAAGUAUCAAACUUCUCUUAGUAUUCAAUGCACUUAUAUUAAAGUUUUUUAUUAUUCCUAAAAGAAAAUUUCCAUGCUGUUCUAAAGGACUCUCAAAAUAAUAUAAGUGAAUCAUGAGAGAUCAAUUUAUAUAAAAUGAAACCACCACCGUGCUCUAAAAUAUAUAAGUGAAGCACUAGAGCAAAAACUAUAUAGCUCAAAAGAUAUAAGUGAAGCACAUAGAGUAUUCUAAUAAAUUCCGAUUCAUGUGUGUCUCUCUCAAAAGGUGUGUACAGCAAGGAUGAUUGUGGUAAACUAAAAAUCAAAGACUCAAAUCAUACAAGACGCUCCAAGCAAAACACAUAUAAUGUGGUGAAUAAAAAUAUAGCUCCAAGUAAAGUUAUCGAUAGACAAAGACAAAAGAGGGGAUGCCUUCUGGGGCAUCCCCAAGCUUAGGAUUUUUGCUGUCCUUGUAUUUUACCUUGGGGUGCGUUGGGCAUCCCCAAGCUUAGGCUCUUGCCACUCCUUGUUCCAUAAUCCAUCAAAUCUUUACCCAAAACUUGAAAACUUCACAACACAAAACUUAAAGUAGAAAAUCUCGUGAGCUCCGUUAGCGAAAGAAAAUAAAGAACCACUUCAAGGUACUGUAAUGAACUCAUUAUUUAUUUAUAUUGGUGUUAAAACUACUGUAUUCCAACUUCUCUAUGGUUUAUAAACUAUUUUACUAGCCAUAGAUUCAUCAAAAUAAGCAAACAACACACGAAAAACAGAAUCUGUCAAAAAAAGAACAGUCUGUAGUAAUCUGUAGCUAGCACAAGAUCUGUAACCCCAAAAAUUAUAAAAUAAAUUGCUGGACGUGAGGAAUUUAUCUAUUAAUCAUCUGCAAAAAGAAUUAACUAAAUAGAACUCUCCAAUCAAAAAAGACAGCAGUUCUCGUGAGCGCUAAAGUUUCUGUUUUUUACAGCAAGUUCAACAAGACUUUCCCCAAGUCUUCCCAACGGUUCUACUUGGCACAAACACUAAUUAAACACAAAAAACACAACCAAAACAGAGGGUAGAUAAAUUAUUUAUUACUAAACAGGAGCAAAAAUCAAGGAAUAAAAAUAAAAUUGGGUUGCCUCCCAACAAGCGCUAUCGUUUAACGCCCCUAGCUAGGCAUAACAAGCAAGAAUAGAUCUAGGUAUUGCCAUCUUUGGUAGGCAAUCCAUAAGUGGCUCGCAUAAUAGAUUCAUAAGGUAAUUUAAUUUUCUUUCUAGGAAAGUGUUCCAUGCCUUUCCUUAACGGAAAUUGGAAUCUAAUAUUUCCUUCCUUCAUAUCAAUAAUUGCACCAAUCGUUCUAAGGAAAGGUCUACCAAGAAUAAUAGGACAUGAAGGAUUGCAAUCUAUGUCAAGAACAAUAAAAUCUACGGGCACAUAAUUCCUAUUUGCAACAAUAAGAACAUCAUUAAUUCUUCCCAUAGGUUUCUUAAUAUUGGAAUCCGCAAGGUGCAAGUUUAGAGAGCAAUCAUCAAAAUCACGGAAACCUAACAAAUCACACAAAGUCUUUGGAAUCGUGGAAACACUAGCACCCAAAUCACAGAAAGCAUAGCAUUCAUGAUCUUUAAUUUUAAUUUUAAUAGUUGGUUCCCACUCAUCAUAAAUUUUUCUAGGGAUAGAAACUUCCAAGUCGAGUUUUUCUUCAUAAGAUUGCAUCAAGGCAUCAACGAUAUGUUUAGUAAACGCUUUAUUUUGACUAUGAGCGUGAGAGGAAUUUAGCACGGAUUGCAACAAGGAAAUACAAUCAAUCAAAGAGCAAUUUUCAUAGUUAAAUUCCUUGAAAUCCAUAAUAGUGGGUUCGUUGCUAUCUAAAGUUUUAACCUCUUCAAUCCCACUUUUACCAAUUUUUGCAUCGAUAUCUAAAAACUCUGAAUUUUUGGGACGCCUUCUUACUAAAGUUGACUCAUCUCCAGUCCCAUCAUUAUCAAGAUUCAUAUUACAAAACAAAGAUUUAAUAGGGGACACAACAAUAACUUUUGGAUCUUCAUCUUUAUUAUCAUGAAAACUAGAAGAACACGCUUUCACAAAGCAAUAUUUCUUAGCACGCGUCCUAGCGGUUCUUUCCUUACACUCAUCAAUGGAAAUUCUCAUGGCUUUGAGAGACUCGUUGAUAUCAUGCUUAGGUGGAAUAGAUCUAAGUUUCAAAGAAUCAACAUCAGGAGAAAUUCUAUCCAUGUUCCUAGCCAAUUCAUCAAUCUUAAGCAAUUUUUCUUCAAUCAAAGCAUUGAAACUCUUUUUAGAACUAAUAAAUUCUUUAAUACUAGAUUCAAAAUCAGAGGGCAUAUUAUUAUAAUUUCCAUAAGAAUUGUUUUAGGAAUUACCAUAAUUAUUAGAGGAAUUACUAGGAAACGGCCUAGAAUUAAAAUUACCUCUAUACGCGUUGUUACCAAAAUUGUUCCUACCAACAAAAUUCACAUCCAUAGAUUCAUUAUUAUUCUCAAUCAAAGUAGACAAAGGCAUAUCAUUAGGAUCAGUAGGAGCACUCUUAUUAGCAAACAAUUUCAUAAGUUCAUCCAUCUUUCCACUCAAAGCAUUAAUCUCUUCAAUCGCAUGAACUUUUUUACUAGUAGAACUUUCAGUGUGCCAUUGAGAAUAAUUAACCAUAAUAUUAUCUAGGAGUUUGGUAGCUUAUCCUAAAGUGAUUUCAUAAAAGUGCCUCCCGCGGCCGAAUCUAAAAGAUUUUUAGAAGCAAAAUUCAAUCCGACAUAAAAAAUUUGUAUAAUAAUCUAUAAAUUCAAACCAUGUGUAGGGCAAUUACGUAUCAUAAAUUUCAUCCUCUCCCAAGAUUGUGCAACAUGUUCAUGAUCAAGUUGCUUAAAAUUCAUAAUAUCGUUUCUAAGAGAGAUUAUCUUAGCGGGAGGAAAAUACUUAAAGAUAAAAGCAUCUUUGCACUUAUUCCAUGAACCAAUACUAUUUUUAGGCAAAGACGAAAACCAAGCUUUAGCAUGAUCUCUAAGCGAAAACGGAAAUAGCUUAAGUUUAACAAUAUCAUUAUCCACAUCUUUCUUCUUUUGCAUAUCACACAAAUCAACAAAGUUGUUUAGAUGGGUAGCGACAUCUUCACUAGGAAGGCCAGAAAACGAAUCUUUCAUGACAAGAUUCAGCAAAGCAGUAUUAAUUUCACAAGAUUCAGCAUCGGUAAGAGGAUAAAUUGGAGUGCUAAUAAAAUCAUUAUUGUUGGUAUUGGCAAAGUCACACAAUUUAGUAUUAUCUUGAGCCAUCAUGACAAGCAAGCAAUCCAACACACAAGCAAACAAGCGAAAACAAGAAAAAGCGAACGGAAGGAGAGGACGAAAGGAAAAGAGGGUGCAUAAAACGGCAAGGGUAAAGUGGGGGAGAGGAAAACAAGAGGCAAAUGGCAAAUAAUGCAAUGCGAAGGAUAAGAGUUGUGAUGGGUACUUGGUAUGUCUUGACUUGGCGUAGAUCUCCCCGGCAACGGCGCCAGACAUCCUUCUUGCUACCUCUUGAGCAUGCGUUGGUUUUCCCUUGAAGAGGAAAGGGUGAUGCAGCAAAGCAGCGUAAGUAUUUCCCUUAGUUUUUGAGAACCAAGGUAUCAAUCCAGUAGGAGACCACGCGCAAGUCACCUCGUACCUACACAAACAAAUAAGAACCUCACAACCAACGUGAUAAAGGGGUUGUCAAUCCCUUCACGGCCACUUGCAAGAGUGAGAUCUGAUAGAGAUAAUAAUAAUAAGAUAAAUAUUUUUGGUAUUUUUAUGAUAUAGAUUGAAAGUAAAGAUUGCAAAAUAAACGGUGCCAGAAAUAGCUAGUUGACAGAAGAUUAAUAUGAUGGAAGAUAGACCCGGGGGCCAUAGGUUUCACUAGUGGCUUUUCUCAAGAUAGCAUAAGUAUUACGGUGGGUGAACAAAUUACUGUCGAGCAAUUGAUAGAAUUGAGCAUGGUUAUGAGAAUAUCUAGGUAUGAUCAUGUAUAUAGGCAUCACGUCAGUGACAAGUAGACCGACUCCUGCCUGCAUCUACUACUAUUACUCCACACAUCGACCACUAUACAGCAUGCAUCUAGAGUAUUAAGUUCAUAAGAACGGAGUAACGCUUUAAGCAAGAUGACAUGAUGUAGAGGAAUAAACUCAUGCAAUAUGAUAUAAACCCCAUCUUGUUAUCCUCGAUGGCAACAAUACAAUACAUGCCUUGCUGCCAAUACUGUCACUGGGAAAGGACGCCGCAAGAUUGAACCCAAAGCUAAGCACUUCUCCCAUUGCAAGAAAGGUCAAUCUAGUAGGCCAAACCAAACUGAAAAUUCGAAGAGACUUGCAAAGAUAACCAAUCAUACAUAAAAGAAUUCAGAGAAGAUUCAAAUAUUGUUCAUAGAUAAUCUUGAUCAUAAACCCACAAUUCAUCGGAUCUCAACAAUCUCACCGCAAAAGAAGAUUACAUCGAAUAGAUCUCCAAGAGAAUCGAGGAGAACUUUGUAUUGAGAUCCAAAGAGAGAGAAGAAGCCAUCUAGCUAAUAACUAUGGACCCGAGGUCUGAGGUAAACUACCCACACAUCAUCUGAGAGGCUAUGGUGUUGAUGUAGAAGCCCUCCGUGAUCAAUUCCCCCUCCGACGGAGCGCCGGAAAAGGCCCCAAGAUGGGAUCUCACGGGUACAGAAGGUUGCGUUGGUGGAAUUAGGUUUUCGUGGUGCUCUUCGAUGUUUUCAGGGUACGUAGGUAUAUAUAGGAGGAAGAAGUAGGUCGGUGGAGCCACGAGGGGCCCACGAGGGUGGAGGGCGCACCCAGGGCGGGUAGGCGCGCCCCCUGCCCCGUGGCCUCCUCGUUGGUUGCUUGACGUCCACUCCAAGUCCUUUGGAUCAUGUUUGUUCCAAAAAUCACGCUCCCGAAGGUUUCAUUCCGUUUGGACUCCGUUUGAUAUUCUUUUUCUGCGAAACACUGAAAUAGGCAAUAAACUGCAAUUUGGGUUGGGCUUUCAGUUAAUAGGUUAGUCCAAAAAAUAAUAUAAAAGUGUAUAAAUAAGCCCAUUAAACAUCCAAAACAGAAUAUAUAAUAGCAUGGAACAAUCAAAAAUUAUAGAUACGUUGGAGACGUAUCAAUAGGUAAUAUCGGUAAGCGCCAAGAAAUGCCUAUGAAUUAUCCACUUACUGUUGAACCAUUUGAUGUUUCGGGGUUUGAUUACAUGGGACCUUUUCCUUUUUCUAAUGGGUAUACACAUAUUUUGGUUGCUGUUGAUUAUGUUACUAAACGGGUAGAAGUUAUUCCAACCAGUAGUGCUGAUCACAACACCUCUAUUAAAAUGCUUAAGGAAGUUAUUUUCCCAAGGUUUGGAGUCCCUAGAUAUUUAAUGACUGAUGGUGUUUCACACUUUAUUCAUGGUGCUUUCCGUAAAAUGCUUGCUAAGUAUGAUGGUAACCAUAUAAUUGCAUCAACCUAUCAUCCUCAGCCUAGUGGUCAAGUUGAGCUUAGCAAUAGAGAAAUAAAAUUAAUUUUGCAAAAGACUAUUAAUAGGUCCAGGAAGAAUUGGUCUAAGAAAUUAGAUGAUGCACUUUGGGCUUAUAGAACAUCAUAUAAAAAUCAUAUGGGUAUGUCUCCUUAUAAAAUGGUUUAUGGAAAAGCUUGUCAUUUGCCUCUUGAGUUAGAACAUAAAGCAUAUUGGGAAGUUAAAGAACGCAACUAUGAUUUCAAACUUGCUGGUGAAAAGAGGUUGUUUGAUAUAAGCUCAUUAGAUGAAUGGAGAACCCAAGCUUAUGAAAAUGCAAAGUUAUUCAAAGAAAAAGUUAAAAGCUGGCAUGACAAAAGAUUUCAAAAACGUGAGUUUAAAGUCGGAGAGUAUGUUCUUUUGAACAACUCUCGUUUCAGAUUCUUUGCAAGAAGACUCCUCUGAAAAUGGGAAGGCCCCUAUGUCAUUGAGGAGGUUUACCGGUCUAGAGCCAUCAAAAUAAAUAAUUUCGAAGGCACUAACCCGAAGGUUGUCAACGGGUAACGAAUAAAACAUUAUAUCUCAGGUACGCCCAUUAAUGUUGAAAGCAAUAUUGUCCAGACUUUGACACCGGAAGAACACAUAAAAGAGGCCUUUCGGAACACUCUAGAAUUAUCAAAAUAAGGAGGUACGUAGUACGGUAAGUAAGCAGACUCCAAAAAAUCUGCAAAAUUAUUUUUUGUCAGUUUUGGAAUAAUUUAGAAUUUUGGGAAUAAAGAAACUCCCAGGAAGCAUCCCCUGGUGGGCACAAGACGCUAGGGCGCGCUAGGCAUGCUUGGCGCACCCAGGUGGGUUGUGCCCAUCUGGGGCACCUUCUGGACUCAUUUUUCUUCUGAAUACUUGUCCUGCAAGAUAAAAAAAUCUAUUUAUACUUUCCGAACUUGUUAAGCGUUGUAUCACGAAGAAGUCCUUUGUUCUCUUUUCUUGUUGUUUCUGGUUAGAUUUAUCAAGCUAGGCAUCAUGUCUUCCUGCUCCUCCAACAACAUGGAAGAAGAUGCUUGGCUGGUGAAGAUAGAGACGAAGAGGGAGGAGCCCACGGACGCCGCCUUCUUCACCACCAAAGGAGAAUUGAGUAUCGGGUAUGGGCACUCCCCUUGGCUUCCGCCAAGCUUGGGGGAGGUGCCCUGGUAUCGUAUCAUCCCACUCUCCUUUUGCUUUUACUUAUCUUAGUUCAAUCUUUUGCUUAGAUGAAUAAAGUUUAGUUCGAUCUUUUCUUCUUUGAAAGUUUGCUUAGUGAUCUAUCAUUGUUAUCAUGUGCAAGUUAUAUAAUAAAGUAGUUCGAGUUUUUACUUUUUUUACUUUCAUGUUGCAAAUAAAGAAAAGAAAAAGAGAAAGAAAGCAAACGAAAGAAAGGGAAAUAAAUCAAUAAGAUCAUAUACUAAUCCUGUGGUAGGUGAUAGCACCACAUAAGGAAAAAUAUAAGUAAGAAAAUUUUAUUAGAGAUUGACAACAUAGCAUUGGUCAGUGAUGCAAAUCAUGAAAGAAUUAAUAAGGUAAGGGAAGAUUCACAUAUAAAUAUACUAUCCUAGAAAUCUUUUGUGAUUGUGAGCCCUCAUCAAAAUAUUAUAUGCCAAAAUUGUUGACGUUGGACAAGGAAGACAACGUAAUGGUUUAUGUUUGUUUAUAUUCACAUAGAAGUGAUAUUGUCAUAGAUCCUUUAACACCUGGCGCUUGCCCCUAUCUUUGCUAGCCAAAAAUUCUGCACUAAGUAGAGAUACUACUUGUGCAUCCAAAAACCCUUAAACCCCAAAUCUUUUUCAAGUGUCCACCAUACCUACCUAGGGAUUGAACAAGAUCCCUCAAGUAAGUUGUCAUUGGUGCAAAAAGGCAAUAAAAAUUUCUUCUAAAUAUGUAAGAUCAUUUAGUGUAAGAGAAAAUUGAGCAUUGUACGAACUUGAAUGACAAAGAAUAAAAGCGACAGACUGCAUAAUAAAGGUUGUCAUCUUAAGGGGAAAUACAAUGUGACGUUCUCUGGCACUAAGGGAUUGAGCAUGCAAAUAAAUAAGCACAUGGCAACCUCUGCUUCCCUCUGCAAAGGGCCUAUCUUUUACUUUUAUGUAUUUAAUUUUAUGCAAGGAGUUAAAGUUUUCCCUCUAUUCCUUUUUAUUUUCUCUUUUGGCAAGCAUCAUGUGGUGAGGAAAGACCUAGGCACAUAUGUCCAGUUGAAUAUAGAUAGCAUGAGUUAUUAUUGUUGACAUCACCCUCGAGGUGAGUAUGUUGGGGGGCGAAACUAAAAGCCCCUAUCUUUAUACGUGUCUGAUUGAAACGUUUUGUUCAUGGGUACGAGGUGAGUGUUAGCAAUCAUAGAAGACUGUAUGAUAGUUGAGUAUGUGGACUUGCUUAAAAGGCUCCGACAUGUGACUCUUCCUGAAAAGAUGAUGAAUCAUAGUUGCAAAGUUGACUGAAAACAUAGUUUGUUGGUUUCUAAUAGAGAUUUUGCUUCAUACUUCUAUUGUGUGAUGAACUGUUACAUAUUCAUAGGAAGUAUAUGGCGCAAGUUCUAUGAUAAAAGUCCUAUGUUAAAUUUUGUUGCUAUUAUAAUAAUCAACAUGAUGCUUCUAUGUCCAUAUUUUGUUUUUAUCGACACCUUUCUCUCAAAGCAUGUGGACAUGUUUUUCGAUUUCGGUUUUCGCUUAAGGACAGGCAAGGUCUAAGCUUGGGGGAGUUGAUACGUCCAUUUUGCAUCAUGUUUUCUUACUGUUAUUUAUAAUGCUUUUAUCCAUAAUAAUGCUUUUUGGAGUAAUUCUAAUGCCUCUUCUCUCAUAAUUUGCAAGGAGCGCACCAAGAGGGAGAAUUCUGGCAGCUGGAAAUCUGGAUCUGGAAAAGCUACAUCAGGCCACCUAUUCUGCACAACUCCAAAUGAGCUGAAACUUCACGGGGAUUUUCUUUGGAUUAUUUAAGAAAUAUUGAAGCCAAUAAACACCAGAGGGGGGCCACCAGGUGGGCACAACCCACUUGGGCGCGCUGCUACCUCUCGAGCACUGCGUUGGUUUUCCCCGAAGAGGAAGGGAUGAUGCAGCAAAGUAGCGUAAGUAUUUCCCUCAGCUUUUGAGAACCAAGGUAUCAAUCCAGUAGGAGGCUACGCGCGAGUCCCUCGUACCUGCAUAAAACAAAUAAAUCCUCGCAACCAACGUAAAUAGGGGUUGUCAAUCCUUAUAAGGCCACUUACGAGAGUGAGAUCUGAUAGAUAUGAUAAGAUAAUAUUAUUGGUAUUUUUAUGAUAAAUAUGCAAAGUAAAAUAAAGGCAAAGUAAAUAGAAAAGGAAAUAACUAAGUAGUAGGAGAUUAAUAUGAUGAAGAUAGACCCGGGGGCCAUAGGUUUCACUAGUGGCUUCUCUCGAGAGCAUAAGUAUUCUACGACAGGUGAACAAAUUACUAUUGAGCAAUUGACAGAAUUGAGCAUAGUUAUGAGAAUAUCUAGGUAUGAUCAUGUAUAUAGGCAUCACGUCCGAGACAAGUAGACCGACUCCUGUCUGCAUCUACUACUAUUACUCCACUCAUCGACCGCUAUCCAGCAUGCAUCUAGAGUAUUAAGUUAAAAACAGAGUAACGCCUUAAGCAAGUUGACAUGAUGUAGAGGGAUAGACUCAUGCAAUAUGAAGAAAACCCCGUCUUGUUAUCCUCGAUGGCAACAAUACAAUAUGUGCCUUGCUGCCCCUACUGUCACUGGGAAAGGACACCGCAAUAUUGAACCCAAAGCUAAGCACUUCUCCCAUUGCAAGAAAGAUCAAUCUAGUAGGCCAAACCAAACUGAUAAUUCAAAGAUACUUGCAAAGAUAACCAAUCAUACAUAAAAGAAUUCAGAGAAGAUUCAAAUAUUGUUCAUAGAUAGAUUUGAUCAUAAACCCACAAUUCAUCGGUCUCAACAAACACACCGCAAAAAGAAGAUUACAUCGAAUAGUUCUCCACAAGAGAGGGAGAACAUUGUAUUGAGAUCCAAAAAGAGAGAAGAAGCCAUCUAGCUACUAACUAUGGACCCGUAGGUCUGAGGUAAACUACUCACACUUCAUCGGAGGGGCUAUGGUGUUGAUGUAGAAGCCCUCCGUGAUCGAUGCCCCCUCCGGCGGAGCUCCGGAAUAGGCCCCAAGAUGGGAUCUCGUGGAUACAGAAAGUUACGGUGGUGGAAUUAGGGUUUUGGCUCCGUAUUUGAUCGUUUGGGGGUACGUAGGUAUAUAUAGGAGGAAGGAGUACGUCGGUGGAGCAACAGGGGGCCCACGAGGUUGGAGGGCGCGCUUGGGGGGGUAGGCGCGCCCCCCUACCUCGUGGCCUCCUCUUUUCUUUCUUGACAUAGGGUCCAAGUCUCCCGGGUCUUGUUCGUUGAGAAAAUCACGUUCCCGAAGGUUUCAUUCCGUUUGGACUCCGUUUGAUAUUCCUUUUCUUCGAAACCCUAAAACAGGCAAAAACAACAAUUCUGGGCUAGGCCUCUGGUUAAUAGGUUAGUCCCAAAAAUAAUAUUAAAGUGGAUAAUAAUGCCCAAUAUUGUCCAAAACAGUAGAUAAUAUAGCAUGGAGCAAUCAAAAAUUAUAGAUACGUUGGAGACGUAUCAAGCAUCCCCAAGCUUAAUUCCUGCUCGUCCUCGAGUAGGUAAAUGAUAACAACAGAUUUUUUGAUGCCUACUUGGCAUAAUUUUAAUGUAAUUCUUCUUAAUUGUGGUAUGAAUAUUCAGAUCCAAAAGAUUCAAGACAAAAGUUCAUAUUGACAUAAAAAUAAUAAUACUUCAAGCAUACUAACUAGGCAAUUAUGUCUUCUCAAAAUAACAUGGCCAAAGAAAGUUUAUCCCUACAAAAUCAUAUAGUUUAGUCAUGUUUCAUUUUCAUCACACAAGAAUGAUCUCAUCAUGCACAACCCCGAUGACAAGCCAAGCAAUUGUUUCAUACUUUAGUAAUCUCAAACCUAUAAACUUUCACGCAAUAUAUGAGCGCGAGCCAUGGACAUAGCACUAUGGGUGGAAUAGAAUAUAAUGAGGGGGGUUAUGUGGAGAAGACAAAAAAGGAGAAAGUCUCACAUCAAAGAAGCUAAUCAAUGGGCUAUGGAGAUGCCCACCGAUUGAUGUUAAUGCGAGGAGUAGGGAUUGCCAUGCAACGGAUGCACUAGAGCUAUAAAUGUAUGAAAGCUCAUCAAAAGAAACUAGUGGGUGUGCAUCCAACUUGCUUUCUCACAAAGACCUAGGGCACUUGAGGAGGCCCAUUGUUGGAAUAUACAAGCCAAGUUCUAUAAUGAAAAAUUCCCACUAGUAUAUGAAAGUGACGAAACAAGAGACUCUCUAUCAUGAAGAUUAAGGUGCUACUUUGAAGCACAAGUGUGGCAAAGGAUAGUAACAUUGUCCCUUCUCUCUUUUUCUCUCAUUUUUUUGGCCUUCUCUUUUUUUAUGACCUUUCUUUUUAUAUGGCCUUUCUCUUUUUUUAUAUAAUUCCUCACUUGGGACAAUGCUCUAGAAAAUGAUGACCAUCACACUUCUAUUUAUUUACAACUCAAUGAUUACAACACGAUACUAGAACAAAAGAUGACUCUAUAUGAAUGCCUUCGGCGGUGUACCGGGAUAUGCAAUGGACCAAGAGUGACAUGUAUGAAAGAAUUAUGAACGGUGGCUUUGCCACAAAUACUAUGUCAACUACAUGAUCAUGCUAAGCAAUAUGAAAAUAAUGAAUGUGUCAUGAUGAACGGAAUGAUGGAAAGUUGCAUGGCAAUAUAUCUCGGAAUGGCUAUGGAAAUGCCAUAAUAGGUAGGUAUGGUGGUUGUUUUGAGGAAGAUAUAAGGAGGUUUAUGUGUGAAAGAGCGUAUCAUAUCACGGGGUUUGGAUGCACCGGCGAAGUUCGCACCAACUCUCAAUGUGAGAAAGGGCAAUGCACGGUACCGAAGAGGCUAACAAGGAUGGAAGGGUGAGAGUGCGUAUAAUCCAUGGACUCAACAUUAGUCAUAAAGAACUCACAUACUUAUUGCAAAAAUCUACAAGUCAUCAAAAACCUGGGUACUACGCGCAUGCUCCUAGGGGGAUAGAUUGGUAGGAAAAGACCAUCGAUCGUCCCCGACCGCCACUCAUAAGGAAGACAAUCAAAUAACACCUCAUGUUUCAAUUUUGUUGCAUAACGUUUACCAUACGUGCAUGCUACCGGACUUGCAAACUUCAACACAAGUAUUUCUCAAUUUCACAACUAUUCAACUAGCACGACUUUGAUAUUAUUACCUCCAUAUCUCAAAACAAUCAUCAAGCAUAAAACUUCUCUUAGUAUUCAAAACACUCUUAAGAAAAUUUUACUAACUUUGAAUACCUAGCAUAUUAGGAUUUUAAGCAAAUUACCAUGCUAUUAAGAAUCUCAAAAUAAUCUAAGUGAAGCAUGAGAGAUCAAUAGUUUCUAUAAAACAAAUCCACCGCUGUGCUAUAAAAGAUAUAAGUGAAGUACUAGAGCAAAAUUAUAUAACUCAAAAGAUAUAAGCGAAGCACAUAGGGUAUUCUAACAAAUUCCAAAUCAUUUAUGGCUCUCUCAAAAGGUGUGUACAGCAAGGAUGAUUGUGUUAAACUAAAAAGCAAAGACUCAAACAAUACAAGACGCUCCAAGCAAAACAUAUAUCAUGUGGCGAAUAAAAAUAUAGCUCCAAGUAAAGUUACCGAUAGACAAAGACAAAAGAGGGGAUGCCUUCUGGGGCAUCCCCAAGCUUAGGAUUUUUGCUGUCCUUGUAUUUUACCUUGGGGUGCGUUGGGCAUCCCCAAGCUUAGGCUCUUGCCACUCCUUGUUCCAUAAUCCAUCAAAUCUUUACCCAAAACUUGAAAACUUCACAACACAAAACUUAACAGAAAAUCUCGUGAGCUCCAUUAGCGAAAGAAAAUAAAAGACCACUUCAAGGUACUGUAAUGAACUCAUUAUUUAUUUAUAUUGGUGUUAAAACUACUGUAUUCCAACUUCUCUAUGGUUUAUAAACUAUUUUACUAGCCAUAGAUUCAUCAAAAUAAGAAAACAACACACGAAAAACAGAAUCUGUCAAAAAAAGAACAGUCUGUAGUAAUCUGUAACUAGCGCAAGAUAUGGAACCCCAAAAAUUAUAAAAUAAACUGCUGGACAUGAGGAAUUUAUCUAUUAAUCAUCUGCAAAAAGAAUUAACUAAAUAGCACUCUCCAAUCAAAAAUGACAGCAGUUCUCGUGAGCGCUAAAGUUUCUGUUUUUUACAGCAAGUUCAACAAGACUUUCCCCAAGUCUUCCCAACGGUUCUACUUGGCACAAACACUAAUUAAACACAAAAAACACAACCAAAACAGAGGGUAGAUAAAUUAUUUAUUACUAAACAGGAGCAAAAAUCAAGGAAUAAAAAUAAAAUUGGGUUGCCUCCCAACAAGCGCUAUCGUUUAACGCCCCUAGCUAGGCAUAACAAGCAAGAAUAGAUCUAGGUAUUGCCAUCUUUGGUAGGCAAUCCAUAAGUGGCUCUCAUAAUAGAUUCAUAAGGUAAUUUAAUUUUCUUUCUAGGAAAGUGUUCCAUGCCUUUCCUUAACGGAAAUUGGAAUCUAAUAUUUCCUUCCUUCAUAUCAAUAAUUGAACCAAUCGUUCUAAGGAAAGGUCUACCAAGAAUAAUAGGAUAUGAAGGAUUGCAAUCUAUGUCAAGAACAAUAAAAUCUAUGGGCACAUAAUUCCUAUUUGCAACAAUAAGAACAUCAUUAAUUCUUCCCAUAGGUUUCUUAAUAGUGGAAUCCGCAAGGUGCAAGUUUAGAGAGCAAUCAUCAAAAUCACGGAAACCUAACAAAUCACACAAAGUCUUUGGAAUCGUGGAAACACUAGCACCCAAAUCACAGAAAGCAUAGCAUUCAUGAUCUUUAAUUUUAAUUUUAAUAGUUGGUUCCCACUCAUCAUAAAGUUUUCUAGGGAUAGAAACUUCCAAGUCAAGUUUUUCUUCAUAAGAUUGCAUCAAGGCAUCAACGAUAUGUUUAGUAAACGCUUUAUUUUGACUAUGAGCGUGAGGGGAAUUUAGCACGGAUUGCAACAAGGAAAUACAAUCAAUCAAAGAGAAAUUUUCAUAGUUAAAUUCCUUGAAAUCCAUAAUAGUGGGUUUAGCAACAUCUAGGGUUUUAAUUUCUUCAAUCCCAAUUUUAUCAAAUUUAGCAUCAAGAUCAACAAAUUCUGAAUUCUUGGAACGCCUUCUAGGUAAAGGUGGAUCAUAUUCAGUCCCAUCAUUAUCAAGAUUCGUAUUGCAAAAAAAAGAUUUAAUAGGGGACACAUCAAUAACUUUUAGAUCUUCAUCUUUAUUUUCAUAGGAACUAGACGGACACGCUCUUAUAAAGGCAUAUUUCUUAGCACGCAUCCUAGCGGUUCUUUCUUUGCACUCAUCAAUGGAAAUUCUCAUUGAUUUGAGAGACUCAUUGACAUCAUGCUUAGGUGGAAUAGAUCUAAGUUUCAAAGAAUCAACAUCGAGAGCAAUUCUAUCAACGUUCCUAGCCAAAUCAUCAAUCUUAAGCAAUUUCUCUUCAACCAUAGCAUUAAAAUUCUUUUGUGAAGUAAUAGAUUCUUUAAUAUUAGAUUCAAAAUCAUAGGGCAUCUUAUUAUAAUUUCCAUAAGAAUUGUUGUAGGAAUUACCAUAAUUAUUAGAGGAAUUACUAGGAUAAGGCCUAGGGUUGAAAUUUCCUUUAUACGCAUUGUUACCAAAAUUGUUCCUACCAACAAAAUUCACAUCCAUAGAUUCAUUAUUAUUCUCAAUCAAAGUAGACAAGGGCAUAUCAUUAGGAUCAGAAUAAACACUCUUAUUAGCAAAUAAUUUCAUAAGUUCAUCCAUCUUUCCACUCAAAACAUUAAUUUCUUCUAUCGCAUGCACCUUUUUAUUAGUAGAUCUUUCAGUAUGCCAUUGAGAAUAAUUAACCAUAAUAUUAUCUAGGAGUUUAGUAGCUUCUCCUAAAGUGAUUUCCAUAAAAGUGCCUUCCGCGGCUGAAUUUAAAAGAUUUCUAGAAGCAAAAUUCAAUCCGGCAUAAAAAUUUUGUAUAAUCAUCCACAAAUUUAAACCAUGAGUAGGGCAAUUACGUAUCAUUAAUUUCAUUCUCUCCCAAGAUUGUGCAACAUGUUCAUGAUCAAGUUGCUUAAAAUUCAUAAUAUCGUUUCUAAGAGAGAUGAUCUUAGCGGGAGGAAAAUACUUAGAGAUAAGAGCAUCUUUGCACUAGUUCCACGAAUCAAUACUAUUUUUAGGCAAAGACGAAAACCAAGCUUUAGCACGAUCUCUAAGAGAAAAUGGAAAUAGCUUAAGUUUAACAAUAUCAUUAUCCACAUCUUUCUUCUUUUGCAUAUCACACAAAUCAACAAAGUUGUUUAGAUGGGUAGCGGCAUCUUCACUAGGAAGGCCAGAAAAUGAAUCUUUCAUGACAAGAUUCAGCAAAGCAGUAUUAAUUUCACAAGAUUCAGCAUCGGUAAGAGGAGCAAUCGGAGUGCUAAUAAAAUCAUUAUUGUUGGUAUUGGUUAAGUCACACAAUUUAGUAUUAUCUUGAGCCAUCGUGACAAGCAAGCAAUUCAACACACAAGCAAACAAAAAGCAAGCGGGCAAAAAGAGGCAAAUAGAGAAAGAGAGGGAGGAUAGAGAGAGAGGGCGAAUAAAACGGCAAGGGUGAAGUGGGGGAGAGGAAAACGAGAGGCAAAUGGAAAAUAAUGUAAUGCGGGAGAGAAGGGUAUGUGAUGGGUACUUGGUAUGUUGACUUUUGCGUAGACCUCCACGGCAACGGCGCCGGAAAUCCUUCUUGCUACCUCUUGAGCACUGCGUUGGUUUUCCCCGAAGAGGAAGAGAUGAUGCAACAAAGUAGCGUAAGUAUUUCCCUUAGUUUUUUAGAACCAAGGUAUCAAUCCAGUAGGAGACUACACUCGAGUCCCUCGUACCUGCACAAAACAAAAAAAAUCCUCGCAACCAACACAAAUAGGGGCUGUCAAUCCCUAUAAGGCCACUUACCAGAGUGAGAUCUGAUAGAAUGAUAAGAUAAUAUUUUUGAUAUUUUUAUGAUAAAGAUGCAAAGUAAAAUGAAGGCAAAGUAAAUAGAAAAGGAAAUAACUAAGUAGUAGGAGAUUAAUAUGAUGAAGAUAGACCCCGGGGCCAUAGGUUUCACUAGUGGCUUUUCUCGAGAGCAUAAGUAUUCUACGGCGGGUGAACAAAUUAUUGUUGAGCAAUUAACAGAAUUGAGCAUAGUUAUGAGAAUAUCUAGGUAUGAUCAUGUAUAUAGGCAUCGCGUCCGAGACAAGUAGACCGACUCCUGCCUGCAUCUACUACUAUUACUCCACUCAUCGACCGCUAUCCAGCAUGCAUCUAGAGUAUUAAGUUAAAAACAGAGUAACGCCUUAAGCAAGAUGACAUGAUGUAGAGGGAUAGACUCAUGCAAUAUGAAGAAAACCCCAUCUUGUUAUCCUCGAUGGCAACAAUACAAUACGUGCCUUGCUGCCCCUACUGUCACUGGGAAAGGACACCGCAAGAUUGAACCCAAAGCUAAGCACUUCUCCCAUUGCAAGAAAGAUCAAUCUAGUAGGCCAAACCAAACUGAUAAUUCGAAGAUACUUGCAAAGAUAACCAAUCAUACAUAAAAGAAUUCAGAGAAGAUUCAAAUAUUGUUCAUAGAUAGACUUGAUCAUAAACCCACAAUUCAUUGGUCUCAACAAACACACCGCAAAAAGAAGAUUACAUCGAAUAGUUCUCCACAAGAGAGGGAGAACAUUGUAUUGAGAUCCAAAAAGAGAGAAGAAGCCAUCUAGCUACUAACUAUGGACCCGUAGGUCUGAGGUAAACUACUCACACUUCAUCGGAGGGGCUAUGGUGUUGAUGUAGAAGCCCUCCAUGAUCGAUGCCCCCUCCGGCGGAGCUCCGGAACAGGUCCCAAGAUGGGAUCUCGUGGAUACAGAAAGUUACGGCGGUGGAAUUAGGGUUUUGGCUCCGUAUCUGAUCGUUUGGGGGUACGUAGGUAUAUAUAGGAGGAAGGAGUACGUCGGUGGAGCAACAGGGGGCCCACGAGGUUGGAGGGCGCGCUUGNNNNNNNNNNNNNNNNNNNNNNNNNNNNNNNNNNNNNNNNNNNNNNNNNNNNNNNNNNNNNNNNNNNNNNNNNNNNNNNNNNNNNNNNNNNNNNNNNNNNNNNNNNNNNNNNNNNNNNNNNNNNNNNNNNNNNNNNNNNNNNNNNNNNNNNNNNNNNNNNNNNNNNNNNNNNNNNNNNNNNNNNNNNNNNNNNNNNNNNNNNNNNNNNNNNNNNNNNNNNNNNNNNNNNNNNNNNNNNNNNNNNNNNNNNNNNNNNNNNNNNNNNNNNNNNNNNNAGAAAAUCACGUUCCCGAAGGUUUCAUUCCGUUUGGACUCCGUUUGAUAUUCCUUUUCUUCGAAACCCUAAAACAGGCAAAAAACAACAAUUUUGGGCUGGGCCUCCGGUUAAUAGGUUAGUCCCAAAAAUAAUAUAAAAGUGGAUAAUGAAGCCCUAUAAUGUCCAAAACAGUAGAUAAUAUAGCAUGGAUCAAUCAAAAAUUAUAGAUAUGUUGGAGACGUAUCACGCGCCAGGCCCCCCUGAUGCACUCUGGUGGGUUGUGGCCUCCUCGUCCCACCUUCGGUGCCAAUCUUCUGGUAUAUAAGUCAUUUUGACCUAGAAAAAAUAAGGAGAAGACUUUCGGGAUGGAGCGCCGCCGUCUCGAGGCGGAACUUGGGCAGGAGCACUUUUGCCCUCCGGUGGAGCGAUUCUGCCGGGGGAACUUCCCUCCCGGAGGGGGAAAUCAUCGUCAUCAUCAUCACCAACAACUCUCCCAUCUUGGGGAGGGCAAUAUCCAUCAACAUCUUCACCAACACCAUCUCAUCUCAAACCCUAGUUCAUCUCUCGAAUUCAAUCUUGUUACCGGGACUAUAGAUUGGUACUUGUGGGUGACUAGUAGUGUUGAUUACAUCUUGUAGUUGAUUACUAUAUGGUUUAUUUGGUGGAAGAUUAUAUGUUCAGAUCCAUUAUGCUAUUUAAUACCCCUUUGAUCAUGAGCAUGUUUACCGUUUGUGAGUAGUUACCUUUGUUCUUGAGGUCAUAGGAGAAAUCAUGUUGCAAGUAAUCAUGUGAAUUUGAUAUGUGUUCGAUAUUUUAGUAUGUAUGUUGUGAUUCCCUUAGUGGUGUCAUGUGAAUGUCGACUACAUGACACUUCACCAUACUUGGGCCUAAGGGAAUGCAUUGUGGAGUAGUAAAUAGAUGGUGGGUUGUGAGAGUGACAGAAAAUUAAACCCCAGUUUAUGCACUACUCCGUAAGGGACCGAUUGGAUCCUAGAGUUUAAUGCUAUUGUUAGAAUUUAUUCUUAAUACUUUUUUCAUAGUUGCGGAUGCUUGCGGGAGGGUUAAUCAUAAGUAGGAGGUUUGUUCAAGUAAGAACAACACCUAAGCACCGGUCCACCCACAUAUCAAAUUAUCAAAGUAGUGAACAUAAAUCAAACCAACAUGAUGAAAGUGACUAGAUGAAGUUCCCGUGUACCCUCAAGAACGCUUUGCUCAUUAUAAGAGACCAUUUUGGCAUGUCCUUUGCCUCAAAAGGAUUGGGUUACCUGGAUGCAUACUUGUUACAAUUAUCGUUACUUGCUUGUUACAAAUUAUCUUGCUAUCAAACUACUCGCUAUUUACAAUUUCAGCACUUGCAGACAUUACCUUACUGAAAACUACUUGUCAUUUCCUUCUGCUCCUCGCUGGGUUCGACACUCUUACUUAUCGAAAAGAGCUACAAUUGAUCCCCUAUACUUGUGGGUCAUCAUGUACUGUUGUGCAAAUUCGACCAGUGAGUUGUUUGGGUUGACAUACUUCUUGAGCACAGGGUUAAAACCCUCGCUUCUUGCCAUGCUCUGCAAGAACGGAAAAAAACCAUGCAUGUAGUAUACCGGGACCCAACACUUCCUGUUCUCCCACAGCCAUUGGAAAUGCUCGUUGUCGGUCUAGCCAUACGCUUCCAUCAUCACCCACCACUUGUGCUCAAACUCCUCAACUACAUUUAUAACAGAAACAUGGUAACAUCAGGUAUUGAAGGAUGGUAACCUUGGUUCAUACAUAUUGGUAACUAGAAACACGUUGCUGUUGAUAAUUCUAUCACACACACUUGGUUCCUUUAGUUCAAGCAUCAUGGUAAGUACAUUGCACAUAUGAUGAUUUUUUGUCCACAUCGAAUACCACUCUGUGUGUAGUACAAGCAACAUUUUUAACUAGCAACAAAAAAGAUUCCUAUCAAUCACCACUAGUUGGUGAUUGAAAAGUUUUGUUGUAGCUACUGGGACGAACAACCGAAAUGCGUGCGACAAACAUGAACAUGGUAGGUUCAGUACAGAAAAUAACGAAUGGAGGUAAUUUUGUUAUAAUCCUCUGGUAACCUGUCACCUUGUUACAUGGUAACUGUUGAUAUCAUGCAUGUAAACCCAUUUCUUGUGUUUAAGGUAGUGAGGGUGGGAAGUAAAAUACCAGUCAGGCUGUUGUCAACACAAUCCUUGAAUGCAUUAUUUAGUGGCCCAUCAUCAGCCAUCAGCUCCCCAAGCUUCUCUUGUGCUUUUUUCAUUAUAUGCCAACGACAAUUCCUGUGUACUAUCCCGAUGAACACCCCAUUGCAAAAACUUGAUCUGUUAUUAUGUUCUUUGGCGCAAUUCCACCCAUUGCAUGCAAGAAUGCAUUAAACAGCCACACAAAGUUACCAGAUAGUUCGUUUCGAACAAAUCCACAACCAAACUGGAUUGAUUGUCCAUGGUUAUUAAUGCCAAUGAAGGGCGCACAGGGCAUCUUGUACAUGUUUGUCAUGUAUGUUGUGUCGAAUGAUAUGACAUCAUUGUCUCUAGCAUAUGCCCUGCGCGACGCACCAUCUAUCCAGAACAAAUUUUCCACUCUGUCCUCGUCAUCAAGCUUUAUUCUCCAAUAGAAAUCUGGAUCUUGUGCCUUCAUAUCUUGGAAGUAUGAGAUCGUGCUCCUCACAUCAGCAUGGUGGUACUCCAUGCGGAAUUUAGCUCGCUGGUUUGCAAUGUCCUUUGUCGUGUAUGGUACAUCUUUAGGAGACCCAUAGAACCAUGACAUUAGUUGCAUCUGUCUUGUUGUCUCUAUGUUGCAUCCGUGCAAUAUCUUCAAGAAGUCUUGCUCAUCCUUGGGAAUGUUCCUAUGUGAUGAUAGGAACUUUGUCAAUGAUAGAUUUCUUAUAAGAGGGUGGUUGUGGUCGUCGUUGAAGCGUUUGACUCUCCACCACACAUCCGUGUGGGUGAUGUAAAGGUGGGCUGGACAUCCCGACCUCACAACCUUCCCUCUUUCCUCUUCUUAACGGCGCCUUUUGGGUCCUGCACAUCCUGUGUCUCAUCCUUGUUUUUUUGGCUUGCCGUAUUUCCCACAAACCAAGAGGACUCUGCUUACAGUGUCGUAUUUAAUUGUUUUUCUAUAUUCCAGCCUCAUCCCAAACCCAUGGCUGAGUGCAUAUUGCUUGUAGUGAUCAUAAGCUUCCUCAUAAGUAUCAAACUUCAUCGUUUCAUCAGGAGGCUUCGGUAUGGAGUAUGCCUCGGUGUUUUUGUCUCCCUGAUCAGCAUUCUCUCCUCCUGUUUCUGGACUCACUGGCUCACUGACUGAAUGAUCAAAGAAGCUUUCUCUCCCCCCUAUGCUGCUAGUAGUCAGUUCUUUGCUUGUCUCUCGGACCAUCGGGUUGCUUCUAGAUGUAGCACCUGUAAUGUUUUUGAAGUUGUUAGUUUGUGUUAUGUUUCUGCAUGCCAAAACUAGUGGUAACUUGUACUCCACUUGCCUGGUAAAGUUUGCAUGCAGUAAGAUGUUUUUGUAGUUGUAAAGUGAAAGCAUGUAAUUGUAAUACAGACUGCAUGAUAAUUCGUAUGCAGUAAGUGUGGUAAUUGUACCUAAUUUCAUGGUAACUUGUGUGCAUUAAGCUUGGUGAUUGUGAACUGAUUCAUGGUGAAUGUGGUAGUUGUAAAUAACAUAGGUGGUAGUUGCAACUCAAGUAUGAUGGUAACAAGUCUGUGUAUACAAAUGUGGUAGCAUGGUAAAUGUUUUACCUUCGUCUGUUUUGUUGAUGUUGGCAGAACCAAAGCUUGCCGUGUGUGCAUAUUCACACUGUUGGUUUGUUCCCACACCACUCAUCAUGAUAUCCACAUUACCCUCGUUGUCAUGUGCCAUUUUUUGUGUUGCAGCACCUGCUAGCACAUAUGAUUGCAUCCAUCAAUUUUCCACACUUACAAGCAAUUUUGAUUAUUUUUUCACAACAACUAUAUUUUUUCUUUUUUCUGCACUGAUUACUUCUUUUUUAUAACAGGUAUCAUUUUGGGAGUAACCAACGUAUGAGAGUAUGACAGCGAUAGUUCCUAUCAACCUCAUUUCAUCAACAUCAUUUCUUAUCAAAAAAUUCUGGUGGCAACAAUGUAAAUCAACAAAUGGUAUUCUUGUACUCCCUCCGUCCCAAAAUUCUUGUCUUAGAUUCAUCUAGAUACGAAUGUAUCUAAUACUAAAACGUGGCUUGAUACAUCCGUAUUUAGACAAAUCUAAGAGAAGAAAUUUGAGACAGAGGGAGUAGUGUUUUAGCACCUUUGGUUCUGAGUUUUCCUGGUAAAUUAGCAUGAUAACUUGUUCUGACAUGGGUUUGUUCAAUAAAAAAGGAUCUUUUUUAUGUUGAAUAAGUGUUAAAGGAUGCUGAUUACUCAGUGCACACACUUGGUAAUCUAUAUUGACUCGAAAUGGUAACUCAGUUAUUAAUGAGAAAUUUCAUACAUGUAGUUCUAACAUGCUUCAAAAAAGAUAGCUUAAUAGAAUGACGAUGAUAGCCUAUAUGGAUUUAUGAUGGUAACUCAAUGAUGAGGUAACUCAAUGAUGUAGUUUGUAGGUAGGAACAUGGAUCAAUUUUUACCAACUUUUUGGCAUUAAAAGAGGCAAAUUUAUUCAAUCUUUGUUGGUAACCUGACUGAAUUUGAAUGGUAACUCAAUUACAACGGAGGAAUUACACACAUGUAGUAAAAGGCUACCUUCUUAUGCAUCUUGUUGGCUUUGUUCUUUAGUUCUUGUUGUUCUUUUCCCAUGUUUUUUUGCCUUGAUUUUAUUGGUAUGAAAUGUAUAUGCAGCAUGUGUAUAGAGGUUGAAUCACUUACCUCCUUGAUUUUUGCCUGAUUAUGGCGAAAUUCAGAUGAACUGGGGUAUUUGUCCCAGUAGCAUGUGGUAACCCUUGUGAUGUUGAUGUGGUAAGCUAGACCCCUCUCUUAAAUCCUUGUGUUUGGUAGUGUUUUUCGUGGGUUUUUUGGUGGAUCAGAUCUGGGGCGCAUGUCGUCGGCGAUGGAGGCGCGUCGGGGAGAGACGAGAACAGAUCGGGGCAGGUGGCUGUUUCUUGCGAUGGAGGUAAGAAACUAGGUUUUAGGAUGGUAAGUCACGUGCGGGGGAAGGUGAGCGAGAGGGGCUUUCUUUUUUGUCCUGGGCCUCAUGCGUUGUGCAUGCUGGGCCUCGCGAAAGAAGGCUAGGUCAUCGUGGGUGGCUCUGGCAAAGCGGGUCGCGCGGGAGGGACGUGGGUGUACGAUCGUGCGGAUCUGAUGUUUAGUGUCCAGUCGACUGGUGGUUAGCCGCGUCCUUAAAAAUAUUGAAGAAGUAUUUGAAAAUGCUGAAUAACUAUUAGAAAAUGCUAAAUAAGUAUUUGAAAAAUGUAGAACAUAUAAUUGAAAAAAGUUGAACAAGUAUUUAAAAAUAUUGAAUAAGCGUUCGAACAAUAUUGAACGUGUAUGCAAAAAAUGUUAAUCACUUUCUAACAUUUAAAAAACGUUGAUCACUUUCUUUGUGGCUGGGCUGGGCUGGGCCGGGCUGCUACUUGGGAGACGGUCAGAUGGGCUAACAUUUUGACGACCUAACUAAGAAGAAGUGCAUAGAGCAGGGAAAACCCUCGUUCGCCCAUUCCGCUCCUCUCGCCCCCACCCGCCGUCUUCCCAUGGCCUCCGCCUCCGCCGCCGCCGCCGCCACCCGGGCGAACAGCCUCUCCCGCAUCUUCUCCUCCUCCUCGCCAACCGUCAAACUACCCAAGCGCAAUCCCAAGACCAAGCGCGCGCCGGCGCCGCCGCCGAAACCGUCCGCCGCCGAUGCUGACUCCAUCGCGGGACAGAAGCUCCCGGAGCCCCUCGGCGUACAUCCCGCCGCCAAAGCUGAGUCCGAUGCGGACCACAAGCUCCCGAAGCCCCUUGACGAUAUCCUCAUUGCCCUCAUCCGGCAGCGCAACCCUGAUAAGCUGGUCUCCGAGUUCGUCCAAGCGUCAACCGUGUCGUCGCGCUUCCGCGAGCGGCACCGCGUGUACGAGGUAGCGGUGAGCCGCCUCACUUCCUUCGGCCGCCAAGACGGCAUCGAGGCCAUCAUCGAAGCGCAGAAGCCCUUCCUCGAGACCUCAGACGAGGGAUUCGCCGCGCGCCUCAUCCGCCUCUACGGCCGUGCCUCCAUGCCAUCCCACGCUACCGCAACCUUCCAUGAACUUCCCGCGCAGCAUAAAUCCACCAUGACAUUCAACGCCCUUCUUGCAGCGUACGCCGAAGCCGGGGAUUUCGAUGGGCUCACUGCUGCAUUCCAGGAGAUCCCAGCCACCCACCCCUCGGUUGUUCCCAGCGUAUACUCUUACAACAUACUCAUCCGCUCAUUGUGCCAGAAGCCUGACCUCUCAGCUGCUCUUGAUGUUGUUCUUCUCAUGGAGAAGCACGGUGUUUCAGCUGACAUUAUUACUUUCAACACUCUGUUGAAUGGGUUUUGUAACAAUGGCCCCACGGAUGAAGCAGAGACAGUAUGGGAGAUGAUGAAGGAGAGGAAUUUGGAGCCAGAUGCAAAGUGCUACAAUGCCAAGCUGCGGGGUUUGGUUGCAGAAGGGAGGAUUGAUGAUGCAGCUGCUGUGCUUGAGGGAUUGGAGAAGGACGGGCCAAAACCCGAUACGGUGUCCUACAAUGAGUUGAUUCGAGGAUAUUGCAAAGCGGGGAGGUUACAGGAGGCCAAGAAGCUGUAUGAUGAUUUGGCAAAAAAUCACUGUGCCGCAAAUAAGGGAACAUAUGAGACUCUCGUGCCACACCUUCUGCAGGCUGGAGACCUGGAUUGUGCACUGAGGUACUGCUAUGAAAUGUUUAGUGGUAAAAGGAGCGGUAGAGUGGAGUGUGGUGUGCUGCAGGAUGUAGUGAAUGCAUUGGUAGAUGCAUCGAGGGUGGAGGAGGCUGGCAAGCUUGUUGAUAUCGGGCGGAAGAAACACGAAAGGGUUUGAGGAUGCGAGGUAGUGCAAAAGGCAGUGAAUUAAGAGCUGAAACUGAUGAGUAAGAAGCAAUAUCAGAAGAAAAGGAGUGUGAUGUGGAACACAAGACUGAAAAGUAAAAUUCAUUGGUCAGGCUUUGACUGAUGCAUGCCAAAUUUCACCAUGACUUGUUUUACUCAGUUUCUCUGUUUGCAUGAUAGAACAAGAAGUGCAAGUUAAAGUAGUGGUUUAACUAGUUUAAUAAGGUAUUGGUUUAGCUUGCCCUGUGAUUUAAUACUUAUUGAAAAUCUUUUUUUCCAUUUUAGAAGAGAUCCACAGGAAGUCUUUAUUCUUACCUGCAAUGUCUUGCUUGUGCUGAUUUUUCUUCUUGCAUAAGUGCAAGUUAAAGCAGUGGUUUAACUAGUUUAAUAAGGUAUUGGUUUAGCUUGCCCUGUGAUGUAAUACUUAUUGAAAAUCUUUUUUUCCAUUUUAGAAGAGAUCCACAGGAAGUCUUUAUUCUUACCUGCAAUGUCUUGCUUGUGCUGAUUUUUCUUCUUGCAUCAAAUUCCUUUUAUGAAUGUAAUAUUUGUGUUUGGAAACAUCCUCCAAGAGUUGUGUACUUUAUGGAUACUUCUAUUUUCUAGACAUUGAUGAUUCAACUGUUAGCUCUGUGAUGAAGAUAAACACACAUACCUCCCACUUUG